AUUAAGUCAAGUGAAUGUAGCAUUUUUUGUGAUCUGCACUUGGAGCUUCGAAAUAUUGUUUUACAGCAUUUGAACGAUCGUAUAUUGCUUUAACAUAAAUAAAAUAAUUACUAGUUAGACUUCUAUAUGUGCAUGCAGCAGGGUUGGCCUCUAAGACUAAAUAUGUGCAAGUACCUGGGGUUGAGUAAUGACUCCAAGUUAGAGUUUUAACAAUGGAUGUUUUUGGGCCUGAUGUUUAUAAGCUUUUCAUGGGACAGAUUAGUUUAUAGAAAUGACGGUGUAAAUAUAUUUCCCAUUUAAUUAGUUGGAGAAAGAAAACACGAUCAGGCUGAGUAAGGAACUUGAGGAUAAGACCCGCAAGCUGAGGUAAUUAUAAUUUAUCGAUUUGUUUGUAAGAUAUAUGGUGGUUAAUUAGCUGGAUGAUCGUUUGAUGAGAGUCUGCCGAAAUUGGUUUGGCAUGCAACAGGCACCUGAAGGGUGAGGAGCUUCAAGACUUGGACCUGGAUGAACUGCAGAAGUUAGAAAAAUUGGUGGAAGCAAGCCAUGGCCGUGUGAUGGAAACUAAGGUCUGUUCUAGCUAGCUAGCUAAUUUAUUCUGUUACAAGUGAAUUCAGGUGUCCCAUGGCUUCUAAAAUCUAGGUAUCUUCAGAUAGAGGAGCACAUUGUGAGGCUUAUUAAUUAAGCAAUAAAAAUCUUCCGGAUCAUUGCACAAUAAUAUUCUUGCAAAGAGUAGGACAAAUGUCUUAAUUUUGUUCAAAUAGAAAAUUUGUUAUUAGCAUUUUAUAAAAGUAAGUGCAUUUCUUUCUCUAAUUUUUUGCACUAUGCAUGAGUGAGUCAUGACCGAGCUUAAUCAAAUAAAUAGGUCGACACGUUGUACCUCGUACACAUUGUUUUAAAUCACCGUGUUUAAUCAAAAGGUCAAUAGGUUUCCAAUUGCCUCGUACACAUUAUAUGUAUAUACAGCACCGUCUAAUUCCAAAUUUUCCAUUUAUUUCAGGAAAAAAAGAUUAUGAGUGAGAUUAUGGCACUUGCGAAAAAGGUUUAUAGUUAAAUAGAUGAUUGUUGUCUGUGUCUAUAUAUGGAAUAACCACAAAUAUUUACAAUAGUCAAGAAUUUCCUGAAAAGAAAAAAAAAACAUUAAUUAAAUUAUUAAUGAAUUUUUGCUUUGUGGUCCUCUUACUUGUACUGAUUAUAAAUGCAGGGAGAUGAGCUUGUAGAAGCUAACAACCAGCUAAAGCAGAGGGUAAGCAACUACCGUCAUCUAUGAGCUCGUUUGGAUAUGAUUUUAAAAUAAUUGAAAGCGCUUUUGGUGAAAAUAUUUUUAAAAACAAUCCUUAGUAAAAAUGCUAAUAAAUCUUAGAAAAGCAUUUAAAGUGCUUUUGAAACCCAAAAACAUUUUCUUUAAAAGCGUUUUUAAUCAUUUUUAAAACAUAUCGAAACAAGCCAUAUAUUUCCUCUUCUAUUUUUUUUUAUUUAAUGAAAAAACAAUAACUCUUAAUUAAAAAAUUAAAUCUGGGCGAUUUUUUUCUUUGUUGUCUUUGCAUGGCAGAUGGUGAUGUUAUCCGCCCGAGGAGAUAUCGGACCGGCGGCGAUCAUGGAGUUGGAAAACCUGAAUAAUGGUGGAGAAGAAGGCGUGACAUCUGAAUCAGCUACAAAUGUCACCACCAGCUCCAACAGUCCUCUUUCUCUUGAAGAUGACUGCUCCGACAUCUUGUCUCUCAAACUGGGGUGUGCCGCUUUAACUUCCUAAUAUAUGCUAUUUGCUUGUCUUUUGCUUUUGACUUUUGGCUUGUGCUUAUUUGAUGCUACGACGAAGAAUAAAGUUAGUAAAAUACUAGGGGGCUGUGUAGAUAACGGAUAUUUUGCUGUCCUCACGGAGGGUUCAUCUCAAACAUGAUCAGGUCGAAGUUUACACGUUACCAAUUUUAAACCUCUAAUUUUCUUUUCUUUAAUUUAAGUAAAAAAAGCCAUUUAGGGAAUGUUUUAAUAAAAGCUUAUCUCCUUCGUGGGGCAAACUUGUGUUCAAAGAUACCAAUGGGAUUGCCACGCCCCUUUCACGUUGAUGUAGGUCUUUUGUUUUGUUUCUGUGAUUAGCUCAAGUGCUUAUCUGGGCUUUGCUGUUUUUUCCUUUUUCCUUUACCUCAUGUUUCUUUUGCCGUUUGGCUCCUAUCCUCACUGUAUCACAAAUUCAUGAUGUUUGUCAAGUAUAAUUGCACUGCUAGGAUGCUUUUAUUCUUCAAUAUCUUAAAUGAAAUUGCUAAUCGUUUUUUGUAUUCGGUAUUUUCAGGCUACCUUAGUUUCCCUGGUUAAGAAGUGGACACAGAUAGGAAGUUGCACUUCCUUAUAAUUUCUAAAUCAAGUCGAGUUAUGUAAAAUACGAAUGAUUUGUGUCUUCUAAAUAAAGUCGAGUUAUUGUAAGAUACGAAUGAUUUGUGUGUCUUUUAAUUUUUGUUUUUGUUGGGGGGAGGGGGGGGGGGGGGGAGGUACUGUGACUGUGACUGUAUUAUAUGUAAAACUAUAUUUGUAUUGGUCGAAUAUAAAUUGUAUAGUAUCUAAAGCUUUAUAUAAAUGCAGGCCUAUGAAUCUCUAGUUCAGUUCUAUGUUUUGUUUUUUGUCCUGUUCAGUUCUGUGUUGUGUUGUGGAUUUAUUGCGAUGGCAGGCUAAAAAUUAUGAGGGUUUUUUAUUUUUAAUUUUUUUAAUUUUUAAUUAUGCUUAAAUAUUCAUUUCUCUCCUAAAACAUCUGAAUUCACUACAAGAAAAAUGGCCUUUGGGCACAAAAUUAGGGACACAAAUGAGGUGUAUGUGUUUGUUUAAACAUCAAUAGGGUGGAACUGCGCUCAUUCCGUAAUGGGCACCAUGUAUUGUGCCCAAUGUUAAGAGGAAUGGACACAAUUACAUUAUUGGGCACAUAACAAUGACUUUUGUACCUUUAAUGUCAGAAAUGGAAUUUUUUUAUUAUUUUGCAAAGUAAUGACACCAUAAAUAUAAUCGUGCCCUAUAGUUUAAUAUAUUUAAUGUAAAUGUGAAUUUUUUGUGCCCUUUGUUUAAAAUAAUGUUUUAUACGAAAUGAGAAAAGCACUUUCCUCAAUCUUCAGUCCUCACUCUCUCCUGGUUUCCUUCCUUCCGCCUGCCUCUCUCUGUGUUUCUCCGUUCAAACCCAGCCUCUCCUCUCUCUCGCUCUCCCUUCCCCAAUCGAAUCGAGCCUCUCUUCAACCCCAGGCUCUCUCUCUCUCUCUCUCUCUCUCUCUCUUUCUCUCUCUCUCUCUUGCCUCUCAUCUCAAUUCUUAACUCCAGUUCACAUCUCACGCAGAAACAUAAUUUGCAAAUCCUUCCCUUUCAAAGCUCACACACACUGUGAAUCGUUGGGUCUCAACUUAAGUUUCUAGUCAAGUUCACAUAUUCUCAGACUCUGCAAAUCCUUCUCCUUCAUAUAGAAUCUGCAAAUUAGUCGACCUUAACUCUCAUCUCAUCCCUAGUUCCCCUUCAGUUUAGUGCCUGCAUAAUGUGAUUCUUUCCCUCCACUUUGUUCCAGGUAAAAUGGUGAGAACUUAGAACCUGUAUUGGUUAAUUUAGUUAAUAAUUUGUGAUUAAUUUUAAGGUUAGGUUUCGUUUGAAACAAAAGGGGAACUGAGCUUUUUUCUCUUUUUGGUUAUAAUCAAAAGGAGAUUUGAUCUAGUUCAAAUUCAAACAAACCCAUUUUUGCCUUUCUCAGACUCUGCUGAUGGAUGCCGUUUGUCAAACCUGGACAAUGUCCUUUCCUUUCACUGUUAUUUUUUCGGAUUUUUUGUGUAUUUUGUCCCUUUUUUAUUUUUGUUAUAAUUUUUUGAUUUUGUAUAAUCUUUUUUCAAGUUCUUUGGUCUCUAGUCAUUAAUUUUGGAAAAUUUUUAGUUUUAUUGAAUUUUUCCAUUUUUAUUUGAGGUUUACCGUGUGGAAUUUUUAAUUUGUUCAAAAUUUAGAAUUCUGAUAAGGUUUUUGUAGUAAUUUGUGUAGGUUAUUUCUGGUUUUUGUAUGUGGUUUCUUUUGGUUUUAUAGGUGGACUCUAUUUAAACAAAAUAUUUGUUGAAAAUUCAUUUUUUUCUCAAUUACAUUGAUGGGUUUUUUAAAUCAUAUAGUACUUAAUAUUUUUAACACGAAGUUUGAGUUUAAAUUUAUUUAUGAAUUUAGGAUUUUAUCUUUGGAUUUUUUAGGAUCAAAAUUUUAUUGCUGAGUUUUAGUUUUUUGGAUAAUCAAAAUAGAUGGAUUUAAUUUUAAAGCUUUUUUGAUUUGUACAUGAUUGAAUUAAAACGAACUUAUCAAUGAUUUGGGGUUUUUUUAGAUAUGGAAUCUCAUGAUAAGGAAUGAUGUUUAACUUAUAGCUUAGCAGUUGAUGCAGGUUUCCUUUCUAUAACCUGUUUUUAUGGGGGCCAAAGUUCUUUGUGUUUUAAGUUUUGGUGAAACUGAAAAGGAAUUAAGAUUAUAUUUGUGUAUGAAUUUUGAAUAAAGAACUUAUUGAUGGUUAAUAAGUUUUGUUGGGCCUUUUAUAUGAAUGCUUUCAUAUUUGAACUUAUUUAACUGUUAUGUGAUUUGAGUUAGAAUUUUGGUUAUUUGAAUUGUCCCCAAAUGAUUUGUAUAUUUUAAAUGACUUUUUUUGUAUCUUUUUCUUUUGUAUAAAUUGGUAACUAAAUGGAUGUUAUUUUUUCCCAAUGACUUUGAUACCCAAUACAGAAUAUGAAAAACCCAACUUUAACUAAUUUGAUUUUUUUCCUAAAUGAAUUUGUUCUAAAUGUUGUUAUCUGCUCACAGAGUCAUCUGAUUUACAUUUUUUACUAGGGUGAUAAUGUGCCUCCACCAUUCAAUUCAUUUGAAUAUACUGGCCUCCCAUAUGAGAUUGAGAGGUAUUGAAUUAUUCUAUUUUUGUUUCUUUUGUGUAAUACUGGUAGCCUUUAGUGUAAGUUACCCGAGUGUUUUGUGCAAAGUUAUGUGAUUGCUAGAGGUCCAAUGUUGAGUUUCAUACUCAUGUUAAUUCUUUAGCCAUCUGCAUUUUUAUCGUAAGUGCGAUGCUGUGCUGCCCUCUUUGUGAUUGUCUGUUUUUCUUUUGUUACCCAUUACUGUGAAUCAAUGGUGUGUAAAAGCCCAUCCUAGAGUAAAAAGGAGAGCACAUCCACCCUCAGUUAGUGGCACUUUUCUAUUGUUUAUGUACUAUUCAUCUCCUAUCAUAGCACUUAGGUGACUUUUGUGUAUAUUGUAUUACAUUACAUGUGUUAGAACUUGCCACUAUUAUGCAGCUUUCAUAUUGCCAGUAAUACAAUAGCAGAGGCAUGCCAAGAUCUAUUAUUUGGUGUCUUUCCCAUAUUGUAUUUACUUUACAUACUAUCAAAGCAAUUAGGUCAUACUUUGGUAUUGUUUGAGUGUUCAAUGCAUACGUACAUAUGUCUUGAGGUUUUACAUAAUAUGAAUGCAUACAUUUGAUCUUUGUUAUUUUUGUUUUUGAGGGUGUCUGAUAGUUUGAAAACCCACAACAGAAUGGAGGCAAUUUUCUAGUGGAGGAGGCAAUUUUGUAAGGUAUAACUAUUUCUUACUCUAUGCUUUAUACUAAGAUUCCUUAUAGGGAAGAAGGGAAUGUGGUUAAGUUACAUUGCAUGAAGAACUUAGGUCCAACGACUGUAGUAGGGGAGGAUAGGAUUCUGAAGAAGGGCUUGGUUGUAAAUAUGUGGGAUUUGUUGUAAAUAACUGAAAUACAUGUAUAUUGUGGGAUUUGUUGAUUUUAUGAAAAUUUAGAAUUUUUUUGUUUUGUUUCAAUUUUUUUUCUUUUCAAAUUGAACCUAUUGGGCACGAUUUGAAAUUAGUACGCAUGAUUGUCUAUCAUCUGACAUGUUGUCAAAAUUAAGGUACAAAAAGACAUCUAUUUGUGCUGAACUGUUUGAGCACAAAAUGUCAUAUCAUGCCCUUUCAUCAUUGGUGACACCCAUAUAGGGCACAUACAAUAUAAUAGUAGUUGCACUGUUGCCAUUGGUCUAUGGGCACAUAUGUUGGUGCCCUUUGGCCUCAAAUGGCACAAAUAAUUUAUUGUGUGCAGUGCCCAUUUUUGUUGUAGUGAUUAGUCGAUACUUAACAUCCUCGAGGUUUACAUAUGUGUUUUAUUUUGCAUUGUUUUUCUCAACACCGUCCAAGAUCAGUCAAUUGUGUAACUGAUAGGGUUAUUAGUUGAGAUGUUGAUCGAGUUAUCCGUGUGAUUUUUUGGCCGUGCCCUGAAAAGUUGGUACUUUAACCUCCUUCGAGGUUUACACAUGUGUUUCAUUUUGCCUUGUUUUGCUCAACAUCGUCCAAUAUUAGUCAAUAACAUACGUGAUAUGGUUAGAAUUUGACCAUGUUGUACGUGUGAUCUUGUUGACCGCGCUCUGAAAAGUUGAUACUUACCUUCCCCAAGGUUUAUAUGUGUGUUUCAUUUUGCCUUGUUUUUCUCAACAUCAUCCAAGAUCAGUCAAUAGCUUGCAUGAUAGGGUUAUUAGUUAAGAUUUUGACUAUGUUGUAAAUGUGGUCUUUUAUAUUGAGUUCACAUCUCUCUUGUUGUGGAAAGAGUUAUUCUAGGAAUAUGAUUGUAGAAACAUAAAGUAGAAUCUAAUAAAAUUUAGAAGCUUUUUAUUCUAUUAUGACAUUUAUUACUUGAAAUAAAGUAAAACCGUACCUAUGAUUAAUAUAAGGGAAAUUUUUUGAAUUGUCAUAUGAACUUGUAUACACUUUUUAAUUUGUCAUAUAAAUUGAAACCUUAAGCAAUUUGUCAUAUCAACUUUUCGAAAUCAUUAAUUUGUGAUCUCACCCUAAGUCCAUUGUGUUUUCCAACCAAUAUAAGUCAUGACUUGUGUUCAGGGCUAUUUUAGUGAUUUUAGCAUUUCUUUUUCACAAGGUUUUUUAUUUUUCCUUAGUACGAACACUUAAAUAUUGUGUAUGAGAGUAUUCAUGAAGAUCAAUGUGAACAAAAUCUUUGAGAACAAGUAUAACGUAGCAGUAGCCCCUUCUGUAGCUUUAGAAACCCUAGAGUUUUUUGUCGAAUCCAACUUAAUAAAAGGGAAAUGAAGUGUUAGAAUGACCCAAAUAACUCUAAACACAAGUCAUGUGCGAGGCACAUGUCGUACAUGACUUAUAUUGGAUGGAAAACUCAAUGGAGUUAGGGUAAGAUGACAAACUAAUGAUUUCGGAAAGUUGGUAUGACAAAUUACUUAAAAUUUUAGUUUAUAUGACAAAUUAAAAAUUGUGUACAAGUUCAUAUGACAUUUCAAAAAUUUUCCCUUAAUAUAAAUAAAGGCACAAAGCUGAGUGAAAACGCACAUCACACAAAAGAAUGAGGCUAUUACUAGUUAUAUGCCUUUUUAAGCUUGCAGACAUGUGUAAAGUAUUUUUUGCUCUUCCAUUUGAUGUUUAUUCCACUUUGCAAUGAUUGCAAUUCCUUGAAGGAGUAGGAUUCUCUCCCCUUCUCCCCUUUCAUCCCCUCAUCUCACACUUUUCAUUUGCAAAGUAACAUGGCUACUCGUAUUGCACUUAUAGGGCGGAGUAGGAUUCUUUCCUCUCUUUUUUUCCCUCCCCUUCACUCCCCUCCUAUUUGAACCACGAUUAAGCCACGUCAACAUCUUACAUUAAUUUUUUUUAUAGAAAAAGAAAGACAAAAUAGAGAAUGUAAGAUGAGGGGAUGGAAAAAGGAAGGGAGAGAAUCCUAGUCCAGGACGGAGUAGAAUUAUAGGGCGACCACAAUGAGUAAAGAUGAAUGAUGUUUUCUUCACAUUAUUUGUUCUUUUUAAUACUUAUUUGUUCUUUUUAUAUUAAAAGGGAAGAAAGAGUUAAGCACCUAAAACUCUCGACCAUUAGAUUUAGUCCAAAAUUUUUACUGUUUAAACCGCAUCAUUUUAGAGAUUUUUUUCGGUAUAUUGAUAUUUUUACACUAUGAGUUCGACUAAACUGCAUCAUUUUAGAGAAUUGCCUCUUAAGUUUUGUUUACUUUUUAUACGUGACAUAGUUAGUGCCAUUCCUUUCGGCAAAAAAGAAACUAGGAUUAUAAUAUUUCAUAGAAUCCUGACAUGAUUCAAUAUUAUAUUUUUUAAUUCUGGUUUUUAAAUUAAGUACACAUUAUCAAAUAAAUAAACACACUAUCUUUCCUUUUCACAUUUCAAGUUUCAACACAUAUACAAUGUACAAAAAAUAAGAUAUUAUAAAAACUUACUAAAAUAUAAGUGUUAAUGUUAAGCACUUUUAGGGCCACAUAAUGGUGUCGGCCGAGAAAGAAGCCUCGAAAAGCCCAAGAAAAUUGAGAAGCCCAAGGCCCAAGGGUCUUAGAAGAGGAUACCCCGAGCGCUAUAGCCGACUGUCUAUGAGCUUAGCCUAAUCAGGCUAUGUAAAGAGCUUUCUGACUGCCAGGGGUAGGUGGAGAGACUGAUAGUUUUAUGGCACAAACUUGAAAUCCAACACCAAGUUGAAAUUCGAGUUAUCUAAUUGUCCAUCGGACAGCAGACGACGUUGCACCGUGAGUGCACCAUUCACGGGCUUUGAGAGCUCUCUGGUGGUUUUCACUGCCUUUCGACCACUUUUUGGAAGUCGACCUAGCUAUAAAAAUCUUUCGCUUGUCUUGUUCUACAUCUCUGUGGUUUUGUGAUGUUUGGAGUUUGUCGGAAAUUUCAGUUUGUGUUAGCUAGAAAUCACGGUGCAUGGUGGCGCGUUUGGUGGCGUGUGGGAAACUCUGGCUAUCUUGAUUUUCGACAGCGAUACUUCCUUGAUGUUCGGAGCCUAUAUCCAAGGUUCGUUUGUGUUGAAACUUGAUAUGAUGGUUUGGUUAUUCAAAUUAUGGGUAUUGACUUUUGAUUUUUGUAGUUGACGCCAACCUAAUCAUUGGAUCGUCGGCAAGUUUAAUGAGCAUGUUAUUCAUCGAUUGAUGGACCAUGAGAAAUUGUGAAACAGAAAUCCGGCAGUCGGGUAUUCUUGUUGAAGAAUCUUGGAUUAUUGACAUUUGUAGUAGACAAAGAUCCGACCAUUGGAUCAUCUCGAAAUUAUAGUAUGUGGUUGUACGUAUAUUUAAGGAUCUUAUGAAUUUGAAAAUCCAUUGUGCAGAUCUUCCAGAUUAGACUACGUUGGGUCGUUGACCCUACUACGAACCAUGUUUGUUGAUGCAAAUUUCCGCUGUCUCUAGCUUUGACAAAAAUGCACUUGCAAACCAAUCAACACCUUUGAUCAAGGACCUAAGCCUCACGUGCCCAUGAGGUAGGAUGGUUAGGCCAAUAGAUCUCCGAUACCUAAGUUAGUUUCUUUGAGAAGAAUAAAGUGUUUAGGGCUUUUAGGGGUAGCAAAAGCUUACCGAAAUUUAGUAGAAUAUGAGGUAUAUAUAGGGGAGUGGCCGGCCAUGGUGUUAGGGUUUUACCCUACAUGAGGCGACAUCCUAUUGGCCAAGGUUUUAUGGAGAAAUAUUCUCAAAAUAUUAAAUAGGAAAUAAUAUCUUGAGAUAAUAGAGUAAUUAUCCCUAAUUGAUUUAAAUAUGGAUUUCUUACUUGAAUAGAGUCAAUCUUCAAUUGGGAAUGUAUUAAAGAUAGGAUUUGGGUAAUUAAUCCUUAUCUUUAAUGCCUUAACUUUUCUUUGCCAAGGGCAGGUGAGUUGUGGGCAGUCGUAUUCAGCUGCUGGGACCUUCAAGAGGGUGAGCUGCGCAUGAGAGAUAUGAGGAGCUUGUCCAUUUAAUGAGGGCAAUCUUGUCUUUCUUGAGCAAAAGUUCACAUGUCGCCUAUAGAAUAUUUGGGAUUAUUUUAGGCUCCACAAAUGCCCCUACACCUGCUAGGCUGCUCAUAGGAAAAUGGCAGUAGGUAUAGAAAUCCUAACAUGCAUAGGCUUGUAGAGUUGUUUCCCAAUUUGAACUAGAUCUCCUUUCUUGAUUUGGAGAUAGAUUUCUUCUAGGAAAAUGAAACCAAUUGCCCCUAAUGCCUAUUUAAUUUUGCCUUAAGUAGGGGAUUAAAUAAAUUUGGAGAAAAAUCAUAAUUCCAACAAGGAAGAGAAAAGCCAGAGGAAAUUUGUUCUCCCUUCCCUAGCUUUCUUCUUCUCAUGCCCUUGCAAAGAGUCAUCUCUCGUUAUUUUUCUCCUUCUUCAUGCCGCUCUAAGGUAAGAAAAUUUUGAAUUUUUCCUUCUUGAUUUUUUAGGAGUCUUGGGGCUUGAAAAAUUGGUUCGGCAAGUCUGAGGUGGCAUGAGGGACGAGGCUAGGGUGCCACGAGGCUGUUGUGCACAGGUGGUGCAGCGGCGGAGCUCGGCUGGCGUGGACUAAGUGCUUGGCUCGAGCAGAUGUAACAAGCGCGCUGGGCAUGAGGAGGCCAGCUCGAGCUGGGCCUCCAUAACUGCUAGGCACGGGCCCAUGUAGGCAAAAGGAGAGAGAGUGAGAUAGACUGGUAUGCGCUGACUCUCUGGUUCCUGUGACUUGGGCUGAGAGGCCUGAGCCUGCUUAAGCGUGCUGGGCACGAAUGAGGAAAGGGGAAGGAGGCACAUGCCUCAUCCCGUACUGGGUUAAGCGGCAUGGUUGCAUACAUGAAGAACCAUGAGACUUUGGGCCAUACUGCUUGAGAAAGAGGGUUGGGUCGUGGGGCACUGAACUCUGCGGCCCUUCUAAUUUUUUUUUAUUCUUUUCUCGCGAGCUACCUUUUAAAUAAUUUUCUUUAUACUUUUGGCAAGGAUUUUGAGAUGUCUCCCUUAGAUUGCAAAAGUGACGAAUACCCUCAAUCUUUGUGUCGUCAAGAUAGUUCUUUCGAAAAGGUGGGCUACUUCAAGGCUGCAUAUGUCAAGAUCAACUCCGAUGAGCUGUUUCAGGAUUUUCUUGAGACAUAUGAGCAUGCGAUUUCGUCAGGGGUUCGCGUCAAGCGGGUGAAUGAUGAUAACAACCAUGAACCGUGCAGCGAGGGUACCACUACUAGGAAAAAGGCUAUCAAAUUCCAUCUACAUUACUUUGUGUUGGGAUUUAAUUUUCCUAUGCCGUGUCUUUUUCAGGAGGUGGUAUGCUUUAUGAAAUGUACGCCUGUUUAGUGCUUCCCGAAUGCUGUCCGUGCGAUGGUGGGGUUUUCAAAUUUGAGCAAGUUAUUUGAUCUUGGCUUGACCAUAAAUGAGUUAUAGUACUUCUUUGAAAUCGGCCACAAGGAAGGUGUGGGGCAGCUGAGGUAUAGGUUGCUUGAUGUUUCAUUUAAAGGUGAUCAUGAGUGGGAGAUAGAUACCUUGUAGGUAAGUGGAAAGUGGGAGUUCGACUCCUCUCAUAAACUACGUGUUCCGACUGUCUUUAUCAAUGGUAAGUGAACUGCUUCAUUCCUGGUUUGCUUGAAUCUUUCUUAUUUUGUGUAGAUUUGAAAUUUGGCUCAACUCCAAGAACUUCAGCAGAUAUGAAGAAAAUGCACAUCACCUUGGGCAUUCUUGCUGAGUACCAUAAGUGGAGCUGGUUGCCAGUCAUUUUCGUCGGGAGAAAUGCGGGUUGCCUCCAAAGGAAGACAUAAAGAGGAUAAAGGAUAAGGCAUUUGCUCGCCUGAUCGCUGUUGUAGAGCCUGCUGCCAAUGAGGGUGGAAAGAAGAUAUAUUCUUCACUUGCUUGUGAACCUUUGACUGAGAAGAAGUUAAGGACUUUUUCUGCUGCUCGCGGAGGCUCGUCUGUUGCUGAAGCUUAUCAUUGACCUGACUUCUCCCAAGGGGACAAAAAUGAUCGUUGAGCUUGGGCUUGUGAAACCUACUUCUCGAAGAUAGCCACGACCAUUCUUGAGAGGAUUUUCAGUGGAAAGGUUUAAUGGUGCCCCCGUUGUCUGGGUUUAUGUCGAAGCACGCAUUGGGAGCUAAGUCCAGUUCGGUUUCUGAGAAGCUUACUGCUAUGAAGAGCGGGAAUGUGGAUUAUACUGCUAAGGUGGUGUCUGAGCUUAUUUUUCCUUCUGUGCGACCGAUUCGUCUGCGAAGAUAGAGAAGUUUGCUCGCAUGGACAUUUGUGAUAGAUCCAGCGAGUCUGAAGGCUGACCUGCUUGAGGACAUCAAUGUAUGCGCCAAGUUUGUUGAUAGUGUUGGGAAAGUUGUUGUCCAUUCAGACUCUUUUGAAAAACGUUCUGCCUAUUGGAAAAUGUCAUCCUUGAUUGCUAUAAUGCAUAAGGCUUUGAUCCUGGCAGCUGAGUCUAUGCGCGUUGAUCAGGAUGCUGUCGAAUGUGCUAAGAAGGCCGAAGUGGCGUUGAUGGCUCACAUUCGCUCGGCUACUGAAAAGAUCGAGAAGCUCGAAAUUGAACUUGCCAUUUUAAAGGGGUCUAAUUUCUCUGCCCCUACUUCUAUGCAACGGAAACUGUUCAUCAGAAGGUCGUCCAUUUAGAAGCUAAGCUUAGUGUGACUUAGGUGAUGUUGGAAGCUACAGAGAAUAAAGUCAGUCGUGUUACACCAGUGGUCAAGGACCUUGAGUGUGUUAAUUCGAAUCUACAAUCUGUUUAUUUCACCAAGGACGAGAAACUUGUCUUUAUGCAUGCUGAAGUGUCUCGUCUCAAGGAUGUUGCCAGAAAGCUUGAGUCCAAAGAAGUGGAUCUGCAAGGUGCGUUGUCAGCUGGCGAGAACCUGAAAAAUGAACUGGGUAAGCUGCAUGAUGCUCACAUUGAACUUGUUAAAGAGAAUGUGCAGCAGAAGAAUGAGAAGGUCGGUCACCAAGUGGCGUUUGCUUCUUGUUGGGCAGAUUUCUACAAGCUUGGCUAUGCAGACCAUCUUCAUGGUAGGCCGUUUGAUUAUGAGUUUUUUUAGAAGGACUUCGAGACUUUCUCUAUUUCUCCAGUUGAUCUACUUAACUUCUUAUUUGAGGUUGCCUUUGGUGGAGCAGCUGAGGGUUAGAUAGUCUAGAUAGGUGACAUAGGAUAAGCUGAUGGAAGCUUUGGCUGUUAAAGACAUGGCAGUCUAGGGACAUGUGAUUGCGCAGGUUACCGAUGAGUAGUCUUUUUGCUUAGACUUAGGAAUUUUCCUAUUUUCCUUUUCAUUCUGCUUUAUUUGAACUUUGUUGGCCUUCGAGCUGGUAUAUUAAUUUGCUAGAAAUUUAAUAAACAACUUUCCUUGUUUUGCUUCAUCUUUAUAUUUCGUCAUGUUUUUUUUGCAAAUCUUUACCGUAAGACGGACGAUUGGGAGAGCUAUUUCAAUGAAGCAGUCGAUCUCUCAUCAUCACUUAGGUUUUAGUUUCGGCCUUGAUGCUCAAGGAGUUUUACCUGCAUAAGGAAAAAAUGCAAGAUUUCUAACUUAUAGAGCCAGCGGCCGAACUCUAAUCUCCUUAAGAAGCAGGUGAGUCCGCGUAGUUGCUAUAGUCAUGAAUCUCAGCUUUAGCGGCUGCACGAGCCUUGGCCCUCCUGGUCAUAUUGCGAAAUUUUUAACUUAUAGAGCCAGCGGCCGGACACGUGUUUCUCGUAGAAAGCAGAUGAGUCUGCGUAGCUAAUAUAGUCAUGAAUCUUGGCUUUAACGGCUGCAUGAUUCUUGGCCCUCAUGGGUUAUAUUGUGAUUUAACUUAUAGAGCCGACGGCUGGACAUGUGCUUCUCCUAGAAAGCAGAGGAGUCCGCGUAGCUACUAUAGUCAUGAAUCUCAGCUUUAACAGCUGCACGAGCCUUGGCCCUCCCAGGGCAUAUUGUAAAAUUUUUAACUUAUAGAGUCGACGACUGGACACGUGUUUCUCGUAGAAAGCAGAGGAGUCCGUGUAGCUACUAUAGUCAUACAUUUUGGCUUUAGCUCUUGCAAGUCUUUAACCAUAGACCGUCAGUCGGAGGCGCUACUUUUAGAUAAGUAGAAGGGUCCGCGUAGUCCUAGCAGGUGUAAAUCUUGGCUUACAUAAUGCCUAGGGCUGCCAACUGUUGGGUCGUCGGUCAGGCUUCUUACUUACAGAAGUAGACGACCCUCGUGACCACUUUAGGCGUCGUUUAUGGCUCUCGAAUGUGUUUUAGGCUUAAGGUGUAGUCAAAAUUGAGCCUCAGAGGCCACAUCCUUUCGAGCUGCUAGUCCCUUGAUCUUUUAAGCUGCACGCAGGUUGAUACGGAUCUUUAGGGCAUCAAUUUGUAACUUGAUUCCUCAUGUCGCUUAACUAGUAUUGCAACACUUUAGAGUUGAGUUAUGUUCAUGACGACUUGCACGUCGAGGACAAACCAUUUAGCCACACGAAUUCUUUCAUGGGCAGGGAUCGUGCAUUGAAUCUUUUAAUCGAAUAAGUCGUUUUAGGAAAAAGUCUAUUGUGGUCAAUUCUGGGAGCAAUUCGACACAUGUAGUUGAUGCAUUCAAGGGAAACUGAGUGGUCGUAAAACCCAUCCACGUCUGGAUAUCCUAGAUCAGUUUACUUUUCCUAAUGGAGAACACAUACCAUAUUUGCAUAGGCAUGGGCGUCUUCUGCUUUGGUAUGGGUGGUUAAUUUGUUUAUGCAUUUGGCCCAGGCAUGUGAAUAAUUCCUUUAAUCUUCAUUGAAAAUAGAGAAAUGUAUUAACUUUGCUUGCUUAAAGGCAAUAAUAGCAUAGCAAUUGAUAAUCCUCAUCAUACGAGGUCUUGUUCGUCAAGCUGCUUGAGUUUUCGAACUUUAUUUAUCUUGAAUAGGGUCUAAGAAAUGGUGGGAGGUCACACGUAGUACUUUCUCAGGUUGUAGGCAUUCCACUGCUUUUCGAUUUCUUUGGAGCUCAUAGUGGUGAGGGUAUAGCUGCCCUUUCUGCUUACUCAGCUGGUUUUGUACGAACCUUUCCAGAUGAGAGCUAUCUUUUUUAAGCCUUCCCGGUUAGCGGUUAUAAAGGCUUUUCUGAGGACUAAGUCUCCUGGUUGGAACUACCGAAUUUUCACCCUCUUGUUGUAGCUGGAGAUGAGCUGCUGCUUGUAGGCUACAAUGCGAGUGAUAAUCUUCUCGUGCUCUUCCUCUACCAAGUCUAAGUUUAUGGCCAUCACUUUCUUUUUCUGCUUAAAAUUCGGCAGUACAAUGCUGAUGCUUGGCACCAUAACUUUGGGAGGAAUGAUCGCCUCAGAGCCAAACGCUAGGGAAAAUGGAGUUUCGACUGUUGCUCAUCUCUUGGUUGUGCGAUACGCCCAUAGAACACCACAGAGUUUGUUUGGCCACUUGCCAUUCUUGUCUAAAAGGGAUUUCUUGAGCCAGUUAAGAAUGGUCUUGUUAGACUCCUCGGCCUGCCCAUUGUACUUCGGAUACCUGGGCGUAGACAUGUGCUGCUUGAUGCCAUAUUUUUUGAAGAACUUCGCCAAGUAUUUGCCUACAAAAUGCCGACCAUUGUCUAUGACGAUGGAGUGAGGGAUGCCGAAGCGACAUAUGAUGUGCUUCCAUAUGAAGCGCUUUGUGUCCAUUUGGGUAGUUGUAGUCAUGGGUUCGGUUUCGACCAAUAUUGUGAAGUUGUCUAUCAUUGCGAUCAUUAUGCCUCUACCCCCAGUGGCAGGUGGCGUUGGUCCUACCAGGUCAAUUGCCUACUGCAUGAAUGUUCAAAUGCUCAUCUAUGGGUGGAGUUCGCUAGCAGGUAGUGCAUGAAUGAACUUAAAGUGCUGGCAGCUGUCGCACAUUUGUACAUACUCCUUGGCAUCUUGAUGUAUGGUUGGCCAGUAGUAGCCUGUGUUAAAAGCUUUUUUAGCCAAUAAGUGGCCUCCAAAGUGGUUUCCAUAUAUGCAUUCGUGGAUUGAGCUAAGAAUCUUCAAGUCGUCGAGAGCCGAUAGGUAACAGAGAUGUAGUUCUAAGAAGGAUCUAUGAACGAGCAUGUCAUUCCAAAUGUAAUAGCAUGCUGCCUUCAUCUAAAGCUUCUUGGACUCCAGUGUGUCUGCGGGGAGCGUUUUGUUAACUAUGUAGUCGAUGAUGGGAUUUUGCCAACUCGGGGUUAUGUUAAUCUGCGCCACCUCGACUGCUGGUUCCUCAUCUAUGCUCGGCUUUUCCUAGUACUCGACUGGGAUGGAGCGCUUGAGCUGAUGGUCUAAGGCAGAGCUUAGGCUUGCUAGUGCGUUUGUGUGGGCAUUUUCUGCUUGUGGAACUUGAAGAAGUGUGUAUGCCUGGAAUAUUGCUAGCUACUCUCGUACCUUUUCGAGGUAUUGGGCCAUCUUUGGAUGUUUUGAUGCGUAGUCUUCUAGGGUUUGGUUCGUGAUUAGCUGGGAAUCGGAAUAGAUCGCGAGCUUCUUCACCGUUAGGUCUUUCGCUAAUCAGAAGCCUGCUAGUAGGGCUCCAUACUCUGCUUCAUUAUUUAAUGCCUUAAAGCUUAGAGUGAUUGCCUGCUCGAGCAUUGAACCAUCCGGGGUAGUAAGAACUAGGCCUGCUUUCGAUUUUUGGUAGUUAGAUGAUUCGUCGACGUGCAUGCACCAUAAAUUUCCUACAGAUAGGGCUGAUGCAGCUACGAUGUACUCAAUUGCCUGUAGGGCAUUUUUGGGCUAAGUUGUUGCAUCAUUCAGGCUUGGGGUGAAUUUUGCUACAAAGUCCGUCAAUGCUUGAGCUUUUAUUACCGUACAGGGUUGGUAUGCUAAGCUAUAUUGGCCAAGUUCCAAUGCCCACUUCAUCACUCAUUGAGAAGCGUCUAGACUAUGAAAAACUAAUCAUAUUGGGUACUAGGUCAUAACGAUGACCGGAUAUCUUUGAAAGUAGGGUUUGAGCUUCUAAGCUAUAACAACUAGCGCCAAAAUUAGCUUUUUGAUCUUCGGAUAUCUAGUUCCUGCAUCGAGAAGAGCUUUGGAUGUAUAAAAUAAAGGCAGUUGGGCCCUUAUCUCUUUUCAUAUGAAGGUAUAACUUAUUGCUACCUUUGAAAACACCAGGUAGAUGUACAAGUUCUCCGCUACUUCUGGCUAUAGUAGUGUAGGUGAUGUCAGGUACUGCUUAAGGCCCUAAAAUGCUUUCUCGCACUCGUUGUCCCAUUUGUCUUUCUACACCCUCUUGAUUGCCUUGAAGAAGGGCUUGCAUUGGCCAAUGGAUCGUGAGUGGAAACAAUUAAGUGUAGCUGUUCGUCCGGUCAGACUUUGGAUCUUCUUCAGAGUUAUGGGAGACUUCAUGUCCAGGAUUGCUCUAAUUUACCUUGGAUGAGCUUCGAUUCCUCGUCGGGUUAUAAGGUACCUUAGGAAUCAGCCUGAGGAGACUUCGAAAGUGCACUUGGCUAGGGAGUUUCAUUUUGUACUCUCGGAGGGUGUCAAAAGUCUCGACCAAGUUACCAAUGUGGUCCUACCGUUGCUUGCCUUUCAUCAUGAUAUCAUUGACGUAGACUUCCAUGGUUACUUCAAUUUGCUUCUUGAACAUCGUGUUUACGAGUUGUUAGUAAGUUGCUCAUGCGUUAUUGAGGCCAAACUCGUACAUGGCAAUCUUAUUGUAGCCUAAGUAUGCAUCUAAGACGCUGAGCAGUUGGUUCCUGGAUGUUGAGUUAACGAGCAGGUCGAUUCGGGGAACCGGGUAGUUGUCUUUAGGGUACGCCUUGCUGAGGUUGAUGUAAUCUAUGCAUACUCUCCAUUUGUCCUUCUUUUUUUUAUCACCAGCACGACGUUGGCUAGCCAUGCUGAGUGUGUCACUUCCUCAAUGAAUUUGGCCUUCAGUAACUUGUUGAUCUCCGCUAUAAUAACCGCUACUCGCUAGGGUACAAAAUGUCACCUUUUUUAGAUCCCAUGUUUGGCAGUGGGAUUGACGUGCAACUUGUGACAAGCUAUCGCUGGAUUAAUACCGGGCAUGUCAGAGGAUGACCAUGCGAAAACGUCACGAUUUUCCUUAAGGAAAAUCGUGAGUUCCUUAUUCUCCGUUGGGCUCAGACGUGAGCCAAUCCUAACUGUCUUCUCCGGCUAGUGAGGGUCAAGAAUGAUGUGCUCGGAGUCUUCUUUGGGUUUCCAUCCUGAUUCAUCUAUCAAGGCAUUGUCGACUUUAACGCCAUCUUCCUGACCCUCAUGCUAUGAUUGCUGUUUGGUGGAGGUAGAAUCGUCUUUCUGCACUUUAUCUGCUACUGCUGGGGUGAAAGACUUAUUUUUCAACUCCUUGAGAACUUGCACAGUGCAUCGUCGAGACAUGGCUUGGUCGUCUUUGAUCUCUCCGACUGUUCAUCCCGAGAUGUGAAAUCGGAUCUUCUGAUACUCAAUCGAGUUCACAGCUUUAAUUUUCACUAGCCAAGGUCGGCCUAAUAUCCCGUUAUGGGGAGAUGGGUCGCUGAUGAUCAUGAAGGUUUACGAUGAGACAAUUGGAUGACUGGUUACGUCAAGCGUGAUUGUGUAAAUGACAGUUGAAGUAAGUCCGUUAAAUCUGGUCAAGACUUCUGUUUUACACUUGAUCGUGUUUUCCAGCCCAUUUUCUGGAUGACUGACAGUUGUAGGAUAUUGACUGAGCUGUCAUUGCCCACCAUAAUUCUGUCAACGAUGGCGUUGGCCAGUUAAGCAGAAAUCACCAAGGAGUCGUCGUGGGGAAAAUUUACUCCCUUAGCGUCCUGCUUGGUGAAGCCGACGAUUGGUCUAUGUACAGUAUCUACGGCUUUAACCUAUAAAACCUAUCUCGCCUGCUGGAUCUUCGUCUUCUUGGAGUGGCCCCCAGAUGCUCGGAUUUGGCAAAGAUGUCAUUGAUUUGGAUCGUCUUGGUUUGGGGUUCGGCAUUGGCGUCUACUUCUUGCCUUGGCCGAGCAGCUGGCUUGUUCACAUACUGGUCGUAUUUGCCUUAUUUCACGAGCUUUUCAAGGUACUUCAUCCAUAUGAUGCAGUUGUUGGUUGCGUGCCUCGGAUCUCUUUGGAAUGCGCAAUAUUGUUCUUAAGGUGACAAAGGACUUGGUUGAUCUGGAUUGAGAACUUGGUGUACGUCUUAGGCGUUGAGCCUCCAUUUGCUGGGGAUCGGUCUAUGCGUCUACUUUUUGGCUUGUUUUUGUUAUUGAAUGGUUCUACAUCUUUGCAUGGCUACUUAUACUGCUUCUAUGAGCAAUUGGCCUCAUCCCAGAGGGAGUGCUUUUAUGCCAAAACAUAAGAAUCUGCCAGGGUCAAGUUCUUGCCCACGAUUAGUUCUCCGAAAAGAUGGCUUACUUUAUAUGCUACAAGGAAAGACUUUGGAAAUGGAGUGGCUAUGGUAUUUGAUGAAGUGCAAAGUGAUAAAAGUGACUUGUCAGCAUUAUGGCACAUAAGGUUGGGACAUGUAGGAGAAAAAUCAUUGCAAGGAUUGAUCAAGCAAGGGUGUUUAAAAUGAGCAAAAACUGGAAAGAUGGAGUUCUAUGAGCACUGUGUUCUUGGCAAACAAACAAAGGUGAAAUUUGGCUUAGCUGUUAAUCAAACGAAAUGGAUUUUGGUCUAUGUUCACUCUGAUGUUGGGGGCCUGCAAAGAAUGCUUGUUUAGGUGGAAAAAGAUAGUUUGUAUCUUUUAUUGAUGACUACUCUCGCAGAUUAUAUAUAUAUAUAUAUAUAUAUAUGAUGAAACGAAAGGACGAGGUUCUUGACAUCUUCUUGGAAUGGAAGAACAUGGUGGAAAAAAAGAAUGGAAAGAAGAUUAAGAUACUAAGAAGUGACAAUAAAGGGGAAUAUACCUAUGAUCAUUUCUUCAAUUUGUGUAAAAAGGAAGGGAUUACUCGGCAUUUCAGUGUUAGACAUACCCCAUAACAUAAUGGGAUUGCAAAGAGGCUAAAUAGGACCUUGCUCGAGAAAGUUCGUUGCAUGCUAUCUCAAGCUAAGCUGCUAGAGAGAUUUUGGGCAAAAGCUUUGAGAUAUGCAUGUCAUGUGCUUAAUCGACUACCAUCAACAACAUUGGAGGGUAGAACACCCAUUGAAGUGUGGUCUGGAGAACCAGCUCAAGACUACAAUAAGCUACGAGUGUUUGGAUACAAUGCCUACUUUCAUGUGAAGGAAAACAAACUAGAUCCAUGAGCCAAGAAAGUUGUCUUUAUAAGAUUCAAUAGUGGUAUGAAACGCUUCAGACUUUGGUGUCCUAAGUUGAACAAGAUUAUAGUAAGUAGAGAUGUGACAUUCGAUGAAAGUCACAUGAAAUUGAAGGAAGAUGUUCAGAUGGUGGAGCUUGGGGAACAAGUAAUUGUGAAUUCAUAACCAAGUAAGGAAGCUGUGGAAGAAGAAAGACAAGGUGAUCAACUUGAACAUGAAGAGAGUGAUCACGAAGAAGAAACACCAUCAUAAGAACUAAAGAUUCAUGAUGAUUACAUAGCCAAAAGGAAUGGAAAAAGAGACAUAUCCCUACUUGUCAGAUAUAAAGAUUGCAUGGCCUGCACGGUAUAUGCAUUGCCAAUAAUUGAGGUUGAAAUUCUUACUAAUUUUGAAGAAGCAGUAAAUAGUGAAGAAUUGAGUAAAUGGAAUGAUGCAAUGGACGAUGAAAUGCUCUCCAUUUACGAGAAUAAGACUUGGGAAUUGGUGAAGUUGCCUAAAGGAAGGAAAGCAAUUGGCUGCAAAUGGGUUUAUGUAAAAAAAGAUGGAGUGGAUGACAAGAGCUUGGUAAGAUUUAAAGCUAGGCUACUGGCUAAAGGAUAUGCUCAGAAUGAGAGAAUAUAUUACAAUGACAUUUUUUCUCCUAUAGUUAAGCACUCCUCCUUUCGAAUAUCGCUUGCCCUAGUUGCUUAAUUCAAUCUUAAAUUGGUACAACUAGACGUGAAGAUUGAAUUCCUUCACGGUAAUUUGGAUAAAGAGAUUUAUAUGAGAUAACCCGAGGGGUAUCAAAUGAAAGGCAAAAAAAAAGAUUGGUUUGUAAGCUCAAAAAAUCUCUUUAUGGUUUGAAGCAGUCGCCCAGGCAGUGGUAUUUAAGAUUUGACAAGUUUAUGAAGGGUCAAGACUAUACAAGAAGUCAUUAUGAUCACUGUGUUUAUCACAAGAAGUUGAAAGAUGGUUCGUUCAUAUACUUGUUAAUCUAUAUGGACGACAUGCUCAUAGCCUUAAGCAAUAUUUCAGAGAUAGAAAAGUUGAAUGAGCAAAUGAGAAGGGAGUUCGAAAUGAAGGAUCUCGGUGAAGCUAAGAAAAUAUUGGGAAUGGAGAUCACAAGGGAUAGACAAAAAGGCUUGGUGUGUUUGUCUCAGAAGCAAUAACUUGAGAAGUUAUUACAAAAGUUUGGAGUAACAAAAGACAUUAAGCCUGUAAGAACUCCAUUAGGUGCUCACUUCAAGUUGAGCAAUCAACAAUGUCCCAAAACUGAUGAAGAAAAUAUGAAGAUGGAUGGUAUUACAUAUGCUAAUUUGGUUGGAGAAUUAAUGUAUGCUAUGGUGUGUACUCGUCCUGAUAUAGCACAAGCAGCUAGAAUUGUUAGUAGAUUCAUGCAUAAUCCUGAAAGAGAGCAUUGGAAUGCUGCUAAGUGGACAUUAAGGUAUUUACAUGGAACAAGGGACAAAAGUAUUUGUUUUGAAAGAUGUGAUGAAGGAAUUGAUAAGUUCUCAGCUGGAUAUGUGGACUCAAACUUUGCUGGAGACUUAGACAAGAGAAGAUCGAUGACUAGGUAUGUGUUUACAACGACAAAGGAUCCUAUAUGCUAGAGAUCAAUACUACAACCAACGGUGGCACUAUCAACCACAGAAGCAGAAUACAUGGCGAUCACUCAAGCUAUCAAAUAAGCAAUGUGGACUCUGGGGUUGUUAGGAGAUUUAGGUGUAGAACAACACAAGUUGGAUGUAUAUUGUGAUAGCCAAAGUGCCAUUUAUUUGGCCAGAUAUCAGGUACAUCAUGCUAGGACUAAGCACAUUGAUGUACGAUAUCAUUUUGUGAGAGAAGUGGUAACUGAAUGUGAGAUUUGUCUAAAAAAGGUUGUUACAGAAGAUAAUACAGCUGACAUAUUGACAAAGGUGGUUAAUGCAGCUAAGUUCAAGCAUUGCUUGGAUUUGGUGCAGUUGAAGCAAGUUUGAUCUUGCGAUUUGGUGAGCAAAGAAAGUUGUUUGAUGCCUCGUUAUGGAUUUCAUGCCAAGGUGGAGAUUGUUGGAUUUAGCAUUAAAUCAACAUGCCUAAACUAAAACAAGAAUCAAACAAGGAUUAGGAUAUCUUGGACGCAAGAUAUUUGGAUUUGUGUUUCCUAGUUAGUUUGGGAUUUGGUUUUAGUAUAGGAUUUGGUUUCCUAUAUUCUAGGGACUUUGUGUAAACGUAUGACAUCUAUUAGUAUAAAUAGAUGGAUGCGAGAUAGAGUUUUGUGUGUGAAAGUUGUGAGAGGCAUAAGUUUGUAUACUUGCGAUCACUUUUGUUUGUGAGUUCUCUUGUAUUUGUUGGUAAUCAACAAAGCUUCUGUAGUUAGAGAGGUACUCAUAUAUUGGAGGAACUUUGAAAUCAUUGUGUUUUGUUUAUUUCUUGAUUGAUUUUUGGUUUAGUUUAUAACAAAGUCUGUGGUAGAAUCCGAUGUUUAUAAACAUGUAUUGGUCCUAUCCAGACUUGCAAGUUGCAAACUCUUGUACUAGAGAUUUGAUGUGGACGAGGAGCAUGAUGCACAAGAACUGAACUUCGAUGUAGAGAAUUCUUAAUUAGAUUCAUUUUACCAAAUAAAAAAGAGUAGAAGGUCACUCGAGCAAAAUAAAGACAAAGCCAAGUGUCGCAUCACAUUAUAACUUCACCCAGUUACACAAGAACGCAUGAGCUGUACUGAACACCAUCAUCCACAUAAAAGGAAAAAAAAAACAAGAAGGAUGCUAGCACCAAUUGCUUGAAGGGAAUAUUUUUGCUUCCCAAAGGUGCAAAUCAACUCACUGGAUUGUUAAAGAUAUCUAUUAAGAUCCAUUUAAUUUAAUAUUUUUAUAAUAUAUAGAGGUGUGAUUAGUAGUGAUGGUGAUGAUAUAAUAUAUUCUCUUGCUACAACAAUCGAGAAAUUUUUCACAUUUCUGUGUUCAAAGGAAUGCUUAAUCUUUCUGCAAUCGUCUAGAAUUCAUGAAAAAAAUGACUUUAUCCACUUAUCCAGUUUGCAUUUUACUCCAGCUUUCUUGUCUAACUACUAAGCUUUCCAGGUUCGCUACUCUAGUUGAACUCGGGUUUUCCAACAAAGUAUUUCUUAAUUGGCCCUUACCUGCCAUGCCCGUACUAUUACUAGAUUGAGCAACUGAACCGAACUAAGACUUGUUCCAUUAUAAAUUUAUCCUAAAUUGAAAGCAAUGCGGAUUAGCACAGAAAACCUGGCAGAAAGUAUUUUACUUAUAAUAUGUUCUCUUGCUACAACAAUUGAGAAACUUUUCAACAUUCCUAGAACACAGGACAGAACAACACAUGUCAUAUAUAAUAAGAGAGACUUGAAAAAACGUACAGCCUUGUACACACACCGAAAAAUCUGUCCUCAGUCGCUGCGUGCGUAAUUGACUGUCUUCUAUGGAUUUUAUAACUAACAAAUGUACAGCCAUCUGUUUCUACUUAUUUACUCCCUUGACAUUCUUUGAAUUUGCCUCCCCAGGCGCUCACCCCUUUCGUAUCCUCUAUCUCCCUUCUUUUCCUUUUUCUUAACCCUGAAGGAAAAACCAUUUCUGUAAUUCGAACAAACAAAUCAUUCACGGCUAGAAAUUGACACGUGUCCUUAUUUUAACACUAGUGAGUUAAAAUGAAAGUGCUGCAGCAGCAGGUGAUACAGAAAGGCCAUGGCAAAAGAGUAAAUAACAUAGAAAACGCAUGGCAAAAGGGCAGCUGCGUGUCAACUGCACAGCCAGCGGCUGAGGAAGAAUAAAACCGAUAAUCUCUUAGAUCGGUGAUCGGUCCACAUAUAAACUAAACGGUGGUGAUCGGUCCCCUGCUGAUCUGCGUUCCAGGUUUUAUUACCUUAAUUUCCAAAAAAAAUAUCCACAAAAAUAGAAAAAGGCACAAUGGGAAAUUUCCAUAAAUGGGAAAGAAACUUCGCUGCCUUUCCUUUCCUGAACAAACCAGCUGCGCCCAACUCUCUCUUUCCUCUCUCCCUCUCCCCUUCUCUUUCCAAAAUUGCUGGCUUUCACUGCUCUGCAAAUUUCCUGGUCGGACCAAAACUUCAGACCUGAAACCACCCCAACGAAGGUAAACAAAAAAACAGAGGAAAAUCAAGUAACUAAUUUCUUUAUGGUUUUCCUUUUUUCUUCUUCUUCAAUUUAUGGUAACUACGAAAUAUUGGACAGUUGAUUGUGGCUGGUUGGUUGAUCUGGGUUUUGUUUUACUUAUUUAGAUUUGAAACGCUAGGGUUUGUGGUCAAUAAUCCUUAAAAUUAUCAGAAACCCAGAAAAUAUAAGGUAGUUUUGGAGUUUGUGGACAUUUAUAUAUAUGUGGAAAUUCGAAAUGGUUGGUUUAUUUUAUUUUACUUGAAUUAUUGUUUCUGAAGGGGGUAGGAAGAAUUGGAGAAAAUGAUGAGGGAGAAGAUCAAGAUCAGGAAGAUCGACUGCUGGCCGGCAAGGCAGGUGACCUUCUCAAAGAGGAGAAGAGGGAUUUUCAAGAAAGCUGGAGAGCUGUCGAUUCUGUGUGAAUCUGAAGUUGGUGUUAUCAUCUUUUCUCAAACUGGCAAGCUCUUUGAUUUCUCAAGCUCCAGGUACCAACCCUGUACAACAUCCCACCGCCUUAUAAAUUCUUUCGAAUUUUCCCAACUUGAACAAAUAUAACCAAGUACAUGACUUGAUAACUUCUCUUUCUGAGAGAGAGAGAGACAGAGAGAUUCAGUCAUUUGGAUCAAAAAGUUAUAUAUUCCCAAAUGACCAGAGAGUGCUAACUGGCUAGAUAGAUAAUCUAUGCAUGUACACAAAGACAAACUAGAUAAGGCAGAGAAGAAAGGCUAUAGAAUCCAAAGGCUAGAGAAUUCAAAAGCUCACAGAGAGAGAGAGAGAGAGAGAGAGAGAGAGUUUUAACUAGAUAAGGUACUAUGAAUGCUAUCUAGAAUAUCUAGUUCAGGAAAGUGAGGUUUGCUUUUGAUUGAGACAGCUUCUAGCUAGGUGUCCUAGUUUGAGAAAUUAACAUUUUAUUACUUUUACAUGCUUUCAAUCUGUGAAGUGGUGGCGAUUUUUUACGUGAUGCUUAUCUCUUUGCUUUUCAUGCUACAUACAAUCGUGUCCGAUGCAGAAGUCUAUAUGUACAAGAGCCACUGGUCUAGUGAAUUAUAUAAUCUUAUUACUAUUUUACAGUUUCAUAGUUUAUCUUGCCGCUUUGAUCUGAUGAUAUUCCCCACCUAUCACAAAUUGGUUGUAGAUAACAAUAAAUAAAUUAAUAGUUGGGGUUUAUUAUUUUCUUAGACCGUCAUUCUCACUAGAAUUCAGAUAAUCAAUUUGAAAUAAAUAAUCUGAUAACAUAAAAUGAUAGAUAAAAUACUUUGGCUAGUAAAAGAGUGACUUACUCUCUAUGUACCAUAUAUAUACACGCAUGACAACUUCAACACACGAUGUCAGGCUAUGUUCCAAAAGUUGUCCUUCUCCCCACCUAAAACUAAAAUACCUGUAAAUGAUUACAGUGAAUUUGCUAAAGACUUAAAAUACGAAAAUUCAAUUAUAUAUGCUUUGGAUUUUCUUACUAGGAAGAAAGUGAUGUGAUGAAAACUUGGGAAUUCAUCAUAGAAGCCUUGAAGAUCCUUUGAGAAGGAAUAUGUAUGCCUGCGUCAAGUAGGGCAAUCGGUGGUGCAGCUAUGGCCAUAUAUAACCUGAUUUUUCACAUGCAUGCAUGAAAUAAUGAACUAACUUGAGUAGUUGCAAAGAUUAAAACCUUCUUCCAUAAAUAUUGUGCAUGAGAGGAAGGGUGAGAUUAAUAUCUUUGACAUGUAAUUGUGGAAUAAGAAUUUAGAUAAAGUUGUGCUUUUGUUUUAGUAAAGAAAAAAAAAAAGACGCUCCACAUAGUAAGUGAUGAUGUCAUUUUUAUUAAUAAAAAGGGAAAUAUCACUUUUAAAGUGGUUUCUUUAACCUGAAAUGUGUUAUAUAGGAUUACUUUAUCAAUCUGACAUCUCAAAUCAGCACGCAUAGAAAUAUGCCCUUAUUGUAGGAUGAUGUUUUUUAACUUGUCUACUGUGUCAUAAAAAGCUUCUAAGAAUUUACUAGAUAGUGUUACUAUUUUGUCAUCUAGAUAUUCCUAUUGUUACUAUUCGAUAUUCUCUUUCUAUACCAUUCUGAACCAAAUAUAUCGAUAAGGAAUUGUCGAGUGGAUUAGGGCUGAUAUACUCCCACAUAUAGAGGGGUUUUUUACGCCACCAAAGUCUCCACACCGUAGGCAAUUCGAGCUGACCUCAUUGCCUUGGUUGACUAUGAUGAACUACUGGAAGAGGGACAUCAUAUCCAGGUCGACUUGACUAAGAUGUGGUCAUCAGCACUUGAUAACCAUGGUGAGUUGGCCUCAUUCCCUUUGUUGAUAGCCAUAAGAUGUAUAAAGAAUUCAAUAUUUAGUGGAAACAAGUACUGUUUUACACACCUUAAAUGAGAACUUUUCAACCUCCAUAUAUUUGGUGACAGAACGAGAGGAGAGGAUUCUAGUGCUGCAAGCAUUCUAGCAUCAAGCGUCUUCUAUCAUGUUCCUUCAAGUAGGCAUGGAGAAGGACUUCUUCUCCCAGCUGGUAGAAUUCCUAUCUCGGCUAUUGCAAGCUUCCCAUCAAGCCAUAUCAAUUCCACUCUUGAAAUUCCCAUCAUUCCUGUCAACUAUUAACUACAAAAAAUUUCGCCAUAAGUACAACAUAAAUUAGUAUCCGAGUAUCUAAAAUAAAUCAUAUUAAUAUGUUCGUUGUGUGUGAUGUUUAUGCAAUUUGUAGAUUGCGCAUAAUAACUUCUUCUAAAGGAUAAAAAUUAGGUUUAUUUACAACUAAACUCUAGGACUCAAUUUUGAUUUCACUUUGCCUCCUAUAACUCAAAAUCACAAUUUUACUCCAUGAAACUCAAAAUUCUUUCCACUUUGACUUGUGGACUAUUGCAUCUCUUUGAAACUUAAAAGUCGCAUCCCUGAAACAUGUGGAACCCACCACCCAAUAAGACUGUCAACGUGUUAAUGAAUUUGAUUAUAAAUCUUCAUAUGGUAACAUUCAAUAAUAAAAAAAAAUAUUAAAAUCAAGUUUUAUAGAGUGAAAUGAGGAAAUUAAGAGCAAGUAUUAUAAAUCUUCACCAUGCGUUAACAUCUCACAUAACAAAAUUAAGGCAAUCUGGAGCGAAUUUGAGUUUUAUACAGUAAAAAUGAAUACUUUUGAGUCAAUGGGCAAAAUGGGAUCAAAUCGAAUAUCUUCGAAUAUCCCACUCCUACUUUACCUCAAAUAUCCUCAUUCUUAAUCAUGUCCAUUUUUUUUUUCACACACAUCCAACAAAGCAUUCUCAUCUUUACUAUUCAUUUUUUGCACUUGUUGAUGCUUGACCGUCCAACAUGUUGUGUCGUAAAGCAUUGUUGGCUUUAUUGCCGUCCUAUAAAAUUGUCUCUUAAGCUUUAGUGGCAUACGAGGUUGAACCACACACAACAUAGACCCAUGGAUCCAUACAUAUCGAUAAAAAUAAAAUCAAUAGAAAAGAAAGAAUUGGAAUUGAUGUACUCUCACUUCCUCCAUCCAGCUUGCAGUUAUGGUUGAGAUCUCCAUUCAAUUCUCCGUUCUUUUGCAAGGUAGAUCCAAGAUAAAGAAACUCUUUGGUACUUACUAAUAUCCAGUCCUCACUCCUAUCUCAUUUCGACUCCAUUUCCCAUUGAACAUGCACUCAAUAUAUUAUGUUUGACCUACUUGGGCGAAUUCCUUUAGAUUCCAAACACUUCAUUGUCAAAGGUCAAGCUUCGCAUUUACUCAUUUAUGCAUUUCAUCUAUCAGUACGACAUCAUUUGCAAAAAGCAUACACUGGGUGAUAUCAUCUUAAAUGUGUACAGUUAACUUAUCCAUUGCCAAUGCACAAAGGUAAAAACUUAAUGCUGAGUUUUGGUGUAAUCAUAUGGUAAUGGGAAAGCUUUCAAUUUGUUCUUCAUGAGUUCUUGUUGCAAUCUUUGCUCUAUCAUGUAUAUUCUUGAUUGCUUGGAUACAUGAUACUCAUACUCCUUUCUUCUUUAGAAUGUUUCAAACUCUCUUGGUACCCUAUCAUAUGCUUUUUUUACGUCUAUAAAGACCAUGUGCAAUUCUCUUGCACAUCUCUGCAUCAUUCCAUUGAUCUCUAUAAGAGAUAAAUUACUUUUGUAGUCAAGUGCUCUAGUAUAAACUCGAAUUAAUUGUGUAAGACUCAUGUCUCUUCCCUUGGUUUAUACGUAAUUACUCUCUUCCAAAACUUCAUUGUAUGACUUAUUAACUUAAUACGCUUAAUAGUACAUGCAAUCGCCCUUAUUCUUAUAUUGUUUUGCUAACUAUGGUAGCAAAGCAUUGACAAAUUCAGGAUUGGUAAUCAAGCCACCCACCAAAAUGUGGACGUAGCAAAUAUAACAAUUAAAGCAUAUUUGCAAUGAUGUCCGACUUGAUGUGAGAGGAACUGACUUGGACUUUUUAGGCCCAUUUUGCUUAGUUAACUUAAUAGCCCCAACGUUGGUUUUGCCUUUUUGUUGUGUGUAUCCUCUGUUGGUGAUCUUAGUAUCUCAUAUGUAAUAUUCCGACUGAACAUUUUGAUCCGGGUAACGAGAUCAAGCAAUAAAGCCUCCAGAAAGAUUUGCCUUAAUGUUUUGACCUUUUGGCUGGUUGGAUUGCAACAGAACCAAAUAUCUCCAAAGUGAUAUUGUUGUGGAUGGUUAAUCUUGAUGAAUUAUCUCCAAAUCUGUAUUAAUUUGUUGUAAUUUUGUUUUCUUGUUGGUAAAUUAGUUCUGCAGCAUUUAACUGUGCAUGUUUUUGUUUUAUUGUUUUGGGGUAUUUUAUCCUAGUUUGCAUGCAUGUUCAAAGUGGUUGAUUUCAGUCACAGUUUUUAUAUAUUUUUGUAAAUGAAAAAUUGAACCAGAAAAGAACAGAGUAAUAACAAUCUCAUACAAAACCACAUACAACAUGCGAGUACUAACUUUUGGGAUUAUUGCAGAAGUGUUUGCAAGCACUAACUAAUUCUCUCUCUUAUUUUUGUUGAAUAUUAUUAUUAUAUAUGUGUCAUAAUUUAUAAAUAAUAAUGAAACGUGCUAAUUAUAUUUUAUCCUUUUAUGUUGUGAAGUACCAAGGAUGUGAUUGCAAGGUACAAAAACAAAUCACAUACUUCUGGGGAAAAAUCAGAUCAACCCACGUUUGAUCAACUGCAGGUAAUUCAGUUGCGUGGCUAAUCAACAUCGCUUGUUGGUGAUGGAUGUACAUAUCAAAAGAGGGAGACAAAAGAACAAGACUUGGAAGUGCCCAAGGACUAGAUGGUGGAAUCUAAAAGAAGAAAAACAAGCCAUUUUCAAAGAGAAGGUAAUCACCCAAUGUGUGUGGGAUAGAGAGGGGGAAGCUAGCCAAAUGUGGGAUUCCAUGGCUAGUUGUAUCCGAAAAGUAGCAAAAGAGGUAUUAGGAGAGUCCAAGGGCUUUGCCCCACACCAAAAGGAAUCUUGGUGGUGGAAUGAGGAGGUACAAACAAAGGUGAAGGCUAAGAAGGAAUGUUGUAAAGCCUUAUACAAGGAGAGGACCGAUGAAAAUGGUGAAAGGUAUAGAAAAGCGAAGCAAGAGGCGAAGAAAGCUGUCAGAGAAGCUAAGUUAGCGGCUUACGACGAUAUGUAUAAACGACUAGAUACCAAAGAAGGAGAGUUGGAUAUCUAUAAACUAGCUAGAGCAAGGGAAAAGAAGACAAGGGACCUAAACCAAGUGAGGUGCAUCAAGGAUGAGGAUGGAAAGGUUCUUGCUACAGAGAACGCGGUUAAAGACAGAUGGAGAGGUUAUUUUCAUAAUCUUUUCAAUGAAGGACAUGAAAGGAGUGCUUCUUUAGGGGAGUUGAGUAACUCAGAAGAGUGUAGAAACUACUCUUUUUAUCGUCGAAUCCGGAAGGAAGAAGUGGUUGUAGCUUUGAAGAAGAUGAAGCAUAGAAAAGCAAUAGGCCCAGACGAUAUACCAAUCGAAGUGUGGAAAGUUUUGGGAGAGACAGGUAUAACAUGGCUCACUGACCUUUUCAAUAGGAUUUUGAAAACGAAGAAGAAGAUGCCAAAUGAGUGGCGAACGAGCACUUUGGUGCCUAUCUACAAGAAUAAGGGCGACGUACAAAAUUGCAUGAACUAUAGGGGUAUUAAGCUAAUGAGUCAUACAAUGAAGCUCUGGGAGAGAGUCAUUGAGCAUAGAUUGAGGCAAGAGACACGGGUUUCGGACAACCAAUUCGGGUUCAUGCCAGGGCGCUCAACCAUGGAGGCAAUCUAUCUCUUACGAAGAUUGAUGGAAAGAUAUAGAGAUGGGAAAAAGGAUUUACACAUGGUCUUUAUAGAUUUGGAAAAAGCGUAUGAUAGGGUCCCAAGAGACAUUCUUUGGAGGAUUUUAGAGAAGAAAGGAGUACGAGUAGCAUAUAUCCAAGCUAUAAAGGAUAUGUAUGAAGGAGCAAAGACUGCCGUAAGAACUCAUGAAGGACAAACCGAAAGCUUUCCCAUAACUGUAGGAUUACAUCAAGGCUCAUCCUUAAGUCCUUACCUUUUUGCGUUGGUAAUGGAUGAGUUAACAGGACAUAUAUUCAAGAUGAUAUUCCUUGGUGUAUGCUUUCGCAGACGAUAUAUAUAGUGUUGAUAGAUGAAACUCAGGAAGGGGUAAAUGCAAAGCUUAACCUUUGGAGAGAAGUGUUGGAAUCUAAAGGUCUUCGCCUAAGCCGAUCAAAGACAGAAUAUAUGGAGUGCAAGUUCAGUGCAAAUGGAGGCCAAAACGAGUUAGGGGUGAGGAUCGGAGAUCAAGAAAUACCAAAGAGCGACCGUUUUCGUUACCUAGGAUCUAUCUUGCAAAAGAACGGAGAAUUAGAUGGAGAUCUCAACCAUAGAAUACAAGCUGGAUGGAUGAAGUGGAAGAGUGCAUCCGGCGUGUUGUGUGACCGCCGUAUGCCACUGAAGCUCAAGGGAAAAUUUUAUAGGACGGCAAUAAGGCCGGCGAUGCUGUAUGGCACAGAAUGUUGGGCGGUGAAGCAUCAACACGUACACAAAAUGGGUGUAGCGGAGAUGAGGAUGCUUCGUUGGAUGUGUGGGCACACGAGAAAGGAUAAGAUUAGGAAUGAGGAUAUCCGGGGUAAAGUAGGAGUAGCCGAAAUUGAAGGAAAGAUGAGAGAAAAUCGGUUACGGUGGUUUGGACAUGUGCAAAGAAGGCCUACUGACGCUCCGAUUAGAAGAUGCGACUAUGGGACAGAGAGGUUCAGGGCCGAAGGGGUAGAGGAAGACCUAGGAAAACUUUGGAAGAGACUCUAAGAAAAGACUUAGAGUACUUGGAUCUAACGAAGGACAUGACACAGGACCGAGCACAAUGGCGUUCUAAGAUUCAUAUAGCCGAUCCCACUCAGUGACUUGGAUUUUCCAAGUCUCCAACCGAGAAGUUUUCCUCACUCGGAAAAAUUAAGGGAACACUACCCCAACCUACAUGCUCCACUCAGAAAGCUUCAACAUACAAGCUUCAACAAAAGAAAAUUCAAAGAACUUAGCGAAGAAGGCUUUGGUGUAUUUAACACAAUACGUUGAAAUGAAGGAAAAAACUUAUUUAUUGAUAUCCCGAUAAGCUACAAAUAUGUACAUAUACAUGAGUCAAAAUAAACAAACAAGAGGGAGCCUUCACAAAGGUUGCUUAGGAGAAGUCUCAGCAGUCGGUAGAGCCCCAGAAAGAGAAGGCACCGGAGGGGGAUCAUUCGGAGCCUCAGUACUGGACAGAACCCUAGAAGGAGGAGGCAUCAGAGGUUGAUCAUUUGGAGCUUCAUUACGCGGUACAGCCCCAGAAGACGAAGGCAAUAAAUGCCUUUGGAACAAACCCACAAAUCUCUGAUGAUCAAGUAAAACCUGACCAUCAGUUUCCUUCAUCUGGUCAAGCUUCCUCUUCAUGUUUGUAGCAUAGUCAUGUGCGAGCCGGUGCAACUGUUUAUUCUCAUGCUUGAGCCCUCUAAUCUCCUGUUUGAGACUCAUCACUUCAGCCGCCAAUGAUUCAACUUGGCGGGUUCGAGCAAAUAGGCGUUGGGCCAUAUUAGACACAGAACCUGCACACUGAACACUGAGAGCCAGUGAAUCCUUAACAGCUAACUCAUCAGACCGUUUGGAAAGUAGUCUGUUAUCUUUGGGAGUGAGAAGGUUCCUGGCCACCACCGCAGCGGUCAUAUCAUUCUUCAUCACGGAAUCCCCAACGGUAAGAGGACCAGUAGGGGAGACGAAGGAUGGGCGCCAUAUGUUGUCUGGAGAAGGCGGGGCUGCCUCUUCAACAAGGUUCAAGUCAAAACGACGGUCGGAGGGGCCAGACAUUUUCAAAUGUAUUGAAGAGAGAAGAGGUCGGACAAAUCAAGAUCUUAGAAGUGCAAGAAUGGAGCUUCUACUGGUGGAGAUUCAAGUGUGCUUUGGAACUUAAUGCCAGCCCCUAUAAAAAGCUGCACUCAACGGAGCUUCAGACAUCGAAGAGGCGCCUGCUCAGAAAUCGAAGAGGCGUUUGCUUUCUCAAAAGCUGGGCUGCUUAGAGACCACGAGGGUUGAUCUCAUAAAUCGAAGAGGUGUUUGCUUUCUCAAAAGUUGGGCUGCUCAAAGACCACGAAAGCCGAUCUCAGAAAUCGAAGAGGCGCUCCCUUCCUCAAAAGCUGGGCUCCUCAGAGACCACGAGGGCCGAUCUCAGAAAUCGAAGAGGCACCUACUUUUUCAGCCUUGUCAGCACCUGUCACACGCACACUCAGCUUUGCGGAAAUUAUGGGUAUUCUGUCGAAGACUUCUGGGGAAGUAGAAAACACAUGAAUCUUACUGUGUCCAAUCACCCACUUCCCACACGCAACAAUAGCUCAUGGGUACCACAGAUAACUUUGCCAAAGUUCUCUGCCAAAGUUGAGCACGUGAAGCUUGCAGCUCCCACUACAUCGCUCUGACCAAGAAGGGUAAAAAGAAUAGCAAAGAAACAGCACUAACAAAGUUUAGACCCAUAAAUUUUGAAGGUCUAGCUACCAUAUUAUUACCCACAAGGGUAAAGGAACAGUACCACUGUUGGAUAAUUGGAAAGUCCCUGUGUGUCAACCUCUGUGCCUCGUGGCAAGGUAGACUAGCAAACAUACCCAACCUUUACUCACAUUCGAGAAAACACUCCCAAUAAGAUUGCUUGCUCCAAAAUCGAAGAGGCACCGUCCUCCGAAUCUCGAGAGCCAGACUCCCAACAUGACUACUUUCUCAAAAAUCGAAAAAGAGGGUAAAGGAACAGUACCAUUGCUGGAUAAUUGGAAAGUCCCUGUGUGUGUCAACCUCUGUGCUUCGUGGCAAGGUAGAUUAGCAAACAUGCCCAACCUUUACUCACAUUCGAGAAAACUCCCAACAAGAUUGCUUGCUCCAAAAUCGAAGAGGCACCGCCCUUCGAAUCUCGAGAGCCAGACUCCCAACAUGAUUACUUUCUCAAAAAUCGAAGAGACACUGCUCCCCGAAUCUCGAGAGCCAGACCCCCAACAUGAUCGCUUUCUCAAAAAUCGAAGAGGCAUCGUUAUCCGAAUCAAUCGAAGAGGCGCUCGCUUUCUCAAAAGCUGGGCUGCUCAGAGACCACGAGGGCCGAUCUCAGAAAUCGAAGAGGCACCUUCUUUUCUAGCCUUGUCAGCACCUGUCACACGCACACUUAGCUUUGCGGAAAUUAUGGGCAUUCUGUCGAAGACUUCUGGUGAAGUAGAAAGCACAUGAAUCUUACUGUUCAAUCACCCACUUCCCACACGCAACAAUAGCUCAUGGGUACCACAGAUAACUUUGUCAAAGUCUCUGCCAAAGUUGAGCACGUGAAGCUUGCAGCUCCCACUACAUCGCUCUGACCAAGAAAGGUAAAAGAAUAGCAAAGAAACAGCACUAACAAAGUUUAGACACAUAAAUUUUGAAGGUCUAGCUACCAUAUUAUUACCCCACAAGGGUAAAGGAACAGUACCACUGCUGGAUAAUUGGAAAGUCCCUGUGUGUCAACCUCCGUGCUUCGUGGCAAGGUAGACUAGCAAACAUGCCCAACCUUUACUCACAUCCGAGAAAACACUCCCAACAAGAUUGCUUACUCCAAAAUCGAAGAGGCACCGCCUUCCGAAUCUCGAGAGCCAGACUCCCAACAUGAUUACUUUCUCAAAAAUCGAAGAGACACUGCUCCCCGAAUCUCGAGAGCCAGACCCCCACCAUGAUUGCUUUCUCAAAAAUCGAAGAAGCAUCGUUCUCCGAAUCUCGAGAGCCAGAUAAACAUACCACCACUUUUUCAAAGUGCUCUGACAGAGUUAAAACAUGUGAAGCUGGCAGCUCCCACUACCGUGCUAUGACCAAGCAGGGUAAAGGAAUAGCAUUACUACUUGUUGUUAGGGAGACUCCUAUAUAUGUCGACCUCCAUCCCCAACGGACAGGUAGACCUGCAAAAAUGCUCAACCCUUCCUCGUAUCUGAGAGGGCACUCCCAACGAAGCCUUUCGAAAUAUUCAGCUUUCUUUCCCCCCGAUAAUACCUUUGCAAACAAGCUAUACUAGAGCAAGAAUAUCUCAUAUCAUCAGGGUUAAAAGCAAGAGUAUCCCAUAUCAUGCUUUUUCCCUGUCUUUUUCUUUGGCCUUGUUUUUACCUGCAAGACAAGGAGAAAGAGAGCAAUCAGUCAGCACUGGAAAUCAAGCUCCCAGCCAGGAACUGACAGCCUGGAACCCCUUACCUGAUUACUUACCUGGCAUUGCUCUCGAGUACUCAUCUUCAACAUCUUAUGUUGCCAGGGAAGAUACCGCAUCUGCUUGAGGAACAGAUAGGGCAAGUGCGAAGGAUACAAGGAAGCAUGUGGAGACAAGCGUAACAGCACACGUGCCGAUCCAUCCAUUACUCUGUCAAAAGCAAAAGUAUCCCAUAUCAGCAGGGUCGAACGUACUCUAGAUUUGAUGGACUUGUUUUGACCCUCAAAUUCUUCAGUCGGCCUUAUACUCUGGAGGAAACUAGAAAACCCUCCAGCUGAGUUCAAGAAUAAGCCUGUGGAAAGUUACUUCUUCAAAAGCAAAAGUAUCCCAUAUCAUCUCUUCUCAUUUUUCUUCUCUUUAUCCUUCAUGCUGCUGCAAGAUGGGAAGAAGGUGAACAAUCAGCCGGAGCUCUGAUUGCUUACCUUGUCUGUCACCUCUUUCAGCAAAUCCCCUAGCUCGGCGACUUGGGGGACUCCUACUACAUGGUUUGUAUCGCGCUUGACCAAGCCUGAAACUACAAGUAAGCUUCAAGUGAAAUUGAUACAUUACCUUGUGCAUCUCCACCAGUGAAAGAUACCACCCCUGGAUGGAGGAAGAGUACUUCCAGAGAAGCUGCCACAUCUACUUAUGAGACAGAUAAGGCAAGUCAAGAUGAUACCACACUCCGAUACUUAGAAGUUUCAUGAUUACGAGAUCAUUCUCCCACAAUAUUUCCUAAUGUCAUUUGUACUCUAAUGUCAUUUGUACUAAAUCAUUCACUUGUACUCACUAAAGGAGAGCUUGAACCUAUGUACUUGUGUAAACCCUUCACAAUUAAUGAGAACUCUUCUAUUCCGUGGACGUAGCCAAUCUGGGUGAACCACGUACAUCUUGUGUUUGCUUUCCUAUCUCUAUCCAUUUAUAUACUUAUCCACACUAAUGACCGGAGCAAUUUAGCGAAGAUCACAAAAAGCGACCGUUUUCGCUACCUAGGAUCUAUCUUACAAGAGAACGGAGAAUUAGAUGGAGAUCUCAAACCAUAGAAUACGAGCUGGAUGGAUGAAGUGUAAAGAGUGCAUCCAGCAUUGUUGUGUGUGACCGUCGUAGGCCACUGAAGCUCAAGGGAAAAUUUUAUAAGACGGCAAUAAGGCCAGCGAUGUUGUAUGGCACAGAAUGUUGGGCGGUGAAACAUCAACACGUACACAAAAUGGGUGUAGCAGAGAUGAGGAUGCUUCGUGGGAUGUAUGGGCACACGAGAAAGGAUAAGAUUGAGAAUGAGGAUAUCCGAGGUAAAGUAGGAGUAGCCGAAAUUGAAGGAAAGAUGAGAGAAAAUCGGUUCCGGUGAUUUGGACAUGUGCAAAGAAGGCCGACUGACGCUCCGGUUCGAAGAUGUGACUACGGGACAGAGGUUCAGGGCCGAAGGGGUAGAGGAAGACCUAGGAAAACUUUGGAAGAGACUCUAAGAAAAGGCUUAGAGUACUUGGAUCUAACGGAGGACAUGACACAAAACCGAGCGCAAUGGCGUUCUAGGAUUCAUAUAGCCGACCCCACUUAGUGGGAAAAGGCUUUGUUGUUGUUGUUGUUGUUGUUGUUGUUGUGGUAUAACAAUUAACUGUGUCAAGUGAAUGUAACACAUUCUGUGAUCUACACUCGGAGCUAUGGAAUGUAAUUUUACGGCAUUUCAUUUCUUUAACAUAAAUAAAAAGGUAAAUUACAUUUUGCAUAGUUUGAGUCCCAUAACAAACUCAUAACUUGUUUUUUGAACAUUGCUAUUUCAUACAUCAACUUACGAUUUCGUUGAAAUAUCAUACAUUCGUUAGUCAGUCCGUUAAUUUAAUGUUAAAUGAUGAUGUGUCAAAUGUGGGUCCCACAUUUUUUAUAAUGUGAUGUCAAAUUUGUGCCACAUGGACAAACAACUAAUUGAAAUUAUAUAAACUAUAAAAAUAAAAUAAAUAUUUAAUAAUUAAAUUAAAAAAAUAUUUUGAGGCAUCAGCCCACUGAGGCUGUAAGCAGAUGGAGCCCAAAAUCAGACGACCCUCUGCUCAGUCUAGAAUCAUAGUUGUAUCCAAUUUUAAUUGUUUGUUUGUCCACGUGGCACAAAUUUGAAUCAAAAUGUGGGACGCGUAGUUGUCACAUUAUCAUGGUUGGCCUUUUGGGCUAAAUAUGUGCAAGUACGUGUGGUUAAGUAAUAACUCCAAGUUAUAGCUUUAACUUCCAUUGAAGAUAAGACCCGCAAGCUUAGGUAAUUAUAAUUUAUCAAUUUGCUUGUAAGAUGUAUGGUGGUUAAUUAAGCUGGUAUGAUCGUUUGACGAGAGUCUGCUGAAAUUGGUUUGGCAUGCAAAAGGCAGAUGAAAGGUGAGGAACGUCAAGACUUGGGUCUGGAUGAACUGCAAAAGUUAGAAAAAUAGGUGGAAGCAAGCCUUGGCUGUGUGAUUGAAACUAAGGUAUGUUCUAGCUAGCUAAUUUAUACUGUUACAAGUGAAUACAGGCGACCAUGGCUUCUAAAAUCUAGGUAUCCUUUGGAUAGAGGAACACAUUUUUGAGUCUUAGUACGUACUAUUGUGCAAUGAUCCGGAUGAUCCAUUGCUUAAUUAGUCUUUGUUCAAAUAUCAUUCUUGCAGAAUAAGACAAAUGUCUUAAUAACUUUCAAAUAGAGAAUUUGUUAUUAGCUCCAUAAAAGUAAUAUUGCACUUCUUCCUCUAAUUUCAUAUUUUUCACUAUGCAUGAGUGAACUAUGGCUGGGUUUAAUCAAACAAAUAGAUCAACACGUUAAGCCUUUGGUCAAUUUGAAUGAAGACCUUACCUUUUUUUUGGGCGGUUGUAAAGAAUAUAAAUUGACCCAAGUAUAUAUACUUUAAUUAGGUUAUUUUACGAAAUACAUAAUGUUACUCUUAUCACAUUUUUUAUAUCGUACCACAUCUGGGGCCUUACGUCUAUUAGAAAUGUUGUACAAAUGUGGUAUGAAAAAUAUGAUUAGAAUAACAUUUUUGUUUUGGAUUAUAUAUCUCUAUACAACAUCUAAUUCCAAAUUUUCCAUUUUUCAGGAAAAAAGAAGAAGAUUACGAAUGAGAUUAUGGCACUUGAGAAAAAGGUUUGUAGUUAAAUAGAUGAUUGUUGUCUCUGUGUUUAUAUAUAAAAUAGAGUUUCCAGAAAGAAAAUAAUUAUCACUAAUGAACUUUUGCUUUGUUGUCCUCUGCAUGCACUGAUUAUACAUGCAAGGAGCUGAGGCUGCUAGAAGCUAACAAGGGAUAUUCUGCUGUCCUUGCGGAGCUUUUGCUUACGUAUCAUGGGUGGUUCUCUCAAGCUGAUUCAUUUCAGCAUGAUCAGGUCGAAUAUUACACAUUACCAGUUUAAAGCACUUAAAUUUUCUUUUCUUUUAAGGGAAAAAAAGCCAUUAGGGAAGGUCUUAAUAAAAGCUUGGGUUGAACGUAGUCCAUCUCCUUCGUGGCGAGCUCGAGCUCGUGUUCAAAUAUAAAACUGGGAUUGCCACGCCUUCUUUGACCUUGAGUUUGGAUAUAGGUUUACCUGUUUUUUUAUUUUUAGCCCGUGAUUACUAAAAAAGAGAAUUAAUAUUUGAUGAAACCAACUAGUUUGUACCAAAUUAAAGAAAACCCGACUGUUGUGAAUUUUUUAUUGUACGUCCAUAGAUUAGCUCAAGUGCUCAUCUGGGUUUUGUUCAGAAUUUUUUCAUGUACCUAAUGUUUCUUUGGGCCGUUUGGUUCGUUUCGUUACCCGAAAGAAAAAUCUGGAGAAAACCAAGGGUAAAAUAGUGGACUAGUGGAGGAUAGCACAUAUGUGUUAUCCAGAGAAACUAAUUUUUUUUUUAAAUUUUAUUACUUUUCUACAAAUAUUAUCUGAAUCGUCUAACCUAGCUACUGGAUUAGUGUCUAACAUUAAUCAUACGAUAAAUUCUUCAUUACUUGCACUAUCUAUGCAUAUUAAUUUUAUUAACUGUGAAUCAAUUGCAUGAUUUCAUGUUUUAUUUGUACUGCCUAUGCAUAUUUAUAUUUAUUUUAUUAAAUCUGAAUCACUUGCAUGAUUUCAUGUUAAGUUGUCAACUAAUAGAUUGUUACAGUGACGAUUACCGGCCGUUAUUCAACCGAAAAUAUGGGAUUCCACUAUCUCAAUACUACAGCAUACGGCAUAUAAAAUCACUUGCAUGAUUUCGUACGAGAUCGCAAAUUCAUGAUGUUGGUAAGUAUAACUGUACGGCCAGGAUGCUACAACAUUUUCAGUGAAAUUGCUAAUCAAUUUUGUAUUCUCUAUUUUCAGGCUUCCUUAGUUUUCCUAGUUAAGAAGUUGACCAAGAUUGAGAGCACACUUCCUUAAAAUUAGCAAAUGAAGUCGAGUUAUUGGAGGACAUAUCCGGGGGAGUGCCAUUUUGUGUUAUAUUUGUGUUCCAUGCAGCAUGGCAAUAGAUUAAUUCUUUAGUCUGCAUUUGUAAAUUUUGUGAUAUGUUAUUAAUAAGAAAUAAGCACGUUAAUUAAUAAUUAAAUAAUAAUUGAAUCAUCACUAAUAAAGUCAUAUGAUUGAAACAAAAAUCAUAUGAUUUAUAAAAUAUAAUUUGUAAAAUAUGACUUAAAUGGAUGUUGUUUAUAACAUUAUUAUCUGUAGACUAAAUUUAGUAUCCUUAGUAUUAUUCUUUCUAUAAUUCAGAUAUGGUACACAUUAAAUUUAAGGGAACUUUAAUGAAAAGCUUUCGGUAUUAUUUACUCUAACGAAAAAUUACAUUUUUACAUUAAAAAAUCAAACUUGAUAUUAUUCAUUUUAUCAUUUGUUUUAUUCUUAUUGUUAAAACUCAAAACUUUCAAAUCGUUAUAAUUAGUUUUCUUAAAUUCAAAGCUUUGAAUUGACACGUGUUGCUCUGUUAUAAUUGUGCAUUCGCUCGGUUUUCCAAUUAAAUAUCCCUGCUUUUCCUAUUAUGCACAUACUGCCAUGCACUCUCUCUCUACCGUAUUUCAUUUGGCAUUUUCUGUCCUUUUUGUCGGCAAUGCCCGUCUUCUCCAGCCGCCGUCUGUCUGACAAACCGUAAAUCAAAUAUGUUGGGUACAGGAGAAGGAGCCUUCCAGGAGUUAGGCGGGAUCUAUACCGGUGGAUUGGCAACAGGUACUCUUUGAUCUGUUAGUGGUGCCGCGGCUCAGCGAACUUACAUCUUCUGCAGAGCCAUGAAAAUAAUUUUGGUUUUUUUACAGAUCUCAACAAACCACCGCCACAGAAAAAAAAUGAAGAUUCAGUCACAUGAAGAGAUUGCAGAGAAGAGGAGAGGGAGAUAUAGAACCACUGACCAUAAUUUAUUUAAAUUAAGAAAAUCAUAUGAAGAUAUUGCUCUACAGAGAAGACGAGAGGGGCGGGAUGGCAUUAGGGGAAGAGGGUUUGGAGAAUGCGGCUACUGAAACUCGGGGGGUGGGGUUUGGGGAGUUUGGUUUCACAAGUGGGAGUGAGUAUUGCCAGCAAGUGUUGCAGCGAUCGCUGCUACCGCUGCUGUUUGGGAUAAAGAAGUGAGAUAGACGAAGUGGGUGAGGAAAAUCAACGGUGUGGUACGUAAAAAGAAUUAAACGGAGAAUCCCCAGCCUUACUGUCGUCCAGUCCACAUAUUAUAGACGGUCGUGAUCGCAUUCAUCACUCAUCACGCCAACUGAUUUGCGUUCCGCGUUUCUAAUCUUAUUUUCCCAAAAAAUAUCUAAAAAAAGAAAAAGGCACAAACAGUGAUAACCAAAGGAAAAUUUGUCCUAUUUUUCCAUAAUUAGGAAACUUAAUUUAGCAACCUUUCCUUUCUUGAACUGCCGGCAGCACCCCAACUCUCUCUCCUCUCUCUUCCUUCUCUUUCCAGAAUUGCUGGCUUUUCUUUUGCUGUUCUGCAAAUUUCCCAAAACUUCAGACCUGAAACCCCCCAACGAAGGUAAACAAAUAACAACGGAAAACCCAGUGUAAUUAAUUUAUGUAUGGUCUUCCUCCUCCUCCUCCUUCUUCUUCUUCUUCUUCUUCUUCUUCUACUGUAGGCUUGUUGGACAGUUGAUUGUGGUGGGUUUUUCUGGGUUUUGUUUUUCUUAUACAGAUCUGAGAUGCUAGGGUUUGAGGUCAAUAAUCUUUAAAAUUAUGAAAAAAAAACCCAGAAAAUAUAUGCUAGUUUUUGAGUUUGUGGACGAUUUUAUAUAUGUGAAUGGUUGGUUUAUUUUAUUUAUUUGAAUAAAUUUUUUUGCAGGGGUAGGAAGAAAUGCUGAAAAGGAUGAAAGAGAAGAUCAAGAUCAGGAGGAUCGACUACUUGCCGGCAAGGCAGGUGACCUUCUCAAAGAGGAGAAGAGGGAUUUUCAAGAAAGCUGAAGAGCUGUCGAUUCUGUGUGAAUGUGAAGUUGGUGUUAUCAUCUUUUCUCAAACUGGCAAGCUCUUUGAUUACUCAAGCUCCAGGUACCCAUACUGUACAACAUCCCACCGCCUUCUAAAUUCUUUCGAAUUUUCCUUACCCGAAUAAAUUAAUAUAACCAAGUACAUGACCUGACUUCUCUCUCAGAGAGAGAGAGAGAGAGAGAGAGAGAUUCAGCAUUAGAAUAAAAAAAUUAUAUAUGUAUAUAUAAGGAGGAAAGUGCUAACUAGCUAGAUAGAUCAUCCACGCAUGUACACAAGCACACAUAAUCUAUGGUGUCAGCUAGAUAAGGCACAGAAGAAAGGCUAGAGAAUCCAAAAACUUUCCCCCAGAGAGAGAGAGAGAGAGAGAGAGAGAGAGAGAGAGUUAACUAGCUAGUACGAGGAUAACUAUAUAAUUUCCAGUUCAGGAGGUGUACUUUUGAUUGAGACAACUUCUAGCUAGGUGUCCAAGUUUGAGAAUAUUUUUCGUAGUUUUACAUGCUUUCAAUAUGUGGAAUUGUGGUGAUUCUUUGUAAGUUACUUGCUGAUCUCUUUGCUUUACAUGCUAAAUGCAAUCGUGUCCGCCAUGCAGAAAUCUCUAUAUACAAAAGCCACUUGUCUAGUGAAUUAUGUAAUCUUAUUACUAUUUUACAGUUUCAUAGUUUAUCUUGCCGCGUUAAUCUGAUUUCCCCCACCUAUCACAAAUUGGUAAGUUGGGGUUUAUGAAAUGAAUAAUAUAUGUAUAUAUCCUUUUAAAUGGGGUACACCGUUUCCCUUUCUAGAUACACGGUAUAUUAUUUCUUAGACCAUCAUUCGUACUAGAAUUCAAAUAAUCAGUUAUGAAUAAAUAAUUUUACAAUAUAAAAUGAUUAUAAAAUACUCUAGCUAGUAAAAGAGUGUAACACUAUCUACGUACAAUAUAUAUACAUACCAAUAUGUAUAUGAAUAUGUAUAUCCAUGUCAACUUCAACACAUGAUGUUGGGUUAUGUUCCAAAAGUUGUCCUUCAUCCUCCCCACCUAAACUACAAUGACUGUUAAUUUGUAAGGACUUAAAAUACGAACAUUCAAACAUAUAUAUAUAUAUAUAUAUAUAUAUAUAUAUAUAUAUAUAUGUGCGCGCGCGUGCUUUGGGUUUCUCUUACUAGGAAUAAAGUAAUAUGAUGAAAACUUGGGAAUUCAUCAUAGAAACCUUGAAGACCUUUGAGAAGGAAAUAUGUAUGCAUGCGUGAAGUAGGGCAAUGAGUGGUGCAGCUAUUGGCCAUAUAUAACCUGUUUUUUCAUGUGCAUGCAUGAAACAAUAAACGAACUUGAGUAGUUGCAAAGAUUAAAACCUACUUCCAUAAGUAAUGUGCAUGAGAGGAAGGGUGAGAUUAAUAUGUAGAAAUGUAAUUGUGGAAUAAGAAUUUAGAUAAAGUUUUGCUUUUGUUUUAGUUAAAAAAAAAACUCCCUCCACAUAGUACGUGAUGACAAUAUUAAUAAAACUGAAAUACCAUUUCUAAAGUGGUUUUUUUAACCUGGAAUGUAUAUACUAUGUAGGAUUUAGUAUCAAUCUAUCAUUCCAAAUCAACGUGCAUAGAAAAGAUACCCUUAUUGUAUGGUGUUGUCUUUUACGUCGUUUAUUUUGUUGAUGAAAAUCUAAAACUAGCUUUUAAGACGUUAUUUGGUAGAGAGUGAAUAAGCUUUUUGUUAUCUAGAUCUUCCUAUUUUUACUAUGAGACACUUUAUCUAUUCCUUUUCCAAGUCGGAUGCACCAAUAAUGAAUAGUCGCGUGAAUUUAGGGUUUAGUGACAUCAUCCAUGUCAAAUUGACUAAGCUGUGGUCAUCACCACCUGCUAACCAAGGGGAGUUGACCUCAAUCCCUUCGUUGAUAGCCAGGCCACAGGAAGCAGGAUACUGAUUAUCCAUGUCGGCUUGGGCAUUAUCUAUAGGGCACGUGUCGACCGCAAAGCCCCACACCCCAUCACAUUUUGAGAUGCCAGAUGUCCAUCAGAUAUCAUUAGAUAUUGGUGCCUCGAGGCUGGAAACAGCUAUUUUUGACCAGUAGUUUUUUUUACAAGUAAUGCUAUUCAUAUAAUGUUUUUAUAGACAAGGAUUGUCUGCCCUCCUAGUUGUGGUGCCCUUCUAUGCCCUCCUAUUUUGUGCGGUCACGGUUAAGCCACGUUAAUAUUUUAUAUUUUUAUUAUUUUUUGUCUUAUUAUCUCAUUAAAAAAUUAAUAUAAAAUGUUGACGUGGCUUAACCGUGACCGCACAAAAUAGGAGGGCAUGGAAGGGCACCAUAACUAGGAGGGCAGACAAUCCUUGUCCUGUUUUUAUACCACAUUUAUAUAUCAUCUUAGAUGAUAUUUAAUAUGAACAGCCACAUCAUUUGAAAAAUUUGCAAAACAGGAAAUGAAGGAGAAAGACUUUUCAUAUACCACAAUCAUCAUUUAAUUAACUAGUUUUUCUUAAUUAUUAGUUUAUUAAAUGAUGAAUUCAAUUUAAAAAUCUGAUUAAUUCAAAUGAUGUGGCUGUCUACAUCAAAUGCCACCUAAGAUGGUAUGAAAAUGUGAUACAAAAACAUAGUAUGAAUAACAUUACUCUUUUUUUUAUACUCUCCAUCACCUGGAUUGAGCCACCUGUCAACCAGCUGUGGGGUCUCUCAUGGAUGCAUAAAGCAGCCACCUCCAAGCAAAAGAUUAGGCUUACUUCCUCUGGAACCACUCUCCAGUUCUCUCACCUCUCCCAUUCUUCUUGUAAAGGUCUCCUGAAUCUAACAGAUUUCAUUUCGAAGUGGGAUACACAUGUCAAAUAAUUAUUAAAUACAGCACGAAGUGGAUGCAGCCCAUCUAAGGCGAACCACUCAAAUCUCAUUGCCUUGUGCAUGACAUGAUCAGUUAUUACCGUGCUAGAGCUCACCUCACCUCGGUCUACUACCAUUAUUCCUUUGAUUUUGACCCAAAAAUAUGUGUUUACUUCCCAAAAGCACACCUCUCUAAACAUUAUCUAAAGCAACAAAGGAACAAAUUGAAAAUGCUUUUGUAAAUUAAGAAAGAACAAAAUGCUACUUUUGGAGCAUGGAAGUCCAAUCCAUUACUUAUAGCUUUCCUUUGAUGGGCAAGAGAAAGAGAUACUUUCUAGUGUAUUUUUAAAUAAUUUAUGAUUCGUUCAUAAGAUAUAAGAAGAUUUUGAUGCCUUUGAAAAAUUUAUAGCUUUCUCUUGAUGAGUAAGAGAAAGACAUAUUUUCUAGUGUCUUUUUAAAUAAUUUAUAUCUUUCAUUUAUAAGAUAUAAGAAGAUUCUGAUACCCAUUGAAAAUAAGUAGUUUUCAAUGCCUCUUCUUUCACUAUAAAGAAGAUAAUUUUUCAACCUCUAUAUAUUUGUUUUUUAUUUUUAUUUUUGCCAACAUCUUGAAUUUUGCAUUGACAUAUGAUCUUUUUAGUCAAUACUUUCCUUAAAAAGAUAGAAGAGCAUGUGAUCUAGCUUUCCCUUGAUGGGUAAGAGAAAGAUAUUUUCUAGUGUCUUUUUAAAUAAUUUAUAUCUUUCAUUCAUAAGAUAUAAGAAAAUUCCAAUACCCACUGAAAACAAGUAGUUUCCAACACUUCUUCUUACUCAUUAUAAAGAAGAUAAAUUUUCAACCUUUAUAUAUUUGUUUUUUGUUUUUUUAAAUUUUGGCCAACAUCUUGGAUUUUGCAUUGGCAUGUGAUCUCUUUUUAGCCAAUACUUUCUUUAAAAAGAUAGACGAGCAUGUGAUCAUCUACAAGAGCGGGUCAUAAAAAACAGAACAGCCGAUCCCACUUAAUAGAUAAGGCUUUAUUGUUGUUGUUGUUCUAGUGCCUCCUUUUGCUCACUAGAAAUAAGACUGGUUCAACUUCUAUAUAUUGGGCUUGUAUUAACAAAACAAGAGGAGAGGAUGUGGGUACUGCAAGCAUUCUAGCAUAAAGAAUUUUCUACUACUUCCUUCAACGGUAGGUAUGGAGGACUUCCUUCUAGCUACAAGAAAUCUAUCUUGGCUACAGCAAGCUUCCCAAUAAGCCAUCCACAAGUAUGACUACAAUAUUUUCUGCCAUAACCUCAGGUAAAUAUUUUCUGCAAGAAAUUUAUCUUGGCUACAGCAAGCUUCCCAAUAAGCCAUCCACAAGUAUGACUACAAUAUUUUCUUCCAUAACCUCAAGUAAAUAUUUUCUUCCAUAACCUCAAGUUUUUAAGUUCUUUUUACUCUCUUUUGAAACCCAUGCUCCAUGGACAAAAUUCGUCGACCACCGUAAAAGCUUUAGCCUUGAUGCUAAAUCCAAGUUUAUAAGCCAACACCAACCACCAACUUAUUUGCUAAACUUGGGGAUUUUGGGAUCCUACAUCUCAAGCUCUCAUGGAAAGUUUAGAAUAUUUUUUUUCAUAGUUAAAAAUCUUUCUUAAAGCCGUCGGAUACACUUCAUCACCACCGGAAGCAUUUUAACCGAACAUUUUUUUUUUGGCCCAAAAUUUUAACAUAACAUCAAACCAAGCAUUUUUGAGUUGCUAUAAUAAUAUCAAAGCAUUCUUUAUAGCUUACCUCUCAUUCAAGAUACUUUGGACAUUGUUCUCGCAAACUCAAAAUUGGGGGACACAAAUUAGGUUUCAUUCACCUCUUUUCAAGCCCAACUUCUGUCCAAAUAUAUCAAACAAAUAAUCUAUAAUGCCCGUGUGUGUGAUAUGUUUAUGCAAUUUAUAGACUACGAGCAAUAACGUCGUCUAAAGCUGGAUAAAACUUACUAUUAAACAUGAGACUGGAUUGCCAAUAUUGCCCUAAAUUAUGGUCAAGUAAGUGCAUGUUAAGUUUUGUAUAGCUUAUGGAUAGUCCUUUAGGCUUUAGCACUAGUUUUGAGUGACUGAUGAAAUCUUGUCUUAACAAGUGUAGGGUUAUGGAAUUUAAGGAUAUUUGUCCAGGAUCAAGGGGCUUGUUGACAUGUAAUAGAGGUAGCCUGCCUUCUGACAUCUUGUAUUCGAUUGAUUACGAAGCUAAAUUAAGUCCUUAAGUACUAUAGUAAAGAAUAUAAGCACCCCCAACCCCCAACACCCCACUUUCGGAGGAGGUUUCCAGUGUUCUGCAGAGUGAUCUAGGUAUCAUUUGGUAUGCAGACGAGACGGGACGGAACGGAAUGGGACGAGACGGAACGGAACAGAGAGGGAACAAAGACGCCCUCGGAUGGAAACAAGGAGGAAGAAGAAGGAGACGGAGAGGUUAUAAUUUUGUGUUCCAUGGAUGUGGAACGAAUCGUUCCAGGAGGGUGAGACGGAAGGAAAAUUUACCCAAAAUUCGUCCCGUGGAAUAGCUCGUUUCACCCGUUUUAGACGCACCAAAACGUGGGACGAAACGCCUUGUUCCACUCUGUUCCGUCCUGUCUCACGUACCAAACGGUACCUAAGGGACCUAUCGUUGGAACCAAAUGUGAAAGAGGGUUGACUUGGAAGGUGUACCUCAACAUUCUUGCAUCAGCAGAUAGUGAGGACUUGACAAUCGUGUGGAAUCAAUGAUAGUAUGAUACAACAAUAAGCCUCCUAAUUAAGUCCUAAGAUAUACAAGACCAAUAAAAGAGUACUAUGUGCUUAGAUUAAUCUUCCAAUUAAUAAGGAAAAGUGUUUGCAAGUACUAAUAUUUAUUGGGAUUAUUGCAAAAGUGUUUGCAAGAGCAACAUGCAAGUACUAUUGGUUUUUUGUUGGAUAUAAUUUUAUUUUUUUGUGAAUAAGUUAUAAGUAAUAAUGAAACAUACUAAUUAUAGUUAAUCCCCUUAUGUUGUCAAGUACCAAGGAUGUGAUUGCAAGGUACAAAUCACAUACUGGUGGGGAAAAAUCGGAUCAAAUCACGCUUCACCAACUGCAGGUAAUUCAGUUCGAUAUUAGUUUUUUUUUCUUUUUUCUUUUUUUCCAUCUUUGCUCUAAAAUUUACAUUUUUAAUGGUACAACAAUUAAUUGUGUCAAGUGAAUGUAAUAUAUUCUGUGAUCUGCACUUGGAGCAUCGGAAAAUAUUUUUACAACAUUACAAGUUAGACUUCUAUAUAUGCAUGCAGCAGGGUUGGCCUGUUACACUAAAUACGUGUAAAUACUUGGGGUUGAGUAAUGACUUAAGUUUUAGUUUUAACUUCCAUUGAACAUUCUAAGUUUUCAUGUGAUAGAUUACAUUUAUUUUCUUUCUUGUUUUUCUUUUAUAAGCUUUUUCACGUGAAAGAGUAGAUUAUCUAAAUGAUGAUAUAAAUAUAUUUAUAUUUCCCAUUUAAUUAGUUGGAGAAAGAAAACACGAUCAGGCUGAGUAAGGAACUUGAGGAUAAGACCCGCAAGCUGAGGUAAUUAUAAUUUAUCGAUUUGUUUGUAAGAUAUAUGGUGGUUAAUUAAGCUGGUAUGAUCGUUUGACGAGUCUACUGAAACUGGUUUGUCAUGCAAAAGGCAGAUGAAGGGUGAGGACCUUCAAGACUUGGAUCUGGAUCAACUGAACAAGUUAGAAAAAUUGGUGCAAGCAAGCAUUGGCCGUGUGAUUAAAACUAAGGUAUUACUUAAAACUGAUGCUUAAUACAUAUUAUUGUGCAAUGAUCCGGAAGAUUUAUUACUUAAUUAGUCAUUGUUCAAAUAUUGUUCUUGUAAAGAAAAAGACAAAUAUCUUAAUUUUGUUCAAAUAAGAAAUUUGUUAUUAACACUCCAUAAAAUAAUAUUUCGCUUCCUCCUCUUAACUUUUUGUCCUAUGCUUGAGUGAGCUAUGAUCGAGCUUAAUCAAAUAAAUAGAUCGACACAUUGUGCCUCGUAUACACCUUUUUUGAUCAUCAUGUUUAAUCAAAAGAGUAAUACUAAGUAGACCGAAUUUGUAAUUGAAUUUGCAAAUUAAAUGAUGUGUCAUCAAUAAGAAAUAAGCACUUUAAUCAAUACUUAAGUAAUAAUUCAAUCAUCAACUUUCAAGUGAUUUAGUUUACAAUAUUUAAUCUUCCUAACAUUACCCUAAUAAAAACGUCAACAAGUUCCUAAUCUGACUAUUCUUUUGCAGGCGUAUCUUUCAAAUUUAGACUUUUGGUCAAAUUGAAUGUAGACUUGACCUUUUUUUUUCUUGGUUGUAAAGAAUGUAGAAUUGAACCAUGUAUUUGCCGUACUUUAAUUAGGUUAUUUUACUAAAGAAAUAUUUUGGAUUAUAUGUGUAUAUAUAGCAACAUCUAAUUCCAACUUUUCCGUUUAUUCCAGGAAAAAAAGAUUAUGAGUGAGAUUAUGGCACGUGCGAAUAAGGUUUGUAAUUAAAUAGAUGAUUGUUGUCUGUGUCUAUUUAUCGAAUAGCCACAAAUAUAUACAAAUAGUCAAGAAUUUCCCGAAAAGGAGAAUAAUAAACAUUAAUUAAUUAUUAAUGAAUAUUUGCUUUGUUGUCCUCUUCUAUGCACUGAUUAUACAUGCAGGGAGUUGAGCUUAUAGAAGCUAACAACCAGCUAAAGCAGAGGGUAAGAAACUAACAUCAUCUAUAUUUUUCUUGUAUUUUAUUUUUAUUUAAUGAAAACAAUAAAUCUUUUUUAAAAAAUUAAAUUUGGGCGAUCUUUUUCUUUGUUGUUAAUUUAGUCUACAAAAUUUAAUCUUCUUAGCAUUACUCUUUUGCAUGGUAGAUGGUGAUGUUAUCCGCUGGAGGAGAUAUCGGACCUGCGGCGAUCAUGGAGUUGGAAAACCUGAAUAAUGUUGGAGAAGAAGGCGUGACAUCUGAAUCAGCCACAAAUGUCACCACCUGCUCCAGCAGUGCUUUUUCUCUCGAAGAUGACUGCUCCGACAUCUUGUCUCUCAAACUGGGGUGAGCCGCUUCCAAUAUAUAUGCUGUUUGCUGUUGGCGUUUGCUUUUGACUUUUGGCUUGUGCUUAUUUGAUGAUACGACGAAGAAUAAAGGUAGUAAAAUACUAGGGAGCUGUGUAGAUAAGGGAUAUUUUGUUGUCCACGCGGAGGGUUUGCUUGCUUAUCAUGGGUUGUUCUCUCAAGCUUAUUCAUCUCAGCAUGAUCAGGUCGAAUUUUAAACAUUACCAAUUUAAAAAACUUUAGGCCUAUUUGGUACUCUACUUGAAUCCAACUUUUUAAACUCAAAAACAAUUUUCAAAUUUUAGGUCUUAAAAACUUGUUUGGUAGAACUAUUUUAAAAAACUGAACUCAAGACUAACUCAAAAAUAUAGUAUAUUCUCUAAAAACAUAAAAAAUGAGUUUUUAGAGUUUUUAAACUUAAACUCUCUUAUUUUUUUUUUCUCUCCUCCCUUCUCACUCCAAACCUAUCUCUCUGUUUUCUUCUUUCUCUCCUUUUUUUUUUUUUACCUUUUUCGUCUCUCCUCUAAUCCGUUUUCUUCAUUUUCUCGGUUCUUUCUCUCAACUCCUCUUCCUCUCUAUCUCGUCCAAUCCUCUCUCUUCUUUCUCUUUCCUUCAAUCAUCUCUUACUUUCUUUCCUCCUCUCUCCUCUUUCUCCCUCUCAUGUGACCAUCUCCUUUUAGAUUUCUUUGUCUAGUUUAAGUCUUAAGAUUUAAAAAUUUUAAAUCACAAACCAAUCAAGUUUUUGAGUCUUAAAGAAAAUUGUUUUCAAGAAAUGUUCUUAAGAAAUGUUUUAAGAAAUGAUAAAAAAUUUCAAAUAGGAUACCAAACAGGCUCUUAAUUUUCUUUUCUCUAGAGGAAAGCUUGGGUUGAACAUAGUCCAUCUCCUUCGUGGCGCAAGCUUGUUUUCAAAGGUAGCAAUGGGGUUGCCAUGCCUUAUUAGCCGUUGAGUUUUGAUGUAGGUUUUUUGUUUUGUUUUUAGCCUGUGAUUAGCAAGUGCUCAUCUGGGCUAUGCUAUUUUUUCCUUUCUCCUGUACCUCAUGUUUCUUUGGGCCGUUUGGCUCCUUUCCUCAGCGUAUCACGGAUUCAUGAUGUUCGUUAAGUAUAAUUGUACCGCUACGAUGCUUUUAUUCUUCAACAUCUUCAACGAAAUUGCUAAUCGGUUUUUGUAUUCGGUAUUUUCAGGCUUCCUUAGUUUCCCUGGUUAAGAAGUGGAGACAGAUGGAGAGUUGCACUUCCUUAUAAUUUCUAAAUAAAGUCGAGUUAUUGUAAGAUACGAGUGAUCUGUGUGUCUUAACUCGAAAACAAAUUGGAAGACAUCUCUGGGGCAGUACUGUGACUGUGUGUUAUAUGUAAAAUUAUAUUUGUAUUCCAUGCAAAGCAUGACUUUGAUCUAGAAUAUAACUUGUAUUGUAUCCAAAAAGCUUUAUACAAAUGCAGGCCUAUGAAUUUGGUCUCUAGUUCAGGAUUUGUUGGGGAUGGCUCGCCAAAAGUUAUGAGGUUUUGUAAUUACGCUUAAAUAUUCAUUUCUGCCUUAAAAGGGUGGGGACUUGGAGCCGAAAAUCGAACCCCAAAAAUUAAAAAUUAAAUAAAGUGGUCUUUUAAUAUGAGUCUAAUUUUAUGAGGCUGAUUUGAAAGGAGUUCACUAGUGUUGCAUCAUCUUAGGUGGGGUCUACUAAGAGACUAUAUCUCCAUGUCAAUUAUUUAUGUUCAUAAGUUUUACAUGAAUUUCCAGCAUUUACCACUGUAUAGUUUUUGAAAUGAAUUUGCUAAAUUCCAACGAUUUUGGGGCAUUAGGUUUAUACACGUUUCUCCAAACCCUUAUCUCGUCGAUUCCAAUGAUUUUGAAAAGAAAAAAUCUUUCUAAUUCCUGCGCUGUAUAAUUCAUAUUCGAAUUAUGAGAUAGAUAUAUAUGAUUCAUGCAAACAAUCAAUGCAUGCAUGAGUUUGAGUUUUAAAUACGUGUGAAUUAGGGUUGGUGGGUUACUGUAGAACAUGUAGCUUAUGUUCGAUACUCACUUUUUGUUGAUUCUUAGUUGUUGUUGUUGUUGUUUAUCUUUAGGGGUGGAAUGAAAUUAAACUACUUGUGUGAAUUGAAUUUUCCAUCUACUUAUGUACUAGAAUGGGUGGAAAGUUAGUGUUUUUCUUUGAUUGUAACUGAUUCGUUGUUGUCUACCUACAUGUGUGGAAUGAAAAUAGCAAAUAAAAAUGGAAAAUUCAAGUACCUAGAAUUUUUUGUAGGCUUUCUUAGUUUUAUUUUUUCAAUGUGUGCUGAAAUUUUUGUAGAUUUUUUAAAGUUUAUCACAACUUAUGUAAUUAUAUUGUUCAUGUGUUUGUAUUGUGUAGAGUUUGUCAAUUUGAAUUCAAGUAUCGCCUCUCUUACUCUUAAUCCACAACCACAACAAAAAGUUUCAAGGUAAUCUCAAGUUUCUAGUUUAGAAGGUUUAUUGGCUUCUCAUCCAUUAGUUUCACUUUCACAAGGUCCAAAGUCUUCCCAGGUAUCGUCUUCUCAAGCUUGUUCACAAGCUCAAAGGCCUCCUGAACCUUCGAAAAGUAAAUUUCCAAAAGGAAAGGGAAAGAGAGGGUUGAACGAUGUAAAGUAGUGACUUAAAAAUUGAAGCACCAAAACCUUUUUGUUGAACUGUAUGAAACAAUUUAUUUUUUCGGGUUAUACUACUUAUGCCACAAGGCAUUUUGAUUGUGAAAUUUGUUUGAACUUUUGUUUUAGAACUUAACCUUUUCAAUUGGGUUUUUCUAAAGUAAUGCCAUAAGACCUUUUGAUGUUGAACUUUAUUUGAAGUUGAAUUUUAGCUUGGUGAUCGUGAAUUUCUUUUCAAAUUUGCAAAUGGUAUGAAAUUGAAACCAAAACCAUUUGAAAUAAAACUGAACUGCAACUAAAUGGUUUGGUUCUAUUUCGGUUCAAGCUUCAAAAUAGCAUCGAACCACAUGGCAAAAAAAAAUCGAUUUUGGUUUUGGUUUCACCCCAUAACCGCACCGAACCAAACUGUGCCAACCUCUAAAACAAAUUUGAGUCUUAUUUUGCACCCAAAAAGUUGAUAUUCAACCUACCCCGAGACUUAAAUAUAUGCUUCAUUUUUCCUUGUUUUUCUCAACAUCAUUCAAGAUCAGUCAAUAGCGUAUGUGAUAAGGUUAUUAUGGUUAUCUUGACCAAGUUGUCUAUGUGUGGUCCUUUUUCGCAACGCAUAAUUAUUGAGUUCACAUCUUUCCUGUUGCGAAAAGAGUUAUUUUUAAGAAUGUGAUUAUAUAAACGUAAAAGUAGAAUCCUAUAAAAUUUGGAAAUUCUUAUCCUAUUGUGGUUAUUUUGAUCAUGUUGUCAAUAAUUUGUCUGACCAUCUCUUCAGUGUAGUCAAGAAGCCCAACUGGUUUACUAGGGAGUAUGUUCAGCGCUUCCUUAUUGAAAAAGCCAAGAUUAUCGAUUACAACAAAACAGUCGCUUGGAAAGCUUUAAAGAGAGGACUGCCAAUAGAUCAUCCACUCCGCAGAGACAUUAUCACGAUUGUGGGCCAUGAUUUUUCAGGGCUAGAGUAAAACGGAUCUGAAUACACCUACCUCAGGAGUUUGAUCAUGGACUCAACAACCUCCAUUGGGAGUUGACCAAAUGGAUCAGUGAUGUCACAAUCAUCCUGUUUCGGAAUCAUUAGGUGAAGUUGACGUCCGUCGACUUCGCUAAGAUAGACCAUUCUUGUACUGAACCUAAUCCAACAAGGAAUCAACAGGUUUCCUAUAAUCUUGGAGUUAUUAUAAUAUAAGGAUUGGCAUGCGCCGCAAGUAAUCAAACUUUUUGGAGGAUGCAAUAUCUACUUCCUAGAUAUGCUAUGGCAUUCUCUAGGUUUAAUACGUGUUCUAUACAUAUUCUAUUAUGCUAAAAGGUCCUCCCCUCGACUGGUAUAAAUACACCCUUCUAGGGUUCAUCUCUGGUAACGCAAUCUCUGCACACUUAUUCUCUUACCUACCACUUGAGUCUUAAUAUUGCUUACAACCUUGAGCGCAUGGAUGGACCUCCGAUACUAUGCCUAACAUGUUGCUGUCUAUGCGUAGAGAAGUCCCUGGAGAACUCAUUUUUGUAUCGCCUCACCAUAGGCUAUUUGUUAAAGAAUGAUCCCAAUGAAUUUUUUUUACAUUAUACCAUCUUUCUUGAACUACACCAGUAAUUUGGUUCCCUUUUCCGGGAAUAUGUAGGCAAUCCUUCACGCCCCCUUUGUCAACACAAGUCUUUAAUUAAAGAAUUCUCAGAUUUUUUUUUUAAAUUCUCAGAGUUAUGAGACGUACUAGUUCAUUCUUCCUCUUUUUUUUUUUUUUUUUUUUUUUUUUUUUUUUUUUUUUUUUUUUGCGGUAGUGAGAAUACUUAAAAAGCCUAAAUAACACAAAACUUUGAAACUUCGCAUAUUGUUCAGUUAGCAAUUUGGGAAACUCGAAGCAUAACAAGUGCGGUUACGGUUGGCGGGUAACGAGCAUGGGGACAUGGGAUAUAGCCCCCUUGACCUGGAACUCCAGUGCACCAUCCAACUCUCGAAAAGAUUAUGCAACCUGAAGGUUGUGGGUUAUGAGUUAUAACAUUUAAACCCAUGCUCUACGCAUUAGAGGGAAUGAACAAAAAGGCGAUUCGAUAAUCAUCUAAGAGGUGGCUCUGAGUCCCAACCUUGAGUAUGAUCACUCUUAUCCUAAACCAGUGUACCUAGUAAGUUUUGCAACACCAUAUGUUAAGCAGGUCUGAAUGAGGCAUCUGGACUAGGAAAUCCUCAAGAGGAAUUUUAUUUCAAUAGAGCUCCGAUACGCGGAAGUACCUUAGCCAAGCCAACUAAGUGUAGUCUAGUAAAAAACACUAUGGUCCGACGUAUAGGGUUUGACAAAAGGAUUUGAAAAGUGUUUUCGAUCCACAUGCAGGUGACCAAGUCCCAGACGAACUUUUGUUUAAGAUUCACUAGGGACAAACCAGCAAUCAAAACUAAGGAGGAAGCCCCUUCUUAGUUAUAGCCAUAUUUAAAAUCCUCUGACCCGAAAGGGGGAAAGGUGAACGAAUAAGACAACAUGUUGAGAAAGGAGCACUUAUUCAACUCUUUACUCUAGAGGGCAUUCUGGGUAAGACUUAUCACUUUUUCGUCUUUAAUCCGACAAAUACAUUAUGACAAAUAUAUAGUAAAAUGAUUUUUCAUGGGCAUUAGACUCAAUGUCGGAGUAAGGUGGUACUCCGAUAAUUGCAGAGGGAAUCUUCAUGGAUACCAAGUUUGAGAGGUAACAUUUUUCCGAAUCAAUGUUACCUAAGGGGCUUUUGAGCUCUGUCUGGGGCCUACAAACGUGCUCAUAUUCUAUUAUAUUACUUAGUACUUCGAAGUUAAAUUACUUUGAAGAAAUUUGUCAGAUUACCAGAUUAUUCCAUGAUUGGGAAGCAAGGAUGGAAAUUUUUUGCAACAUUUUAUUCAAAUAGGCUAAAUGACAUGAAUAAAUUGCAAUUGUUUAUAACGACAUGUUUGUUAUAAAGUCUCAUGAACAGGGCAAAAAAGAUACAAUUACUUAGGGAGACAAGCUUUUACCCUUAACAUGCAAAUUUUCAUAUGGAAGCUAUAAAACAGAUUUGGACAGGACCAUUAACUCUGAUGAAGUUUAGUCGUCAUCAGAAGACUCCAAUGAAGAGAGACGAAGAGGGCUCCAAUGAUAAAGAACCCUUUCAAGAAUCUCGAUGCACUUGUAAAGCUAAACCUAAAAGCUCAUCUCCUAUACUAGUAUAAAUACACCCUUUUAGGGUUCAUAUCUGGUAACGCAAUGUCUUCAUACUUGUUCUUUUGCCUAUUGCUUGAGUUUAAUAUUGCUUAUUAACUUAACCGUCGGAGAGCCUUUGACCGGCACACCCCAUCCCGGUCUUAGGCUUACUUGCGAUUGUUUGUUCUUUUAUAGGUUAACAAGUUUAGGCAUCUCUACCAAGCACAUAAGUGAAAAGGAAAGCAUCUAAGCAACUCCAAUGGGUUAUAGGCUUUUUUUUUUUUUGUUUUUUUUGUACAACAAUGUAUUUUUACACUAAAAGGAAGGAGAAGUUCGGUUAUGCCACACAAUGGACAACCUAAUCUGACAUCUAAUUCAUCAAUUACGAGAUUCAAACCUAAAACGUCUCACUUACAAGUGAAGAGGACUACCAUCAGAUCGUAGUAAUUAAGUAUAUCAAUGUUUGUAGGUUGAACUCGAGCGCCAACAUAUGGUCCUUAAGGCUGAAAUGUGUUGGGCACUAUGAACACGAAAAUUCUGUAAUGAAUGAAACGAGAACACGUGUAUAAAAUAGAUUUGUAUUGAUGAAUGUGUAGGGUUACAAUCUCUGUUUACAAAUUUCCUUUGAGUCAAUCUUCAAAUUUGAUGUAGAUGCAUAGGUUGUUGAUCCAAGGGUCGCAAUGACUUGAUCUCGGACGAACAAUUGAACGAUUGCUUCAAGUUUUGAGCUUGAAACAAUGUGUGGAUAGUCUUCACCUCUAGGUUUGCGUAUGACCUGCGGCAAAGGUGAUGUUGAUGUGGGAUUUUGUUUAUUUAAGGGUCUUGGCGACUUGAUCUUGAAUCAAACAUCGUUACCAGUUUUAAGCUUGCAACAAAGUCUUGAUGGAAUCAUCAUAAGUGCUUGUUGAUUCUUCAAGAGAAUGCUUUGGCUUUGGUUGAAAGAAAGCUUCGGCUUUGGUUGUAUGUUCUUCGAAGAGAGCUUUGGCAGUGUAUUAGUCUUCAAAGAUUUGGCAAAGGACCUUGUAUUUAUAGACUUCUCAAAGCUUGCUUUUGGAUGGAUUUGGCUUUGAUUUGUGUCUUGAUUCAUCCAUGGGAGAAUUAGGCAUGUUUUGUGUCUUAAAUUCAGCCACUUUCCCUUGCUUGGCCGAAAUCUAUGGGCUUUCUUGCCUAUUUUGCGUGCAAUCUUCAAUUCUUGCUUGUUUUGUGAAGAUGCUUUAACUUUCUUUCCAGUUUUGGGAGCAAUUUGGGCCCUUUCCCCUUUGCCGCAUUUUAGGAAUGCUUUUGAGCUUCCUUUGCUUGAUUUGUGCCACAUGUCAUUGAUGACUUGUCCAUUUAUGACAUGUCAUAUACCAUGUGGAGCUUUUUGAUGCAUCAUUUGUAUGCAAUGAAAUUUACAUGUCUGAAAAUGCCCCCACUUCAAGGCGCGUCGUAGGCAUGUGCUUGUCACAUGUAGGAAAUGUAUUUUGAAGUCCUGCAAUGUGAAAGUUCUAACCCAAGGGUCGUUGAGACUUGAUAUUGAAUUAGUUUGCUUCUUCAAGGCGUAUUUCUAUAAUGUAAAUGAUGAAUUUUGUCAAGGGCUGUUAAGGUGUAUUUAUUGAAUGAAACAUUUCUUCAAGGGCCGAUGAGACUUAAUCUUGAAUGAAAUGAAAAUUUUCUUCAAGGGCCGUAGAGGCUGAAUCUUGAAUGAAAUGGAAAUUUUCUUCAAGGGCCGUAGAGGCUUGAUCUUGAAUGAAAAUUUUGAAAAUGGAUAAAUCGGCACAUACUUAUUGUGCGUAUUGAUUUUCCAUAAUUUUUUGACAAAAUACAUUUGGUGUAUUUUGGGACUUUUUCCUCGUGGGUAUGGGAAAAAAAAAUGCUUUUCCUCCCUUAGGUAGGAAUCUCCUUCAAUUUUGGUAAUGAGGGUGAUUUCCUUCAAGAUGUUGGAAAGCUUUAGUGAUUUCCUUCAAGGUUUUGGAAAGGUUUAAUGCUUGUCCUUGGGUAAGUAGGAUUUGCAUUUUUUUCCCUUUUCCUUUCCAUUUUUUUGGCCAAGGUGAUGUUUUUCCUCUUGGUUUGGGAAACUUGAAGACUUGUACUUGCCUUGGAAGGAUUCCUUUUUGUAUUUUGGCAAGGAAAUGUACUUUCCUUUGAUGUUUUAGAAAUUGCAAAGCCCUUUCCUUAUUUCUUUGUGCUGAAAUCAACUUGCCUUUUUUUUUUUUUGCUUAGAAUUUGCUUCCUUCUUGCACCUGGAAUAUGCUUGCUUCUUUUGAUUUUCCUUUUGCUAGUUGGUAUGUAUUCUCCUUAUAGCAUUAGGAAGCAAUUGACCCUUAUUUAUAGGACAAUUGGGUGUGUGUUUUUGUCACAACAAUUCCUUGUCGUGUGCACUGUUCUUGCUGUUAGCGUGUGUGUUGCUUGAUGCCUUGAGUUGUAGCUGCUUGAAGCUUGUUGCAGUGCGUCACUUUUUACCUUGUGGUAUUGUGCAAAAGACUGCUGCGAUGUUACGCCAUGUAGUGGCUUUUGGUCGCAGUUUUCCCUCAGUGGUGACAUUGCCAUAUAGUGCAAGAAACUGCUUGCGUAAUCGCUGCGGGGUUACGGGGUUGCAUAGUGCGAUUGCAUAGCAUUUUGGUUUUCUUUGCUACUGUAGCGUGCUUUGAAGGACCGACUUGUACUCUUUGCCGUGCUGCUCAAGCUUUGUGGAUGAUUUCUUUUCGUCAUUGUGAUUUUGUCAUCGUCAUCCUUCAACACUCACGAGGUUUGUCUCACAUGUCUUUUUCUUUAGUGAAACAAUAUUUUUUUUCUUGCCGUCCCACCUUGUGCUAAUGUUGCCUUUUUUUUUUCUCAUUCCAGCCAUGGUAUUUUUCAAGUGCUUUAAGAGCAAUACCAUCACCAUUCUUGCGAAGGAAGGUGAUUCGCAAGAUAGGGGAAUGACGUUGGAGCUUUGUGCGCCAUUGAUUGGCCCUAAGGUGCUUGUUCUUCAUGCAUAGUCGUGGUUUUCUGAAGUAUCUUGGGGGGUGACAGAUUUUGGUUGACCAAAUACGAAGAAAAAAGCGUGUACAUCAAGGAUUCUUAUCUUGAAUCCUUAACACCAUGUUCGUGACAAUCCACCAGCUUCGUUUGAGUUUCUUGGUGGUUGCAUCCGUAGUAGAGCUAUAACUUGGAAUAACACCUUGUCGACUACUGGAGAAGCCAUCUUUGUUGAGUUUUACUGGGAGUGGCUUGAAGAUGUCUUGAGCCGAUCCAAAGAUGUGCUUACUAACGUAGGUCUUUAUUACGUUGUAUACGCAUCUUUGAUUAGUUAUGAUCACCAUGCUUCCGUCCUUUGUGCAUUUUUCAAGAAUUGGUGUUCAACGACCAACACACUUCACACGACACAAGGGGAGAUGUCGAUUUCACUUUGGGAUCUCCACAAGAUAGGAGGCUUGCCAAUCCAGGGUAAGUUUUAUGACGAGGUUGUUCCUAGCAUGGAGUAAUUUUCUCAUCGCAAUAGCCGAGGAUUGUCUGCGUGACACACCCCGACCUGGAAAGGUCGAAGCAUGCUGGCCGUCACCGUGAGGUGACGUAACUAUAAGGGUAAGUGAUGUAAAAAGUGAAUAAAAUUAAAACUAAUUAGAACUAAACAGUGAAAGAGUGCGCAAUUCGUAGGUUGAACCCACUACAAUUAUUCAGAGCGUGAUAGACAGUGAGACUACAAAAGAGUAGUCAAAGCAACCAAAAUACACUUAUUACAUAAUAGUGAUAAGUUCGUACAUCUAAACAGAAGGAAAUGUCAGAACUGCCGUGACUCCUCGAGUGCCACAGAGAGUACAGCUAUCUAGGUCUUGGAGGGGCGAAAAAAAAAGUUGAGUGGGUCAGCAAAACAAUGCUUAUAAGAAAACCUUUAUCUUUGAAUAUACUAACCCCUCGCUGUAAAACAAGUAUAGUUUCCUCAAAACAUACUACGUAAGUAUGAAAUCCAAUAUAUAUCAGCCAUAUAACCAGAAAUAUGCCAAGUAAAUGAUGUAUCAUAUGCCACAAUAAUAAUCAUGUGAUAAUCAAUAUAACUAGUGCUCAUCCAUCUAAGCUAACACACAAGUUUGAACAAAUGGUUUCUAACACGAACAGGACUGGGUGUAAUCAAUAUGCUCUAGUACUACGAUCACGUGAAGAUUGGUGCAAAAGCACAUCACAUACAAGUCGGAUCGCCUAAUGCAAUCUACCCGACAAGACUGGCACCUAAACUUCGAUCCAAGGUGAGCGAACGGUGCGGAUGUGAACAUACACGUGAAGGACUGGCCCUGGCCCUGGGGCGAGUACUAACACCGGGUGCAGCAAGAUGAGCAUGUACAUAAGUAUGUAUGAAUGCCAUGACAGUAAUAUCACAAUCAUAUAGCAGCAUUUAUCACAAUUUAUAUCACAAUAAUGAUACUAGGCAAAAUAGGCGUUAAAGUGACAUAAAUAUGUGUUUAUGGAAACUAUAAAUAUAUAUAGGUAUAAAACAACUGCCCACUCACAAGUACGUCGUUGGGUCGUAGCCCCCGAGCCUAGCUUGGCCUCGAAAAUCCUCGGAAUAAGUUUCCCCUAUAUGUGAAAUAACUAAAUAACAUUAAUUAAAGCACAUAACGGAAACCUAAACAAAAUCCCCAUAGUUUGCUCAAACCUAGGGUAUAAAUAUAUGAAAUCGAUCUACUCGACGACAUGAACGCACACGCGUCAACCAUGCGCCGGUCGGAGGACGGAUGCGCCCCCACAUGCCGCCUAAAGUGGCGGUCCACGCGCGCCCACACGCCCCCGCGAGUAGUACUCGCCUUCUUCACGAAAAUCUGCAGUUUUGCAGAUUUUUGGGUCAACUUCCAGAGACCAUAACGAGCUCGAUUCUCAACCAAAUUCACUUCUACAAAAGCCAAAUUAAAGCUAGGAAUGUGAUCUACCGAUCCCAAUUUAUAGAAAGUUAGAAUAUAGUCUGUGUUGUUCAGAAAUUUCGUCUGAAAGUGGCCAAACGACCACGGCUGAAAUUUUCCAGAAAACUAAAAUUUUCUUCCCAACUUCUAGAGUUGAUUUCUAACUCGUUACUUAACCAAACUCAGUGAUUCAAAAGCCAUUUUGAAGUUAGGAAUGUAGAGAACACGUUUGUACCUAGAAGAAGUCCAGUUGUGGUCGAGGUUGGCCAGAAAAAUGGUUUGAAAAUGACUAAAUGGCCACGAUUCUUGUAUGAAAAACUUCGGGUUCUCCUUCUUCUCGAGUUUCUGGGUAAAACCACACGUUCAAAACAGCAACAAAGGAUCAAUAACAACCCAUAGAAGUGAAAUGAAGGUUCUAAGGGUUUCUUAAGACUUACCUUAGCCAUGCAUGGCUUGAAAAUCGUAGUAUCAAACUCGCCGAGUCGGACCUUCUGAGUUGGUGAGUUAAAACUCGUCCACACUAGAUUUCAAGGACAUGGUUGUGAUCGUGGGACUGAGAUGAUCACAAUGGGGUAAUUUGUUUUUCACGUUUGUGAGUUUUGGUGUGUUUUGUGGUUGUUGCUGAGAGGAAGAAGAAGAAGAAAUGUGGCGUGGGAGAGGGAGAAGAGAGAGAGAGAGAGAGAUGCUUUUCUAAUUGAGGGGGGGACAGAACAUACAGAAAAAAAUGGGAUAGCUGAGACUGAAUGAAGGGAAGUGCACGGGUAGGAUUUAAAAGGAAUCAAAGGAUAGCUUUUCAGAUUUCCCACAGUAAAAGGAAAUCGAAAUCUAUCCGAAGUAAAUAUUUUACACUUUAAAAUUUACACAUACUCGUACUAGCGUGUACAAUUUAAAUGCGAUAGCGAGAAAUAAAAAGGAAAGCGAUAAGAAUAAGUCCAAGUCACUUGCCAAUAAGGCAUAAUCGUCAAUAUACAUCCUCGGGGAGAAAUUACAUAGGAAAAUUAGGGACGGGUCGUCACACUGCGAGUUGCCGUUAUUUGUUUUGGGUGUAUCACAAGCUUUCCCAGGAUCCUCAGGGUAAGUCUGGUGUGAAGAUAUCUUCAUGGAUCCGAUUUUGGUAUUGGGCUGCCAUGAAGUACAAUAAGUCUUCAAAGAAAAGUGGCCCCAACAUGACAACCAAGCCAAAGGGAGACUUAGAUCCGUUAGGUGUCAUUGGUUCAGCUGAGCGCCAUGCUCCCGCCGAGUUGAAAGUGUUUGACUAACUUGGCGUAGUGUUCAACCCAUUUUCUUAGCUUUUUGUCUUUGUAAGUUUAUUUUCCCCAAAGAUGACGUCAACUUUAUCCAUCCUGGAGUCUUUAAAGUGGCUAGCAAGAUGGUUGCCAGUGAAUCUUUUAGACUCGCCAUUCCAGUCUUAGCCAAUAUUUAUGACGGCUUAAGUAUUGUUUCAAACUCAGCGAGCAAUGAAGAUUGUGAUGCGGUACUACCCUACCAUUAUGUGUAUAGUUAGUUGGGUGAGUACUUUGGCACUCAUUUUUCUUCGUCAACUUUAGACAGGUUGAGGCCUUCUUCAUCAACUUUAGCCAAGUCGGUGCCUUUGAUGACAAAGUGCUUUGGCGUGCUUUUUGCAAAAAGCCUUGAUGAUUUGCAAGUGCAAUCGUUGUUUAGAAGCUGUGAAGGUUUAAGAAUGGAUCAUCUGGCAAGGGUUAGCUUGGCGCGGCGAGGCCUCAUAGAUGAUUCACACCUUUGGUUCUCAGACUUGUCUUAUUUUACAAGUUUUCGCUCGGUGUAUGUUUCUUUGCGGCAAUGAGACUGAUGUAUUGUUCAACCAUAUAUAUGCAUUAAGAGUAAUCCAGUGACCCGUGCCUAUGUAGGUUAGUGGUCAAAGGUACACCAUGAUAACUUGGGGACGGACACCAAUUCUUCUCGUUCACGUAAUGAUGCUGCAAGAGAGGGCUGUUCUGCGGUUUUACACAGCUAGCACCUUUUGAUUGUGUAAGUGCAGCUCCUUUGCAAGAUGGACCUGCGGCCUUAGCUCUUGAAUGCCCAUGUUUUUCUUCUCAGCAUUCGGAUGCUUCUUAAGAGGCAGGUGACAAAGUUGACUCGUAUUAAGAUGAGCUUGUUUUGCAGCAGCAUCAAUAGGUUUUGAACAAGGGACCACUUGAAGGUGCCCAGGAUGACAGUGAUGUCAAUUUUUGUCAUAAGAAGAAGAAAGUCUUUAGGCAUCCUCAAUUUGAUGGCCGUGCAUCACUUGUGAACGAUGUAUGUAUUUCAUUGGUUUAACUUUUGUUUCUAACAUCUUUCUUUGUCUUCUUUAGGCUUGGGCCCUCUUGUUCCUUUGAUUUAGAGAACAUUGGCAUUCAUUUCUUUAUGAAAAUGCUAUUUGAAAGUAGUAUACCCAAGGACGAGGAGAUUGGAGACCCACCCGGUGUAGAGAUUAUUACAAAUCCGCCAAGUUGCCCAAUGUUGCGAAAUUUAAACUACCGAAAUUAGUCCAACUUAGUUCCAAAUUUUAUGCUCGUAAGCGUACGAAUCGUUUGAUAGUAUAGAAAGCAAGCACUUAAUAUCGUCCCUUAGAAAAUGAUUUAAUUCUUAUCAACUAACUUAAAUCCAAUUGCAACGAAGUGAAACUAGCAAAGAUUGAUGAAAGAUGGUUUUGAGAAUUGAAACUAAUAGUAAAAACAAAUAAAAACAAGAAAGUUUGAUCACAAUGCAAAAAAAUGACAGCCAAGAAAAGAAGUUGUAAUUCAAUCGAGUAAAACACUAGAGCGUCCGACUCAACAUAACGAAUCCUACUUAUUUCCUGCAACGAAUUAUUAACAAAUACUCAAUCUCAUUGAUGGUCAAAUUUCCCUAACACAUGUAAUAUCUAUGGCAUCUAGACUAUUACGUAUAUCCCAAUUUGCAACCAUCCAUGACAUCUGGAAUAGUUUAACAUCAUGAAACUCAUUACGAUCAGUGGAAAUUUAUAUUAAGACUACACAAAUCCUAGAGUAUGGCAUCUACUACUAGGUAAUUCAUGGUAUCUAUUUGCAAGAAGCUAUCACUCAAGUUGAAAACAUGGCAUCUGCACAACUUGCAUCAAAUUUACCAAGUAAAAGUCAAGAUGGUAGCUAAUCACCAAGACUAAAACCAAGCAUAUAAACACAACAAACGAUACUUAAUGAAAUUGAAAACUUGAAAUAAUUCACUUUAGAAAUUAAGCAUUCAUAGUCAUGGCUACAUCGUAGCCCUAGCUAAGGAAAAUUAGUUCCGAAACAUUACUGGAAAUAUCAUUGAAUUCAUAAUAAAAUUAAAAGAAAAACUAAGUUUAGAAAAGCCUGAAAUCCCCGUGCUCUGCCACUGCUUACUUCUCUUUGUCUCUGUCGCUGCCUAGUCUUCUCUUUCUUUCUUUUUUCAAUCAUCACCAGGUUACCUCUUUGAUUCUUCCAAUUAGCCGUUUUCUUUUUCGUAACCGUCAAGACCUUAAUGCCCAUUUAUUGCCUUGUAACUGCAGUCCUAGCCUCCCAAUCAGUUUCUUCGACUCUCCAGUUGCUUAGUAACUGAAAUUUUAAUCUCCCAAAUCAAUUGACUUCCAAUAAAUCUGAAAGUGGCUGAAUCCCCAAGUCAAUUGACACCAGUAAGUAAUGGACCAAUAAUCAGAACCCAUGCUCCUUCUAAGAACCCACAAACUGAAAUCAUAAAUGGAAAUUUGGGUUUCCAUCUCUUGUUGAAUUUUAUCGCUUAAAGCCCCUUGCUUUGCUGCAAUUGUAUGUGGCGGUUUGCUCCAGAAAAUUUGGAUUAGACCUUUCUCUCCUCUGUCGGUGUAAAUGGAAGGAUAAGGCCUUCCUUUGUGCAAUUGAAUAAAUCACGUGCCAUGUCUUCCCAUUUUGUUGACUUGUCAAACCUCUUUUUUGGACUUGUAAAACAAUAUGAUUCCUACACAAAAAUUCAACCAAAUAAGCAGCUCUAAUUUCUGAAGGAAAGUAAGAUUUGGAUGAGCCAAAAAUGCAAUUAAAAAUUUCCUAACUUGUGAAUAUCACUUCACACCAAUUUCAAUUUACAAAAAAAAUGACAAACACACUUCCACUCAAUCCACUUAACUGAACAAAACCACAUUCCAACUACUUUACUUGAAUUGAACUUAAAAGGAUUGAAUUCAUAAUUUUCUCCAAACCAUGUAAUUUCAUUCAUUUUGAACAAACAUGACACAAGAAAAUGUAGCUUUCGGAGUAAAAUAAGUAGUAAAAUAUGUGCUCAUCAAAUACCCCCAAACUUACAUUUUGCUUGUCCUCAAGAAAAAGAAGAAAACAUAAGAACAAGUAAUAGCAUGGAAAACGUUAGUUUCCCCCUAUGCGACCCUCAAAGAAUCUUAGUCAAGAGUUCAUAAUAAUCAAGAAAUUUCGUAAGCACAAAGCAAGUAAAUCAACCACAUUCGAAUUCUUAGCAAAAACCUUUCAAUCAUCCUUGACGUAUAGUGUGUGGAUUAACCAUGCCAAUGCAUUUCUAAGCUUCUUAAAAUCAUCAUAUGCAAACAAGUGACAUCCUCACCGGGCAUACACUCAUUCACUCAUAUUUUUGGAUAGUGUGUUUCACUCAAGUGAUCUCAAUCAAACAUGCCGCCAUAUGCUUGCUUGUCAACCUACCUUGCUAUUAAUAUCAUGUAAUUACUUGAAUCUAUAGGACUUUAGUUGGGUUGUAAUGGGGCUAAGGGUGAUAGGCUAGUGAAAGAAAGGAUAUGGAAACCAAAAAUUUUGAGAAAGUACACAUUAGCAGUUUUCCAACACCAAUAUCACACCCACUCAAAUUGAAAGCAAACUACAUUACCCGUAACAUUUGUUGCUUCCCCACUCAACUUCAUAUGGAAAUUAAUACUCUGCAUCCAAAGACUAGUCCUCUAAAACAUACAACUGCAUUCUCAAGCUUUACUUUUGAUAACAUGUACUUGUGCAUAACACAUUUUCAACAUCUCAACAUUUUUUUUUUUUACUCAAUGAAAUUGAUACUACCACAAUAAUGACAGUAGCCUGCAUAUUUUUAACCCUUUCCUUUUUUUUUUAACAUGCUCAAAUCUGCAAAGCUACAUCACCCCUCAAAUUCACAUUUCAUUGUAAUACGCAUGCUCCAUCCACUUUUUCUAUAUAAACAAAACCCAAAAAACACAACCUAUGUAAUACUUUCUCAAAACAAUAAGGGAUCGAUUUUUGUGUAUGGGCUCAACUCCAAUAUCGGAGCAUGGUAAAGAGAUGUGGCUAACAAAUAAAUGACUUAGUUAAAGGCUCAAUGGGCUACUAAGGAUACAAUUAGCAUAUAAGGUAGGCAUGAAAGGCUCAAACGAUCCAAAAAUAGCCUAUAUCACUUCCAAGUUAUUACAUGAAUUGAUGAAUGAUUCGAGAGGUAUAAAGCAAGUUCUAGAGAUACAUGUAAGAAUGAGAUCAUACACACAAGAACAAAUGUGAUUGAUGCAUGAUAGUUCAAUCAUAUAAAUAGGCUCAAAAGCUCACAAGGAUUACAUUAAGCCACUAUAUUCACAUAUGAAGUGUUAAACCAUGCUUUAGUUUCACAUCAACAAGGCAACGUGCAUUUGGUCUUUUCAAGGAUGAUCGAACGGGUAUAAAGCUAACAAAAAGAAUAAAGAGAUUCACCUAAAACAUGCUUACAACUUUCUCAAUAACCAUAGUUCGAAUUCAAUUCAAUUUCAUCAUUGGGUCAGGAAGCUAACAAAAAACUAAAUGAAAACAAGAUUUAAAAACAAAUUUUUUUUUUUGUAUUUUUCAAAGUUUUUGAUUGUUUUUUUUUCUUUCAGAAAUUAUAACCAAAACACUAACUAAAAGUAAAUAAUUAAAAGGGAGGACCCAACCAAUUAAAAGCAACAUGCUUAUUUCAAAUUAAAUAGUCGGACUAAACAAAUUUUCUUCAACCAGGGCUUAAAAAUCUCACUCCUACCCCCAAACUUAGAUGAGACAUUGUCCUCAAUGUCUGAUAGCAAGCACAUAAAAAUCACUUGGAAAAGCAAUGAAUUAAAUAACUUAGUCAAAGAACUUCCCUGGAUUAUGGUUCACAUGGCAACCACGGUGUGUUCAAGGUAGUAGCCACCCCUAACUAAAACACUUUAGUCUUCCAUUCAACGUUGUAUGGCAGCAAACAUUUCCCUACACCAAGAGAAAACAGUCAACAAGUAGCAAACGAGUGAAGAUAGAAAACAAAACAAACAAAACGAAAAAUAUGAAAUGAAACAAACAGAAAAUAUAAGAAAAGCAUGGGUUGCCUCCCAUGGAGCGCUAAAUUUAUAGUCUUCAGCCAGACUAUAUAAGGUUUAUGCUGAAUCUCGAAGGGAGGUCACCGUCUUCAUGGUAUCAAAAUUUGUUUCCACGUACGGCUUCAAUCUUUGACCAUUAACCUUGAAUAUGCUUCCCGACUCCAAAUUCUGAAUUUCCACCGUGCCAUAUGGAUAAAUUUGCACCACCAUGAAAGGACCAUACCAUUGAGAAUGAAGCUUUCCAGGAAACAACUUUAAUCUGGAAUUGUACAGCAACACCUUUUGUCCAACAUGAAAUUCUUUCAGCAGAAUGUUCUGAUCAUGCCACUUCUUAGUUCGUUCUUUAUAGAUCUUGGCAUUUUCAUGUGCAUCGUUCCGGAAUUCCUCCAUCUCACUAAGUUGUAACAAUCUUUUCUCCCCAGCUACUUCCAUGUCAAAAUUUAGUGUCUUGAUUGCCCAGAAAGCCUUAUGUUCUAGCUCAAUUGGCAAAUGACAUGCUUUACCAAAAACGAGCCGAUAUGGAGACAUGCCAAUUGGAGUUUUGAAAGCAGUGCGAUAUGCCCAUAAAGCAUUGUCUAACUUCUUCGACCAAUCUUUUCUCGAAGCACUCACAGUUUUCUCCAGAAUCUUCUUGAUUUCCCGAUUUGAAAUUUCCACUUGUCCACUUGUCUGAGGGUGAUAAGGUGUAGCAACCUUAUGUGUGAUUCCAUACUUUGCUAAGAGAGCUGCAAAUUGCUUGUUACAAAAGUGAGUUCCUCCGUCACUAAUAAUAGCACGAGGGGUUCCAAAGCGGGUGAAUAUAUUUGCCUUCAAAAAUCGGAGAACAACUCGGGCAUCAUUAGUAGGAACAGCUACAGCUUCCACCUAUUUCGACACAUAAUCAACUGCUACCAAUAUAUACUUGUUCAAGAAAGAAGAGAGGAAUGGCCCCAUAAAAUCAAUUCCCCACACACCAAAGAGUUCAACUUCCAGAAUAUUAUUAAGAGGCUCUGAUUUCUACGAGAAAUAUUUCCGGUCCUUUGACAGCGAUCACAAGAGGCAACAAAGGCAUGUGAAUCCUUGAAUAAAGAGGGCCAAAAGAACCCAGAUUGGAGAACCUUUGCUGCUGUUUUUGAGGUAUUGAAAUGUCCCCCACACGCAAGAGAGUGGCAAUGAUUGAGAAUGCUGAUUUGCUCAUCUUCGAGUACACAUCGGAGAAUCACUUGAUCUGGACAAUGUUUAUACAAGUACGGAUCAUCCCAGAAAUAGUGUUUGACCAUGGAGAGAAAUUUCUUCUUUUGUUGAAAACUCAUAUCUUUCGGAAUCACACCACUAGCGAAGUAAUUUACAAAAUCGGCAAACCAUGGGACUUUUCCAUGUUGGACAGCAAACAAGUGUUCAUCUGGAAAAGUUUCAUUGAGCGAUAUAGUUGAUUCCACCUCACCAUCUUGAAUAAGCCUUGACAAAUGGUCUGCCACCACAUUUUCGGACCCCUUUUUGUCUCGAAUCUCAAGAUCAAACUCUUGAAAAAGAAGAACCCAUCUGAUCAGCCUCAGUUUUGCAUCUUUUUUAGACAUUAAGUACCUCAAGGCCGCAUGAUCUGUGUAUACAAUAACCUUCGAACAAAUAAGAUAGGACCGAAAUUUAUCAAGUGCAAAUACUACAGCAAGCAUCUCCUUCUCUAUGGUGGAAUAAUUGAGUUGUGCAUCGUUUAAAGUGCGGCUUGUGUAGUAAAUAACAUGAGGAAGUUUGUCCUUUCGCUGCCCCAAAACAGCUUCUAUGGCAUAAUCGCUUGCAUCGCACAUCAGUUCAAAUGGGAGACUCCAAUCGGGUGUUGUCAUAAUAUGGGCUAAAGUGAGCAGAUUCUUCAAGAUGUUAAAAGCUGAUAAGCAUUCAGAAUCGAACUCAAAAACAACAUCUUUCUGAAGAAGAUCACUAAAAGGCUUGGCUAUUUUCGAGAAAUCCUUGAUAAAUCUGCGAUAGAACCCUGCAUGACCAAGGAAACUUCGAACUCCUUUCACUGAAGUUGGUGGUAGAAGAUUUACAAUCAACUUAACCUUCGCUCUAUCAACCUCAAUACCAUUCGCUGAAAUUUUAUGCCCCAAGACUAUGCCUUCUUGCACCAUGAAAUGGCAUUUUUCCCAAUUUAACACCAAAUUAGUCUCCUGUCAUCUUUUCAAUACUAGCUCCAAAUUGUGAAGGCAAUUAUCAAACGAAGACCCAAGAACAGAGAAGUCAUCCAUGAAUACUUCUAUAAAACGCUCCACCAUAUCAGAAAAUAUACUCAUCAUACACCUUUGAAAAGUAGCCAGUGCAUUACAUAAUCCGAACGGCAUCCUUCUAUACGCAAAAGUACCAAAUGGGCAGGUAAAGGUAGUCUUUUCUUGGUCUUCAGGAGUAAUAGCAAUCUGAUUAUAUCCCGAGUAUCCAUCAAGAAAGUAAUAAAAUGCAUGGCCAGCAAGUCGUUCCAGCAUCUGAUCAAUGAACGGAAGUGGAAAAUGAUCUUUCCGUGUGGAAUCAUUUAUCUUUCAGUAAUCUGUACAGACUCCCUACUUCAUUUUUUGCCUUGGGGGCAGCAGCUCAUUAGUAUCACUUUUGAUCACCGUCGUACCUUCUUUCUUCGGAACAACGUGAAAUGGACUUACCCAUCUACUAUCAGAUAUUAGGUAGAUCCAAAAGCUUAAGAACUUCUUCACGAACAACUUCCUUCAUAAGUGGGUUGAGUCUCAUUUGAGCUUUAAUGGUAGGCUUGCUAUUCUCUUCAAGCAAAAUUCUAUGCAUGCAAACCGUUGGACUGAUUCCCUUUAUAUCAGCUAUAGUCCAUCCCAACACCAUUUUAUACUCUUUCAGUACCCUAAGUAAUUUUUCCUCUUCAAGUGGACUCAAACUUGCAGCAAUUAUGACAGGUGGGUCUCGGCAGCCCCUAAAUAAGCAUACUUCAGAUUUUCUGGCAAUUGCUUCAACUCUAACUUAGGUGCAACCUCAAUAGAUGGUUGAAUUUUCUUUGGAGCUGGUCCCAAAGCCUUAAAAUAAUGUCUCCGAUGCUGAUUGUGUACAGGAGCAGAAUAUAACAUUGCUGAAAUAGCAAGUACAUCUUCAUUUGUUCCACCACUCAAUUCAGAAUGAACCAAGCAUGCUUCCAAAGGAUCAUCCGAAUGUUGCUCUAUAUAUUUCAGAUUCACUAGCUCUUCCAACGCCUCAACUCGAAAGCAUCUUUCAGAAUCACUUGGAUAUUUCAUAGCCUCAACGACCUUGAACACCACUUCCUUGCCUUGAACUCUCAAAUUGAGGAGACCUUUUUGGACGUCGAUAAGAGUUCCAACGGUAGCCAUAAAUGGACGGCCCAAAAUGAUUGGAAUUUCUCGAUCCUCCUCCAUGUCAAGUACCAAGAAAUCAACCGGUAGAAUGAAUUGAUCAACUCGAACUAGAACAUCUUCAAUGAUUCCUCUUGGAUAUGUAACCGAACGAUCAGCAAGUUGUAAAGAUACCGAAGUGGACUUCAUCUCUCCAAGACCAAGCUGUUUAAAGAUAGUAAAUGGCAUUAAAUUAACACUAGCUCCUAAAUCAAACAAAGCUUUUUCAAAGGAAAAUUUGCCAAUUGUACAAGGAAUAGUAAAACUCCCUGGAUCUUUUAACUUUGGGGGUAGCUUUUGUUGCAAAACGGCACUGCACUCUUCAGACAAUAUCACUUUUUCGUGUUCCACAAACCUCUUCUUGUUAGUGCAGAUGUCCUUUAGGAAUUUUGUAUAACUCGGAAUUUGUUUCACUGCAUCAAGCAAAUGAGUGUUAAUAUGUACCUUUUUAAAUAAAUCUAAAAUUUCAAAAAAGUUCUUGUCUUUCUUAGCCCUUUGCAAACGCUGAGGAUAUGGAACAGGUAGUGAAUAAAUCUUUUCUUGUGCUAACUCCUCAUCUUGCAAUGUGAGUGAAUCAUUCUCAGGUUUUUCAGACUUCUUUUCUUUCUUUGCACCCUCCGUUUCUAUGGUCUUGCCACUCCUUAAUGUAAUAGCUUUAAUGUGCUCUUGGUUCUUCGGAUUCACUUCCGGCUGACUUGGAAAUUUCCCAAUCUCUUUUUCAUUCAACGCACUAGCAAUCUGACUAACUUGAACUUCCAGCUUCCCAAUUGAAGCUUGCUGAUUUUGGAGUGUUGUCUGAGUUGCUUGAAUGAAGUUAUUUGUGUUUGUAGCAAGUUGAGCUAUCAAGUCUUCCACUGGUGUCUUCUUUUCUUGUGGCUGGAAAUUCAUAGGAGGCGGCCUAGCUGGAGGAUUCAUAACAUUCAGAUUGUUAUUCCAUUGAAGAUUUGGAUGAAAACGCCAACCAGGAUUGUAAGUGUUUGAAUAUGGGUUAUUCCGCUGACGAGAAAAAUCAUUCACUUGAUUUGCUUGCUCUUGCAUAUACUCCGAAAAUGAACCAAUGUUUGGGCACUCAGUACUUGCAUGUAUACUUGCACAUAUUUCACAAACCACAUCAAAAAACUUCACAGAUUUAACGGUCAUCAAAUUAUCAAACUUUUUAUUUAAGUUAGAAAUCUGUGCAGCUAUGGUAGACAUGGCAUCAAUCUCGUGCACUCCAGCACGUUUGGGUGGUCCUCUUUCCACUCCUCACUGUUGAGAAUGAGUAGCUAAUGUCUUGAAAAGUGCUGAUGCCUUGACAACUGUCUUUGUCAUUUGAGCUCCUCCACUAGCAGCAUCAAUCAUUCUCUUGUUUUCGGGAGUCAGUCUUUGAUAAAAUGAUUGCAGCUGCAACCAUUCCGGUAAGCCAUGAUAAGGACACUUCAUCAAUAAAUCUCGGAACCUCUCCUAACUAUCAUAAAAAGCUUCAUAAUCAAAUUGGGCAAAAGUCAUGAUUUCAUUCUGUAACUUAGAAGUCUUCGAAGGAGGAAAGAAUCUUUGAAGGAAUUGAUUUGCCAACUCAUCCCAAGUUGUUAUAGAAUUAGUUGGCAAAUAGUUAAACCAAGACUUUCCCUUGUCCUUGAGUGAAAACGGAAACAGCCGCAAUUUGAUAGCAUCGUUAGUUGCCCCAUGGAUCUUCAAAGUUUCACAUAUCUCGACAAAGUCACUAAUAUGUAAAUUUGGAUCUUCAGUAGAAAGACCAUAAAAUGAUGGCAACAUCUGGAUGAAUGACGGCUUCAACUCAAACUAAUUAGCCGUAAUUUCUGGACGCACAAUACAAGACGAUGUAGCUCCAAUAGUAGGAGUCGAAUAAUCUAUAAGAGCACGAUUUUCAUUCGGGAUUAUAUGGCACAAGCUCAAGACUUCGAGAACGACGAUCGUGCAUGAACUUCACAAAAACACCUGAAAACGAAAGAAAACAAAAAUUAAAAUAAAACAAAUACACGUAGCAAUUGAAAUAAGAAAGAGAUAGAAUUAAAUUUCAAUCCCGGGCUGCGGUGCCAAAAACUUGCUGCGAAAUUUAAACUAACCGAAAUUAGUCCAACUUAGUUCCAAAUUUUAUGCUCGCAAGCGUAUGAAUCGUUUGAUAGUAUAGAAAGCAAGCACUUAAUAUCGUCCCUUAGAAAAUGAUUUAAUUCUUAUCAACUAACUUAAAUCCAAUUGCAACGAAGUGAAACUAGCAAAGAUUGAUGAAAGAUGGUUUUGAGAAUUGAAACUAAUAGUAAAAACAAAUAAAAACAAGAAAGUUUGAUCACAAUGCAAAAAAAUGACAGCCAAGAAAACAAGUUAUAAUUCAAUCGAGUAAAACACUAGAGCGUUCGACUCACCAUAACCAAUCCUACUUAUUUCCUGCAACGAAUUAUUAACAAAUACUCAAUCUCAUUGAUAGUCAAAUUUUCCUAACACAUGUAAUAUCUAUGGCAUCUAGACUAUUACGUAUAUCCUAAUUUGCAACCAUCCAUGGCAUCUGGAAUAGUUUAACAUCAUGAAACUCAUUACGAUCAGUGGAAAUUUAUAUUAAGACUACACAAAUCCUAGAGUAUGGCAUCUACUACUAGGUAAUUCAUGGUAUCUAUUUGCAAGAAGCUAUCACUCAAGUUGAAAACAUGGCUUCUGCACAACUUGCAUCAAAUUUACCAAGUAAAAGUCAAAAUGGUAGCUAAUCACCAAGACUAAAACCAAGCAUAUAAACACAACAAACGAUACUUAAUGAAAUUGAAAACUUGAAAUAAUUCACUUUAGAAAUUAAGCAUUCAUAGUCAUGGCUACAUCGUAGCCCUUGCUAAGGAAAAUUAGUUCCGAAACAUUACUGGAAAUAUCAUUGAAUUCAUAAUAAAAUUAAAAGAAAAACUAAGUUUAGAAAAGCCUGAAAUCCCCAUGCUCUGCCACUGCUUACUUCUCUUUGUCUUUGCCGCUGCCUAGUCUUCUCUUUCUUUCUUUUUUCAAUCAUCACCAGGCUACCUCUUUGAUUCCUCCAAUUAGCCGUUUUCUUUUUCGUAACCGUCGAGACCUUAAUGCCUAUUUAUUGCCUUGUAACUGCAGUCCUAGCCUCCCAAUCAGUUUCUUCGACUCUCUAGUUGCUUAGUAAUUGAAAUUUUAAUCUCCCAAAUCAAUUGACUUCCAAUAAAUCUGAAAGUGGUUGAAUCCCCAAGUCAAUUGACACCAAUAAGUAAUGGACCAAUAACCAGAACCCAUGCUCCUGCUAAGAACCCACAAAUUGAAAUCGGAAAUGGAAAUUUGGGUUUCUGAUCGGAUCAUAUUUAUAUAUAUUUUUACUUCGAAUUCACUCGUCUUUUCUUUGUUAGUUCCUUAUAUUUUUGAGCUAUUUACGUUAUUUUUGUGUUUAUAGGAUUUGUUAUGCAAAGAAAAUAAAAAUAGAAUAAAUGAAAUUUUAUGUAAUAACUUCGUCAAAAUUGUAUUCCAUUAAAAUAAGUUGAAAAUAAGUACAUAGAGUAAUUAACGUCUUUCCUAUCUAGCCAAAAACAUAAACUGAAAAGUAAUUUAAUGAAAAACUCAUUUUCGACAUGUUUGUGUGAAAUUUGCAUGCAGGAUCUCUUUAUUAAGAGUUUGCAGUCAGUGGGAUUAUAUACUGAAAGUCUUAAAGAACAUCGGGAGGAGAAUAUAGAGAAAAGGAAGCUGCUUUGCAGCUGGAAAUGAAGGAAUCCAAACAUGGGCAGCGGCAUAAAAUAAAAAGGCAGGAAGCUGCCUUAGCAGCUUGAAAAAUUAUAAAGAAAAAAAAGAGCUGCUUUUGGCAGCUAGAGAAAGUGACACGGGAGAGAGGAGCAUGUGAAAGGAAAGCAGUGCGCUAGGGAGCAUGUGAGAGGACAGCAGUGGGCUGUCUUGGCAGCCCAGAGGAGUGACACGGAAGGAGAAAACGUGAGCUGGAGAGGGGGUCAGCGAGAAAAGGGAAUAAGAAGACUGCGAGGAAAUAAAAGGGGGGAGUACGGGACAGAUUGAAGGAGCUGCUUGGGCAGCGUGAAGAGGGGAGAGAACGGGCAGCUAGAGGGACUGACGGGGAGGUCACAAGCUGCCUUUGGCAGCGUGACUGGCAGAACACGGAGAGAAGCUAGCAGACAGGAGGUGCAGAGGAGAAACCGAGGAGGAGAGCUGCCUUGCGGACUCAGACUGGCGAGCAGCGUGAGCCUCGGGGAGGAGAAAAACAGAAGCAGCAAGCUGUCUUCUCUUUCGGUUAAAUCUUUCCGAACUUAUAUUUUAUUUCUGUUUUAAUAAUGUGUAACUAAAUUUAUUUUGGCUAGAGGUUAAUUCAAAACCAUGAUUAUAUUUGUAAUAUGAAUUGAUUACAUCUAGUUGUGAUUCAUAAGUUGUGAAUUCAAUUUACUUAUCCGUUCGUAUAAAAACUUAUUUGUGUAUGUUGGUUGAGAGUGCACGCUUAAUUUUCAUGCAUGAAUUUGACGCUAGAAUAUAAGGGAGUUUCACCUAAUCGUUAUGAACUUAUAUUCAUAAGUAGUGAAGGUUGCUAGUCACAAUCACGUUAAGUAAAUUCUUGGCAUAAGUUUCAUGCAAAUCAUAGUAACGAGUGUCUCGUCAAUGCUUAUGUUUUUCAUAGAACUUAAUGAUUCUUGCUUGUAUCUCUAUUAUGCAACUCAUGUAGGGAACUUGUAGGGAAUGUUUUGGGUUGUAGUAUGCAAUCAUCCAACCCAAUAACUUGUGGAAAAACUGAGGGUUAAUUAGUGCAAUUCACGGUUAAUUUGGGGCGUUGAGUAUUCAUAGCUUAUCGAAAAGCAACUGGAAAUCAUUUUGUAUGCAAGUAUAACAUGUGUGGAGAAGAACCCUCUAGCUAGUCUGUCACCUAUCCUUUCACCUUAAUUUCAUGCUCUUGUCAAUUCUGUAAUUUAUUUAAGUUUAAUUUACUUUUCGUCAAAACCAAACCCCCCCAUUAUUAAAUUAUAUUAUUUCGUUAGUUCAUUGUUGUUAGUCUUUUAAUUCAAUUUCCGUCCAUUUCAGUUCCUAGUGUCUAAAUUUGAUUGUUUUCAUUAUUUUGAGUCAUUCUAAGUGUGUUUCGAGUUAUUAGAGUUUUUAGCCUAGUUUUGUGUCCUUGAGUCUUGUUUAAUAUUUUUAAAUUAAUUUAGAAUAGAUUAGCAAUCCCUCCUAAUCCCCGGCCUAGAACGAUACCCUACUUACAUCUUUACUACAAUUGUCACAAAGAGGGUUUAAUUUGUGUGUCAAGUAAUUCUCACACCAGUUUCCAUCUCUUGUUGAAUUUUAUCGAUUAAAGCCCCUUGCUUUGCUGCAAUUGUAUGUGGCGGUUUGCUCCAGAAAAUUUGGAUUAGACCUUUCUCUCCUCUGUCGGUGUAAAUGGAAGGAUAAGGCCUUCCUUUGUGCAAUUGAAUAAAUCACGUGCCAUGUCUUCCCAUUUUGUUGACUUGUCAAACCUCUUUUUUGGACUUGUAAAACAAUAUGAUUCCUACACAAAAAUUCAACCAAAUAAGCUGCUCUAAUUUCUGAAGGAAAGUAAGAUUCGGAUGAGCCAAAAAUGUAAUUAAAAAUUUCCCAACUUGUGAAUAUCAUUUCAGACCAAUUUCAACUUACAAAAAAAAUGACAAACACACUUCCACUCAAUCCACUUAACUGAACAAAACCACAUUCCAACUACUUUACUUGAAUUGAACUUAAAAGGAUUGAAUUCAUAAUUUUCUCAAAACCAUGUAAUUUCAUUCAUUUUGAACAAACAUGACACAAGAAAAUGUAGCUUUCGGAGUAAAAUAAGUAGUAAAAUAUGUGCUCAUCACCCAAGUUUGCCAUGUGUAGGUGAAGGUAUGCAAGAGCCUGCCAUGCAUCCAACACCUUCGCCAACUAGCUCCAAGAUCUCUCUUAGAUGGCCAAACCUUAGUAGCACCGAGCAACUUGUCCAUCGUAUCGACCUUCGCUCGGCCAUGGAUAUCAAGAGCCAUAUUGAGAAGGGGAUUUCAAAGUGCCCAGUGAAGGACCUUGUGUUGCUUAAUGAGGACUUGUCGAAGCUUGUUUCUGCGAUUAAUGACCUUAACGUUAAUUCCUCACUCUUGAGAGUCAAAAUUGCCGAACUUAUGGCCACCUCAACUGAGUAUUCUUCCUUGCAUUCUAUUUCCUCGAAGAAGUUGAGUCUAGAGGUUAGAGCUCAACAACUUGCGACAAUAAACUUAUCAAUUGCCCAAGUUCGGUCUUCUCAGCAAGCUGCUUUGGAAGGUUAUCAAGUCACAAUAACUUCUUUAGCUUCCGACAAGGCACAUCUAGAAGCAUUGGCGGGUGAGCAAGAACAGUUGGAAAUCGAAGCAUUACGACUUCAAGGUGUUCUCUCGGAGCAGGAAGCUAUACUUUCUCAACAUCAAGAGGGGAUUUCACGCCUAAAGCAAGAGAAAGGCACGGCCAUGGAAGUGCCCACCUUGUCCCUCACUGAUGUGGAGACUUUGAAGACUUUGGAAGGCUUGCUUGAAGACUAUCGUCGUAGUUUUAGGGACAUAGGUUUCAUGUAGUGUCUUCCGUUUUUUGUACUUUAAGCAUUCUUUGUUUUUUUGCUCAUUUUGUAAUACGGCUUUGUAGCCGAAUUCUUCCUUUAAAGAAAUAAAGUAUUCACAUUCUUGAAUUUGCUCUUUAUUCUUCAAAGUAUUUGUGUUUUUGUUGAUGAUGUGACUGUACUUGAAGUUUUGAAGUUUCAAGUUGCCUACGUACCCUCGGUUGAGGAGGGAUCAAUUCAUGACGUAGUUCAAAGGAAUGAUGGAUUGCUUUUAAUGGUUUUGAUGGUGCUUUUUUUUAUAAUGAUUUUGAUUUUUUUUUUCUGUUUUGCCGUACACAGUAUGCUCUUGCGGGCCAGAAGUGGUGGGUGUCACCUUUUAAGCCUGUACGAACAAGAAGCAUUAGGUGUCACUUUUUAAGCUCGUGCGAACAAGGAGCAUUGUUGCCAUGUUCAUCUUAGGCUUAUGCAGGCAAAGAGCAUUGAGUGUCGCCUUUUAAACUCGUGCGAACAAGGAAUGUUGAGUGUCGUCUUUUAAACUCGUGCGAACAAUGAGUGUCAAAUGUUGCCUUUUAAGCUCGUGUGGACAAUGAGCAUUGUGCUGUGUGCAGUUUAGGCCCAUGCAGGCGAUGAGCGUUGGGUGUUUGGUUUAUAGGUAGUAACACUUCAAGAAUCUGCCAUUGAUGGGGCUAAUUUUUAAGCCGUCUUCUGCCAUGAUUAAGUAGGCGUUGUUGGUGUAGACUUCUUGUAUUACGUAAGGUCCAUCCCACUUUGAUAUGUACUUGCUUUUUGUCUUGUGAGUUGUGAUGAUGGGCCUUCGUAAUGCCAAGACAAGAUCUCCAGUUUGGAAAGACCUUGGGUGGACCUUCUUGUUGAAUGCCUUGGAUAGCUAUGCAUGGUAGCAUUCCAAGUGUUGUUGAGCUUUUAACCUUCUUUUGUCGAGUGCUUCCAACUCUUAAAGUCAUAACUUUGCAUUUUCCUCUUCAAUCAAGCCUUCUUAUACAACAAUCAUUAGUGAAGGGAUUUGACCUUAAAGCAGCAGAACAACUUCUAUGCCAUAUACGAGAGAAUAAGGCAUAGUUUGGGUAUGAGUCUUAUGUGUCAUCAUAUAUGCCUAAAGUGCUGCGCUUAUUCUUUCGUGCUAGUCUUUUUUUGUUUGGCCGAUCACCUUCAUCAGGAGGUUGCAUAGCAUUUUGUUGAAUGUUUUCGCAAGACUGUUGGCCGAAGCAUGGUACAUGGAAGACUUGUGGUGCUUGAAUUUGUAUUUCUCACAGAGCUCAUCCACGAGUCAGUUGGAGAACUGUUUUUCGUUGUCGGUGAUGAUGUAGCGAGGCACACCAUAUCGAUGGAUGAUAUGCUCUUUGAUGAAAUGGACAACAGUUUCCUUCUUGACUUCCCUUAAGGGUACGGCUUCAGCCCACUUAGAAAAGUAAUCCAUUGCGGCUAGGAUGUAGGCUUAUCCUGCAGAUGACUUUGGAGUGAUUGGUCAUACGACGUCUAAUCCACAUGCAUCAAACGGCCAUGAAGCAACUAUAGGAUGUAAUGGUUCAGGCAGUUGAUGUAUGAAGUUGGCAUGGAAUUGGCAGGCUUGGCACCUUUUAGCGUACUCCAGGCAAUCCUUCACCAUGCUUGACUAGUAGUAACCCAUUUUUUUGAGCUUGAAAUGUAGCUUUGGUCUAGACUGAUGCACGUCUCAUACGCCUGAAUGUGCUUCUUCCAUAGCUUGAUUGGCUUUUUCCUCACCUAGGCAUCUCAGAAAUACUCCUUUAAAAAAACGUCGGUAGAGUGUUCGUUUGUAGUAGAGGAAGCGAGAUGCUUUUUGAUGUAUUUUAGAGCUGUGUCUAGGAUCGUCUGGAAGCUUUUCAUGAUCCAAUUAGUCGAUCAGUGGCUGUCUCUACUCUUUAGUGUCGACUGGAAGUACUGAGAUGACGUUUGUAUCAUCCAGUAGCAUUUUAGUGACGAGCGGGAUCACCUAUCUAUAGCAAACUAGCACAUUUCCAGCUUUGUCUUCUCCUAGCUCCAUACUUGAGGCAAGGUUAGCGAAAGCGUCCGCCAUUUGAUUUUCUUUUCUUGGCAUAUGUUCUAGCGUCACGGCCUCGAACUUUUGUAGCAAUUGAGUUGCUAGCCUAAAGUAUGGGACGUGAUCAUCUUUCCUCACUUCAUAUUCAGUUAUUCAGUCAAGAGUUGAUUGAUUAUGAGCUUGGAGUGCAUAUACACUUCUAGCAUUGUGAUUUCCAUGUCUAUUGGCAUUUGGAAUCGAAUGAUCAGUGCUUGGUACCCAGCGACAUUGUUGGAGCAUAGCUUGCUUAGUUGGAAGGAAUAAGGUAGUACUUGUCUUUAUGGCGACAUGAAUACUACUCCUGCUCCUGCUCCGUCCAUUCGUGCAGACCCGUCGAAGAACAUUUGUCCAUGUCCGGAAGAUGUCGAUGUAGAACACCUCCUCAUCAGGCAAGUCGUCUCCAAUCGGCUAGGAUUUGAGGAAAUCUGCUAGGGCUUGUCCCUUGAUGGCUUUAACUGAGACAUAGAUGAUCUCAUAUUGAUUGAGAAACAACGCCUUUUAGCUAGUCGCCCUGUCAGAACUGGUUUGGACAUAACAUACUUGACUAGGUCAGCUUUAGCAACCAAGUGGAUGGUGUAAGCAUGCAUGUAAUGUCUUAGCUUUUGGACGGCGAAGACUAGGGCAAGGCACAUCUUCUCGAUAGGUGAGUAGUUGAGCUCGGCACCAGUGAGAGUUCUACUUGGGUAUAGAGUGCUAUUUCCUUUUGGUUUUCAUUUUCUUGUGCCAAGAGUGCUCCAAUGGAACCCUUUUAUGUGGAAAUGUAUAGGAUGAGCAGCUUUCCAGGCACGGGUGCUCCUAAGCCAAGUGGGAGAUAGUGUUCAGCAAGGUUAGAGAUGAAACGCAUAAUAAAGGCUAGCCGACCUUGUAGACUUUUCAGCUCGUGUAGAUUCCUUGGCUCGGGCGUGCUUUGAAUAGCUUUAAUGUUCGAUUGGUUUAUUUCAAUGCCACAGUUCUUGACACUGAAGCCAAGGAACUGUUAGAAGUAUGCCCACAAAGCCACUCAUUUGAUGUAAUAGCUUUUUGGAAUACUUAAUGUAUUAAACUUUUAUAUGUUUAAUGAAGGGCAAAGCUUAUUGUUAAUCACUAUUUAUUGUAUCAUGUGUUUAAGCAAUAAGGGAAUCCUAGGGAUGUAUUUGAUCUAAGAGACAAGUGAUCUAAGUGAGUUAGAUUAUCGAGACCAUUCUCUUAUGUUCAUUCCUAAAACGUUCCUAGCCAUAGGAUUGCUAAUUGGGCAUUGACAAUCCGCUAAGGUUAGUAUGUGUUAUGUUGACUCAAGCGUGAGUAUGACUAGUCUCAAGUCAUUUAGUGUUGUACACUAAGACAAACACAUAGGUGCUCGAAAGAGUAAUCGAGUAUACUGAACAACGAUCAAAAGAGAGUUCGAACAUACAUGUCAUGUAUGAACUCUAAAGUUGCAAUAUGCAAAGUAGUCAUUUGACCUGAGGCAUCAUAGAUGUCUAAUGGUUACGUCCUUGAUCUUUGAUCAUGUCAACGACAUUCCAUCGGAGUGUCCACGACAUUGUUGGGGUCAAGCUAUCUAGUCAUGUAGGCAUAUGAAUGCACAACAAGGGAUCUCUAACCUUCCAUGGUGGAAGGAGAAUACUCUAAGAUAUGAUUCUAAAGUCUUUGGCCAAAGUAAAUGAAUAUGACUUAGGAAGUUUGUUCCAAAUCAUAUUCAAGGGAAUCAUGUAGAAAAGUAUCACAUUGGAUAGUAGACAUGAAACAAACUAUCAUUCAAACAAUGUGAUUAAGAGUAUUGUAUUAGAGAAGGACCGUAUUGCAUUGUAGUUGUAACUGGAUAGGUUCUCCAACCAAUUCUACUUAGCUUGGGUAACCAUGAUAUACUGCUAGGUGUCACUCAUGGUUUGUGGAAGCCCUAAUGAUUAGGCAACACUAGUCAAUAAAGGGAGAAUUGAAAUGUGGUUUCAAUUCACAAUCGAUCGUUAAGAGUAACAAUCGCCUACUACCUCGCUAAAUGGAACCUAAUGGAUCGUACACCGAGUAAGGGUGAUAGUGAAGAAAUUAAAUGAAAUGGAUAUGCAAUUAAAUGGUUUAAUUGAAGAAUGGUCAAGAUUAAUUAAUUAGUUAAUUAAUUUUACGAAAGGUUCGUAUUGGGCUUUUAAGUUGGUUUUGGGUUCGGGGCCCAAAAGCGUUUUGGUCCACAAGGCCCAUUAUGUUUAAGUUGUAUGACAACUAAAACAAAAUGGGCAAUAAGCCCAAUCACUUACAAGGGGCCGGCCAUAAGGGGUGAGUGUGAGACUUUGCUUAAUUGCAAGUUUGCCACUCACCAAAUGUAAUGAAGUAUAAAAGCAACUUUAUAGCAUUAUUUUCAUUAGGGUUUUUCUUUGAGGCAAAGAGGUGAAACAUUUUCUCUCUUCCUCUCUACAAAGAGGCCGGCCACUUAGGGAAGAUUUAGCUAGCAAUCUUUUCUUCUCUAAGUCAUCCAUUUCAUCUUCACACCUCACCCUUGGUGUGGAGACUUAGAGACACCAAACUUUUGGUGUUUUUGGAGAUCCUUUCCUCACAUCAUCAAGGAGCAAAGGAGCACUAAAAGGGGAAAAUCACAGGCAAGAUUCAAGGAGCUUGGAGGUGACUUGAAGGCCCUCCACUUGGGUGAAUCCCUUGUGUAAACAAGGAUGAUCUUCAAGGGUAAAGAAAAUCUAAAUCUUUACUUCUCUUUAAUGUUGUUAAAGAGUCUUUUGGUUCACCAUAUACUAGGCUUUGAAAGUCAUGGGUUUUAUGAAUUGUUUUUGGAUGCAUGCCUACUUUAAAGUGUUUAUAGCUUGCAUAUGUAUUCAAAUGUUCAUACUUGUUCUUAGCUAGGACAAAAUUUUUCCUUCAGGAACUUCCCAGAGGUGACGCCAAAUGCACACUUCAACGAGUUCAUCUUGAUGUUGUAGUGCUGUAGUUUGUCGAACACCAUACGUAAAUCCUUAAGUGAUCAAAUCUUUUCUUGGUCUUGACAACUAUGUCGUCUAUGUAACAUUCUACAUUUUUGUGUAGCAUGUCGUUAAAGAUCUUUUGCAUUGCAUGUUGAUAUGUAGCCCCAACAUUCUUCAAGCGAAAGAGCAUUACCUUUUAACAGUAGAUAACUUUUGGAAUGUGGAAAGCUGUUAGUUCCUUGUCUCGGGAACCAUGCGGACUUGAUUAUACCCAGAGGAGCAGUCCAUGAAUGAUAGCUCCUCGUAGCCAGUGGUUACGUCCACCGUGAUUUCGAUGAUUGGCAAGGGAAAGUCAUCAUUCGGGCAAGCAUCGUUAAGUUCUCGGAAGUCUACGCAAACACGUAUUUGUCCAUAUUUCUUAAGGACAAUGACGAUGCUGGAGAUCCACUUAGGGUAUUGCACAUCUCGAAUGAAGUCUGCUUCAAUUAGCUUGUUAAUCUUGGCCUUAAUUUGUGGUAUGAGUUUGGAUUGAUAGCGUCUUUGAGUUUGCUUUAUCAGUCGCGUUCCAGGCUUGACUGCAAGACGAUGCACUGUGAUGGUAGGGUGAAGGCCGGGCAUUUCCUUGUAGGCCCAAGCAAAGAUGUUUUUGUACUAUAAUAGCAGUUGCUAGUACUCCUUGUUCUCAUUCGCACUUAGCAGUGCACUUAUGAAGAUAGGCUUUGGCUCAUCGUUUGUGCCUAAGUUGAGCUCCUUGAGAUAAUCAAUCGUGGCUUGCCCCUCAUCAUCGAGUUGUGGUGGUGCAGCAGUGAUGUCUUCCUCAGGGGUUUCAUCCUCUUUGUCUUCUUGGAUUGUGGAAGACGUCUUAGACCUUCUUUUCAAUGUCGUCCCCUUGGGCUUGUUGGUGUGAAGAUUGGCCAAUGUGGAUGAUGGUGCGCCUCUUUACCUUUAGUUGUCCUUUUGUGUUGACUUCCAAGGUUGCUUGUUGCUCUAUCCUUGAAGAAAUUGAGCUUUAAACAUCGUCUUUUUGUCUUCCUCUUUCUAGAAGACUGCUUGGUUUCUUUAAGUAUUUCCAAGGCCGACCAUCAUCGAGGAGAGUUAGUUGUGUUGCUUUGUUUCUUAGGUUUUGACAACCUUUCAAACACAGAGCUUUAGGGUGUUGGCAUGUUAAGCCGCUUGAAGACGGAAGUUCGAUCUUGACCACCAAUGCGAUCAAGUGCCUAAAUUCUAGGUUUUGAACGAUUCAGCCUAUCAAAGACUAACGUUCGAGGGAAAACUCGAGUGCCAACAUGUGGUCCUUAAGGCUGAAAUAUGUUGGGCACUGUAAACACAAAAAUUAUGUAACAAAUGAGACGAGAACACGUGUACAAAAUAGAUUUGUAUUAAUGAAUUUGUAGGGUUACAAUCUCUGUUUACAUUUUUUCUAUAAUUUAGUCUUCAAAUUUGAUAUAGAUGCGUAGGUUGUUGAUCCAAGGGUUGUGAUGAAUUGAUCUCGGGCAAACAAUUGAACGAUUGCUUCAAGUUUUGAGCUUGAAACAAUGCGUCGAUAAUCUUCACCUCUAGGUUUGCGUAUGACCUGCGGCAAAUGUGAUGUUGAUGUGGGAUUUUGUUCAUUCAAGGGUCUUGGUGACUUGAUCUUGAAUCGAAUGUCGUUACAAGUUUUAAGCUUGCAACAAAGUUUUGAAGGAAUUGGCACAAGUGCUUGUUGAUUUUUCAAGGGAAUGCUUCGGCUUUGGUCAAAAGAAAGCUUUGGCUUUGGUUGUAAGUUCUUCGAAGAAAGCUUUGGCAGCGUAUUAGUCUUCAAAGAUUUGGCAGAGGUUCUCCUUUUGUGAGAAUUUUGGCCCUUCAUGUAGAAAUUGUCCACCCUUAUGCUUGUCUGAGGACCUUGUAUUUAUAGACUUCUCAAAGCUUGCCUUUGGAUGGAUUUGGCUUUGAUUUGUGUCUUGAUUCAUCCAAGGGAGAAUUAGGCAUGUUUUGUGUCUUAAUUUCAACCACUUUCCCUUGCUUGGCCGAAAUCUAUAAAGCUUUCUUGCCUAUUUUGCAAGCAAUCUUCAAUUCUUGCUUGUUUUGUGAAGAUGCUUUAGCUUUCUUUUCGGUUUUGGGAGCAAUUUGGGCCCCUUGCCGAUUUUAAGGGGAUUUCUUCCCUUUUGCCGCAUUUUAGGAUUUUUCUAUUUCACGUCACUUUAAUGUAAAUCCGACUCUGCCCGCCAUUCCUAAGGAACACAUGUCGCAGAGUAUCAGUUCGUUGAUAAAGGUCGUCUAGCAAUCCAUUUUGUCAACGAUGAGGCACAAUGCCAACACAAAUCUUUGUACUUCAAACAAAAUGUGACAAUUUAGACAAAAAAGGUUUGCACAACUGCGCCAAAUGACACCUAAUUCGGAAGUCGUGACAUCCAAAUGAUGUCAAGGCUGACACACUACUACAGUAACAGAAGAUCUUAAGUAUGCUUUGAUACCAAAUUAACACACCCGACCCCAAUAUCCUCCAAACACUAGAGUAGGCACGUGCUGGCCGACACCUAAAGCUGACGAAGCCAUAUUAACAUGCUUGAGAACUAUGAAGAAUGAACAUAAAUAAAACUUGUAAAUUUAAAUAUAAUGAAUAUGCAAUUGUGGAACAUGUUCAGAGCAUACAAUUAAUCCAGAAUACAAAGAAAGGAUAAUUACAAAAUGUACGAACAAAUGAAUGGGUCCUAGACCGAGAAGACUCGAAGAUACUGAUGCGGGAGUGCCUUGACGCCUGGAUUUUUGAUAGGAGCAUAUUUAUGCGCCUUAGUUAGCUAGUUCUUAUGCAUUUUCAUUAUUUUUCUUAGUUAAAAUAGUCUUUUAAGCUAUUUUCAUGUGUUUUCAGGUUUUAAGGGCAUAUUAUACAAAAAGAUGCAAAUUGGAGCUUUUUGGAGCAAAAGUGAGCUUGGAUUGAAUAGCACAUGCUUGGAACAAAAGGUUUGGACGAAAUUGAAGAUUUGAAUAUUUGAGGAUUCCUAGUCCAAGAAGGAUUCCUAAUCAACGAGGGAGUCCUAAUUGAAGAAGGAUUCCUAAUCAACGAUGGAUUCCUAGUUGAAGAUGGAUUCCUAGAAGAAUGAAGAUUCCUACUCAAACAAGGUUUCCUACUUGAAGUAGGAAAGUUAAGCCUAAAAGUUGCUAUUUUGGGUUGAUAUUUCCUAAACCUAAAUGGCCUUAAGUUUCAGCGACAUUAGAAGGUUCUUAAGCGUUGGAAGACACAAAGAAAGGUUGGAGAGCAAUUCCUUAUCCUUGCCGUGGGUUAGGGUCUAUUUCCUCUUAGUUUUGGGUUUCUAGAAGCCCUAUCUUUUUUUCCCCCUAACCCUUGCCGCACUUCCCCUUUUCUAGAACCUAUUUUCUUGCCUUGCAAGGCUUUCUAGAAGCCUUCUCCUACCCUAUCCUUAUCUGCCGCACCCCCUAGGCCUUUUUCCUUGUGAAUUCUGAUUUCUAAGCCUUUUUCCUUAUGGAUUUGGGUUAUCCAAGUCCAUAUCUGAUUACCCUAGGGUUUUAAGUGCCUAUAUAUACUCUCAUUCACCCCUUGGCAGAAUGACCACCCAUCAUAAUACAUAAAUCACACCAGAAAUCAUCCCCACCUCUCUGCUGCAGCCUUCCAUCACCAUUCUCCCUAAUUUCUGCCAAAAACAACCCUUUGUUGCACUCAUCACCCAUCCUAACCAUUCUCAUAUCAUUCCAUAUCCAUUCCCCCAUACAAAUACCACCCAAAACCUAUCCAAAAUCUUUGUGCCGCAGCAAGGAGGAAGAAGGAGUCGUGGAUGCACCUACUGCCAAAGUUGGAGUGUCUAGGUGUUUUCUUUCAUUGGAUUUCAAUGUCUAAACUUAUUUAUCUUUGCUUUGUGUGUAUGAGGAACUAAACCCCCUUUGGCUAGGGGAGGAUUCGAAACCAUGUUUAUGCUUGCUAUAUGAUUUGAUUACUUCUAAUUGCGUUUCAUAAGUUGUGAAUUCAAUUUACUUGUCUAUAUGAAUUAAAACUGAUUUGUGUGUGUUGGUUGAGAGUGCACGCUUAAUUUUCAUGCAUAAGUUUGAUGCUAGGAUAUAAGGGAAUUUCACCUAAUCGUUAUGAACUUAUAUUCAAAAGUAGUAAUGGUUGUUGAUCACAAUCAUGUUAAGUAAAUUCUUGGCAUAAGUUUCAUGCAAUUCAUAGUAACAAAUGUCUCGCCAAUGCUUAUGGUUUUCAUAGAACUUAAUGAUCUUUGCUUGUAUCUUUGUUAUGCAAUUCAUGCAAGGAACUUGUGAGGAAUGCAAUGCUUUGGGUUGUCGUAUGCAAUUCAUCCAAUUCGAUAACUUUAGGAAAAUCUGAGAGUUAAUUAGUGCAAUUCACGGUUAAUCUGGGGCGUUGGGAAUUCAUGGUUUAUUGAGAAGCAAUUGGAAAUCGUUUUGUAUGCAAGUGUGACAUGUGUGGAGAUGAACCCCUUAGCUAGCUUUCCAUCCAUUCACUUUAACCAAAUUCGUUUUAAAAUCUGUUUAGUUUACAAAGUUUCUGUUUGUUUUCAAUUUUCGUCAAAACCAAUUCCCCAUUUAUUUUAAAGUGUUAGAUUAGCUAGAAAUCAAUUUAGUUUGUGUUUUUAAGUGUCUUGAGUCAAGUUAUAACCUAUUUUCGUCCAAAUUGUGUUUUGUGCUCAAAACUGCCCAGAAAGUGUUUUUAAGGCAGUUUUGAGUGUUUCUAGGCUGUUUUGAGUCUUUUGGUUUGUUUUAGUGUUUUAGAGUUUAGUUUUGCAUUCUUUGAGUCUAGUUUAGUGUUUUAAACUUUGUUUUUACGUUUUGAGUCAGUUUUCAAGUGAUUUAGCAAUCCCUCCUAAUCCCCGGCCUAGAACGAUCCCUACUUACAUACUUUGCUACAAUUGAUAAAAAGAGGGUUUAAUUUGUGUGCUUAUAUAUUUCACAUCAAAUUUUUGGCGCAGUUGUCGGGGAUUAGCAACAUUGCUAAUCCCUUGGAUUGUUUUUAUUUCAGUUUGUUUUAAUUAAUUCCAGAUUCUGACCUUGUGUUGUUUUCUUGUUUUUUGGUACUAGUUUAUGACUCGGAGUUCUCAUCCGAUUCGUGAACAUAUCUUGGACUUUGACGACGAUUUCGAGCGAGAAUUGAGACGAAAAAGGAAGAAUCCAGAACCUAGUGAAUCAAGUUGAAAUUCAGAAGCUGAAGUUGAGUUUGUGGAAGAGGAACCCACGGCAAGAGUGGGUGAAGUAGAGGAAACUGUGGCACAAGACAAUCGUACAAUCAAGGAGCUUUCAGCUUCAGGAUUGGACAAUGCCGCACCUCUAUGUAUUCAAUAUCCCGCGGCUGCCCAAGGAAAGACCGAGGAAUUCGAGUUGAAGUCAAGUUUGCUACACCACAUUCCGAAGUACCAUGGGUUGUCCAUGGAGGAUCCUAACAAGCACUUGAAAGAGUUCGAGGUGGUGUGUUCCAGCAUGACUCCAAUCAAUGUUGACGGGAGCAUAUUGAAGAUGAAGGCCUUUCCCUUUUCUCUCUUAGAAAAGGUGAAAGAUUGGUUGUAUGAAUUAGCUCCCGGAACGGUCACAUCUUAGGAGAGCAUGAAACGGCCUUUCUUGGAGAAGUUUUUCCUAACUUCUCGAGUCAUUCUCCUACGAAAAAGGAUAAGUGGAAUUCAACAAGAUGAAGGUGAGUCUUUUCCUACGUAUUAUGAACGUUUUAAAUCUCUUGUUGCUUCUUGUCCACAGCAUCAAAUGAAGGAGGAGCUUCUUCUACAAUACUUCUACGAGGGGCUUCUACCAAUCGAACGUCAAAUGCUAGAUGCCUCAGCGGGAGGAGCCUUGGUGGACAAGACUCCCACGGUAGCAAAGACCUUGAUAGCUAAUCGAGCGUUGAACGCUCAACAAUACGAAGGUGUUGGACAAAGAAACACCCCACGGCAACACCAAGUGAAUGAGGUAAGUGCCAUAUCAGAACUUCAAAAUCAAAUGGCUAACCUUACUACUAUUCUUUCUCAGGUUGUGGAAGGACCAAAAGUACAAAAUGUAAGUGCUUGUGGCAUGUGCUCCAUGCAAGGACACCUUACGGACAAGUGCCCACAAUUGAUAGAGAAUGGAGGGUGGGAGACUCUCAAUGCCGUGGGAUUUGGGCAACCAUACCAACAAAGAAAUGAUCCCUUCUCUAAUACAUACAAUCCGGGAUGGAGGGAUCAUCCAAAUUUCAAAUGGCGAGAACCCCAACAAGGCCAACAACAAAGCACAUUUAGGCAACAACCCCCAGGUUUCUAUCAAAAGUCGUUUGCACCAACUCAACCCCAAGCACCACCUGCCCAAAACAAAUCAGGUUCGUCCAUUGAUAAUGAUCAAAAUUUUCAAUUACUAACUUCUAUGGCGCAGAGUAUGCAAAUUAAGGACAAGAAGGUGGACGAGUUGGAGAAGCAAGUAGGGCAGAUUGCGGAGUUUGUGGGCCAAUUCAGAGAGCAAGGCAAGUUGCCUAGCUCAACCAUUGUGAAUCUGAAAUGAGGCUUUGAAUCUGCCAAUGCAAUCAUGUUGCGAAGUGGGAAACAAGUGGGAACAGCACCCCAACCAUCUAAAUCAGCCCCAAACGAGGUGGAAGAGUUGAUAAUUGAAGAAGAGGAACAAAGCCAACCCACGGCCAAGGUGGAAACACCAUUGCCGCAAGCUUCCAUUGCCCCUAAACUGUCCAAUCUGUCCAAUAAGGGUAAGAAUGUGUCCAAUUCAAUUCCUACUAAUGUUUUUCCUUUAAAUGUUCCUUUUCCUAGUAGGUUCAAGCAAACAAAGAAAGAGGAAGCCGAAAAGGACAUUCUAGAGACAUUUAGGAGAGUUCAAGUCAAUAUCCCUCUCUUGGAUGCAAUUAAGCAAGUACCAAGGUAUGCUAAAUUUUUGAAAGAACUUUACACCACUAGGAAGAGGAUUUCGACCAAGGAGGUUGUAAAAGUAGGUGAAAACGUCUCAGCCAUCUUACAACGCAAAAUGCCCCCUAAAUGCAAAGAUCCGGGUAGUUUUACAAUUCCUUGUGUCAUUGGUAAUACUAGGUUUGAAUCUGCCAUGUUAGACUUAGGUGCAUCUAUAAAUGUCAUGCCAUAUUCAAUUUAUGCAUCUAUGAACCUAUGAGAGUUGAAAAAUGAUGGUGUGAUUAUACAAUUAGCCGAUAAAUCUAAUGCCUAUCCAUAUGGAGUUUUGGAAGAUGUUUUAGUGCAGGUUAAUCAUUUGAUCUUUCCGGCGGAUUUCUACGUGCUUGAGAUGACGAAUCAGACCAUGCCCCUUCAUUGCCCAUCCUCCUUGGAAGGCCAUUCAUGAAAACUGCUCGUACAAAGAUGAAGGAUUAUUUUGUGAAAACAUGUUCAUUUAAGCAACAUCAAUAAGCAUGCAAUUAACAAUUAAAGGCGGAAUCAUGCUAGCAUGCACUUAAAAACAAAACAUUAACCAUGAAAUUCAAAGCCUAGUAGAUUGGUGAACCAAUAAACAACUCAAAACAAAGUGAGUUGAAAUAUAUACCUUUGUAGAUUCCUCUUUGUAUUUAAACAAAGGCUAAUCACCCAAGAGAUAGGGUCUUCAUUCCUUGCAUCUUAGAUCCAUGGAUUUGGAUGGAUCUACGCCAAGGAGAGCAUGGAUGAUAAAUGAGUGACCAUGGAAGAAUAGAUGGCUAGCUACAACUUCCAUGGUGGCCGGCCUUUCUAGAGAGAAAUGGAGAGACAAUUCUCACCAAUUUUACCCAAAACAAACCCUUAAUGAAUAAAAGGCUAUAAAGUCAUAUUUAUACCUUUAUUCAUUUGAGUGGCAAACUUGUAAUUAAAGCAAGUUCACUACCCUUUUCUCUAUAUGGCCGGCCAUGGGGGGUUGUUUGGGCUUUUGGGUCUUAGUGAAUCAUUAUUCAUUAAGUUGUCAUACAACUUAAGUCAAUGGGCUUGACGUUCGAAGCCCAUUGGGCCUUAAGGUCCAAAACCUAUCCCGAGGUCUUUAACGAACUUAUUCGUUUGAUUAAUUAACAUAUUAAUUAAUCCUUGCCAUAAAUAAUUAAACUAUUCAAUUAUUCUUACUCAUUUAGUUUGUUUCAUCCAUCUCCACCUUAUACGGUGUACGAUCCAUUAGGUUCCUUUUAGCGAGGCAGUGGGCGAUCAAAAACUCUUUCAAAUCGAUUAUGAAUUGAAACUUACUUUCAAUUCUCCCUUUAGUGAUAAUACACUUUUAGGGCUUCCACAAACCAUGAGUGACACCUAGCCGUAUAUCAUGGUUACCCAAGCUAAUCAGAAGAGGUUAAGAACCUAUUCAGUUUAGGAUUACAAAUGCAAUACGGUCAUUCUCUAAUACAAUACUCUUGACCACAUUGUUUGGUUUGAUAGUUUAUUCAUGUCUACUAUCCAAUGUGAAUCUUGUGCUUAUAUGAUUACUUACUUGAAUGUGAUUUGGAACGCAUUCCUAAAUCUCAUUCAUACUCUGGCCAGAGAUUCUAAAUCAUAUCAUAGAGUAUUCUCCCUCAAACGGUUUGAAGGUUAGAGAUCCCUUGUUGUGCAUUCACUUGCCUCCGUGACUAAGUGGCUUAACCCCAACGAUGCCGUGGACACCCCGAUGGGGUGACUUUGACAUAAUCAAAGAUCAAGGACUUAACCACAAGACAACUGUGAUGCCUCAGGUCAAAGGACUAAUUUGCAUUAUCCCAAACAUGAGUUCUCAUGUGACAUGAGUAUGAGAACUCUUCGUUGAUCACGUUCAGUGAACUCAUUCUUUACUGAGCACCUACGUACUUGUCUUGAUGUCACACACACCAAUGACUCGAGACUAGUCACUCUCCCUGAGAGAAGACAUAGCACGUACCGAUCUUGACGGACUGUCAAUGCCCAAUUGGCAAUCCUAUGAUCAGGAACAUUUAGGAUGUGUCUACGAAAGAAUGGUCUCAUGAAUCUAACUUCAUUAGAUUACAUUCUUCCAAUCACAUAUUCCUUGGACUUUAUCGUUUAAGCAUAUAACAUUUAUAUGAGACGGCUCAAACAAUAAUCUUUGCCUUUUAUAUUAAACCAGAUUAGUUUAACAUGUGAAAUGUCCGUAAAGUAUCAUCACAUGAUUGGUUUUAGGGCACAUUUCCAACAAAAGAUUGAUGUGUUUAAUGGAACAUUGACGAUGGAAUUUGAUGGGGAAGUUAUUAAUUUCACUCUUUCUGAUUAUAUGAAAUAUCCUAGUGAGAAUCAUUCAUGUUUUGCUAUUGAUGUAAUUGACUUUUUGGCGCAGGACCAUUUUGACAAAUUGAACGACGAUGCACUUGAAUUGGUCAUCGCACGAGAAAUGGGCAAGCAAAACGUUGAAGCAACCACCAUGCACACCCACGGCAUGCAUGAAUGUCCCAUUGCCGUGCCCCCUAGUGAUGAUGUCAUUGAUGGUGGCUGCCCUUGAGUCGUUGCUACCACAAUCUGGUAAGUUUUUGGACCCUAUUUUAAGUUCAGUUUCGACUAAUAAGAUGCUUCCAUCAGUUGUGCAACCACCUACACUUGAACUUAAGCCAUUGCCUAGUCACUUGAAGUACGUUUACUUGGGAGAGGAUGAGACGUUGCCCGUUAUCAUCUCCACUUCACUCAUGGCACAAGAAGAAGGUAAGUUAGUAAGGGUGCUAAAAGAGUACAAAACAGCAAUUGGGUGGACGUUGGCCGACAUCAAAGGAAUUAGCCCCACAACUUGCAUGCAUCGCAUACUUUUGGAGAAUGGGUCUAAAACAUCUCGAGAGGCUCAACGCCGACUCAACCCUUCUAUGAUGGAAGUUGUGAAGAAAGAAGUCAUCAAGCUUUUAGAUUGUGGAGUUAUUUAUCCAAUCUCGGAUAAUAGGUGGGUUUCGCGCGUUCAAUGCGUUCCGAAGAAAUCUGGAGUGACGGUGGUAGCAAAUGCAGAUAAUGAACUUGUGCCUACUCGCAUUCAAACCGGUUGGAGAGUGUGUAUCAACUAUAGGAAGCUAAACGCCACUAUAAGGAAUGAUCAUUUUCCCUUGCCAUUCAUUGAUCAAAUGCUUGAGAGGUUAGCCGGUUAUGCUUUUUAUUGUUUUCUUGAUGGUUAUUCUGGUUAUAAUCAAAUUGUUAUAGCACCCGAGGACCAAGAAAAAACCACUUUUACAUGUCCUUUUGGUACAUUUGCUUAUCGUCCCAUGCCUUUUGGUUUAUGUAAUGCACCUGCCACGUUUCAAAGAUGCAUGAUGAGCAUAUUUUCUGAUUAUGUUGAGAAAAUAAUUGAGGUUUUUAUGGACGAUUUUAGCGUCUUUGGUGGUUCUUUUGAUGGUUGCUUGCAUAAUCUUAGCUUGAUCUUAAAACGUUGCGUUGAAACUAACCUUGUGCUUAAUUGGGAAAAAUGUCAUUUCAUGUUUAAACAAGGCAUAGUUUUGGGUCAUAUUAUCUCUGAAAAUGGUAUUGAGGCUGAUAAGUCAAAGAUAGAUCUUGUGCGUCACUUACCCUCUCCUACAUCGGUUAGAGAGGUUUGUUCUUUUCUUGGCCAUGCAGGUUUCUAUCGUAGGUUCAUCAAAGACUUCUCAAAGGUGGCACAACCUCUCUGCCGACUCCUACAAAAAGAUGUGACGUUUGAGUUUAAUGAGGAAUGCACGGCAUUAUUCAACCAACUCAAGGAGUUGUUGACCACGGCACCAAUCAUUGUCCCACUGGAUUGGAGCUUACCUUUCGAGCUUAUGUGUGAUGCGUCCGAUUAUGCGUUAAGAGCUGUUCUGGGACAGAAGAAGGACAAGAGGCCGCAUGUCAUUUACUAUGCCUCACGGACGUUGAAUGAUGCGCAGUUGAACUAUUCCACUACGGAAAAAGAACUUCUUGUCGUUGUUUUUGCUUUAGAUAAGUUUAGAUCAUAUUUAAUUGGUACUAAAGUAAUUGUUUUCACUGACCAUGCAGCUUUGAAGUACUUGCUCACUAAAAAGGAAGCCAAGCCACGGCUAAUUCGGUGGAUGUUGCUACUUCAAGAGUUCGACAUUGAGAUUCGUGACAAGAAGGGAAGUGAAAAUGUGGUGGCUGACCACCUAACCUGAAUGGUGCAUAAUAAGGAGUCCCUACCCAUUGCCAAGACAUUCCCCGAUGAACAAUUGCUGUCCAUAAAGGUAAGUGAGCCUUGGUAUGCCGAUUUGGUCAAAUUUUUUGUGUCAAAACGAAUUAAUUUUGCCCGGAUCAGAUUGUACGUCGAUGUGUGCAUAAUUCUGAAUUUCAUUCUAUUCUAAGCUUUUGUCAUACAUAUGCAUGUGGUGGGCACUUUGGCACACAAAGAACAGCCCUCAAGGUAUUACAAUGUGGAUUCUAUUGGCCUAGUAUAUUUAAGAAUGCUAGAACUUUUUGCUUAACAUGUGAUAAAUGCCAAAGAAUGGGUAACAUAGGUGCUAGGGAUCAAAUGCCGCAAGUUUCUAUCCUUAAUGUUGAAAUUUUUGAUGUUUGGGGAAUUGAGUUUAUGGGUCCCUUUCCUUCCUCGUAUGGGUUCAUGUAUAUUUUGCUUGCGGUUGAUUAUGUGUCAAAGUGGGUGAAAGCUAAAGCCACCCGGACUAAUGAUUCUAAAGUGGUUGCAGAUUUUAUUAGAACUAACAUUUUUGCAAGGUUUGGAAUGCCACUUGUCAUCAUAAGUGAUGGAGGAUCUCACUUUUGUAACCGCACCAUUGAGGCGUUAUUGAGGAAAUACUGUUGGAAAUGUGCCCUGAAAGUCAAUCUUUGGAAGAAAUCUUUCAGGACAAAUGAAUCGAUGUAUGGAUGAAUCUUAUACAUCAAAUGGCAAAGACACGAAUUAGGACUAUCUCAAUCAACGAAAUAUGUCCUAAAUAGUGUAUCCAUGGACAAUGGAUCGAUUGAAGAAGUAAUCUAAUGAUGUUAGACUACAGAGACCUUCUUCACAUAACCAUUAUGUCCAAAAGGUUCCUGGUCGUUGGAUUGUCGGAGGGAUACUGACAAUGCGUAGACCGGUACAUACUAUGUCUGCUUCAAUUGGAAGGAUGGAAAGUCUCAUCCCAUUCGUGUUGUGACACUAAGACAAGUAUGUAGGUGCUCAUUAGGGGAAUGAGUUCACUGAACACAAUCGAACGAGAGUACUUGCAUGGAGGUCUACUCACAUGUCAAGCAAGUAACUCUAAUGGUUGGAAAGAUGUAAGUAAUCCUUAGACCUGAGGCAUCGUCGUUGUCUUGUGGUUAAGUACUUAAUCUUUUAUUAUGUCAAGUCUCCCCAUUCGAGGGUGUCCACGGCAUAAUUGGGGUUAAGCCACUUAGUCAUGAAGGCAAGUGUAUGCGCAACAAGGAAUCUCUAAUCCUCGGUAAGAGAGGAAGAAUACUCUAAGAUAUGAUUCGGGAAUCUUCGGCCGAAAUAUCGAGCGUAAUAAAGGAAAGCGUUCCUAAACGACUCAAUUGGAUCAUAUAAGAAAGAAUAAUCACAUUAGGGGUUUGACAUGAAAUAUCCAUACCCUAAUGAUGUGAAUGAGAGUAUUGUAUUAGAGAAGGAUUGAAUUACAUUGUAAUUCCAACUAACUAGGUUCUUUGAAUAAACUUCUACAUUAGCUUGGGUAGCUAUGACAUAUGGUUAGAUGUCACUCAUAGCUUGUGAGUUCUUCUAGAUGAUUAGAUGUAGUCGUCAAAGAAGAAAGGUGAAUUAAAAUGAGGUUUUAAUUCACUAAGUGAUUGAAUUAAAUAUAAGCAAUUGGAUUAAUGCCAAUCACCUCACUGCCUUGCUAAUUAGAACCUAAAAGAUUGUUCAUUGUUCACACAACACUAGUUGUAGUGAGUAACUAAUGGAUGAUGAUACAUAAUUAGAUAAUUAUGUGUUGUUGAUAUUUAGAAAAGUCUAGAAAAAUCAUAAAGCGAUAAAGAUCGUUUUGGGCUUAAAGAAACGUUCGGUUUUUAAUUAGGCCAUUGGGCCUAAAACCAUUGGGUUUUAUUCAGCAUUGGAUACUUGAAAAUAUAAAAGCCCAAAGCCAAAAAUAACACAUAACGAGGGCGGCUAUUAUGUGGGGGAGGAGAGAUAUUUAGUCAAGUGUUGACUAGGUUUCUUUUGUCUAAUAAGGACUUUAUAUGAUAAAGUUCAUGAGGUUUUUUUGAAGUUUAAACAACAAACGAUCAAAAGAAAAAAACUAACACAUCAAACUUCGGCCACCAUGGGGUGUUUUAGCUACAAUCUUUUCACGGCCUUUUUUGGUUAUUCCCUCAUCUUCACUACACUAGUGGGUGAGGAUCUUUCGAGUUUCUACUUUGAAACUUGAAGAGAAUACCAGAGCCCUCAUAUCUUUCAAAGUGGAGGAGGCAAGGAGGGAAAGCAGGCUCAGAUUUCAAGGAGCAAAGGGCUUGGAGUGGUCCAUCCUUGGUCUCAGUCUACGAUCAAGAGGUAUAUAAACUAACCUUACACUUUGUUCUUUCGAUUUUAUAAAUGUUUGAUGCAUUAUAUUAAUACUAUGAACCUUGAAGGGGAUUUUGCAUGACUAAUAGCCUGGAAUAAUAUGUAUAUUUCCUGUUUCGAUUUAAAAUUCUGCUUGGAUUCCUGAUAUCAAUGUUGCCAAAUCUAAUUUUUGCUUCAAAUAACUGUCACCUAAUUACAACCUUACAUCCUAAAAUCCAGAGUUUCCCAACUUGAGAUCAACAAAUUUCUAGAGAAAGACCGUUGGGCUACAAGGAAGGACGGAGGCUUACGGUUAGAUAUGCACUUUGGCAUAUCGUACGGCGUACAAGACACCCAUGGAAUGUCCUAUUUAGGCUCACUAUGGCAAGCCGUGCCUCUCCCCGUUGAAUUGAGACAAAGCUCGUAAGAAGUUCAAUAUGAAACUAAAUGCCGCAGGAAAUCAUAGGAAGUUCAUUCAUGAACUUGAAUGAGAUACAGGCAUAAAGGCGUAUGAAGAAUGCUGCAUUUACGAAGGAGAAGACGCAAAGCUUUUCCAUGAUAGAUGAUUCGAGGCAAACAUUCUCCAUAGGCAGAAAGUGCUAUGUUCAACUUCCGUUUACGGAUUGUUUUCCGGUAAGUUACGUUCUAAGUGGAUUGGAACCGUUUUGCUUGUUCUCAAUGUUUUUGUUCCGUGGUGCACUACAUGAACGGUCAGAAUUCAAAUUAUGGGCACGCUGAAGAUUUCUUUGAAAGAUGUUCGUCGGGGACUUCCCUCCAUGCCGCUGGGCCUAAUAGAGUAAUAUGGGGCUGGCCAACGCGAUUUGCACAUGCAUCAACAAAGGAAGACCAAGGAAUCAAUCUAAUCCAAGAUUUGCGUUCCUAAACUUUCUCUUUGUUGUUUUAUUUCGUUUCUGCCAUGUUUUAUUAAUUUAGUUGCUGUUUUGUUUGUUGGUUUGUAUUUGUGUUAGUUUAUGCUUGAAAACAUGAGAAACAUGUUGAUUUAAGUGUGGGGGGGGGGGGGUAACCAAGUGUUUUGAAAUGAAAUUCGGAGGUUGGUAUCACCCAUAAUUUCCAAUGUUGUUCCUUGCUGUUUUUUAGGUGUUUUUAAGGCUGUUUUUGAUGCAUUUUAAGUGUGUUUUACAUAAAAAUCCGAAAAUCCAGAAAAAAUUGAAAACAAUGUUUUGAAAAACAACAAAGAGUCGUUUUAAAAAGUUUGUUUUUUGUCGUAGUGUUUUGUGUUUAGGGUGCCUUCAACACAAAUGAUCGAGGAUUCAGAUAAAAUUGCAUGCUGUUAAACGAGAGUUUAAACAUGAUGCGAGUUUGAUUUACUCUUUUGGUUUAUGCUUGGCUUGUGGUCUUUGGUUUAUGCUUGGUUGGGUUACAAUUAUGAAAUCACAUGUAAUCACAAAGGAAAAAAAUUAGUUCUUGUAACAUGCUUGAAGGAAGGAACUCAAACCUAACGCUACAAACCCUGUAGACUUGAGCCUAAACGUUUAUUUGGAGAGUUAUAAUCUUGCAUUGUUGUUUUCUAAAGUCGUUGAUGAUCUCAUUAUUCUUUGCUUGGUUACUACCUUAGAAGGCGUUCAUCAUUUAGUUCCAAAAAAGAACUCAUGCCACCAUUUCUUCAAAGCAUGCUAUUGAUUUGCAUACAACAUAUUCAAUGAUGCGACAGUUGUGUAGUAACCACACUUAAGCCCAUUUCCGUCCCAUGUUCAUUUGUUUUGUAGGUUUUAACCCCGUUGAGCUUGUGCUAGCCUAUAUUCUUUGUUAACCACAUCUUCCUCACCUAGCUAGAUUAGGAUCAUCCCAUAUCCUUGUCUUAAAGCAUCAGUAAAACAGUGACUCAGAAUGAAUUCCUUUUGAUCAUAUAUUGCAGAAAACAGUGUGGGGGACAGGGAUGUAUGUGAGUGCCAAAGUCUUUAAUGGAGGCAUGAUAAAAUAAUAAAACUAAUAAUAAUAAUAAUCAUAAUAAUAAUAAAUAAUAAUAAUAAAAUAUUUUCGUGAAGAAAAGAAGGAAAAAAAAAAAAGAAAACAUGAAAAAUAUGCAAAAGAGUUGAAUAAAUGUUGAAAAUGAGUCUUACGUGUUGAUUGUUGAAAAGGUCCAAAAUUGAAGUUCGACCUAGUAUUGCUGAAUUUUCCCCCUUGUUUAAAAGUUUGAUUUCUGUCCUAAAGUGAAUUCCUAAGUUUCGAUUUCAUUGCUUUGCUUGAAUAUUGCUUAAAAGAACCUUGUUAUCCUAUCCGUUCUUUGUUAGCCAAUACCCAAAGCCCGUUAUAAACCCCUGACUUUAAUCUUGAGUGUUGUGUGUUUCAAUUUGUGGAGUUAAGAAUUGGUAUGAGCAUAUGUGUAACUCGGUUCUCGCAUCUAAAGUAGUAGUUUCCAUUCAUGAGAUCACAUCUAAAUGUUUAUAAUCCAGCAAAUGCUUCCUUUUUAUAUCAUAAUCGUGAGCGUUCAUUUUUAUGUCUAACAUCAAUCUUCCUCAACAUAUAAACUUGUAUGGGGUGUGUAGUUACGAAAAUCGAAUGAAACACUGAGUGCAUAUCUUGUAAGGAAUUAGAAAAUUCUCUAACGGCAUGUUACUGACACUUCAAGCACGUUUAAUUGGUUAAAUGUUGAACUAGUAAGUGUGAUAUGAUUAAGUAUGGUGCUUAAGUGUGAAUAUUGACGGAAAAUCUGUGGGAAUGAUGAUAUUUUUAAUAUGUCAUGUGCAUGGAAUCCUGAAGUAAACCUUAGAAGUUUAGGUUUGGUUUGUUUGUUUUGUUUCGUUUUGUUUUUCUUUGUUUCUUUGUUUUGCUCGAGGACUAGCAAAAGCUAAGUGUGGGGGAAUUUGAUAGAGCAUAUUAUGCGCUUAGUUGUUAGUUCUUUAUGCAUUUUCGUUAUGUUCGUUAGUUAAAGUGUCUUUUAAGCUAUUUUCAUGUGUUUUCAGGUUUUAAGGCAUAUUAACAAAAAGAUGCAAAUUGGAGCUUUUUGAAAAAAGUGAGCUUGGAUUAAAUAGCAAUGCUGGAUACAAAGGGUUUGGCACGAAUUGAAAGAUUUGAAGAUUGAGGAUUCCUAGUCCAAGAAGACUCCUAAUCAACGAGGGAGUCUAAUUGAAGAAGAUUCCUAAUCACGAGGAUCCUGAGAUGGAUUCCUAAGGAUUCCUACUCAAAAGGUUCCUACUUGAAGUAGAAAGUUAAGCCUAAGUUGCUAUUUUGGUGAUCUUUCCUAAACCUAAAAUGCCUUAAGUUACAGCAAUUGAAGGUUCUAACGUUGGAAGACACAAAAGAAAGGUUGGAGAGCAAUUCCUAUCCUUGCCGUGGGUUUAGGGUCUAUUUCCUCUAUGUUUUGGGUUCUCUAGAAGCCUAUCCCUUUUCCCCUAACCCUUGCAAGCACUUUUCCCCUUUCUAGAACUGUUUUUUCUUGCCUUGCAAAGGCUUUCUAGAAGCCUUCUCUCUAAUAUCCUUAUCUGCGCUCGCCCCCUAGGCCUUUUUCCUUAUUAUUCUGAUUUCUAGCUUUUUCCUUGUGGAUUUGGGUAUAAGUCCUUGAGAGCACCUAUGUUUAAUGGCUAAUAUAACUCUCAUUCACACCUUGGCUGAAUGACACCCAUCUACAUCAUAAAAUCCCGCCAGAAAUCAUCCCCUCUCUGGCCGCAGCCUUCAUCCCAUUCUCCCUAAUUUCUGCACCCAAAACCCUUUUUGCCUCAUCCACACUCUAAGAUUCUCAUAUCAUCUCCAUUUCUUCUUUUCCAUAUCCAACCAAUCAUAAUAAUCGUUCCAAUUAACUUGUCUGAUGCAAAAAGGAAAAAACUGUAUACCGCAUGUCUUGGAUUGUGUUUAGGUGCUCUGGAUUCAAUGUAAAUAGAGAUGUGGGAGGCUAAUUCGGUGGAUUCCACCUGGCAGCUUGCUAAAAGCUUCUAGCGCACGUGCUACGAUGUCUUUGUGUGUGUUGGCAGAGUGUCGCUAAACUUAUGCUAAGUUUUUGGGCUUUAAGGGAUUUCACCUAAUCUUAAUUAAUUACAAGGAUUUGGUUGUGCCAUUCAUGUUAAAAAUUCCUUGGGUUUUAUGCAACUUAUAGUCAUGCCAACAUGGUUUUUCUGAAUUAAGCUUUGCUUGUAUCGUUGAUUCAGAAACUCUAGGAAUGAAUUUUGGGUUGAUCGUACAUCUCCAAUGCAAUAAAAUUGAGGGUUAAUAUGGUAGGAUUUGGGGCGUUGGGAAAUUCCAAUAAACAUUGAUUUUUGUAUGGUAGUUGGACUCAUGUGUGAGAAGCUAGCUAGUUUUCCAUCCAUCACUUUUAACCUAACGGUUAAAAUAAUUUAGUCAAAGCGAGAAAUUUCCCAAACAACCCCAUUUAUUUUUAAGUGUUAGAAUUAAGCUAGAAAUCAAAUUAGGUUGUGAGAAGGUCCGAGUGCAAGCUAACUAUUUUGUCAAUGUGUUUGUGCUCAAAAGACAAAAUCUUUAAGGCAUUUGAGUGUUUUAGCUUUUUUAGUCUUUUGGGUUUUAGUGUUUUGGUUUAGUUUUCAUUCUUUGACAUUAGUGUUUAAAGCUUUUGUUUUUGGUUUUGGUCAGCCAACUGAAAUAAACAAUUAGAUUCCCUAUUAUCUUGCAAAUGUAGAAAAAAGUAAUUUGUUGCUUAUAUAUUUAAACAGACUUUUAUUGGACUGCCUUUGGGUUAAACGCAAGAGUGGACCAAUUGAUAUAGUAAGUCAUACUGGAGAUCAUAAACAAACUACCGACUAGAAAAUCAAUAGUUUAAAUAUUUUCCGCAAACCCUAAUUAAAUGUAAAAAUAAACGAUAAGUUCUUAAAGACCUCGGCAUAUAUUUUCAUUCGCCCCAGGGCUUCAACCGAUUGAAGCCAUAUAAAGAUCUUGAAGUCUGGGUAUGGACAAGUAUCAUUCGCCUAAGGCCCUACAUCACUCGACCAAAGCCAUAUAUAGUAUGCAUUUUGUCCGUACGCCCUUCAUCACACAACUGAAGGCAUAUAUAAGUUAAUCAUAUCGCCUAUAGGCAUAUACAAGCAUAGAAAUAAUAAACAUAACUACUUUCCAAAAUAUUCAAUUCUCAUCGAAGCUCCUAGCUCAAACAUGCACAUCAUAAAUCAUAGGAGCGUUUAGCCUCAAAUCAUCAUCAAUAAACCAUGUUCAUAAUAUAUUCAUAAAUCUUUCACAAAGGAAUGUAAAUCUGAUAAACGCAUGAUAUUUUCAUAAAGCGUAAUCCAAUUUGUACUCAUAAAUGUUUUCAUAAAAUGUAGUCAUUAAAUCAGCUUUUUCAUGUAUCGCAUUUCUAAGGCAAUUAAAACAUGCAUUUUGGAAGGAGUCACUCACUGAUACUCCCACCGUCGAAGAGCUUGUGCAACUAGGGAACUGCGGACACCACCACUAAAGUCAGUUUUCAAGUGAUUUAGCAAUCCCUCCUAAUCCCCGGCCUAGAACGAUCCCUACUUACAUACUUUGCUACAAUUGAUAAAAAGAAGGUUUAAUUUGUGUGCUUAUAUAUUUACAUCAAUUUUAUGCUUGGAUUCUAAGUCCUGAGGGGGCAUAAACAAAACAAGAGUGGACCAAGUUUAUAUAUAUAAGUAAUACUAAACAGUUAUUCAUCAACGUACUAACCCCCAGUUUAGAAAAUUCAUAUAGCAUAAUAAGUAAUAGGUUUUCCGAAAACCCUAGCAUGCCAUAAAACCUUCGUAAAAACAUAUAUCAUAUAUAGUAUGCUUAAUAGUAGUAUCACAAAGGCAUAUAUAAAUCUUCAUUCGCCCGAAGGCCCUUCAUCACCCGAUCGAAGCCAUAUAUAAGCAUCAUUCACCCGUAAGCCCUACAUCACCCGACCGAAGCCAUAUACAAGUAUCAUUCGCCUAUAGGCCCUACAUCACUCGACCAAAGCCAUAUAUAAGUAUCAUUUGUCCGUACGCCCUUCAUCACCCAACUGAAGCCAUAUAUAAGUAUCAUUCGCCUAUAGGCAUAUAUAAGCAUAGAAAAUAAUAAACAUAAUACUUCCAAAAUAUAUCUCAUCGAAGCUCAAUAGCUCAAACAUCACAUCAUAAAUCAUAGGAGCGUUUUAGCUCAAAUCAUCAUCAUAAACCAUGUUCAUAAUAUAUAAUCAUAAAUCUUUCAAAGAAUGUAAAUCUGAUAAAGCAUGAUAUUUCAUAAAGCGUAAAUCCAAUUUACUCAUAAAUGUUUCAUAAAAUGUAGUCAUAAAAUCAUGCUUUUUCAUGUAUGCAUUUCUAGCAAUUAAAACAUGCAUUUUGGAAGGAGUCCACUCACUGAUACUCCACCGUCGAAGAGCUGUGCAAACUAGGGAAUGCGGAACCACCACUAACAAACACACCUAAGCACAUAAAGGGACCAAUUAAUAAAACUAUAUUAUAAUGAUUGAAUCUGGGAAAACAAAAGUCGUAAAUGAAUUCAGCACGUCAAAAAACCUAAAGGGGGACCUUGGGUAACGCCACGUGCCGCCACAGGGUGGCGGCCCAAAAGGGCACGCGUCACCUCAUAUGCCGCCACGCUCCGAGUUGGGUCGCCAGAAAGUUGGUCGAAAAAGUCAUCGUCGCCACCAUGGUUACCGUCGUGGACAACAACAAAGCAUAGUACCUUCGGUGGAGGCAUGUGUGCUCCACGUGCCUGCCAUGGCAACAACCACGCAUGAACCCAUGUGCGGCCCACGUGCUGACCUGGAAUUAGGGAAUCGGUCUGAGUCAAGUCAAAUCUGGGUCGGAUAUGGGUUUUGGGUUGCUGGGUUGGACUGGGUUAUUGGGUUGGGCCUAGUUUGUUGGGCUAAGUUGGGUAGUUAGGUUUACCCCGGGUUUGGAUCUAGGUUCUAGAUUAAUUGGCCAAAGGAUUGGGUCGGAUUACAUUGUAUGGCCUAAAGUUUGGGCUAGUUUUAGGUUUAUGGGUCGAGUCGCCUUGGUUUCAGGCCAGGUUAGCCAGUUUCUAUGAAGAAGAAAGCCAGAGCCUUCCAAGCUCUAUUCAACCCAAGGAACAAGGAAGAAUAUUAUACCUAUCACGUGGCCAGUCGUGGUUGAAGUUGGCCGAAAAAUGGCCUGCAAGUUUUGGCUUCUCACCGAAAAACUGGGAAAGUGUCCGCGAGCAGUUUCUCUAUGUCAAACGUUAAUAUGAGGCCAGAAACAACGUAAAAAAAGGUGACCUAAGACGACCUACAUCAUUUUCGAGGCUUACCUUGCUUGGAAUCUUGAGGGUGCAAUGAGAACUUAUUGGAUAAGACAAUGAACAGUGGUGUAGCCACUGUCGGGUCGUCGAGACUCCAUGGUCUUGGCUUGAGUUUAAGACGCGGAGGGUUAGACGGUGGUGCAGCUUGCAGGAGUGGUAAGGUUAUGGUGGUCUUAGUGUGUAGGUGUGUGUUUCUCACGGAAUGAGGGAGAAAAUGAUAAAGAAAGAGAGAUAGCUGAGAUAUUUAAGAGAGAGUGCUGUGAGGUUUUUGGGGGAAAGGUACGGGGAAAGGGAGAGGAAAAGAGGGAAUGGGCUGAGGGACCAAAGUGUAAGGGUGGGCCCCAUAAGGCACACCAAACAAGACUAAAAACAACCAUUUAAAAUAUAAAACUCAACCAAAGUGAAAAUACCAACUUACCCUCGAUGUUCCGUAAAAUCCGGGAUGGGUCUUUACAGAGAAUAUUUUCCAGAAUAUUUUGUUAGGGAAUAUUCUCUGGAAUAUUCUUUUGUUGACUCUUACGAAAUUUGCCCUGGACCCCUCUUUGGGUAAUUUGACAUCCUGAUUCCAAAUCUGCACUCCAUUUUUUCAAAUUCAAUUGUUUUAGUAGGGUUUUACUUAUUUGGUCCCUUUAUGUGCUUAGGUGAGUUUGUUAGUGGUGGCCCCAUCCUCUCUAGUUCGAACAGCUUUCCGGCGACGGAGUACUAUGAGUGGACCCCUUCCAAAAUGCAUGAUUGAAUUACUAGAAAUGCAUACAUGAAAAAAAAUGAUUUUAUGAAACGUUUAUGAGUAAAUCGGAUUUACGUUUUAUGAAAUAUCAUGCUUUAUUGAAUUUAUGUUUAUUGAGAUAUUUAUGAACAUGGAUUUAUGAUAUGAUGUUUAAGCUAUUGAGCUCCGAUGAGACAUAUUUUGGAAAGAUUAUGUUCAUGACUUUCUGUGCUUAGUUAGCGGUUAUUCAUACUACGUGCCUACAAGCGAAUGAUAUUUAUAUAUGCCUUCGGGCGGGCGAUGUAGGGCAUUUGGGCAGAAGAUUUAUAUAUGCCUUCGGGCGGACGAUGUAGGGCUUUCGGGCGGGCAAUGUAGGGCCUUCGAGGGGAAGAUUUAUAUAUGCCUUCCGGCGAGUGAUGUAGGGCCUUUGGAUAGAAGAUUUAUAUAUGCCUUCGGGCAGGCGAUGUAGGGCCUUCGGGUGGAUAUUUAUAUAUGCCUUCGAGAGGGUGAUAUAGGGCCUUUGGGCGAAUGAUUUAUAUAUGCCUUCAAGCGGGUGAUGUAGGGCCUUAGGGCGAUUAUGAUACCACUACUAAGCACACUAUAUAUGAUAUAUGUUUUAUGAAGGUUUUAUGGCAUGCUAGGGUUUUUGGAAAACUUAUUAGCUAUAUGAGUUUUCUAAAGCUAGGGGUUAGUACGUUGAAGAGUAAUUGAUUUUCAUAUUACUUAUAUAUAAACUUGGUCCACUUAUGCUUUGUUUUGCGCCCCCUUCAGGACUUAGAAUCGAGGCAUACAAUCCCGGUGUCAAGGCACUCUCGUAGUGGCAUCUUUGAGUCAUCUCAAUGUAGGACCCAUUCCUUUGUUCAUAACUUUUCAUUGUAUAGUAUUCUAGAUUAGUUGUAUGCUCUGAACACGUUUUCCACAUUUGCAUAUUCAUUAUAGUUAAGUUUACGUGUUUUAUUUUACGUUUGUUCUUUCUUCAUAUUUUUGCAUGGAUGUUAAUAAGGCUUCGUCACCCUCGAGUGUUGGGCAACACGUGCCUACCUUGGUGUUUUGGAAGAUAUCGGGGUCGGGUGUGUCAAUUUGGUAUCAGAGCAUGGUUUGUUCAAAGCAUACUUAGGAUCUUCUUUUACUGUAGUAGUGUGUCGGCCUUGACAUCAUUUGGAUUUCAUGACUUCCAAAUUUGUUGCCUUUUAGUGCAGUUGUGCAAACAUUUUUCUGUCUGAAUUGUCACAUUCUAUUUGACGUACAAAAAUUUAUGUCGAGAUUGUGCCUCAUCGGUGAUGAAAUGGAAUGAUGGACGACUUUCAACAACGGACCGAUACUCUAAGACAUGCAUUCCCUAGGAAUGGCGGGCAUAGUUGGAUUUACAUUGAAGUGACGAGAAAUAAAACUCUUAGUGAGAUAAAGUUUGGAUAAGACCAGCUGAAGAUCUGAAUCGAUGAUGAUACUCUGCAACUUGCCCUAGGAAUGGCGAGCAGAGUCGUAUCUGUACGGAGAUUGCUUGAAACAUCUGAAGUUCGUGUGAAGAAAGCGAGUAAGCACCAGUUGUAUGUGUAAACACGAAAAUUCUAUAUCGAAUGAAAUGAGAACACGUUUACAAAGUAAAUUUGUAUUGAUUUGAAUUUGUAGGUUACAAUAUCUGUUUACAACUUUUCCUCUGAUUCAGUCUUUAAAUUUGAUGUAGAUGUGUAAUUGGUGAUCCAAGGGUCGUGAUGACUUGAUCUCGGACGAACGGUUGAGCGAUUACUUCAAGUUUUGAGCUUGAAAACAACGUGUUGAUGAUCUUCACCUCAAGGGUGCAGAAAAGGUAGUGUUUGAUGGGGAUUUCGUUGCUUCAAGGGUUUUGGCGACUUCAUCUUGAAACGAACGUUGCUACAAGUUUCUAAGCUUGCAACAAAGUCUUGAAGGAAUCAGCACGAGCAAUUGUUGAUUAUUCAAGAAAGUGCUUCGGCUUUGGUCGAGAGAAAACUUUGGCUUUGGUUGAAUGUUCUUCGAAGAGAGCUUUGGCAACGUAUUAGUCUUCAAAGGUUUGGUAGAGGUUCUUCUAUGUAGAGAUUUUUCGACCCUUAUGCUUGUAGGAGGAACUUGUUUUUAUAGGCUUCUCAAGGCUUACCUUUGAGUGGAUUUGGCUUUGAUUUAUGCCCUAAUUCAUUCAUGGGAGAAUUUAGGGAUGUUUUGUGUCUUAAUUUCAGCUACUUUACUCCCUUGGCCAAACUUAUGAGGCCUUGUUGCCUAUUUUGUGAGCAAUCUUCAAUUCUUGCUUGUUUUAUGACUAUGCCUUAACUUUCUUUCCGAUUUGAGAGUAUUUUGAUCCCUUGCCGAAUUUAAAAGGGAUUCUCCCUUGUUUGCCGAGUUUUUGGGGAAGUUUUCUACUUCCUUUGCUUGAUUUGCGCCACAUGUCAUUGAUAACUUGUCCAUUUCUGAUGAGUCAUAUGCCACAUUGAGCUUUAUGAUGCAUCAUUUGUAUGCAUCGAAAUUUACAUGUCUACAAAUACCCCCAUUUCAAGGCACGUUGUAGGCAUGUGCUUGUUACAUGUAGGAAACGUGUUUUGAAGUCCUGCAAUGUGAAUUUUCUAACUCAAGGGUGGUCGAGACUUGUUCUUGAAUUAGUUUGCUUCUUCAAGGGCCGUAGAGGCAUUUUUCUUGAACGAAACAUUACUUCAGGGGCCGUAGAGGCUUGAUCUCGAAAGAAAUGAAAUUUGUUUCUUCAAGGGCCGUAGAGGCUUGAUCUUGAAAGAAAUUUUGAAAAUGGAUAAAUCAGCACAUACUUAUUGUGCGUAUUUGAUUUCCCAUAAUCUUUGACAAAAUACAUUUGGCGCAUUUUGAAUUUUUCUUUGUGGUUGUAGGAGAAAUGUUUUCCUUCCUUCGAUAGGAAUCCCCUUCAAUUUUGGUAACAAGAGUGACUUCCUUCAAAGUGUUGGAAAGCUUUGAUGAUUUCCUUCAAGGUUUUGGAAAGAUUUAAUGCUUGUCCUUAGGUAAGUAGGAUGUGCAUUUUUUUUUCCUUCUUUCUUCCCCAAGGCAAGGAGGAAUUUUUUUGUUUCCUCUUUUCUUUUUCCCACAGCAAGGAAGGAGACGUUUUGUUCCUUGUUUUGAUUUCCAUGGCAAGAAUGACAACUUACUUUCCUUCUUUUUUUUAUUUCCCACGGUAAGGAAGUAGCUUUUCUUUCCCUUUUUGAUUUCCUACAACAAGGAGGGUUUUUUUUUUCUUUUUUUUUUUAUCUUUUGAUUCCCCCACAACAAGGAGGUAUUUUUUCUUUCCCUUUUUUGUUUUGGAAAACAUGUCAUCUGACUUGCACGCCUAGUUUGAGGUUGAUUUCUUUUCUGGAAAAUAAAAAUAUGGGAAACAUAGCCCUAUCCCUUAUCUUUUCAGGAAUAUAUCGCAUGCCACCAGGAAAAAUCAUGAAAGUCUUCAACUUUGCAUUUUCCUACAGCUGCCCAAUCCUAACGGGAAAACAACUUCUGCGGGAAUAACGUUGAAAACUGGAACGUUCGGCUUUAGGGAAAAUUAUGAAAUUUGGACACAAUGAUCCUCAGUCACUUAGCUUCCUUCUCCAAUUGAUCUUGCAUCAAAACUCAUUCGGAAAGUUGAAUUAUCACAAAAAACGUCUGAAACUUGCCAUUUUUUGGAAUUUGCUUCCUUCUUUUGGUUGGAAUGUGAUUCCUUGUUUUGAUUUUCCUUUUGCUAUUUGGGUAUGUAUUUCCCUUAUAGCAUUAGGAAGCAAUUGACCCUUAUAUAUAGGACCAUUGGGUGUAUAUUUUUUUCACAUACACAAUUCCUUGUUGUGGACUUGCUUGGAGCUUUUGCCAUGGGUUUUUCUUGUUGCUGCUGCUUGGAGCUUUGUAACAGUGCAUCAUUGUUUACCAUGUGGUGCUGUGCAAAAGACUGCAGUGCGUCAUUCCCUUGGUAGCGACGUUGUCAUGCGCAUUUGUUAUUGCUACUGUUAUGCCCCUUGUUGCUGUUUGGUGCAAGUUGUAGCUACUUAAAGCUUUUUGCAGUGCGUCACUUUUACCAUAUGGGGUUGUGCAAAAGACUGUAGCAAGUUUAUGUUGUGUAGUGCCUUUUGUCACAGCUUUCCUCGGUGAUGACGUUACUGUGCAGUGCAAGAAACUGCUUGCAUAAUUGCUACAGGGUCGUGUAGUGCGAUUACGUGGCAUUUUGGUUUUCUUUGCUACUGUAAUGCACUUUGAAGGACCAUCCUAUAGCUGCCCUCUUCGCCGUGCAAUGCAAGAAAGUGGUUGCAUAAUCGUUGUUGGGUUACGUAGUACGACUACGUGGCAUUUUGGUUUUCUUUGCUACUGUAGCGUUCCAUGAAGGAACGUCUUGCAGCUACCCUUUUUGCCAUGUUUGAUCAAGCUUCGUGGCUGAUUUCUUUUUGUUGUUGUGACAUUUUCAUCGUCAUUCUUCAAUGUUCACAAGGUUUGUCCCGCAUGUCUUUUGCUUUAGUGAAACGGUUUUUUUUUCUUUCUUUGCCGCACCACUUUUGUACUUACGUUACUUUGUUUAUUUUGUUGCAGCCAUGGUAUUUUUCAAGUGCUUCAAGAAUAAUACCAUCACCAUUCUUGCGAGGGAAAACGUUCCUCAAGAUAUGGGAACGACAUUGAAGCUUUAUGUGCCGUUGACUGGCCCUAAGGCGCUUGUUCUUCCUGCCAAAGACAACUUAAUGCACAUCAAGUCAUGGUCUUCUGAAGUGUCAUGGGAGGUGACGGAUUUUGGUCAAUCAACUACGAAGAAGAAGGUGUGUACGUCGAGGAUUCUUAUUUUGAAUCUUUCGCACCAUGCUCGUGACAAUUCACCGGCUUCUUUUGAGCUUCUUGGCGAUCGCGUUCGUAAUGGAGCUAUGACUUGAAAUGGCAUUCUAUCAACUACUGGAGAGGAUGUCUUUGCUGAGUUUUAUUGUGAAUAGCUUGAAUAUGUCUUUAUGGAUCCGAUUUUGGUAUUGGGGUUCCAUGAAGUACAAGAGACCUUUGAAGAAAAAUGGUGGCAACAUGACGACGAAGCUGAAGGGAAACUUAGAUCCGUCAAGUGUUAUUGGUUCAACUGAAUGCCAUGCUUUUGCUGAUUUGAAAGUGUUUGACAAACUUGGCGUAGUGUCAGAGCACGUGGAAGAAUCUUACUUAGCCGCUUGCUUAGCUUGUUGGCUUUGUAAGUUAGUUUUCCCCAAAGACAACGUCAACUUUAUCCGUCCUUCAAGGUGUUCUCUCGGAGUAGGAAGCUACACUUGCUCAGCAUCAUGAGGAGAUUUCAUGGCUAGAGUAAGGGAAAGGUGCAGCCAUGGAAGUGCCCACCUUGUCUCCCACCGAUGUAGAGACUUUGAAGACUUUAGAAAACUUGCUUGAAGAUUGUCACCAUGGUUUCAGAGACAUAGCUUUCAAGUAGUGUCUUCCAUCUUUUGUACUUUAGGCCUUCUUUGCUUUCGCUCUUUUUGUAAUAAGGCUUUGUAGCCAAAUUUUUCCUUUAAAGAAAUAAAGUAUUCACAUUUUGAAUUUGCUCUUUAUUCUUCAAAGUUUUUGUAUUUUUGUUGAUGAUGUGAUUGUACUUGAAGUUUUGAAGUUUCAAGUUGCUUAUGUACCAUCGGUUGAGGAGGGAUCAAGUCAUGACGUAGUUUAAGGGAGUGAUGGGUUUUAACAAUUUUGAUGGUGAUUUUUUUGUUUUGUUUUGUCGUACACAGUUUAUGAUCUUGCAAGCCAGGAGCGUUGAGUGUCACCUUUUAAGCUCAUGUGAACAAAGAGCUUUGUGCCGUGUGUAGUUUAGGCUCGUGCAGGUGAAAAGCGUUAAGUGUUGCCUUUUAAACUCAUGUGAACAAGGAGCGUUGAGUGUUGCCUUUUAAGCUUGUGCGAACAAGGAGCAUUGUGCCGUGCGCAGUUUAGGCUCAUGCAAGCGAGGAGCAUUGUGCCGUGUGCAGUUUACGCAUGUGCAGGUGAGGAGUGUUGUACCGUGUGCAGUUUACGCUCGUGCAAGUGAGGAGCAUUGAAUGUUUGGUUUAAAGGUAGUAACACUUUAAGAAUUUACCGUUGAUGGAGCCAAUCUUCAAGCCGUCUUCUGCCAUGAUUAGGUAGGCGCCGUUGUUGUAAACCUCUUGUAUUACGUAAGGUCAAUCCCACUUUGAUGUGAACUUGCUUUUUGUCUUAUGAGUUGUGAUGAUAGGUCUUCGUAAUGCUAAGACAAGAUCUCCAAUUUGGAAAGACCUUGGGCGGACCUUCUUGUUGAACGCCUUGGAUAGCCGUGCUUGGUAGCAUUCAAACUGUUGUUGAGUUUCAAGCCUCAUUUCGUCGAGUGCUUCUAACUCCUGAAGUCAUAACUUUAUGUUUCCCUCUUCAGUCAAGCCUUCUUGUAUAACCAUCCUUAGUGAGGGGAUUUGACUUUCGAGUGGCAGAACAGCUUCUACGCCAUAUACGAAAGAAUAAGGCAUAGCUUGGGUAGGAGUUCUAUGUGACGUCCUAUAUGCCCAAAGUGUUUAGCUUAUUUUUUCAUGCCAGUCUCUCUUUGUUCGGCCGAUUACCUUCUUCAUGAGGUUGCACAACGUUUUGUUGAAUGCUUCUGCAAGAUUAUAGGUCAGAGCAUGAUACAUAGAAGACUUGUGUUACUUGAACUUGUAUUUCUCGUAGAGCUCGUCCACGAGUUGGUUGCAGAACUAGUUUUCAUUGUCAGUGAUGAUGUAGCGAGGCACACCAUAUCGGUAAAUGAUAUGCUCCUUGAUGAAGCGGACGACAGUUUCCUUCUUGACUUCCCUUAGAGGUACGGCUUCAGCCCACUUGGAGAAGUAAUCUAUUGCGGCUAGGAUGUAGGCCUCUCCGGCAAAUUAUUUUGGUGCAAUUGGUCCCAUGAUGUCCAAUCCCCAUACAUCAAAUGGCCACGAAGCAACCGGAUGGUGUAAUGGCUCAGGCAGUUGAUGUAUAAAGUUGUCAUGGAACUGGAAGGCUUGGCACCUUUUGGGGUGUUCUAGGCAAUCAUUCACCAUGCUUGGUCGGUAAUAGCCCAUUCUUUUGAGCCAGAAGUGUAGCUUUAGUCCAGACUGAUAUGCUCCGCAUACGCCUGAGUGUGCUUCUUCCAUGGCUUGAUUGGCAUUUUCCUCACCUAGGCAUCUUAGAAGUACUCAUUCAAAAGAGCAUCGAUAGAAUGUUUCUUUGUAGUAGAGGAAGUGAGGUGCUCAUCGACGUAUUUCAGAGCGGUGUCUAGGAUCGUCUGGAAGCUUUCUUUGCUCCAAGUAGUCAAUCAGUGGCUGUCCCCACUCUUCAGUGUCGAUUGGAAGUACUGAGAUGACAUUUGUAUCAUCUAGUAAUGUUUCAGUGAUGAACGGGAUCACCCAUCUUUGGCAAAUUGGCACGUCUGUAGCUUCAUCUUCUCCUAGCACCAUACUUGAGGCUAAGUUAGCGAUAGCGUCUAUCAUUAGAUUUUCUUUUCUUGGCACAUGUUCUAGUAUCACAGCCUCAAACUUUCAUAGUCAUUGAGUUGCUAGCUAGAAGUAUGGGACGAUAUCAUAUUUCUUCACUUCAUAUUUAGUCAAGAAUUGAUUGAUUAUGAGCUUGGAGUUGCCAUACACUUCUAGAAAUGUGAUUUCCAUGUCGAUCACCAUUUGGAGUUCAAUAAUUAGCGCUUGGUACUCAGCGACGUUGUUGGAGCAUAGCUUGCUUAGUCGGAAGGAAUAGGGUAGUAUUUGUCUUUAUGGUGACAUGAAUACUACUCUUACCCCCACUCCGCCUGCUCGUGCAGAUCUGUCAAAUAACAUUGUCCAUGUCGGGAAAAUGUCGACGUAGAACACCUCCUCGUCAAGCAAGUCAUCUGAGAUUUUCCAAUCAGCUGAGAUUGAAUGAUCUGCAAGGAAGUCUGCUAGCGCUUGUCCCAUGACGACUAUAGCUGGAACGUAGAUAAUCUCGUAUUGAUUGAGAAGCAACGCCUAUUUCCCUAGUCGCCUUGUCAAAACUGGCUUGGACAUGACGUAUUUAACCAGGUCAGCUUUGGCAACCAAGUGGAUGGUGUAAGCAUGCAUGUAGUGUCAAAGCUUUUGGACGGCAAAAACCAAGGCAAGGCAUAUAUUCUCGAUUGGUGAGUAAUUGAGCUCGGCACCAGUGAGGGUUCUACUUAGGUAGUAGAGUGCUAUUUCCUUUUGGUCUUCAUUUUCUUGUGCUAAGAGUGCUCUAAUGGAACCUUCUUGUGCAAUAAUGUAUAGGAUGAGCGGCUUUCUAAGUAUAGGAGCUUCUAAGACAAGUGGGCUUACCAGGUACCUUUUUAUGCUUUCAAAUGCCUUGCGGCAGGCAUCAUCCUAUAUGAAUUGAGCAUCUUUCUUCAUGAGUCGACUUUCAAAUGACUUUUUAGCUCGUGUAGAUUCCUUGGCUCAGGCAUGCUUUGAAUGGCCUUGAUCUUUGAAGGCGAGGAACUUCCCAGAAGUGACGCCAAUGCAUACUUCAAUGGGUUCAUUUUGAGGUUGUAGUGUCAUAGUUUAUCGAACACCAUUCGUAAAUCCUUCAAGUGAUCAGAUCUCUUCUUGGUCUUGAUAACUACAUCAUCUACGUAACAUUUUAUGCUUUUGUACAGCAUGUCGUUGAAGAUCUUCUGCAUUGCACGUUGAUAUGUAGCUUCAGCAUUUUUCAAGCCAAAGUGCAUUACCUUGUAGCAGUAGAUACCUUUUUAAGUACGGACGGCUGUUAAUUCCUUGUCUUCGAGAGCUAUGCUGAUUUGAUUGUACCCAGAGGAGUCGUCCAUGAAUGAUAAUGCCUCAUGGCCAGUGGUUGCGUCUAUCAUGAUUUCGAUGAUUAGCAAGGGAAAGUCAUCAUUCUGGCAUACAUCGUUGAGGUCGCGAAAAUCUACGUAAACACAUAUUUGUCCAUAUUUCUUAAGGACAACGAUGAUGUUGGAGAUCCAUUUAGGAUAUUGCACCUCUCGAAUGAAGCCUGCUCCGAUCAACUUGUUAAUCUUGGCCUCAAUUUAUGGGAUGAGCUCGGAUUAAUAGUGCCAUUGAGUUUGCUUUAUCGAUUGUGUUCCAGGCUUGACUGCAAGAUGAUGCACGGCGAUGGUAGGGUCAAGGCCAGACAUUUCUUUGUAGGUCCAAGCAAAGACGUCUUUGUAUUCUAAAAGUAGUUGGUAGUACUUCUCGAUCUCGUCUGCACUUAGUGACGCACUUACGAAGAUAGGCUUUGGUUCCUCGCUUGUGCUUAAGUUGAGCUCCUUGAGAUCAUCAACUGUAGCUUGCCCCACAUCCUCAAGCUGUGGUGAUGCAGCAGUGACGUCUUCCUCAGGGAUUUCAUCUUCUCUGUCUUCUUGGAUUGUGAUGUGGAAGACAUCUUGGACUUUCUCUUCAGUGUCAUCCUUUUGAGCUCAUUGGCGUGAAAAUUAGCUAGUGUGGAUGAUGGUGCGCCUCCUUACCUUCAGUGAUCUUUUGUGUCCACCUCCAGGGUAGCUUGGCGUUUCAUCCUUAAAGGAAUCAAGCUUCCAACAUCGUCUUUUUCUGCUAGACUAUCGAGCUUUUCUUCCUUCGACAUUGUCUUCGUCUUUCUAGAAGGCUCCUUGGUUUCUUCAAGUCUUUCCAAGGCUGACCAUCAUGGAUGAGAGCUAGUCAUGUUGCUUUGUUUCUUAGGUUUUGACAACCUUUUGAACACAGAGCUUUAAGGUGUUGGCGUGUUAAGCCUUUUGAAUAAGGAGGUUCGGUCUUGAUCACCAGUGCAAUCAAAUGCCGAAAUUUUAGGUUUUGAACGGUUCAACCUAUUGAAUAUUGAUGUUCGAGGGGCAGGUUUAGGCUCAUCUUGUAUUUGUUCAACGCUCAUGCUGAUGUGUUGAGCGCUAGCAUUUUUUGUUUUUCUUGAAAUCUUCACGGGCAUAUUUGGUGUGAAGCCAAGUCCAACUUUGUUGUUGUCAACUCCGUAGCCAUGCUCCUUCAACUUUUUCUGAGUCUCGGUGAGGUCACAUUUUUUUCGUUGACGAUGUUUGAAACCUCUCUUCCAAGAUUUAAAGGAGAGGCGAAAUCGUACCUAGCCUUUGACAUGAGUUUGUAGGUGUUUGGGUCGAAACCUUCUUUGGUCCUCUUGGCUAGAAGAGCCCUCAGUUCUGCCCCCUUUGGCAAGGGUUUGAAGCCUAACAGUGGUUUUGAAAUUUUAACGUUGCCUAGCUGUGUCAGAGGUAAAACAUCAUUUGUCUUGAGCAGCUUUACAUAGUCCUUGUGCAGCUGUGUGUUGGCUUUGCUUGUUCUAAUUUCGAACGAAGAUUGCCUAUUCUUUCUUCUCGACAUUGGGAUGUAUCAGAAGACAAGUGAGUUUGGUCCUUUUGAGGGCGUUACACUCCCUUUGAUUGUUGUGGGCUUAGUAGGCUCAUCGUCAUCUUUGCUUGAAGAUGGCAUGGCUUCCCCUUCUCGUUUCUUAGGCACAGCUUGCCAUUCUUGUUUCUUUGGUACAACUUUACCUAUGGAUUUAAUUUCUUUUGGAAGAGCUUCGGGCACCAUUUCUUCAUCCAUGUAGAACUUAGCAUCCACGAAGUGUGAUUCGGCUUUGGUGAAUGGCUUGGGGUCACCUUGUAUCACCUUUACUCAUUCUCAGUAGAACUUUAGGCAUUGAUGGAAGGUGGACGACACUACCCCAUUCUCGUGGAUCCAAGGCCUUCCUAAGAGGAAGCUGUAGGAAGUUCUUGCAUCAAUCACGUGGAAUAGCGUGUUUCAUUUGAGUUUGCCAAUGGUCAUCUCCACGCGGACCAUGCCCAUCACUCUUUGUCCUUCUUGGUUAAAACCUUGGAUUAGGAGGUAGCUCCAGGAUAGUUCAUCCACCUUAAUGCCGAUUAUAGUCAUUGUUGACUUUGGCAUAAUGUUUAUGGCUCAUUCUCUAUCUACAAGCAUGCGGUUGAUUUUGUGCUCCCUUACGUACCCAAAGACAAAGAGAGAACGAUUGUGAGGCUUUGAUCCCAGCAGUAGGUCUUCGUCAAUGAAGUUGAUUACGUCAUGGGCGACACAGCAUGUGACAUAUUCAUAUGGCCGAAGCUUCAAGUUUUCAUCCUUGCUUUCUUGCACUUUGUGAACGUCGGGACUCUCCAAGACCCCUAUUAGUGUUCUUCGCAUCUCUUUGGGCAAUUGCAGCACCUCUUCGAUGCUAAAGUAUGACGCCAGGCUUUCUUUGAAGGGAAAUCUAUGAGUUUUACACAUGGGAUUUCGAAAUGACUAGCAUGCAUAUACAAUUCAAAAUUUAUAUACAUAAGCAACGGAAGCAUGUUAUCAAAUAAUAUCAAAGUUAUAGUCAUGCAAAUCCCCUUCAAGGUUCAUAGGUUUAUAUAUAAUGCAUCUAAAACAUUCAAGUUAAGAACAAAGUGAAGGUAUAGAUCCAUACCUCUUGAUCUUGAUUUUAAACCAAGGAUGGACCACCUCCAAGCCCUUUGCUCCUUGAAGUCCUUGAGCCUAGCCUCCUUCCUUGCCUCCUCCACUUUGUUAGUAAGAGUGCUCCAAGGUUCUCCUUUAGUCUCCAAAGGAGAAGACCUCUAAAUAUCCACACCCACUAGUGCAGUGAGAUGGAUGGAGGAAUAACCAAAAGGGUGAAAGAUUGUUAGCUAAAUCACCCUCAAGGUGGCCGGCCUUUGGUGUUUAAAGAGAGAUGUUUCUUUUGCCUCUUUUUGUUUUAAAACACACAAAAACCCUAAGGAAUAAAUCUCUAUAAAGUUCCUUAUAUAGACAAAAAGAAACCUAGUCAACAACUUGACUUAAUAUCUCUCCCUCUCCACUUUAAAUGGCCGGCCCCUUUGUGUUGGUUUGGGCUUUGGGCUUUUAUUUAUUUCUAGUCAUCCAAUGCUUGAAUAAAAGCCCAAUGGGUUUAGGCCCAAUGGACCCAAUUAAACCCGAACGUUUCUUUAAGCCCAAAACGAUCUUUUAUCGCUUUUAUGAUUUCUUUAGACUUUCUAAAUUAAUCACAACACUUACUUAAUCCAAUUAAUUAUUUCCAUCAUCCAUUAAUUACUCACUACAAGAGUGUAUCGGUGUACAAUCAUUUUAGGUUCUAAUUAGCAAGGCAGUGAGGUGAUUGACAUCAAUCCAAUUGAUUAUAUUUUUAAUCCAAUCACUUAGUGAAUUAAAACUUCCUUUUAAUUCACCCUUCUUCUUUGAUGACUACAUUUAAUCAUCUAGAAGAACUCACAAGGUAUGAGUGACAUCUAACCAUAUGUUAUAGCUACCCAAGCUAAUGUAGAAGUUGUUCGAAGAACCUAUUCAGUUGGAAUUACAAUGUAAUUCGAUCCUUCUCUAAAACAAUACUCUCAAUCACAUUACUAGGGUAUGGAUAUAUUAUGUCAAACCCCUAAUGUGAUUAUUCCUUCUUAUAUGAUUCAAUUGAGUCGUAUAGGAACGCUUUCCUUUAUUACGCUCGAUACUUCGGCCAAAGAUUCCCGAAUCAUAUCUUAGAGUAUUCUUCCUCUCUUAACGAGGAUUAGAGAUUCCUUAUUGCGCAUUCACUUGCCUUCAUGACUAAGUGGCUUAACCCCAAUUAUGCCGUGGACACCCGCGAAUGGGGUGACUUUGACAUAAUCAAAGAUUAAGUACUUAGCCACAAGACAACGAUGAUGCCUCAGGUCAAAGGACUACUUACAUUAUUCCAACCAUUAGAGUUACUUACUUGACAUGUGAGUAGACCUCCAUGCAAGUACUCUCGUUCGAUUGUGUUCGGUGAACUCAUUCCCUUAAUGAGCACCUACAUACUUGUCUUAGUGUCACUACACGAAUGGGAUGAGACUUUCCAUUCUUCCAUUUGAAGCGGACACAGUAUGUACCGGUCUAAGCAUUGUCAGUUUCCCUCCGACAAUCCAAUGACCAGGAACCUUUUUGGACAUAAUAGUUAUGUGAAGAAGGUCUCUGUAGUCUAACAUCAUUAGAUUACUUCUUCAAUCGAUCCAUUGUCCAUGGAUUCACUAUUUAGGACAUAUAUCGUUUAUUGAGAUAGUCCUAAUUAGUAUCUUUGCCAUUUGAUGUAUAAGAGUCAUCUAUACAUCGUUUCAUUUGUCCUGAAAGGUUUCUUCCAAUGAUUGACUUCCAGGGCAUAUUUCCAACAAUCUCCUACUUGCACUAAAGUCAAUCACUAGUGUAUCUUAUACAUGCUAGUUAAGAGAGCUUAUGCUCGUAGGUUAACUUGGUUAUGUAUUAAUCCUUUUUAUUUAAAAAGGAUUUACUUAUCAAAUGUUUCCAAAACAUUUGAUGAUGUCUCUUCUUGUGUUCGAAUACUUUGAUGAGACCUUGAUUCCAUGGCUUGAGCUAUCGCCCCAUUACGUCGUAGUAUCCUACUAACAACCUUAUGGUUUGGAUUCAAUCAUUGGUUCUAUAAGAACCCCUUCAUUCAAAACACCUUUUGAAGCAAUUUCUAAAACAAUAUAUCGUCAUAUAUUUCGUUUGUAUACUUUAUAUAAACUUUGCUUCAACCUUGAGACCAUUGUAGUACAAUACUAACAAUACAUUCAUAUGAUUAGUACUUCAUCCAUUAUGAAGUUCCAUUUGUUAAAAUGGCUUAUUUUCACUUUGGUUAAUAACCUAAGUGAAUGCACGCUUCCAGAGUCCCACUCUGAUGUUUCUUUCUUAAAGGCAAUAAUACUCUAUCAGUUGCUUUGGUUCUGAUCCUGGGAUAUAGUAUAUCUUAAAGUGACAAACUCUGUGGUUUUUCACCUUUGGAUAUCUACUUCACAAGUCCAUACAUGUGUCCCUUUUGUGAUUUUGUGACACAUUCAUUAUAAGGGUUAUGAAAGUGAUUUUCUAUCACAUAGGAAAAUGCUUUCUUAAAUCUACAACAUUUGAGAUUUAAUUCCCAUAUAACAUUAUUGAGAUAGCCUUGCUAUAUCAAUAAGUCCAAUUUCAAGUCUAUACUUCAAAAUUGACCAUGUCAUGUUUUGUCAUUUCUCGAGUAACAUCUAUGUUUUAUCAAGUCUAUCGAAUAGACUUUAUUCACAUCUUGUUGCUCAAAUUAUGACAUCACUCCCACUGGCCUUGUUGUAACUUAGCAUUCAUUCAAAAAUAACAAUUAUAUUUUCUUGAUUUGAAUGCAUAUUGCUCCCACUAACUUAAAUGAAUCAUACACAAAAGAAUUCAUUCUCAAGUAAUUCCAUUUGAAAUGUGUGACUUGUUUCAUUAAGUCUAUUCAUUUAAAUUAUAUGGUGUCAUACACCAUACUUCAAGUUUUAGUCAUACUAAGACCUUUAAUGUAGUCAUAUAAGAAUUAUCCAAGUCUUUAGUGGAAGCAUGGCUCCUACUAAGGAUAUAGAAACUCAACCAUUCCUUCUAGGUGGUUGAUAUAAUUCUUUAUCAAAACUACAUAGAGCAAUAUUGUUACAUGAGAUGUUGAAUUUGGAUUGUCUUGUUAAAUCAUAUGUUGUGACUCAUUUUGAACUUAUUUCCCUUUUUGUUUCAUCAACUUGUCCAUAUGCUAAGUUAUUUAGCUUGUUCUCAUAAAAGAGAAUGAUGGACAACUCCCAACAUAUAACUAUUUUAUGCUAGGUUGACGAAACCAACAUUCAAAGACUAUUCUUUAGAAUGUCACACAACAUAGAAUUUUAACGUUUGAAGAGCUUGAGUUCUUUAACAAUUAAAAUUACAAACUCUUAAUAAUAGUCAAGUACUAUUAUCCUUUAGACAACUAUAAACCAAUCACAUUCAAAUUUAUAUCCAUUUUCACACCUCCCACUAUUUCUUAUGACUUUAAUGAGAAAUCAUUUCAUACAUUCAAAAUGUAUAAAAGUGGAGUACAUUGGUAGAAGACAUUGUGUAGUAGCUUUAAAACAUUUCAAGCUUAUUUGUUUCAAUCUUCACUAAGUUAAUGUCUUGUUAUUAAGUGACUAAAGUCUUUAAACAUUUUAUAGAUUUAGACACUUCUUUCUUGGUUUAAUCACUAACACAAUUGACAUUUUAAAACAAUUUUAAAAUUGCCCAAUUAGUUGUUCAAAAUUACUAAUUGAAUCAAGAGUGAUCUUGAUCAUUGUGUUUUAAGUGACAACCAUAUAAGAAACGUUUUUCUUAUUACUUAUAUCAUUAUAAUGUGAUCUUCCUUUUCUUCAAGAAAGGAUUCUCUAGACUUUUGUCAAUUCAUAUAGAACUCAUAGGUAGACAAAUGGAACCAAAUCUAAAGAUUCAUUGUAUCCUUUUAUGUCCUACAUGUGAGAUCUAUCCAUAAUUGAUAAAUCUAAAGUUUGGUUAUCACAUUACAAUAAGUGAUAUAACUCUUGUAUCUCUUCUUAGGAUACAACAAGACAAUAUUCAAUUCAUAACACUACUUUAAGGAAAUAAUAUAUUAGAAGGUAUUCAUCAUAUUACAUUAAUAUGAUAAUUCAAACAUUCAUAAUGUUUAAUACAAAAAGUAUUAGCUCUAUACAUUUAGAGACUAACAUAAACACCUUUAUACAUUUAGGCACUAGUAGUGGUCUUCCAUCAUAUGAAGCCACAUAAUAAGUUCUUAACAAAAUAAGAAAGUUUAAAGACAAUCUUUAAAUGCCUAACAAACUUCCUAAGUAGUGAGCAAAAAACAUAGUGACCGAACCCUUCACCGCAUUUUCCUUGCUUGUUCCUCUUCUACUUGGCUUCUCCACCUAUAUACAAUUAUACAAGUGAUUAGCUCUUUAUAUCAAAUAUAAAUAUUUAGAAGAUCUAACAAUUAGAAUUGAAGAUAAGAACAUAAACCAUACCUUGUGGCUUGUCCUUAAGACUUGCAAGGUAUAACCUGCAAUUCCUCCUCCAAUGCCCCUCCUUUCCACAGUGGUGGCAAGUCCCCUUGGGCUCCUUUGCCUUCUUUUUCCUCACUCCUCCUUGCGGCUUAGGAGUGGGAGACUUCUUCUCCUUCCCUUUGCCUUUGCCUUGCGGCUUAACCUUGGAAGAUGAUGGCUUGUUGUAGGCUACUGCAGCAGUCCCUACAACGUUCUCUUUCUUCAUUCUUCAUAGUCUUCUCGGCAGUUACUAACAUGUUUAGUAACUCAGAGAGAGUACUAUCCAUCUUAUUCAUAUUGUAGUUCAUUACGAACUGCGAGAAUGAAUCAGAAAGAGAAGCCAAUAUGAAGUCCUGGGCCAAUUCCCCGUCAAGUGGAGUACUUAGGUUCUCCAAUUGUUCAAUGAAUCAUAUCAUCUUCAGUACAUGUUGAUGCACUGGAGCCCCCUUGACCAUCUUGGUCUUCACAAGUUCACAAACAGUGAUAAAGCGAUGGUUGCGCGUCCCUUCACCAUAUAACUCCGUAAGAUGGAGUAUUAUGGAAGAUGCACUGUCCAUGCCCUCGUGCUGUCUCUGUAGCUCCUCAUUCAUGGAAGCCAACAGAUAGCACUUGGCUUGUGUGUCAUCCUCAACGUGCUUGUCAUACUUAGCACGUUCAUCCUCAGUAGCCUCAGGGCCGAGAGGUAUGUGAGGUGGAGCCUUGUCUAGUACGUAAACAAUAUUCUCCAAUGUUAGGAGAAUCUUGACAUUACGAUACCACGAUGGGAAAUUGUGCCCCUCUAGGCAAUGUUUGUCGAGUAUUUUUGCGAGUGUGCUUCCAACCAUAUCUAAAUACAUAAACAAUAAAAUAAUUAGUUUGAUUGUCGAUUAAGUCAAACGAUUUGGGUCUUUAAACCGAAUGACACCACCCACCAUUUUUGGCAAAUUCCAUAUCCCUCAAGAUGGAAUCCGGGAGUUUUCAAAGAAAGCUCCUAGCGGGUUAUAGGAGGCUCACUAUUACCAAGCCCACCUCACGAUGAUACGAUGUUGGCUAGCAAAAAUAAUAAUGAGAGGGUACACUUACCCAUUCACAACAACCUCUUGUGAUUACCCAUCUUUUUGGCCUCUAGAGAACAAUGCCUCAUGAUGAUACGAUGUUGGCAUCAUUUCUCUUAGUUAAGUUCUUUCCCACCAUGCCGGUUUAGAUAGGGGUUCAAGCAUGACCUCAUGAUGAUACGAUGUUGGCCACACUCGUUGCCUACCUUAACCUCAUCAAAUGUUUUAAAUAAACUCCUCCUGAGUAUAAGCAUGCACUUUGCACUCCCCCAUGAUAGGGUGAAGGCGGUGUGCAAGUCAUAAACGAUUGGAGCCUACCACGGUGGAAGGCCACGAAAAAUGUUCAAAACACUCUUACGCUUUCAACUUAAUAUUGUAUGUUGGUUGAGGGAUUUUAAGGUCUCAUCAAUUUUAUUUAUUUAAUCACAUUCAAAUAAAUAAUGUCCUAUUACAACUACUAGUCCAAAGUUAAUGAAAUUAGUAGCAUAUGAUAUCCCCACUAUUCGUUUUCAUAAAACAAAUCAAUAUCAAAACAUUUUUCAAAAUAUUGGAGAUAUAUAACUACUAAUUGUAUUCAUUAUAUUUUAGUAGCAUAUGAUACUCCCACUAUUUGUUUUAAGAAAAACAAAUCAAUAUCAAAAACGAAUUUUUUUAAAUAUUGGAAGUAACUACUACUACUAAGGUUUUUGCAUUCCUUUGAAAUUGGACUUUAUAGUUAUCUUAGGCUCUUGGAUGACCAUGGACUUAUUAGGUUAUUGCAACAACGAGCCAACAUUGUUGAAUAUAAACUCGGAAAGGUUGUGUCAAUUUAAUUACGUGUUUUUCAAUCCAAUUAAAACAUCUUCAUUGAGCCAUUAGAAAUGAAAGACAAUCAUUCAUUGCUAAUUAGGGCAUUGGACCCAUUUAAUCUUUAAUCUCAUGUCAAAAACCCUCUUUUAGUUAUGUCUCCUUACCAAUAGUUAAAGAAACUCUAGUCUAGCACUAGAGGGAAUCAACUAACUAAAAGAGAUUAAGAAGUAAUAAGAAUUACAAACCGAUUUGUACAAAUUCCUAUAAAUUACACAUACUAAAAGGGGAGAGAUAGAUUAAUGUCAAACGUGACAAGGUCCAAUUAAACAGUAAUUAAAACACAUUCCCCAAGGUUCAAACAAUUUAAUUUUAGCGCCUUAUCUCAUAACUCAAUUAUCGUUUAAGGCAUAAGUCCAUAGUCACCCUUUUCUAACUACUUAAUCACAUUAAAUAAUCAAAAUGGAAUGCAACAUGAACAUUUAGAUUUAGUGCAUAUGGGCAUAAUAGUAUUAUGAGUUUAAACAACUAACAAAAUUAAAAUCAAAUAUUUUAACUUUCUAGUUAGUAGGGGCCUAAAUGCAAACAAGAAAAAGUUAGGGGUCAAACCGUAAAUACUCAAAAGUAUAAAAUAUCUUUUUUCAAAUUACAAAAAACCCCACAAGUGGAUAAAUCCACUAGUGUGGCCGGCCACAUUAAGGGGAGAUGGGAAGUCUCACCCAUCUUGCUUUAAUUCAAUGCAAAGUAGAAAAAAUCCAAAUUUGCUUGUCACUUGGUUUUGGCAUUAAAACUUAGGUGAAAAGGGUUGAUGGAAAUUUCCUAGUCAAGUCUAGGAUUUAAUAAAUUUUUGGGAAGGCUAUGGAUGAUAAGUAUAUCAUCCAAAACCAUAAAACAAUUUAUGAAAACCAAAUAAAACCAUUUUCACCAAAAAAACAAACCAUGAACACCAAAAACAAAACCAUGAACACAUUUUCAAGAUUUGUGUAUUCUUGGUGAUUUUUCAAACCCAAAAACUAAAGUGACAAGGGCUCUACUUUCUAGCUUUAAAAUGAUGUGUGAGUGUUUUACAACAAAACACAAACACAUGCCCAAAAAACCCCCUUAAUGCCGUGCCUACCACAAGGAACAAAACCCCAAAUUUUGUUCACAACUUACUCUUCAUUCAUGCAUCCAAAACACCUUUUUACAUGCAUAUCUUUUUCAACUCUUGAUUUAUAUUUUUCAACCAUUGAAAAACAAAAGAUAAACAUACUUUAACUGAAGAAAUAAUAUGUCAAACUAGUUCAAAACUCAAUUUUCAUUCAUGCAUACAAAACAUCUUUUGCAUACAUAUCUUUCUCAACUAUUGACUAACAUUUUUCAACUAUUGAAAAACAAAAAGAUAAACAUAUUUUUAAUGAAGCAAUAAUUAUGUCAUACAUAAUAUUAAUACCCAUAUGCAUAAAAUCCAAAAGGACACAUUAUACAUAAAUCUUUGGCUCUGAUACCACUUGAAGGGAAAUCUAUGAGUUUUACACAUGGGAUUUCGAAAUGACUAGCAUGCAUAUACAAUUCAAAAUUUAUAUACAUAAGCAACGGAAGCAUGUUAUCAAAUAAUAUCAAAGCUAUAGUCAUGCAAAUCCCCUUCAAGGUUCAUAGGUUUAUAUAUAAUGCAUCUAAAAACAUUCAAGUUAAGAACAAAGUGAAGGUAUAGAUCUAUACCUCUUGAUCUUGAUUUUAGACCAAGGAUGGACCACCUCCAAGCCCUUUGCUCCUUGAAGUCCUUGAGCCUAGCCUCCCUCCUUACCUCCUCCACUUUGUUAGUAAGAGUGCUCCAAGGUUCUCCUUUAGUCUCCAAAUGAGAAGACCUCUAAAUAUCCACACCCACUAGUGUAGUGAGAUGGAUGGAGGAAUAACCAAAAGGGUGAAAGAUUGUUAGCUAAAUCACCCUCAAGGUGGCCGGCCUUUGGUGUUUAAAGAGAGAUGUUUCUUUUGCCUCUUUUUGUUUUAAAACACAUAAAAACCCUAAGGAAUAAAUCUCUAUAAAGUUCCUUAUAUAGACAAAAAGAAACCUAGUCAACAACUUGACUUAAUAUCUCUCCCUCUCCACUUUAAAUGGCCGGCCCCUUUGUGUUAGUUUGGGCUUUGGGCUUUUAUUUAUUUCUAGUCAUCCAAUGCUUGAAUAAAAGCCCAAUGGGUUUAGGCCCAAUGGACCCAAUUAAACCCGAACGUUUCUUUAAGCCCAAAACGAUCUUUUAUCGCUUUUAUGAUUUCUUUAGACUUUCUAAAUUAAUCACAACACUUAAUUAAUCCAAUUAGUUAUUUCCAUCAUCCAUUAAUUACUCACUACAAGAGUGUAUCGGUGUACAAUCAUUUUAGGUUCUAAUUAGCAAGGCAGUGAGGUGAUUGACAUCAAUCCAAUUGAUUAUAUUUAAUCCAAUCACUUAGUGAAUUAAAACUUCCUUUUAAUUCACCUUUCUUCUUUGAUGACUACAUUUAAUCAUCUAGAAGAACUCACAAGCUAUGAGUGACAUCUAACCAUAUGUCAUAGCUACCCAAGCUAAUGUAGAAGUUGUUCGGAGAACCUAUUCAGUUGGAAUUACAAUGUAAUUCGAUCCUUCUCUAAAACAAUACUCUCAAUCACAUUACUAGGGUAUGGAUAUAUUAUGUCAAACCCUAAUUUGAUUAUUCCUUCUUAUAGAUUCAAUAAGUCGUAUAGGAACGCUUUCCUUUAUUACGCUCGAACUCGCCGAAGAUUCCGAUCAUAUCUUAGAGUUUCCUCCUUACGAGGUUAGAUUCCUGUUGAUGCGAAAUAUAAGCACACAAAUUAAACCCUCUUUUUGUCAAAUUGUAGCAAAGAUGUAAGUAGGGAUCGUUCUAGACCGGGGAUUAGGAGGGAUUGCUAAACACUUGGAAACUGACUUAAAACUCAAAAACAAAGUUUAAAACACUAAACUAGACUCAAAGAAUGCAAAACUAAAGUUAAAACACUUAAACAAACCUAAAACUCAAAACAGCAACUAGAAGGCUCAAAACUGCCUAAAAACCACUUUCUGGGCAGUUUUGAGCACCUACACUAAUUUGGACGAAAAUUGAUGAAAACUUGAAUCAAAACACUUAGAAACACAAAUCAAAACACUUUCUAACUAAUCUAAGACUUCAAAAUAAAGGGGGAUUUGUUUUGGACGAAAAUUUGAAAAACAAAACAGAAACUUUAACUAAACAGAUUGUAAAAACGAUUUUGGUGAAAAUAGAUGGAUAAAAGGCUAGUUAGGAGGUUCUUCUCCACACAUGUCACACUUGCAAACAAAACGAUUUUCAGUUGUUCUUCCAAUAAACUAUGAAUACUCAACGCCCCAAAUUAACCGUGAAUUGCACUAAUUAACCCUCAGUUUUUCCACAAGUUAUUAAGUUGGAUGAUUGCAUACGACAACCCAAAACAUUCCCUACAAGUUCCCUACAUGAAUUGCAUAAUAGAGAUACAAGCAAGAAUCAUUACGUUCUAUGAAAAACAUAAGCAUUGACGAAGCAUUUGUUACUAUGAAUUGCAUGAAACUUAUGCUAAGAAUUCAUUCAACGCGAUCGUUUUCAAGCGAUCUUCACUACUUGUGAUUAUAAGAUUGUAACUAUUAGGUGAAACUCCCUCAUAAUCUAGCAUCAUAUUCAUGCAUGAAAACUAAGCGUGCACUCUCAAUCAACAUACACAAAUAAGUUAUCAAUCAAAUAGAUGAACGAAUUGAAUCCACAACUUAUGAAAUAACAACUGAAUGUAAUCGAAUCAAAUUGCAAGCAUGUACAUGGUUUCGAAUCACCCCCCAACUAAGGGGGUUUAGUUCCUCAUACUCACAACACAAAGUUUAUUGAAUUGAAACAUCGAAGACAUAAGAANNNNNNNNNNNNNNNNNNNNNNNNNNNNNNNNNNNNNNNNNNNNNNNNNNNNNNNNNNNNNNNNNNNNNNNNNNNNNNNNNNNNNNNNNNNNNNNNNNNNNNNNNNNNNNNNNNNNNNNNNNNNNNNNNNNNNNNNNNNNNNNNNNNNNNNNNNNNNNNNNNNNNNNNNNNNNNNNNNNNNNNNNNNNNNNNNNNNNNNNNNNNNNNNNNNNNNNNNNNNNNNNNNNNNNNNNNNNNNNNNNNNNNNNNNNNNNNNNNNNNNNNNNNNNNNNNNNNNNNNNNNNNNNNNNNNNNNNNNNNNNNNNNNNNNNNNNNNNNNNNNNNNNNNNNNNNNNNNNNNNNNNNNNNNNNNNNNNNNNNNNNNNNNNNNNNNNNNNNNNNNNNNNNNNNNNNNNNNNNNNNNNNNNNNNNNNNNNNNNNNNNNNNNNNNNNNNNNNNNNNNNNNNNNNNNNNNNNNNNNNNNNNNNNNNNNNNNNNNNNNNNNNNNNNNNNNNNNNNNNAACUUGGUUAUGUAUUAAUCCUUUUUUUAAAAAGGAUUUAACUUAUCAAUGUUCCAAAACAUUUGAUGAUGUCUCUUCUUGUGUUCGAAAUACUUUGAUGAGACCUUGAUUCCAUGGCUUGAGCUAUCGCCCCAUUACGUCGUAGUUCCACUAACAAUUAUGGUUAUAUCAUUGUUCUAUAAGACCCCCUUCAUCAAACACCUUUUGAAGCAAUUUAAACAAAUAUCGUCUUAUUUCGUUGUAUACUUUAUAUAAACUUGCUUCAACUUGAGACCAUUGUAGUUACAAUACUAAACAAUACAUUCAUAUGAUUAGUACUUCAUCCAUUAUGAAGUUCCAUUUGUUAAAAUGGCUUAUUUUCACUUUGGUUAAUAACCUAAGUGAAUGCACGCUUCCAGAGUCCCACUCUGAUGUUUCUUUCUAAAGGCAAUAAUACUCUAUCAGUUGCUUUGGUUCUGAUCCUGGGGAUAUAGUAAUAUCUUAAAGUGACAAACUCUGUGGUUUUUCACCUUUGGAUAUCUACUUCACAAGUCCAUACAUGUGUCCCUUUUGUGAUUUUGUGACACAUUCAUUAUAAGGGUUAUGAAAGUGAUUUUCUAUCACAUAGAAAAUGCUUUCUUAAAUCUACAACAUUUGAGAUUUAAUUCCCAUAUAACAUUAUUGAGAUAGCCUUGCUAUAUCAAUAAGUCCAAUUUCAAGUCUAUACUUCAAAAUUGACCAUGUCAUGUUUUGUCAUUUCUCGAGUAACAUCUAUGUUUUAUCAAGUCUAAUCGAAUAGACUUUAUUCACAUCUUGUUGCUCAAAUUAUGACAUCACUCCCACUGGCCUUGUUGUAACUUAGCAUUCAUUCAAAAUAACAAUUAUUUUUCUUGAAUUUGAAUGCAUAUUGCUCCCACUAACUUAAAUGAAUCAUACACAAAAGAAUUCAUUCUCAAGUAAUUCCAUUUGAAAUGUGUGACUUGUUUCAUUAAGUCUAUUCAUUUAAAUUAUAUGGUGUCAUACACCAUACUUCAAGUUUUAGUCAUACUAAGACCUUUUAAUGUAGUCAUAUAAGAAUUAUCCAAGUCUUUAGUGGAAGCAUGGCUCCUACUAAGGAUAUAGAAACUCAACCAUUCCUUCUAGGUGGUUGAUAUAAUUCUUUAUCAAAACUACAUAGAGCAAUAUUGUUACAUGAGAUGUUGAAUUUGGAUUGUCUUGUUGUUAAAUCAUAUGUUGUGACUCAUUUGAACUUAUUUCCCUUUUUGUUUUCAUCAACUUGUCCAUAUGCUAAGUUAUUUAGCUUGUUCUCAUAAAAGAGAAUGAUGGACAACUCCCAACAUAUAACUAUUUAUGCUAGGUUGACGAAACCAACAUUCAAAGACUAUUCUUUAGAAUGUCACACAACAUAGAAUUUUAACGUUUGAAGAGCUUGAGUUCUUUAACAAUUAAAAUUACAAACUCUUAAUAAUAGUCAAGUACUAUUAUCCUUUAGACAACUAUAAACCAAUCACAUUCAAAUUUAUAUCCAUUUUCACACCUCCCACUAUUUCUUAUGACUUUAAUGAGAAAUCAUUUCAUACAUUCAAAAUGUAUAAAAGUGGAGUACAUUGGUAGAAGACAUUGUGUAGUAGCUUUAAAACAUUUCAAGCUUAUUUGUUUCAAUCUUCACUAAGUUAAUGUCUUGUUAUUAAGUGACUAAAGUCUUUAAACAUUUUAUAGAUUUAGACACUUCUUUCUUGGUUUAAUCACUAACACAAUUGACAUUUUAAAACAAUUUUAAAAUUGCCCAAUUAGUUGUUCAAAAUUACUAAUUGAAUCAAGAGUGAUCUUGAUCAUUGUGUUUUAAGUGACAACCAUAUAAGAAACGUUUUUCUUAUUACUUAUAUCAUUAUAAUGUGAUCUUCCUUUUCUUCAAGAAAGGAUUCUCUAGACUUUUGUCAAUUCAUAUAGAACUCAUAGGUAGACAAAUGGAACCAAAUCUAAAGAUUCAUUGUAUCCUUUUAUGUCAUACAUGUGAGAUCUAUCCAUAAUUGAUAAAUCUAAAGUUUGGUUAUCACAUUACAAUAAGUGAUAUAACUCUUGUAUCUCUUCUUAGGAUACAACAAGACAAUAUUCAAUUCAUAACACUACUUUAAGGAAAAUAAUAUAUUAGAAGGUAUUCAUCAUAUUACAUUAAUAUGAUAAUUCAAACAUUCAUAAUGUUUAAUACAAAAGUAUUAGCUCUAUACAUUUAGAGACUAACAUAAACACCUUUAUACAUUUAGGCACUAGUAGUGGUCUUCCAUCAUAUGAAGCCACAUAAUAAGUUCUUAACAAAAUAAGAAAGUUUAAAGACAAUCUUUAAAUGCCUAACAAACUUCCUAAGUAGUGAGCAAAAAAACAUAGUGACCGAACCCUUCACCGCAUUUUCCUUGCUUGUUCCUCUUCUACUUGGCUUCUCCACCUAUAUACAAUUAUACAAGUGAUUAGCUCUUUAUAUCAAAUAUAAAUAUUUAGAAGAUCUAACAAUUAGAAUUGAAGAUAAGAACAUAAACCAUACCUUGUGGCUUGUCCUUAAGACUUGCAAGGUAUAACCUGCAAUUCCUCCUCCAAUGCCCCUCCUUUCCACAGUGGUGGCAAGUCCCCUUGGGCUCCUUUGCCUUCUUUUUCCUCACUCCUCCUUGCGGCUUAGGAGUGGGAGACUUCUUCUCCUUCCCUUUGCCUUUGCCUUGCGGCUUAACCUUGGAAGAUGAUGGCUUGUUGUAGGCUACUGCAGCAGUCCCUACAACGUUCUCUUUCUUCAUAGUCUUCUCGGCAGUUACUAACAUGUUUAGUAACUCAGAGAGAGUACUAUCCAUCUUAUUCAUAUUGUAGUUCAUUACGAACUGCGAGAAUGAAUCAGAAAGAGAAGCCAAUAUGAAGUCCUGGGCCAAUUCCCCGUCAAGUGGAGUACUUAGGUUCUCCAAUUGUUCAAUGAAUCAUAUCAUCUUCAGUACAUGUUGAUGCACUGGAGCCCCCUUGACCAUCUUGGUCUUCACAAGUUCACAAACAGUGAUAAAGCGAUGGUUGCGCGUCCCUUCACCAUAUAACUCCGUAAGAUGGAGUAUUAUGGAAGAUGCACUGUCCAUGCCCUCGUGCUGUCUCUGUAGCUCCUCAUUCAUGGAAGCCAACAGAUAGCACUUGGCUUGUGUGUCAUCCUCAACGUGCUUGUCAUACUUAGCACGUUCAUCCUCAGUAGCCUCAGGGCCGAGAGGUAUGUGAGGUGGAGCCUUGUCUAGUACGUAAACAAUAUUCUCCAAUGUUAGGAGAAUCUUGACAUUACGAUACCACGAUGGGAAAUUGUGCCCCUCUAGGCAAUGUUUGUCGAGUAUUUUUGCGAGUGUGCUUCCAACCAUAUCUAAAUACAUAAACAAUAAAAUAAUUAGUUUGAUUGUCGAUUAAGUCAAACGAUUUGGGUCUUUAAACCGAAUGACACCACCACCACCAUUUUUGGCAAAUUCCAUAUCCCUCAAGAUGGAAUCCGGGAGUUUUCAAAGAAAGCUCCUAGCGGGUUAUAGGAGGCUCACUAUUACCAAGCCCACCUCACGAUGAUACGAUGUUGGCUAGCAAAAAUAAUAAUGAGAGGGUACACUUACCCAUUCACAACAACCUCUUGUGAUUACCCAUCUUUUUGGCCUCUAGAGAACAAUGCCUCAUGAUGAUACGAUGUUGGCAUCAUUUCUCUUAGUUAAGUUCUUUCCCACCAUGCCGGUUUAGAUAGGGGUUCAAGCAUGACCUCAUGAUGAUACGAUGUUGGCCACACUCGUUGCCUACCUUAACCUCAUCAAAUGUUUUAAAUAAACUCCUCCUGAGUAUAAGCAUGCACUUUGCACUCCCCCAUGAUAGGGUGAAGGCGGUGUGCAAGUCAUAAACGAUUGGAGCCUACCACGGUGGAAGGCCACGAAAAAUGUUCAAAACACUCUUACGCUUUCAACUUAAUAUUGUAUGUUGGUUGAGGGAUUUUAAGGUCUCAUCAAUUUUAUUUAUUUAAUCACAUUCAAAUAAAUAAUGUCCUAUUACAACUACUAGUCCAAAGUUAAUGAAAUUAGUAGCAUAUGAUAUCCCCACUAUUCGUUUUCAUAAAACAAAUCAAUAUCAAAACAUUUUUCAAAAUAUUGGAGAUAUAUAUAACUACUAAUUGUAUUCAUUAUAUUUUAGUAGCAUAUGAUACUCCCACUAUUUGUUUUAAGAAAAACAAAUCAAUAUCAAAAACGAAUUUUUUUAAAAUAUUGGAAGUAACUACUACUACUAAGGUUUUUGCAUUCCUUUGAAAUUGGACUUUUUAUAGUUUAUCUUAGGCUCUUGGAUGACCAUGGACUUAUUAGGUUAUUGCAACAACGAGCCAACAUUGUUGAAUAUAAACUCGGAAAGGUUGUGUCAAUUUAAUUACGUGUUUUUCAAUCCAAUUAAAACAUCUUCAUUGAGCCAUUAGAAAUGAAAGACAAUCAUUCAUUGCUAAUUAGGGCAUUGGACCCAUUUAAUCUUUAAUCUCAUGUCAAAAACCCUCUUUUAGUUAUGUCUCCUUACCAAUAGUUAAAGAAACUCUAGUCUAGCACUAGAGGGAAUCAACUAACUAAAAGAGAUUAAGAAGUAAUAAGAAUUACAAACCGAUUUGUACAAAUUCCUAUAAAUUACACAUACUAAAAGGGGAGAGAUAGAUUAAUGUCAAACGUGACAAGGUCCAAUUAAACAGUAAUUAAAACACAUUCCCAAGGUUCAAACAAUUUAAUUUUAGCGCCUUAUCUCAUAACUCAAUUAUCGUUUAAGGCAUAAGUCCAUAGUCACCCUUUUCUAACUACUUAAUCACAUUAAAUAAUCAAAAUGGAAUGCAACAUGAACAUUUAGAUUUAGUGCAUAUGGGCAUAAUAGUAUUAUGAGUUUAAACAACUAACAAAAUUAAAAUCAAAUAUUUUAACUUUCUAGUUAGUAGGGGCCUAAAUGCAAACAAGAAAAAGUUAGGGGUCAAACCGUAAAUACUCAAAAGUAUAAAAUAUCUUUUUUCAAAUUACAAAAAACCCCACAAGUGGAUAAAUCCACUAGUGUGGCCGGCCACAUUAAGGGGAGAUGGGAAGUCUCACCCAUCUUGCUUUAAUUCAAUGCAAAGUAGAAAAAAUCCAAAUUUGCUUGUCACUUGGUUUUGGCAUUAAAAACUUAGGUGAAAAGGGUUGAUGGAAAUUUCCUAGUCAAGUCUAGGAUUUAAUAAAUUUUUGGGAAGGCUAUGGAUGAUAAGUAUAUCAUCCAAAACCAUAAAACAAUUUAUGAAAACCAAAUAAAACCAUUUUCACCAAAAAAACAAACCAUGAACACCAAAAACAAAACCAUGAACACAUUUUCAAGAUUUGUGUAUUCUUGGUGAUUUUUCAAACCCAAAAACUAAAGUGACAAGGGCUCUACUUUCUAGCUUUAAAAUGAUGUGUGAGUGUUUUACAACAAAACACAAACACAUGCCCAAAAAACCCCCUUAAUGCCGUGCCUACCACAAGGAACAAAACCCCAAAUUUUGUUCACAACUUACUCUUCAUUCAUGCAUCCAAAACACCUUUUUACAUGCAUAUCUUUUUCAACUCUUGAUUUAUAUUUUUCAACCAUUGAAAAACAAAAGAUAAACAUACUUUAACUGAAGAAAUAAUAUGUCAAACUAGUUCAAAACUCAAUUUUCAUUCAUGCAUACAAAACAUCUUUUGCAUACAUAUCUUUCUCAACUAUUGACUAACAUUUUUCAACUAUUGAAAAACAAAAGAUAAACAUAUUUUUAAUGAAGCAAUAAUUAUGUCAUACAUAAUAUUAAUACCCAUAUGCAUAAAAUCCAAAAGGACACAUUAUACAUAAAUCUUUGGCUCUGAUACCACUUGAAGGGAAAUCUAUGAGUUUUACACAUGGGAUUUCGAAAUGACUAGCAUGCAUAUACAAUUCAAAAUUUAUAUACAUAAGCAACGGAAGCAUGUUAUCAAAUAAUAUCAAAGCUAUAGUCAUGCAAAUCCCCUUCAAGGUUCAUAGGUUUAUAUAUAAUGCAUCUAAAACAUUCAAGUUAAGAACAAAGUGAAGGUAUAGAUCUAUACCUCUUGAUCUUGAUUUUAGACCAAGGAUGGACCACCUCCAAGCCCUUUGCUCCUUGAAGUCCUUGAGCCUAGCCUCCCUCCUUACCUCCUCCACUUUGUUAGUAAGAGUGCUCCAAGGUUCUCCUUUAGUCUCCAAAUGAGAAGACCUCUAAAUAUCCACACCCACUAGUGUAGUGAGAUGGAUGGAGGAAUAACCAAAAGGGUGAAAGAUUGUUAGCUAAAUCACCCUCAAGGUGGCCGGCCUUUGGUGUUUAAAGAGAGAUGUUUCUUUUGCCUCUUUUUGUUUUAAAACACAUAAAAACCCUAAGGAAUAAAUCUCUAUAAAGUUCCUUAUAUAGACAAAAAGAAACCUAGUCAACAACUUGACUUAAUAUCUCUCCCUCUCCACUUUAAAUGGCCGGCCCCUUUGUGUUAGUUUGGGCUUUGGGCUUUUAUUUAUUUCUAGUCAUCCAAUGCUUGAAUAAAAGCCCAAUGGGUUUAGGCCCAAUGGACCCAAUUAAACCCGAACGUUUCUUUAAGCCCAAAACGAUCUUUUAUCGCUUUUAUGAUUUCUUUAGACUUUCUAAAUUAAUCACAACACUUAAUUAAUCCAAUUAGUUAUUUCCAUCAUCCAUUAAUUACUCACUACAAGAGUGUAUCGGUGUACAAUCAUUUUAGGUUCUAAUUAGCAAGGCAGUGAGGUGAUUGACAUCAAUCCAAUUGAUUAUAUUUAAUCCAAUCACUUAGUGAAUUAAAACUUCCUUUUAAUUCACCUUUCUUCUUUGAUGACUACAUUUAAUCAUCUAGAAGAACUCACAAGCUAUGAGUGACAUCUAACCAUAUGUCAUAGCUACCCAAGCUAAUGUAGAAGUUGUUCGGAGAACCUAUUCAGUUGGAAUUACAAUGUAAUUCGAUCCUUCUCUAAAACAAUACUCUCAAUCACAUUACUAGGGUAUGGAUAUAUUAUGUCAAACCCCUAAUUUGAUUAUUCCUUCUUAUAUGAUUCAAUUAAGUCGUAUAGGAACGCUUUCCUUUAUUACGCUCGAUACUUCGGCCGAAGAUUCCCGAAUCAUAUCUUAGAGUAUUCUUCCUCUCUUAUCGAGGAUUAGAGAUUCCUUGUUGAUGCGAAAUAGAUAAGCACACAAAUUAAACCCUCUUUUUGUCAAAUUGUAGCGAAGAUGUAAGUAGGGAUCGUUCUAGACCGGGGAUUAGGAGGGAUUGCUAAACACUUGGAAACUGACUUAAACACUCAAAAACAAAGUUAAAAACACUAAACUAGACUCAAAGAAUGCAAAACUAAAAGUCAAAACACUUAAACAAACCUAAAACUCAAAACAGCAACUAGAAGGCUCAAAACUGCCUAAAAACCACUUUCUGGGCAGUUUUGAGCACUUACACUAAUCUGGACGAAAUUGGUUGAAAACUUGAAUCAAAACACCUAGAAACACAAAUCAAAACACUUUCUAACUAAUCUAAGACUUCAAAAUAAAGGGGGAAUAGUUUUGGACAGAAAUUGAAAACAAAACAGAAACUUUAAUUAACACAGAUUGUAAAAACGAUUUUGGUGAAAUAGAUGGAUAAAAGGCUAGUUAGGAGGUUCUUCUCCACACAUGUCACACUUGCAAACAAAACGAUUUUCAGUUGUUCUUCCGAUAAACUAUGAAUACUCAACGCCCCAAGUUAACCGUGAAUUGCACUAAUUAACCCUCAGUUUUUCCACAAGUUAUUAAGUUGGAUGAUUGCAUACGACAACCCAAAACAUUCCCUACAAGUUCCCUACAUGAAUUGCAUAAUAGAGAUACAAGCAAGAAUCAUUACGUUCUAUGAAAAACAUAAGCAUUGACGAAGCAUUUGUUACUAUGAAUUGCAUGAAACUUAUGCUAAGAAUUCAUUCAACGCGAUCGUUUUCAAGCGAUCUUCUCUACUUGUGAUUAUAAGAUUGUAACUAUUAGGUGAAACUCCCUCAUAAUCUAGCAUCAUAUUCAUGCAUGAAAACUAAGCGUGCACUCUCAAUCAACAUACACAAAUACGUUAUCAAUCAAAUAGAUGAAUGAAUUGAAUCCAUAACUCAUGAAAUAACAACUUAAUGUAAUCGAAUCAAAUUGCAAGCAUGUACAUGGUUUCGAAUCACCCCCCAACUAAGGGGGUUUAGUUCCUCAUACUCACAACACAAAGUUUAUUGAAUUGAAACAUCGAAGACAUAAGAAAGAUUACACCUAAAAUGCCAAAGAAGUCCACUUUGAAAUCUGCACAGAAAGCUCCUCUUUCUUCUUCUCCUUGUUGCGGCAGAGUUGGUUUAGGGGGUUUUUGGAUGGUUUUGGAUGACUUUGGAUGAGGGAGAAUGGUGGAAAACUAUCUAGGAUAGGUGUAGGGCACGGCUAGGAAGGUUUGGGGUCAGAGAAUAUGGAUUUGGGUGUAGGUUGGGCUCGGCAAAGGUGAGGGACAGGUUCUGGCGUGAAUGGAGUUUCUGGAUGUGUUUUUGGUUUUUUAGAAGGGAGUUAGGAUGGUAGGGUGGUGCGGCAAGGUGUGGGAAAGAGUUAUGGAGGUGUGGAAUGGUGUGUAAAGGUGGAGGAUGGUGGCUGGAAUGGAUGAAUGGCUGCGGCAAGGAAGGAAUUUGGGUGAUGGUGGCUGCGGCAAGGUGGGGAAAGGGAUAUGGUUUUCUGAUUUUUAUGGAGAGGGAAGAAGAUGUGCGGCUAGGUGUAAAAUACAUAUAUAUAGACACCUAAAACCCUAAAUAAAUCAGAUUGGGCUAGGGUUAGGUGCGGCUACUUAAGUAGACUAGGGUUUAGGGGGAAUGGGCUAGGGUUUAACAUGGCAGAUUUUAGAUGAAUAGGCCCUAGGGUUCGGCAUGGGUUGAAGGUCCACAAGGAAAUUUGGGUUUAGGUCAUCUAAAAGCCCAACGCCAAGAAUAGAAACUCUCGAAAAUGGAAACCUCCAAGAAUAGAAACUUCCAACUUUUAGAAACUUUGGUUGCCAAUUCCGAUUUAGGAAAGAUCGACCCAAAAUGGAAACUUUUAGGCUUAGCUUUCCUACUUCAAGUAGGAAACCUCAAAUCUUCAAUUCUUCAAUUCCAUCCCAACCUUGCGUUCCAAGCAUGUCCUUUUCAAUUCAAGCUCACUUUUUGCUCCAAAAGCUCCCAAUUGCAUCAUUUCAUGUAAUACGUCCGCUAAACCUGAAAACACAAGAAAGUAGCUUAAAAGACUACUUUAACAAAGAAAACAUAACAAAAGUGCAUAAGAACUAGCUAACUAAGGCGCAUAAAUAUGCUCCUAUCACUUGUUGCGCAUUCACUUGCCUUCAUGACUAAGUGGCUUAACCCCAAUUAUGCUGUGGACACCCGCGAAUGGGGUGACUUUGACAUAAUCAAAGAUUAAGUACUUAGCCACAAGACAACGACGAUGCCUCAGGUCAAAGGACUACUUACAUUAUUCCAACUAUUAGAGUUACUUGCUUGACAUGUGAGUAGACCUCCAUGCAAGUACUCUCGUUCGAUUGUGUUCAGUGAACUCAUUCCCUUAAUGAGCACCUACAUACUUGUCUUAGUGUCACUACACGAAUGGGAUGAGACUUUCCAUUCUUCCAUUUGAAGCGGACACAGUAUGUACCGGUCUAAGCAUUGUCAGUUUCCCUCCGACAAUCCAAUGACCAGGAACCUUUUUGGACAUAAUGGUUAUGUGAAGAAGGUCUCUGUAGUCUAACAUCAUUAGAUUACUUCUUCAAUCGAUCCAUUGUCCAUGGAUUCACUAUUUAGGACAUAUAUCGUUUAUUGAGAUAGUCCUAAUUAGUAUCUUUGCCAUUUGAUGUAUAAGAGUCAUCUAUACAUCGUUUCAUUUGUCCUGAAAGGUUUCUUCCAAAGAUUGACUUCCAGGGCAUAUUUCCAACAUUCUUUAGGCGUAGAAGUUUUCUCUUCCUCAACGAUGAUAGCUUUGCCUUUUGAGUGUUCUUCUAUCUCUACUUCAACCAUAUGACAGGCAGCGGUAGUGCACUGUUGGAAAAAAUCCUUCGAGAAAUACUCAUGCAAAGAGACGGGAAUGCGCGACUCUUGCUCCAUAGGUUCCUCAGCGUAUGUCAGCUUAGCAAUUCUUACGUUUUUUUUAAGCUUCCUAUUGUUGCGGCAGCGGUGCUUUCUCCUUUGUUCCACCCCUUAGCUUUGUGGCUUGGGGUCUUGGCUUCCUUGUCUUUUUAUAGUUCACCAGUAUCCAUCCUUCUUUAUUGUCGGUAAGCGUAUUUUGGUUACUUGCCCCCAACGAUGGUUGUGUAGAAGGUGUCGUGUAGCUUGAGCAGGGAUGGAAGUGGACAUGCGUCACUUGAAGAGGCACAGGAUCAAAGGAUCUAAACACAAUCGCAGUAGUGUGUGUUGCGGCCAUGUCUUCAAGGUCAAGUUUAAUUUGCCCUUGUUGUGCCAGCUUCAUGAUGAGCUCCUUAAGGACAAAGCAUUUACCAACAAGAUGGCUCAUAAUACGAUGGUAUUUACAGUACUUAGGAUCGUUAACGUGAUUCAUCUCUUCGAGGUGCUUGCAUUCAAGCAGCCUGAUCACUUUCUUCUCUAGUAGGUCGUCUAGCAUUGCGGCCACGUCAAAGUUUGAAAAAGGGUAGGUCUUCUUCUCCAGCUCCUUCAAGGUGUUUUUGUACCGAUCUUAGGUGCAAGAAGGCUCACUUUUUUUAUCUCCUUUGAUUUGUUCUUGGAGGAGAUCUUGAUGGGCACAAGGGAGAUCUUAAUGGGGGUAGUGUUGACGAAAAAAACUUCCUUGGCAGGCUUCUUCCCAGUCCUAUCUACCUUAGGAGCGAAUGUUGGAAAUGUGCCCUAAAGCCAAUCAUAUGAUGAUACUUUACAGACAUUUCACAUGUUAAACUAAUCUAGUUUAAUAUAAAGGGUAACUAUUAUUGUUUAAAGCUGUCUCAUAUAAAUGUUAUAUGCUUAAACGAUAAGUCCAUGGAAUAUGUAAUUGGGAGAAUGUGAUCUAAAAAAGUUAGAUUCAUGAGACCAUUCUCUUUCGUAUACAUAUCCUAAACGUUCAUGAUCAUAGGAUUGCCAAUUGGGCAUUAACAGUCCGUUAAGAUCAGUACAUGUUAUGUCUUCUUUUAGAGAAAGUGACUGGUCUCAAGUCAUUGGUGUGACUAACACCAAGACAAGCAUGUCGGUGCUCAAUAGAGAAUGAGUCCACUGAAUGUGAUCAACAAGGAGUUCUCAUACUCAUGUCAUAUGAAAAUUCAUGGUUGGGAUAAUCCAAUGUAGUCAUUUGACCUGAGACAUCAUAGUUGUCUUAUGGUUAGGUCAUUGAUCUUUGACUAUGUCAAAGUCACUCCAUCAAAGGGUGUCCACAGCAUAGUUGGGGUUAAGCCACUUAACCAUGGAGGCAAGUCCGUGCACAACAAGGUAUCUCUAACCUUCAAACCGUUUAUGGGAGAAUACUCUAUGAUAUGAUUAAGAAUCUCUAGCCAGAGUAUGAAUGAGAUUAGGAAUUCGUUCCAAAUCACAUUCAAGGUAAUCAUAUAAGUAAAAGAAUCACAUUGGAUAGUAGACAUGAAUAAACUAUCAAAUCAAACAAUGUGGUAAAAAAUAUUGUAUUAGAGAAAGACCAUAUUGCAUUGUAAUCCUAAACUGAAUAGGUUUUCCACCUCUUCUGAUUAGCUUGGGUAGCCAUGACAUACUGCUAGGUGUCACUCAUGGUUUGUGAAAGCCCUAAAGGUGUAUAAUCACUAAAGGGAGAAUUGAAAAGUUUCAAUUCACAAUCAAUUUGAAGAGUUCUAAUCACCCACUGCCUGGCUAAAAGGAACCUAAUGGAUUGUACACCGUGUAAGGUAAAGAUUGAAGAAACAACGGAGAUGAGUAAGAAUAAUUAAAUGGUUUAAUUAUUUAUGGCUAAGUUUAAUUAAUAUGUUAAUUAAUCAAACAAAUAAGUUCGUUUUAGACCUCGGGUUAGUUUUGGGCCUCAAGGCCCAAUGGGCUUCGAAUGUCAAGUCCAAUAACUCAAGUUGUAUAACAACUUAAAAACACAAAGGGCAUGAAAGCCCAAUGAACCCACAUGGCUGGCCAUAGAGAGUGUAAGGGAGAAUUGGUUUUAAUUUCAAUUAUGUCACUCAAUGUAAAUGGCUAUAGAAAGGAAAUUAUAACUCAUUCCCUUAUAAGGGUUUUCUAGAGAGAAAGGAGAAAAACACAAAAGCUCUAUCUUCUCUUAUGAGGUCGGCCACCCUAGGAAGAAUGGACUAGCAUCCAUUUCUUCCUAGGUCAAUCAUCUAUUCUCAACUCUUCUCAACUCUUUUCAACUAUUCUCAACUCUUUUCUUUAAGAUUUGAGUUCAGUCUUGGUUCACCACAACUACUAGGCAUUGAAUUUCAUGGGUAAAGUUUUGUUUUUAAGUGCAUACAAGCAUGAUUCCACAUUUAAUUGUUAAUAACAUGCAUAAAUGUUGUUCAAAUGAACUUGUUUUCCCAAAAAUUUUCCUUCAGUGAACACCUUGUCCUUCUUGAAGUCGGUGAUUGACUCAUUUUUCCCAUGGUUGGCGAUACUCAGCUCCAUGUAGGGGUGGGCACUUGGAACCAAAAACCGAAACUGAAACAUGAACCAAAUCGAACCGCACCGAACGGUUUGGUUUUGCAGUUUUGAAACGAUUUCGAUUUUGAAACCGAACCGCAAAGUAGAAAAUGGUUUAGUUUCAAUUCCGGCCAUCUGUAACUGAACUAAAACCGAAACCACAUAACUUUAUUAAAUGUUAAAUUCUAAUUGGUUAUUUUAUUGAGUCCAUUCAUUUAAUAUGGACUCAACCACAUCAUAACAUGGCCACAUAAGAACUUGAUGGUUUCACCAUCCACAAAACAUUUGGGCAAUUCAAUCCAAUCAUUGGCAGCCAAAUCACACAAAUCAUAGCUCGAAAUCUCUACAGAGCUUAAGCAGAUCAGUAUCUGGUUACCAGCACCAACACAGUGUGUCCACAUUAUUACGAUACCACCUGUGUGACAUCAUUGGAGGCAUUGCUGCGAUUUGUUGUCAUGAUCGAACUUCCUCAUUGUAGCACCACACCCUGAGGUUUGCGCUUUCAAAGAAUUUUGAGAGAAGAACCACCAGCAUUCGGCCUCAUCAUUCUACCAAGUCAAUGGAGUACUCAAGGAAGAGGGGGAGUAGCUUCGGGUACUCGGAGAAGCACUUGGUGGUCAGGUUGCAGGCCACAAUUGAGCCUGAUGAGUUGAGGAAAUAGACUGUCUCCUCGCCCUUUUUUGAAGUGAUAACGGAUGAGUAUUGCUAGGAUGGGCUUCUUUGCAUGUUGGUUGCCACUACAUUUCCAACCUUGCUAAGGAAGUAAAUGGCACUAUCAUCGUUUGAGUCAGAUUCUGUAAAAUCAUCAUCCUCUAAGUUUUUACACAAGGCGUCUCUUCUUCCCAAUAGACAGUGCAUGAGUUAUACACUCAGAAGGACAAUUUUGGAAGCUCGCCGAAGACUAUAAUAAGCUUGUAAGAUGAUUGAUCAUACUUGGGACUUGAUUGAAUUUUAAUAUUGUAUGCAUGCUUGAACAAUGCAGUAAUAGACGACAUGCAAAAUGAAAAACAAACAGUAAAUGUUGCUCAUAGAAGAGAAUUGAAGUGUAUAUCAAAGGAAAAUGAAAUAAGAUACAACUAGGUAACCAUAAUAGUUAUUUCAAACAACGAAACCAAACCAAAACCGUUUAAAACCAAACAAAAUUGAACCAAAUGGUUUGGUUUCAUUUCGGUUUUAGCCUCAAAACCACACCGAACCAAACCGUAAAAACUUACGGUUUUGGUUUUAGUUUCACUCAAAACCGCACCAAACCGAACCGGGCCUACCCCUAGCUCCAUGUCGUGCGAACGAAUCGCCAGUUCCUCAAAUAUCCUUGGCUUUAUGCUUUUGAGAAUGUAGUGUAGCCCCCAAUGCAUGCCUUGAACGCACAUCUCAAUGGCGGAGGUUUCAAAAAGCCAAUCCUUGUAAUCCAGACUUAAUGAACACCAUAUGUUGAUGUAACCGACGAUAGGUUCAUCCUUCCAUUACUUUGUACUCGUCAAUUCCAACAUGUUUACAGUGCAACGAGUGUUGUAGAAGUGGUUAAAGAAUUCCCUUUCAAGUUGAUCCCAGCUGUUGAUGGAUUCGAGCUCGAGGUCGGUGUACCAAUCAAAGGCAUUACCUUUCAGCGAGCGAACAAACUACAUGAUGAGGUAGCCUCCCUCUGUCCCAGCGUUGUUGCAAGUUUUGGUGAAAUGGGCAAUAUGUUGUUUCGGAUUGCCCUUUCCAUUGAAUUGCAUAAACUUUGGCGGCUGAUAACCCCUUGCCAUCCUCAAGGCGUUAAUCUUCUUAGAGUAGGGCUUUGAGUACAACAUGGAGUCAUGCGGGCUUCCUUGGUACUGCGCCUUGAUGGUGCUAGUGAUCAUCUCUGCAACUACUGGAUAGAAAGAGAUCUCAUGAACGUUGUUGGUUGGUCUAGCUUCUUCUCUGCUUUAUCCACCAGAGGUUCUUCCUUUUCGUCAGUUUCCUCCUUUGGUGGAUCAACCUUCGGGUCAGCUUAGUCGUCGUGCUACGUCUCUAGAUGGUUGACUAGCAUAGCAAUUUGUAAGUUCUUCUCUUCCACGGUCCUUGUCAGCCUUGCAACUGCUUCACUUAGUUGGGCCAGCUGCUCCUUGAUGGACGUCGCGCCAAUAGUCAUGACUUGCAUGACUACGGGACACGAGUUGCUUGAGUCGGCGUCAGAAGUCAAAGACUCAGAGUACCUCAUCGGGCUUUCUUCCCUUAACCCAUUUAGCGAAGCCAGGGUGAUCACAAGUUUGUGCCUCGGGUGCUCUUGCUCUUUAGGCAAAGUUGAUGGAGGGGUGGAAGGCACGGCAAAGAGAGUUCUUGCCUUCCUUCGGGUGCCACCACUUGGAGCAAGGAUGCCCUUGUUCUUCGCGUUGGUGAAGGGAAUAGCUUGAUCCUUUCUUGAUGCCAUUUGUGCCUUUUACGGAUUUGAAGACAGGGAUGAGAGGCAGAGACAUCCCACCGGGCAUGCCAAAUUUGUAAACACAAAAAUUCUAUAUCGAAUGAAACGAGAACACGUGUACAAAGUGAAUUUGUAUUGAUUUAAAUUUGUAAGUUACAAUCUCUGUUUAUAAUUUUUCCUCUGAUUCAGUCUUUAAAUUUGAUGUAGAUGCGUAAUUGUUGAUCCAAGGAUCGCAAUGACUUAAUCUCGGACGAACGGUUGAACGAUUACUUCAAGUUUUGAGCUUCAAAACAAUGCAUGGAUGAUCUGAAGGAAAAAAUUUGUCCUAGCUUAGAACAAGUAAGAACAUUUGAAUACAUAUGCAAACUAUUAACACAUUAAAGUAGGCAUGCAUUCAAAAACAAUUCAUAAAACCCAUGACUUUCAAAGCCUAGUAUAUGGUGAACCAAAAGACUGUUGGAAGUAUGCCCACAAAGCCACUCAUUUGAUGUAAUAGCUUUUUGGAAUACUUAAUGUAUUAAACUUUUAUAUGUUUAAUGAAGGGCAAAGCUUAUUGUUAAUCACUAUUUAUUGUAUCAUGUGUUUAAGCAAUAAGGGAAUCCUAGGGAUGUAUUUGAUCUAAGAGACAAGUGAUCUAAGUGAGUUAGAUUAUCGAGACCAUUCUCUUAUGUUCAUUCCUAAAACGUUCCUAGCCAUAGGAUUGCCAAUUGGGUAUUGACAAUCCGCUAAGGUUAGUAUGUGUUAUGUCAACUCAAGCUUGAGUAUGACUAGUCUCAAGUCAUUUGGUGUUGAACACUAAGACAAACACAUAGGUGCUCGAAAGAGUAAUCAAGUACACUAAACAACGAUCAAAAGAGAGUUCGAACAUACAUGUCAUGUAAGAACUCGAAAGUUGCAAUAUGCAAAGUAGUCAUUUGACCUGAGGCAUCAUAGAUGUCUAAUGGUUAGGUCCUUGAUCUUUGAUCAUGUCAACGGCAUUCCAUCGGAGUGUCCACGGCAUUGUUGGGGUCAAGCUAUCUAGUCAUGUAGGCAUAUGAAUGCACAACAAGGGAUCUCUAACCUUCCAUGGUGGAAGGAGAAUACUCUAAGAUAUGAUUCUAAAGUCUUUGGCCAAAGCAUAUGAAUAUGACUUAGGAAGUUUGUUCCAAAUCAUAUUCAAGGGAAUCAUAUAGAUAAGUAUCACAUUGGAUAGUAGACAUGAAACAAACUAUCACUUAAACAAUGUGAUUAAGAGUAUUGUAUUAGAGAAUGACCGUAUUGCAUUGUAGUUGUAACUGGAUAGGUUCUCCAACCACUUCUACUUAGCUUGGGUAACCAUGACAUACUGCUAGGUGUCACUCAUGGUUUGUGGAAGCCCUAAUGAUUAGCAAACACUAAUCAUUAAGGGAGAAUUGAAAUGUGGUUUCAAUUCACAAUCGAUCGUUAAGAGUAACAAUCGCCCACUACCUUCGCUAAUUGGAACUUAAUGGAUCGUACACCGAGUAAGGAUGUAUGUGAAGAAAUUAAAUGAAAUGGAUAAGCAAUUAAAUGGUUUAAUUGAAGAAUGGUCAAGGUUAAUUAAUUAGUUAAUUAAUUAUACGAAAUGUUCGUAUUGGGCUUAUAUGUUGGUUUUGGGUUUCGGGGCCCAAAAGCAUUUUGGUCCACAAGGCCUAUUAUGUUUAAGUUGUAUGACAACUAAAACAAAAUGGGCAAAUAGCCCAAUAACAUUAAUAUGGCCAGCCAUUAGGGUGGAUGAUGCAAACUUGGAUUAAUUACAAGUUUGCCACUCACUUGUAAUGAAGUAUAAAAGCAACUUUAUAGCUUUAUUUUCAUAAAAGGGUUUUCUUGAAGAAAUUGGGUGAAACAUUUUCUCUCCUUUUUCUCUAAAGAGGCCGGCCACUUAGGGGAGGGACAUCUAGCAAUCUCUUCUUCCCUAAGUCAUCCAUAUCAUCUUCACAAGAUACAUCCUUGGUGAAGAGACUUAGAGACAUCAAACUUUUGGUGUUUUGGAGAACAAAUCCUUAAAUCCUCAAAGAAGCAAAGGAGCACUAAAAGGAGGAAAAUCACAAUGAAUAUCCAAGGAGCUAGGAGGUGACUUGAAGGCCCUCCACUUGGGUGAAUCCCUUGUGUAAACAAGGAUGAGCUUCAAGGGUAAAGAAACUCUAAAUCUUUACUUCUCUUUAAUGUUGUUAAAGAGUUUAUUGAUUCACCAUAUACUAGGCUUUGAAAGUCAUGGGUUUUAUGAAUUGUUUUUUAAUGCAUGCCUACUUUAAAGUGUUAAUAGUUUGCAUAUGUAUUCAAAUGUUCUUACAUGUUCUUAGUUAGGACAAAAUGUUUCCUUCAAAGACUCUUUAACAACAUUAAAGAGAAUUAAGAAUUUAGAGAUUCUUUACCCUUGAAGCUCAUCCUUGUUUACACAAGGGAUUCACCCAAGUGGAGGGCCUUCAAGUCACCUCCAUGCUCCUUGGAUCUUCCUUGUGAUUUUCCUCCUUUUAGUGCUCCUUUUCUUCUUUGAGGAUUUGAGGAUUAGUUCUCCAAAACAUCAAAAGCUUGAUGUCUCUAAGUCUCCACACCAAGGAUGAAGUGUGAAGAUGAAAAUGGAUGACUUAGAGAAGAAAAGAUUGCUAGCUAAAUCCCCUCUAAGUGGCCGGCCUCUUUAGAGAAAAUGAGAGAAAGUGUUUCACCUCAUUUCACCAAGAAAAACCCUAAUGAGAAAUAAAGCUAUAAAGUUGAUUUUAUACUUCAUUUUAAGUGAGUGGCAAACUUGUAAUUAAUCCAAAUUUGCAACCCCUCACCCUAUGGCCGGCCUUACCUUGUUAUUGGGCUAAUUUGCCCAUUUUGUUUUAGUUGUCAUACAACUUAAACAUAAUGGGCCUUGUGGACCAAAACCAAUUUAAAAGCCUAAUACGAACAUUUCGUAUAAUUAAUUAACUAAUUAAUUAAUCUUGACCAUUUUUCAAUUAAACAAUUUAAUUGCAUAUCCAUCUUAUUUAUUUCUUCACUAUCAUCCUUACUCGAUGUACGAUCCAUUAGGUUCCAUUCAGCGAGGUAGUGGGCGAUUGUUACUCUUAACGAUCGAUUGUGAAUUGAAACCACAUUUCAAUUCUCCCUUAAAAUUAGUGUUUGCUAAUCAUUAGGGCUUCCACAAACCAUGAGUGACACCUAGCAGUAUGUCAUGGUUACCCAAGCUAAGUAGAAUUGGUUGGAGAACCUAUCCAGUUACAACUACAAUGCAAUACGGUCCUUCUCUAAUACAAUACUCUUAAUCACAUUAUUUAAGUGAUAGUUUGUUUUAUGUCUACUAUCCAAUGUGAUACUUCUCUAUAUGAUUCAAUUGAACAUGAUUUGGAACAAACUUCCUAAGUCAUAUUCAUACGCUUUGGCCAAAGACUCCCGAAUCAUAUCUUAGAGUAUUCUCCUUCCACCAUGGAAGGUUAGAGAUCCCUUGUUGUACAUACAUAUGCCUACAUGACUAGAUAGCUUGAUCCCAACAAUGUCGUGGACACUCCAAUGGAAUGCCAUUUAACAUGAUCAAAGAUCAAGGACCUAACCAUUAGACAUCUAUGAUGCCUCAGGUCAAAGGACUACUUUGCAUAUUGCAACUAUCGAGUCUUACAUGACAUGUAUGUUUGAACUCUCUUUUGAUCGUUGUUCAGUGUACUCAAUUACUCUUUCGAGCACCUAUGUGUUUGUCUUAGUGUCCAACACUAAAUGACUUGAGACUUGUCAUACUCGCGCUUAAGUCGACAUAACACAUACUAACCUUAGCGGAUUGUCAAUGCCCAAUUGGCAAUCCUAUGGCUAGGAACGUUUUAGGAAUGAACAUAAGAGAAAGGUCUCGUUAAUCUAACUUACUUAAAUCACUUAUCUCUUAGAUCAAAUACAUUCCUUGGAUUCCCUUAUUGCUUAAACACAAGAUACAAUAAAUAGUGAUUAACAAUAAGCUUUGCCCUUCAUUAAACAUAUAAAAGUUUAAUACAUUAAGUAUUCCAAAAGCUAUUACAUCAAAUGAGUGGCUUUGUGGGCAUACUUCCAACAUGAUCUUUACCUCAAGGGUGCAACAAAGGUAAUGUUUGAUACGGGAUUUCAUUGCUUCAAGGGUCUUGGCGACUUGAUCUUGAAACGAACAUUGCUACAAGUUAUAAGCUUGCAACAAAGUCUUGAAGGAAUCGGCACGAGCACUUGUUGAUUCUUCAAGGAAGUGAUUCGGCUUUGGUUGAGAGAAAGCUUUGGCUUUGGUUGAAUGUUCUUCGAAUAGAACUUUGGCAGCGUAUUAGUCUUCAAAGGUUGGGUAGAGGUUCUUCUGUGUAGAGAUUUUUCGACCCUUAUGCUUGUGGAAGGACCUUGUAUUUAUAGGCUUGCUUUUGGGUGGAUUUGGCUUUGAUUUAUGUCCUAAUUUGUCCAUGGGAGAAUUUAGGGAUGUUUUGUGUCUAAAUUUCAACCACUUUACUCCCUUGGCCGAAAUUAUGAGGCCUUGUUGGCUAUUUUGUGAGCAAUCAUCAAUUCUUGCUUGUUUUAUGAAGAUGCCUUAACUUUCUUUCCGGUUUUGAGAGUAUUUUGAUCCCUUGCCUAAUUUAAAAGGGAUUCUCCCUUGUUUGCUGAGUUUUUAGGGAAGUUUUCCACUUCCUUUUGCUUGAUUUGCGCCACAUAUCAUUGAUAACUUGUCCAUUUAUGAUUAGUCAUAUGCCACGUGGAACUUUGUGAUGCAUCAAUUGUAUGCAAUGAAUGAGGAGUAUUUUUCUUACUCCUUUUGAUUCCCCACGACAAAGAGGUAUUUCUCUUUUCCUUUUUUUUGUUUUGGAAAACAUGUCAUCUCACUUGCAAGCCCAGUUUGAAGUUGAUUUCUCUUCUGGAAAAUUCUGUAAAAAUAAGGGAAACGUAGUUUUAUCCCUUAUAUUUCCAGGCAUAUGUCGCAUGCCACUAGGAAAAAUCGGGAAGGCCUUCAACUUUGCAAUUGCCUACUGCUGCGCAAUCCUGACGGGAAUGAUUUUGAAAACUGGACCGUUCGGCUCUAGGGAAAAUUAUGAAAUUUGGACAAUGAUCCUCAGCUACUUAGAUUCCUUCUCCAAUUGGCCUUGUAUCAAAACUCUUCCGGAAAGUUAAAUUAUUACCAAAAACGUCCUGCCUGCAUAGAUUGGCUGAAACUUGCCAUUUUUUUUUUUUUUUUGCUUGGAAUUUGCUUCCUUCUUUUGGUGGGAAUGUUCUUCCUUCUUUUGAAUUUCCUUUUUCUAUUUGGGUAUGUAUUUCCCUCAUAGCAUUAGAAAGCAAUUGACCCCUAUUUAUAGGACAAUUGGGUGUGCAUUUUUUUUCACACACAAUUGCUUGUAGUGGCCUACCUUGAAGCUUUUACCGUGGGUUUACUGUUGUUGUCGUGCCCUAUAGCUACUGCUGCCGUGCCCUUCUUGCCACUUGGAGCUUGUUGCAAUGUGUCACUUUUACCAUGUGGGGUUGUGCCAAAGACUGCAGCGUUUUUACGCUGUGUAAUGCCUUUUGGUCACAACUUUCCUCAUUGGUGACGUUGUUGUGUCUCUUGCCGCUGCUUGGAGCUUGUUGCAAUGCGUCACUUCCACCAUGUGGGGUUGUGCAAAAGAUUGCAGCAUUUUUACGCUGUGUAGUGCCUUUUGGUUACAGCUUUCCUCAGUGGUGACAUUGUCGUGCAGUGCAAGAAACUGCUUGCGCAAUCGUUGUGGAGGCUGCGUAGUGCGAUAGAGUAGCAUUUUGGUUUUAUUUUCUACUGUAGCACGCUUUGAAGGACCAUCCUAUAGCUGCCCUUUUCGUCGUUCGGUGCAAGAAACUGCUUACGUAAUUGCUCCGGGGUGCAUAGUGCGAUUACGUGGCGUUUUGGUUUUCUUUACUACUGUAGCGUGCCAUGAAGGAACAUCUUGCAGCUUCCCUCUUUGCCGUGUUUGAUCAAGCUUCGUGGCUGAUUUCUUUUUGUUGUUAUGACGUUGUCAUCGUCAUUCUUCAACAUUCAUGAGGUUUGUCUCACAUGCCUUUUGCUUUAGUAAAUGAUUUUUUCUUUCUUUCUUUCUUUGCCGCCCCACUUUUGUGCUUAUGUUGCUUUGUUUAUUUUGUUGCAUCCAUGGUAUUUUUCAAGUGCUUUAAGAAUAAUACCAUCACCAUUCUUGCGAAGGAAAGCGAUCCACAAGAUAUGGGAACAACAUUGAAGCUUUGCGUGCCGUUAACUGGCCCUAAGGUGCUUGUUCUUCCUGCCAAAGACAACUUGAUGCACAUCAAGUCGUGGUCUUCUGAAGUGUCUUGGGAGGUGAUAGAUUUUGGUCAUUCAACUACGAAGAAGAAGGCGUGUACGUCGAGGAUUCUUAUUUUGAAUCCUUCACACCAUGCUCGUGACAAUUCACCGGCUUCAUUUGAGCUUCUUGGCGAUCACGUCUAUAGCAGAGCUAUAACUUGGAAUGGCAUCCUGUCGACUAUUGGAAGGCCUGUCUUUGCUAAGUUUUAUUGUGAGUAGCUCAAAGAUGUCUUUAUGGAUCGAAUUUUGGUAUCGGGCUUCCAAUAAGUACAAGCAUAGUCUGAAAUAUCGAUAAUAUCGACGAAUCACGGAUAUUUCGAAACAUAUCCAAGUACAUAUCGUACAAAUAUCGACAAUAUCGACGAUAAUAUCGGAAAAUAUCGAUAUCGGUGUAAUAUCGCUAAAAUAUCGAAAAUAUCGAUGUAAAAGAAGGAAAAAAAAGAAAAAAAAAGAAAAAAAAGGAAAAAGGGGAGGAAAAACAAACAUAAAGGGGAUUUGAACCCCUCCCAUUUUAAUCCUCCAACACCGUAACCACCAUAUAUCACUUACGUUUUAGUGAUAAUAUGCUAAAAUAUUUAUAUUUAUAUGAGUGGCAUGUUAACAAUUACAUGCAAAACUAUUUGGGGGAUUUAUCAUUUGAUGAAUACUCUUUACAAUAAACUUACUCUACACAUAGAGAUGAUGAAGAUAGUGAAAAUUUUGAACCUCAUAGGAACUUUAUGUGGUACUAAAUCACUCAUGUAUCUUACCAUGCAAUGUAUAAAGUGUAAAAUAUUGUAGUAAAUCAUUAUAUAUAAAUGAUUAUGGUGUGUUUUAUCUUUUUUUCAUUAAUUACUACAUAUUUUCUAUACUCACAGUGUUUGCCAACUCGCUGUAUAAUCAACUUAAAUUAGUUAAAUCCAUCAUGUAAUGCAUUUCCUUCUAAUUUUUUUUUUGAUAAACUAAUAGAUAAUUGACUAAAUAAACAUUUUCCAAAGUUUCAAUAAAAAUUUCCAAGUUUUUCUUACAAUUUCCGUGGUUUUUAUUCAAAUUUAUCAAUAUCGAUAAUAUCCCGAUAUUUUCAUCGAAAUUUCCAUGUUUUGGACUACCGAUAUUUUUGAUAUCAUCGAUAUUUUAUACCAUGAGUACAAGAGACCUUCGAAGAAAAGUGGCCGCAACAAGACGAUGAAGCCGAAGGGAGACUUGGAUCUGUCAAGUGUUAUUGGUUCAGCUGAGUGCCGUGCUUCUGCCGAUUUGAAAGUGUAUGACGAACUUGGCGUAGCGUCAGAGCACGUGGAAGAAUCUUACUUAGCCACUUGCUUAGCUUGUUGGCUUUGUAAGUUUGUAUUCCCCAAAGACAACGUCAACUUUUUCCGUCCUUCAAGGUGUUCUCUUAAAGCAGGAAGCUACACUUUCUCAACAUAGGAGGAGAUUUCAUGGCUAGAGCAAGGGAAAGGUGCGGCCAUGGAAGUGCCCACCGUGUCUCCUACCAAUGUAGAGGCUUUGAAGACUUUGGAAGGCUUGCUUGAAGAUCAUCGUCACUGUUUUAAGGACAUAGCUUUCAAGUAGUGUCUUCCAUCUUUUCUACUUUAGGCCUUCUUUGCUUUCGCUCUUUUUGUAAUAAGGCUUUGUAGCCAAAUUCUUCCUUUAAAGGCACGGCAGGGAAAGUUCUUGCCUUGCUUCGGGUUAUGACGCCCAAAGUGCCACCACUUGCGGCAAGGAUACCCUUGUUUUUUGCAUUGAUAGAGGGAAUAGCUUGAUCCUUUCCUUUGCGGAUUUGAAGAUAGAGAUGAGAGGCAGAGAUGUCCCACUGGGCGUGCCAAAUUUGUAAACAUGAAAAUUAUGUAUCGAAUGAAACGAGAACACAUGUAUAAAGUAAAUUUGUAUUGAUUUGAAUUUGUAGGUUACAAUCUCUGUUUACAACUUUUCCUCUGAUUCAGUCUUCAAAUUUGAUGUAGAUGAGUGAUUGUUGAUCCAAGGGUCGCGAUGACUUAAUCUCAGAUGAACGGAUGAACGGUUGAACGAUUGCUUCAUGUUUUGAGCUUGAAAACAACGCGUGGAUGAUCUUUACCUCAAGGGUGUGGCAAAAGUAGUGUUUGAUUUACGCCACAUGUCAUUGAUGACUUCUCCCUUGUUUGCCGAGUUUUUUGGGAAGUUUUCUACUUCCUUUGCUUGAUUUGCGCCACAUGUCAUUGAUGACUUGUCCAUUUGUGAUGAUUCAUGUGCCACGUGGAGCUUUGUGAUUCAUCAUUUGUAUGCAACGAAAUUUACGUGUCUACAGUAUGUGAAGUUUAUCAAGUGUUAGUUUGGUCGGACCAAAUCAAUGUCCUCGAGCUUGUUGUUUCCGCUGAGGGAAUUCGUUUAAACCCUCAAAAGAUUUCUCAGUGAUUGUUUUUCCUAACAAGUAGACAAAUGCUCCAACAACGUUCAUGAACCUAACCGACUAGUUAUUCCACCUAUAUUACCAUAGACAUGUAAAUUUCAUUACAUACAAAUGAUGCAUCACAAAGCUCCACGUGGCAUAUGACUCCUCACAAAUAGACAAGUCAUCAAUGACAUGUGGCACAAAUCAAGCAAAGGAAAUACAAAACCUUCCCAAAAGUCGGCAAAAAGGGGGAAAAAUCCUUUAAAAUUGUCAAGGGAUCCAAGAAAGCCCUAUAAUUCAACCAAGCAAGGGAAAGAAAGCAUCUUCACAAAACAAGUACGAAUUGAAGAUUGCUCACAAAAAUAGGCAAGAAAGCCCUAUAAUUCAGCCAAGCAAGGGAAAGUGGUUGAAAUUAUGACACAAAACAUGCCUAAAUUCUCCCAUGGACGAAUCAAGACACAAAUCAAAGACAAAUCCAUCCAAAGACAUGGCUUUGGAAGUAUAUAAAUACAAGGUCCCAAGACAAGCAUAAGUUCGACAAUUUCUACAUUGAAGGGCCGAAAUUCUCACAAAAUGAGAACCUCUGCCAAAUCUUUGAAGACUAAUACGCUGCCAAAGCUCUAUUCAAAGAACAUAUAACCAAAGCUGAAUCUUUCUUUCGACCAAAGCUGAAGCAUUCCCUUGAAGAAUCAACAAGCACUCGUGUCGAUUCCUUCAAGACUUUGUUGCAAGCUCAAAACUUGUAAUGACAUUUGUUUCAAGAUCAAGUCACCAAGACCCUUGAAUCAACAAAAUCCUAAAUCAACACUACCUUUGCCGCAGCUUUAAGGUGAAGACUAUCCACGCAUUGUUUCAAGCUCAAAACUUGAAACAAUCAUUCAAUCGUUCGUCCGAGAUCAAGUCAUCGUGACCCUUGGAUCAACAACCUAUGCAUCUAUAACAAAUUUGAAGACUGGAUCGAAGGAAAAUUGUAAACAAAGUUUGUAACAGACAAAUUCAAAUGAAUACAAAUCUACUUUGUACACGUGUUCUCCUUUCAAUUGAUACAGAAUUUUCGUGUUUACAAUUACGACGAAUUGGUGAUUUUCUUAUCGAUAAUCUUUUUAUCUACUCUUACAACAAGGUCAAGUUCACUAAACAUCAACAGUCAGCUUUACACCAAAUUCUUAAAACGUUGAUUUUGUUUAGAUUAGAUACUUUUCUUAGGAGACUCUAUUGUAGCUGAUGCUCUUAUCAAUUUCCAAAAAGGUUACGACCAUUGAAAAUUGAAAAUCCUCACUAGGUGUUGUGAAAUACAAAAUAUCUUUGGUCCUGUCAAUUUCUAUCGAUAGUUCUUAACGAUUCCUUGGGCAUAGCCCUAUUUCCUUUUUGGCUAAGAUACUUGUCAAUUCUGUUUGAUAUGUUGAGGGUGAACGAAGUUUCUAACAAUGGAAGUAUUGUCUCACUUGAUCAUUGUUCUUACACUUUUUUAUGACAUCAAUAAAUUUUUAACUCUACGGUGAUAUUUUAUUGAUUGUUUGGCUACACGUGGCGCAGCACGACUGAGUAACGCGUGUGCCUCGUGACAGUUGGAACUGCACGUUGUGAACCAUCCUAUUUAUGACCUUGAGCCAAUGGUUACCGUUUUACUUGAAAACCUAAUGAUACCCUUUCUUUGUAGAAAUUUGUGUGGAACAAAGGUUAGGAACAUAACUUUUUGGAGUUUGGAUCAUUGUUUUACUCAUGCUCCCGUCCCUGCCUUUCUUGACGUUUGUGGUGAGUUUUAAAGUCUCUUGUUUUGCAUCCUUGUCACAUUUGGCGUUAUUUCUGAUGUAGCAUAGGAAGGUCAUUGCCUAUGCUCUCGGACAUCUCAAACCUCAAUGAAAGAAUUGUCCUAUUCAUGACCUAAAGCUGGUAACAAUUUUCCUUGCUGUAAAAUCUGGUGACCUUUCUCUACGACAAUGAGUGUUACAUCCUUUCUUACCAUAGAAAUUGAAAUGUGUUUUCACAUAGAAUGAGUUGAGUUUGAGACAGCAAAAGUGAAUGGAACUCAUCGGUGAUUUUGAUUGCAUUUUUUAGUAUCAUCUUGGUUAGGCAACUGUCGUAGCUGGUGCUCUUAGUCAAAAAUCCCAUGGACAACUUACCUCUAUCCGAGUUAUCCAUGUCCCACUAUUGUUUUCUCUUCGAGGAAUUGGCUUUACUUUGGCACCCGAUCCACUAUGAGUAUUGUCGGCUCACUUCUAAAUCAAACCUGUAUCGGUAGAUUUCGGGUAAAAAACCCAAGAGUUCGAUCAGUAAUGUGCGAGUUUGAAGAAGCAAGUGUCGGAUGACAUGAGAUGGGAUCAGAAAGUCUGAGGAGUUGGAACUUUGUUGAUAAGAAACAAAUUGUUUUUGCCUAAAGGUAAUGAAGCUAUGAAAAAGGAAAAUUCUUGAUGAGGCUCAUAUUACAGUGUAUGACACGAGUGUUAGCAAUACUAAAUUGUACCACUGUUUUCGUCCAUUUUUAUUACAAGUAUUGUAUGAAUGGGAUAUCGUUGAAUAUGUGAGGAAAUAUUUGUUUUACUAGUAAGUGUAAGUGGAGAGAUGGAAGUCAUCAGGCUUAUCUCAAUUUAUUUCUAUUCCUGUUUGGAGGUGGGAAGAAAUUUCCAUGGUUGUCUUUCUUUUUCUUUUUUUUUCAGGUUGUCAAGUCCCACUAGGGAUGCGAAUGGAAAUGGGUGAAUGUCACCAUAGAUUUCCUAUACAAACCACCUUGUACAUGUGGAGACUAUGGAUGGGCAAUGAUUAUGGCAGGCAGAUAGCCGCUGUUAUUUACCCAUAACCGUUUAUGUUCAUACCUGCAUAAUCGUUUACCCGUUGGGUAAUUGCAUAAAUGGUUAUACCCAUACCCAUAACCGUUUAUAAACGGUUAACCAUACCCAUAACCGUGUACCCAUUUAACCAUAACCAUACCCGUUUACCUGUUUUUCAACCCGUUUAUCCUUUUUUUACCCAUUUAUCCCUUUUUUACCCGUCUACAUGUUUUUUUUUUAACAAAUUGAAAAUUACAAAAUGAUAUAUCAUCAUAUUAACUAUCAAGAUGGCAAGUCACAGAUGUUCUAUUGAUAGCACAUACAGACAUAGUGACCAAAUCAACUAGAUAAUUGUAUGUAUUUUAAUUGAUUAAUUAUAUUGUGUAAUUUGUAUUAAUAUAUAUAUAUAUAUAUGUUGUUAUUGCAUUUGCACUUUGCAUGAAAGAGUUCAUGGCCAAAGCCUGCACCAUGAACCUGUACUCAGAAUUUUAGCAUACCCAAAAUUUGACACAUAACCAAAUGCGAAAGAUGGGAAACAGAUUGUCCCCAAAUAGUCAGUCAAAUUUUGUAAUGCAAAAACAAGAAAUUAAAUGGGUAAAUGGAUACCCAUUAUAAUCGCGGGUAAUACCCAUAAUCGCCCAUUUAAAUUUCAUGGAUAAACGGUUAUACCCAUAACUGUUUGUUCAUCUAAACGGUUACCCAUAAUCGUAACUGUGAACUUUAAAUGGGCGGAUAACCGUGGUUACCCAAACCUAUAGGUAUUUUGCCCAUCCCUAGUAGAGACUAUGAUGACGUUUCGGUAUUUGUUGAUCAACUCACUCAGCAUAUUAUCUACCAGUCCGUGAAGACUAUACUUUCGACCACUUGGUAGAAUUCUUCAUUCUAGACUUCGUUAGACUGACGUCUCGAUUAACAUCAAUUUCAACCGUAAUCCCAUAUUCACCUUGUGGUACUGGAAGGCAUUAUAGUCAACUUUGGGUUAGUGUCUACCCUACAACACUUCGUAUCAUUUCUAAAGUAGACAGACCAUUCAGGAAGACCACUCAGAUUCGAAAGUUUUUGCUAAGACCAUCAGUCAUUCAAUCACCCACUAACACUCUAUCGAGCGAACCAUUUCCACUGGUGAUUGAAUAUCCCUGAGGUUAUUGUUGUAACAAGUUGUUAUGAAUAUUGGAAUGGGAAAAGGUUAAAUUCCCGCUUAUCAUAUUACUUUAGACUACUAAUCAAGUUGAGUCUGCGCUCAACCAUCUUGACUUGCCGCCAUAUAAUCAAGUUAGGUACUCAUACGUGUUCUUGCAUCAAGGUUACACAUUCAAUCAUGUUAUCUUGUACUCUACAUUUGAUGGACUUGUUUUGACCCUUAAAUUCUUGAGUGUUCUUUUAGCCUUCUCGGCAUAGCCUUUCUCUAUAUCUGAGAAAUUUUCAAUGAAUCAGCUCGCUUAAGCUUUGUGAAUCACAUUGUUUGGUUAUAGGGUGUUUCAUCACUAUUGUACCUCAUUGUGAUGCGCAUUUCACUUCCAAGUCUUGUGAAGCCUUCUGGAAGGCCAUGGGUACUAAGUUGUUGUCCAGUACCAUAUUUCAUUCUCAGAUUGUUGGCUAGUCUGAACGAACUAUCCAGACCUUGGAGGACGUGUUGUGUUCAUCCAUUUUGUGGUUUCAGCAGGAUUAGAAAUUGCACCGAUCUUUAUUGGAGUUGUUUACGACAACGAUUAUUAUUUUCAGUUUCGGUAUGGCACAAUUUGAGACAUGGUAUGAGAGAUUCUGCAAGCGACACUUGUUAAACAUAAGAGUAUUGCAAACUGGUAUUCGAAUGAUCGAUUUUUCGAUAUGGGAAACUAUGUGCCACAAAUGAUGUCGCCUUGGAGUUGAACAAAAUGGCAAUUUUGCACCCUUGGGAAGUUACUUUUUGUUUAUCGAGACAACAAUGUGUGUCGACAUUGCGGGCUACAGACUGUAAUAUCGAUGGCUUAUUCAUUUGGUUCGUUAAGCAAGUGGGCAAGUAGACCCGUCUACAGUAGCAGUUACUGAUUAAUUAUUGUUUGGGCUCAACCCAAAGUCACACACACCUAUUUUCAAAGUACGUGACAUUACGAAUGCUUGGGCGAGACCAAUUUUCAUUUUCAGUUUUAAUUUUUAGUGCAAGUAUUUUAACUUACAUUAUUAUAGUUAUAUAUUUGUAUUUUUGACGUUACAAAUGUUUGGGUGAGUCAUUUCCACUUUCAGUUUUAAAUUCAGUACAAGUUUCGGCUUCUAUGUUAAUACAUAUCAAUUUUGACAUUAUCUUACUAUAUGUACAUAUUUUUGACCUUACGAUAUUAUAUAUUUCGACUAUAUUUUAUUAUUUACAGAUAUGAUACUACUAUUGUAUUGUUAGGGAAGAUAGUAUGAGCUUGGAGGCAUGAAAAAGGAAUCACUACAAUCUGAUCACAACGGAGUGGCAUUCUCUUUUAUGCAACCGCUUUGACUUGAUUUCUUCUUUAUAUAUAUUUGCUUCCUAUCUUCGAGUUUUUACGUGUAGCAAGUUAUUUCGAAUUUGGGGGAUGAAUUUUCUUACCGAGGGUAGAUUGUAACGACCCGUCCCAGAUUUUAAGAAGCACGGAACGUCAAGGACAAUUUUGUAAUUUCAUGUUUGGGAGAUAUUUGUAUUUUUUUUGUCUUUAGUGGACCUUGUUUUGUGAGCCACUAGGGGCCCACAUGUCCCCUUGGUCUCCCUGCCCUCUCUUUCUUCCCUCUCCCCGUCACUCUCUUUCCCUGCCUUCACUCUCUCUAAAACUCUAUCUUCUCUCAUCUCUCUUAUAUUUCUCUAACCUCCCCUCUCUAGGAAAGCACACAAACACAACAACAAUAGCCGCAACUGCACACCACCAUCCCUCACCCUCUAUUGGAACCCCACGAACCCAAAAACGACAAGGGGACUCUUCCCCAGUUUUUCAACGAGACCCGUGAGUUUGCAGGCAUUUUUCAGUCAUCUUCGGCCACACCAUGAUGAGUUAGCUAAGAAAUGAGGAAGUUAUAACCUUAUAAAGUUUACCCAGUUUUCGACAACCUCCGUAGCUUUCGAGCCAUUUUCCGGCCAAACCAUGAUGAGUUAGCAAUCAAGAAAGGUACCAUUCUCUUCAUUUCGUCGAGAAGUAUGAUUUUCGUUUUUAAAUCACUCAAUUUUGUUGAGUAUUGAAGAAGUUAUGAAACUUCAAAUAAUACCCAAAAAUUGGGCCAAACCCCAGUUUCCAGUGGGUUUCUGGUGUCCCGGUCAACCCAACCCGUUGACCUGGAUCCGACCCGUCCCGAACCCGAUGGAAUAUUCCGUUAGGGAAUAUUCUCUGAAAUAUUCUUCAAAAUAUUCCUAGAAUAUACUUGCGUUGACUUUUUGUUGACUUUUACGAAAUUUGUCAGGGGACCCCUCUUAAGGUAAUUCGACGCCUUGAUUCCAAAUCCGCGCUCCAUUUUCCCGAAUUCAAUUUCUUUAGUAGGGUUUUACCUAUUUGGUCCCUUUAUGUGCUUAAGUGCAUUUGUUAGUGGCAACCCCGUCCUCUCUAGUUCAAACGGCUUUUCGGCAACAGAGUAUUGUGAGUGGACCCCUUCCAAAAUACAUGAUUUAAUUACUAGAACUGCAUACAUGAAAAGCAUGAUUUUAUGACUACAUUUUAUGAAACGUUUAUGAGUAAAUCGGAUUUACGCUUUAUGAAAUAUUAUGCUUUAUUGAAUUUAUGUUUACUGAGAUAUUUAUGAACAUGGAUUUAUGAUAUGAUAUUUGAGCUAUUGAGCUCCCAUGAGAUAUAUUUUGAAAAGAUUAUGUCCAUGAUUUUAUGUGCUUACUUAGUGGUUAUUCAUACUAUGUGCCUAAGGGUGAAUGAUAUUUAUAUAUGUCUUCAGGCGGGCGAUGUAGGGUCUUCGGGCGGGAGAUUUAUAUAUGCCUUCGGGUGGGCGAUGUAGGGCCUUCAGGCGGAAAAUUUAUAUAUGCCUUCAGAUGGGUGAUGUAGGGCCUUCGGGUGAAUGAUUUAUAUAUGUCUUCGGGCGGGUGAUGUAGGGCUUUCGGGAUUGUGAUAUCAUUACUAAGCGCACUAUAUACGAUAUAUGUUUUAUGAAAGUUUUAUGGCAUGCUAGGUUUUUCAGAAAACCUAUUACUUAUUAGCUAUAUGAGUUUUCUAAAACUGGGGGUUAGUACGUUGAAGAGUAAUUGAUUUUCAUAUUACUAUAUAUAAACUUGGUCCACUCAUGCUUUGUUUUGUGCCCUCUUCAGGACUUAGAAUCGAGGCGUACAAUCCCAGUGUCAAGGCACUCUCGUAGUGGUAUCUUUGAGUCCUCUCGGUGUAGGACCCAUUCCUUUGUUCGUAACUUUUCAUUGUAUAGUAUUCUUGAUUAGUUGUAUGCUCUCAACACGUUUUCCACAUUUGCAUAUUCAUUAUAGUUAAGUUUAUGUGUUUUAUUUUACGUUUGUUCUUUCUUCAUAUUUUUGCAUGCAUGUUAAUAUGGAUCGUCACCCUCAGGUGUCGGCCAGCACGUGCCUACCCUGGUGUUUUAGAGGAUAUCGGGGUCGGGGUAGGGCAUGUCAGAGAGGGCCCAAGAACACAAAAGCAAAGGGGGGAUUGGGCUCGAACAAGUCGACGGCCCAGGAAGAAUUUUUAAAAAAAAAUCAUUUUUUACAAGAAAUAGGCAACAAGCCUAUGUGAGAAGUGAUGGGUAACAAAUGACAGCUCACCUCCAACAAAAAGUACUUUUCAAGGGCAUGGAUAGGUAAAUAAAUGGUGACUUACCAUCCUCUGAAGGCCAUCACCAAAAGGCAAGGCUGGGACAAUCGGGCUAAGAAGUCUAUAAAAGCAUCAAGGGACAUCAAAGACAAUGACACUUAACCGAUCAAUCAAAAGACAUCUCACUUUGCUCUCAGACAAGCAAGAAACCAGAAAGCUUUAGUUUGUCCAUACUCUGCUUUAUUAGUCCUAGGUCCACCUUAGAAAGCCAUCUUUUGUCAAGUUUUAGAAGCUCUGCUACUUUUCCAUAGCAUUGUAGUAUCGAAUCCCUUAUGUAAACCCGUUUUACCUUUCAUUCUCUAAGGAUUGCAACCCUUGUAAUAUACAAAGAGAGGUGGUCGCAAGAAGAUGAACCUUGCCUAACAAGGUUAAAAUCUUGCUCAAGUCUCUUUUGUUUGUGCUUACAUAAAGUAGAUAUGUUGUUUAAUGCAUCUUUCUUUAUGUUCUAACCAAUUUCAACUAUUUUUCAAAGUUCAUUCGUGUUUAAUCUAGCUAAACUAAUUAAUCGUGCUUCUUUAGUGUUAACUGUAAUCAAAGAAAUAGUUGGAAGGGCCAUGAACUCCCUUUAACUGGACAUACAAUAUUAUGAGUAAAAGUCCUUGUUUACAAGGUAAGAAAAAUAACCUUAUACAAACUUAACCCAUCUGUAACAAUCCAGCAAGAUCAAGAAGUCUAAGUAACUUAUGGCGCAAGUAAUCAACCCAAUUAAUAACCAAAAAAAAAAACAAUCUGUUAUACAAAAUAACAGUGGCACGCUCAGAUCCUUAUUAGUUUUUAUUGUGAGCCUACUAAUAGCAAACUCAUAUUGCAGCACACCAAGCAGCAAACCUUGCCUGACAGGUAAGACCCCGAAGAAUUGUGCGAAUGAUAGAUCUGGCCUGAACACAUCAAAUGGUUUCGAAUGUGCUAUGUUUCCUCUUAAAUUGCUUGGUGAUCGGACACUCCUCCAUAUAUAUGUUACAAAGUAAUAACACAACGAACAAGAGAAGAACAAUAUUUGAUUUUCACCUCAAUGGCUUCAAACAAGCAUUCACAAGCAUCACCCUAAUUUAUAAACACUGUAAUUAUGUUUUCAAUAAGAAAAAACAAAGUAUGAACACAACCAGGUGGUGGGCAGCACAAUUUAAAAAUUAAAGAUGUUAGGGUUGCGUAUCAGAUAUAUAAAAUUCACAUGCCACAUCAAGGAUUUCAACAAAGUAAACGGUAAAAUUUAAAAGACUUACUGAAACUAAACAAAAACAAAAGACAAAGUAGACCACUUACAAAGUUGGAAAACUUGGUUAUUUUGAAAGGGCUGAAAUGAACAGGAGCUUCUGCCAAAAAGAGCUCCAAAUAGUGGAGUUAAAACAGGCCAGAAUCGAACGAACUUUCCUGUUGCGGUAGCUAAUGAGAACACGAACCAGUGUCAGAAAUUCUAACAUUUUACCAUCAGGAAAAACUAUUCAACACUUCUUUAUCUAAAACCACAAAAAAAAAAUGAGGGAGCGAAAGAUAAAACUUUAGUGACAAAAAUAUGACAAGUAAUCCAAACACAAAUCCCAACUCACAAUAAAAAUGCAUGUCAUGCCCAAAUUAUUCUUUGUGCAUAUUUGUUUGAUGUCAUGAUAAAUGAGAUGGGCUAGUACUGUAAUGUUAAUCCAAAACCUAAAGUUGACCUUUAGGAAGAAAGCUUAGUCCAACAUGAUUACAAACAGUGAUCAUGGACUAGUUGGGCUUCGUUUCAGAAUGGUCCAUGAUCGUCCAUUUUAUGGAUCUCAAAGGUGGGGACAAGUCUAGAUUAUCACUUAAGUAACUUCAGGGAUUAUGGGCUAAGCUCAUGCUCUUUACCUCAAGCCCAAAUGUCUCCUAAUGUGAAAUGUACUAGGUAAUUCCGCCCAAGUACAUAAGUGAAAACAAAAGUAUCUAAGCAACUCCAAUGGAUUAUAGGUUUUUUUUUAGUACAACGAAGUAUUUGUACACUAAGAGGAGAGAAGAGUUCGGUUAAACCACACAUUAAACAAUCUAAUCUGACAUCUAAUUCGUCAUUUACGAGAUUCGAACAUAAAACGUCUCAUUUACAAAUAAAGAGGAAUACCACCAAAUCGUAGUAAUUAAUUAUAUCAACAUUUGUAGGUUAAACUCGAGCGCCAACAUGUGGUCCUUAAGGCUGAAAUGUGUUGGGCACAUAUAUUCUCUUACUGCAACAAUUGAGAAACUUUUCAAUGUUCCUAGAACACAAGACAAAACAACGACACUUGAAAAAAUGUACAGCCGUGUACACACACGAAAAAUCUCUCCUCAGUCGCUGCUUGCGUAAUUGACUGUCUUCUAUGGAUUUUAUAACUAACAAUGUAUAGCCAUCUGUUUCUACUUAUUUACUCCCUUGACAUUCUUUGAACCCCCCAACUCCCCAAACCCCCCCUCCCCCCCCACCCCUUUUUUCUUUUUUGAAAACGGGCACUCACCCCUUUCGUAUCCUCUAUUUCCCUUCUUUUCCUUUUACUUAACCCAGAAGGAAAAAGCAUUUCUGCAAUUCAAACAAACAAAACAUUCACAGCUUGAAAUCAACUUGUGUGUCCUUAUUUUAAUGAGAACUAAUAAAUUCGUUCAAAAAUCUGCACAGCCACGUUUUGGACCUAAAUCAGCUCCAUAACUGGCCCAAAAUAGCUGUAAUUAAAGUUUGGACUAUUCUGAAAACUUCUCCAUAAGGCCACGAACCCAUCUGAGGUCAUAUCGGCUUCAAAAACGCAAUUUAAGCCCAGAAAUGUUACUUUCCAACAAAGCACACUGCUCCUUCAUUUAAUCACCAGAAAAUAAUUGCUUGGUAAAAAAAUCCCAAGUUUUGACACGAACAAGCUAAGGAACACACGAACAUCCUCCAAUUUGAAUCACUCCAAAAUUCAUUCGUUUGAACAAGUUUUGCUCCAGAGAAAUCUAAUAUCCUAUAUUAAAAAUAUAAAACAAAGUAUCAAAAUCCUACCAAAAUAACCAAUAAAUUAAUACUAAGAAUAAGGUGAAAUAUAUAGUAUAAUAUGAACUUAUCAAGAACUUUAAUGGAAAACUCUCGGUACUGUUCACUUUAACGAAAGACCACAUUUAAAUCUUUAAGCAAACCCACUCGGUAUAAAAUUACUAACUCUACCCUUACGUAAAUCCCCAAAUAGGGCGACCACAAUGAGUAAAGAUGAAUGAUGUUUUCUUCACGUUAUUUGUUCUUUUUAAUACUUAUUUGUUCUCUUUAUAUUAAAAAAGAAGAAGAAAGAGUUAAGCACCUAAAACUCCCAACCAUUAGUGCGUUUUCAAAUGAGGUACUUGAUCUAGGUCCAAAAUUUUGAGUUAUGAUUGGAUUUAGUCCAAAAUUUUUACUGUUUAAACCGCAUCAUUUUAGAGAUUUUUUUUUUUAUUGAGUACAUCGAUAUUUUUACACUAGUAGAAAAAUCAAUUUAACUAAAUCACAUCAUUUUAGAGAAUUGCCUCUUAAGUUUUGUUUACUUUUUAUACGUGGGAUAGUGCCAUUCCUUUCGGCCAAAAAGAAACCAGGAUUAUAAUAUUUCAUAGAAUCCUGAUAAUAUUUUUUUAAUUAUAGUUUUUUAAUUAAGUACACACUAUCAUCAAAUAAUUAAACAUACUAUCUUUCCUUUUCACAUUUCAAGCUUCAACAGAUAUACAAUGUACAAAAAAUAAGAUAUUAUAAAAACUUACUAAAAUAUAAGUGUUGAUGUUGGCCAAUAAAGAAGCCACGAAAAGCCUAAGAAAAUUGAGAAUCCUAAGGCCCAAGGGUCUUAGAAGAGGAUACCCCGAGCACUAUAGCCGACCAUCUAUGAGCUUAGCAUAACCAAGAUAUGUAAAGAGCUUUCCGACCGCCAAGGGGUAGAUGGGGAGAUUGACAGCUUUAUGGCACAAACUUGAAAUCCAACACCAGAUUGAAAUUCGAGUUAUCUGAUCGUCCAUCGGACAACAAACAAAAUUGCACCUUGGGUGCACCAUUCAUGGGCUCCAAGACUUCUCUGGUGGUUUUCACUGCCUGUCGAUCACUUUUUAGAAGUCGGCCUAGCUAUAAAAAUCUUCCCUUGUCUUGUUCUACGUCUCUGUGGUUUUAUGAUGUUUGGAGUUUGUCGGAAAUUUCAGUUUACGUUAGCCGGAAAUCACCACGCAUGGCGGCGUGUUAGGUGGCACAUGUGAAACUCUAGCUAUCUGGAUUUUCGACAAUGAUACUUCCUUGAUGUCCAGAGCCUAAAUCCAAGGUUCGUUUUUGUUGAAACUUGAUACAAUGGUUUGGUUAUUCGAAAUAUGGGUAUUGACUUUUUAUUUUUGUAAUUGACGUCAACUUAACCAUUGGAUCGUCGGUAAGUUUAAUGAGCAUGCUAUUCAUCGAUUGAUGGACCUUGAGAAAUUGUGAAACGGAAAUUUGACAGUGGGGUCUUCCAGUUGAAGAAUCUUGGAUUGACAUUUGUAGUGGACAAAAAUCCGACCAUUGGAUCAUCUCAAAAUUAUAGUAUGUGGUUAUGCGUAAUAUGUAAGGAUCUUAGGAAUUUGAAAAUUUGUUGUGUAAAUCUUUUGAAUUAGACUACGUUGAGUUAUUAACCCUACCGUUAAACAUGUUGACCGAGAUUUGACUUUUGAUCAAACGUCUCGAAUCGCCCUUAAAUAUUGAAAUUAAUAUUGCUAAAGACUAAUAAAACCUUAACCGGAUUCUCCUACGCAAAUAGGUAGGCUAGUGUAACAUUGGCUGAUUGGAAAUUAAAGUGGCGGGGGAGGGAUAGUAAGUUAUUGAUUUUGACUGGGUGCAUGAUUGAUUACAUGUCUAAUACAAGAAAUGAAAUUCCUUUUUUAUUCUACCAAGAGUGGUACUUAAAGUUUGUGGUAGAAUCCGAUGUUUAUAAAUAUGUAUUGAUCCUAUCCAGACUUGCAAGUUGCAAACUCUUGCACUAGAGGUUUGAUGUGGACGAGGAGCAUGAUGCACAAGAACUAAACUUCGAUGCAGAGAUUUCUUAAUUAGUCAUUUUACCAAAUAAAAAGAGUAGGUCACCUGAGCAAAAUAAAGACAAAGUCAAGUGUCGCAUCACAUGAUAACUUAACCUAGUUACACAAGAACGAAUGAGCUGUACUGAACGCCAUUGUCCACAUAAAAGAAAAACAAAAACAAAACAAAGCAAAACAAAAGGGAUCCUAGCACCAAUUGCUUGAAGGGAAUAUUUUUGCUUCCCAAGUGCGAAUCAACUCACUGAAUUGUCAAAAAUAUCUGUUAAGACCUGUUUAAUUUAAUAUUUUUAUAAUAUAAAGAGAUGACAUUAGUAGUAGUGAUGAUAAUAUAAUAUAUUCUCUUUCUACAACAAUCGAGAAAUUUUUCAACGUUUCUGCAUGCAAAAUAAUGCUUAAUCCUUCUACAACCGCCUAGAAUUCGUGAAAAUUUGACUUUAUUCGCUUAUCCAGUGUGCGUUCUACUCCAACUUUCCUGGCCAACUACUAAGCUUUUCAGGUUCGCUACUCAAGUUGAACUCGGGUUUUUCAACAAAGUCUUUCUUAAUUGAGAAAUUUUUCAACGUUUCUAAAACACAGAACAUAACAACACAUGUUAUAUAUAAUAAGAUAGACACUGGAAAAAACGUAAAUCCGUGUCCACACACCGAAAAAUCUGUCCUCAGUCGCUGCUUGCGUAAUUGACCGUCUUCUAUGGAUUUUAUAACUAACAAAUGUACAGCCAUCUGUUUCUACUUAUUUACUCCCCUGACAUUCUUUGAAUUUGCCUCCCCAGGCGCUCACCCCUUUCGUAUCCUCUAUCGCCCUUCUUUUCCUUUUUCUUAACCCUGAAGGAAAAACCAUUUCUGUAAUUCAAACAAACAAAUCAUUCACAGCUUGAAAUUGACACGUGUCCUAAUUUUAACACUAGUGAGUUAAAAUGCAUGUGCUGCAGCAGCAGGUGAUCCAGAAAGGCCAUGGCAAAAGAGUAAAUAACAUAGAAAACGCAUGGCAAAAGGGCAGCUGCGUGUCAACUGCACAACCAGCGGCAGAGGAACAAUAGAACCGAUAAUCUCUUAGAUCGGUGAUCGGUCCGCAUAUAAACUAAACGGUGGUGAUCGGUCCCCUGCUGAUCUGCGUUCCAGGUUUUAUUACCUUAAUUUCCAAAAAAAUAUCCACAAAAAUAGAAAAAGGCACAAUGGGAAAUUUCCAUAAAUGGGAAAGAAAUUUCGCUGCCUUUCCUUUCUUGAACAAACCAGCUGCGCCCAACUCUCUCUCUCCUCUCUCUCGCUCCUUCUCUUUCCAAAAUUGCUGGCUUUCACUGCUCUGCAAAUUUCCUGGUCGGACCAAAACUUCAGACCUGAAACCACCCCAACGAAGGUAAACAAAAAAACAGAGGAAAAUCCAGUUAUUAAUUUCUGUAUGGUUUUCCUUUCUUCUUCUUCUUCUAUUUAUGGUAAAUACGAAAUAUUGGACAGUUGAUUGUGGUUGGUGGGUUGAUCUGGUUUUGUUUUACUUAUUUAGAUUUGAAACGCUAGGGUUUGUGGUCAAUAAUCCUUAAAAUUAUCAGAAACCCAGAAAAUAUAAGGUAGUUUUGGAGUUUGUGGACAUUUAUAUAUAUGUGGAAAUUCGAAGUGGUUGGUUUAUUUUAUUUUACUUGAAUUGUUGUUUCUGAAGGGGGUAGGAAGAAUUGGAGAAAAUGAUGAGGGAGAAGAUCAAGAUCAGGAAGAUCGACUGCUUGCCGGCAAGGCAGGUGAACUUCUCAAAGAGGAGAAGAGGGGAUUUUGAAGAAAGCUAGAGAGCUGUCGAUUCUAUGUGAAUCUGAAGCUGCUGUUAUUAUCUUUUCUCAAACUGGCAAGCUCUUUGAUUUCUCAAGCUCCAGGUACCAACCCUGUACAACAUCCCACCGCCUUAUAAAUUCUUCGAAUUUUCCCAACUUCAACAAAUAUAAUCAUGUACAUGACUUGAUAACUUCUCUCUUUCUGAGAGAGAGAGAGAGAGAUUCAGUCAUUUGGAUCAAAAAGCUAUAUAUUCCCAAAUGACCAGAGAGUGCUAAAUAGCUAGAUAGAUAAUCUAUGCAUGUACACAAAGACAGAGAGAGAGAGUGUGAGUUUUAACCAGAUAAGGUGCUAAGAAUGCUAUCUAGAAUAUCUAGUUCAGGAAAGUGAGGUUUACUUUUGAUUGAGACAACUUCUAGCUAGGUGUCCUAGUUUGAGAAAUUAACAUUUUAUUACUUUUACAUGCUUUCAAUCUGUGAAGUGGUGCCGAUUUUUUACGUGAUGCUGAUCUCUUUGCUUUUCAUGCUACAUGCAAUCGUGUCCGCCAUGCAGAAGUCUAUAUAUAUAAGAACCACUGGUCUAGUGAAUUAUGUAAUCUUAUUACUAUUUUACAGUUUCAUAGUUUAUCUUGCCGCCUUGAUCUUAGACCGUCAUUCUCACUGGAAUUCAGAUAAUCAUCAAUUCGAAAUAAAUAAUCUAACAACAUAAAAUCAAAAUGAUAGAUAAAAUACUCUGGCUAGUAAAAGAGUGACUUACUCUCUACGUACCAUAUAUAUACACGCAUGACAACUUCAACACACGAUGUUAGGCUAUGUUCCAAAAGUUGUCCUUCAUUCUCCCCACCUAAACUAAAAUACCUGUAAAUGAAUACGGUGAACUUGCUAAAGACUGAAAAUAUGAACAUUCAAUUAUAUAUGCUUCGGAUUUUUCUUACUAGGAAGAAAGUGAUGUGAUGAAAACUUGGGAAUUCAUCAUAGAAGCUUUGAAGAUCCUUUGAGAAGGAAUAUGUAUGCCUGCGUCAAGUAGGGCAAUCAGUGGUGCAGUCAUGGCCAUAUAUAACCUGUUUUUCCACAAUCAUGCAUGAAAUAAUGAACUAACUUGAGUAGUUGCAAAGAUUAAAACCUUCUUCCAUAAAUAUUGUGCAUGAGGAAGGGUGAGAUUAAUAUCUUGACAUGUAAUUGUGGAAUAAGAAUUAAGAUAAAGUUGUGCUUUUGUUUUAGUAAAGAAAAAAAAAAGACACUCCCCAUAGUAAGUGAUGAUGUCAUUUUUAUUAAUAAAAUGGGAAAUAUCACUUUUAAAGUGGUUCCUUUAACCUGAAAUGUGUUAUAUAGGAUUACUUUAUCAAUUUGACAUCCAAAAUCAGCACUCAUGGAAGGAUGCCCUUAUUGUAGGAUGGUGUUUUUAACUUGUCUAUUGUGUCAGAAAAAAUCUUGUUGAGGGGUAGGUUCUAAGAGUUUACUAGAUAGUGUAUAACCUUUUUGUCAUCUAGAUAUUCCUAUUUUUACUAUUCGACAUUUUUUUUCUAUACCAUUCCAAACCAAAUAUAUCGAUAGGGAAUUGUGGCGUGGAUUAGGGCUGAUAUACUCCCACAUAUAGAGGGGCUUUUUACACCACCAAAGUCUCCACACAGUGGGCAAUUCGAGCUGACCUCAUUGUCUUGGUUGACUAUGAUGAACGAGUGGAAGAGGGACAUCAUCUAGGUCGACUUGACUAAGAUGUGGUCAUCAGCACUUGAUAACCAUGGUGAGUUGACCUCAUUCCCCUUGUUGAUAGCCAUAAGAUAUAUAAAGAAUUCAAUAUUUACUGGAAAUAAGUACUAUUUUACACACCGUCAAUGAGAACUUUUCAACCUCCAUAUAUUUGGUGAUAGAACGAGAGGAGAGGAUUCUAGUGCUGCAAGCAUUCUAGCAUCAAGCGUUUUCUAUCAUGUUCCUUCAAGUGGGCAUGGAGAAGGACUUCUUCUCCUAGCUGGUAGAAUUCCUAUAUCGGCUAUUGCAAGCUUCCCAUCAAGCCAUAUCAAUUCCACUCAUGAAAUUCCAUCAUUCCUGUCAACUAUUAACUACAAAACAUUUCGCCAUAAGUACAACAUAAAUUAGUGUCCGAGUAUCUAAAAGAAAUAAUAUUAAUAUGUCCGUUGUGUGUGAUGUUUAUGCAAUUUGUAGAUCACUCAUAAUAAAUUCUUCUAGAGGAUAAAACUUAGGUUUAUUUACAACUACACUCUGGAACUCAAUUUUGAUCUCACUUUGCCACCUAUAACUCAAAAUCAACAUUUUAAUCCAUGAAACUCAAAAUUCCUUAUACUUUGACUUGUGGACUAUUUCUUCUCUCUGCAACUUAAAAGUCACCUCCCUGAAACAUGUGGGAUCCACCACCUAAUAAGACUAUGCCACACAUUCCAAUGAAUUUGAUUAUAAAUCUUCAUAUGGUAACAUUCAAUAAUCAAAAAUAUUAAAAUCGUUAUAGAGUAAAAUGACGAAAUUAAUAGAAAGUAUAAUAAAUCUUCAUUAUGCGUCAGCAUCCAACAUAACAAAAUUAACAAAAUUAAGGCAAUCUGGAGCGAAUUUGAGUUUUAUAGAGUAAAAUGACGACUUUUGAGUUAAUGGGCAAAAUUGGAUCAAAAUCGAGUUUAAAGAAAUCAAACUUGAACGAAUUUUAAGUUCCGAAGAGUAAAGUGGCGACUUUUGAGUUAUAAAGGGCAAAAAAGUAAGGACAUAAAGCUAAGGUCUGGUGUAAUCAUAUAGUUAUGGGGAAAGUUUUCAAUUUGUUCUUCAUGAGUUCUAGCUACAAUCUUUUCUCUUAUCAUACAUAUUCUUGAUUGCUUCGAUAUAUGCUACUCAUAUUCCUUUCGUCUCUAGUCUUUCAAACUCUCUUGGUACCCUAUCAUAUGCCUUUUUCACAUCUAUAAAGACCAUGUGCAAUUCUCUUACAUAUCUCUGCAUCAUUCCAUCGAUCUCUAUAAGAGAUAGAUUACUUUUGUAGUCGAGCGCUUUAGCAUGAACUCAAAUUAAAUGUGUGACAAUCAUGUCUCUUCCCUCAAUUUAUACCUAAUUUCUCCCUUCCAAAACUUCAUUGUAUGACUCGUUAACUUAAUAUGUUUAUAGUUCAUACAAUUAUGUAUGUCGUUCUUAUUCUUAUUUUAUUUUGCUAACUAUGGUAGCAAAGCAUUGACAAAUUCAGGAUUGGUAAUCAAGCCACCCACAAAAAGUGGCCGUAGUGAAUAUAACAAUUAAAGCAUAUUUGCAUUGAUGUCUGAGUUGAUGUGAGAGGAACUGACUUGGACUUUUUAGGCCCAUUUGCUUAGUUAACCUGAUAGUCCCAACGUUGGUUUUGCCUUUUUGUUGCGUGUAUCCUCAGUUGGUGAUCUCAUUAUCUCAUGUAUAAUAUUCCGAUUGGACAUUUUGAUCCGGGUAACCAGACCAAGCAAUAAAACCUCCAGAAAGCUUUGCCUUAAUGUUCUGGGCCUUUUGGCUGGUUGGUUUGCAACAGAACCAAAUAUCUCCAAAGUGAGAUUGUUGUGGAUGGUUAAUCUUGAUGAAUUAUCUCCAAAUCUGUAUUAAUUUGUUGUAAUUUUGUUUUCUUGUUGGUAAAUUAGUUCUGUAGCGUUUAACUGUGCAUGUUUUUUUCUUAUUGUUUUGGGGUAUUUUAUUCUAGCAGUUAUUCUGUUUGCAUGCAUGUUCAAAGUGGUUGAUUUCAGUCACAGUUUUUAUAUUAUUUUUGUAAAAGAAAAAUUAAACCGGAAAAUAACAUAUUAAUAACAAUCUCAUACAAGGUUGCAUACAACAUGCAAGUACUAACUUAUUGGGAUUAUUGCAAAAGUGUUUGCAAGCACUAACCAAUUCUCUGUCUCUUUUUUGUUGUUGUAUAUUAUUAUUAUAGAUGUGUCAUAAUUUAUAAAUAAUAAUGAAACAUGCUAAUUAUAUUUUAUCCUUUUAUGUUGUGAAGUACCAAGGAUGUGAUUGCAAGGUACAAAUCACAUACUUCUGGGGAAAAAUCAGAUCAACCCACGUUUGAUCAACUACAGGUAAUUCAGUUGAAUAUUGGUUUUCCUUUUUCCCAUCCUAAUUGCUCUUUAAUUUUCCAAUUUUAGUGGUAUAACAAUUAACUGUGUCAUGUGAAUGUAUCACAUUCUGUGAUCUAUACACUUGGAGCUAUGGAAUGUAAUUUUACAGCAUUUUAUUUCUUUAACAUAAAUAAAAAGGUAAAUUACAUUUUGCAUCCUCAGGUUUGGAUCUCAUAACAAACUCGUAACUCAUUUUUGAACAUUGUUAUUUCAUACAUCAACUUACUAUUUCGUUGAAAAAUCAUACAUCCGUUUGUGGGUCUAUUAAUUUAAUGUUAAAUGAUGAUGUGUCAACUGUGAGUCUCACAUUUUUAAUAAUGUGAUGUCAAAUUUAUGCCAUAUGGACAAACAACUAAUUGAAAAUAUAUAAAUUAUAAAAUUAAAUUAAAUUUAAAAAAUAUUUUGAAGAAUGAACCCACGGAGCCCAAAAUCAGACGACCCUCCGCUCAGCCUAGAAUCAUAGUUGUAUCCAAUUUUAAUUGUUUGUUUGUCCAUGUGGCACAAAUUUGAAUCAAAAUGUGGGGCCCAUAGUUGUCACAUUAUCAUGGUUGGCCUCUUGGGCUAAAUAUGUGCUAGUACCUGGGGUUAAGUAAUGACUCCCAAGUCAUAGUUUUGACUUCCAUUGACGUUCUAAGUUGGUUUUUUUUUUUCUUGGAUAAAUUCUAACUUGUGUUAUUAGUUAGUAUUAAUUUGAAUCAUUGAGUUUUGCUCAUGGAAAAAAGUUUCAUGUUUGGUUUCUUGUUACGUAGGAAUCAAAUGACCUGGAGAUUGCUACAAUUGAAUAUCCAUGCUCAAGCAUGUUUAAGUAGUCCAUCUUUUGCCCCUUUUUUCCCUUCCCUUCACUGAGACAUUUGGAAUCUAUAAACGAAACAUCUUUUGCCAUAAAAAUAGGCGAUAUCCAAUUUUGUGCUAUGUGCUGUUCUAAGAUUUUCUUCUUUCUUGUUUCUUUUUGGGCUUGAUGUUUAUAAGCUUUUCAUGUGAGUCUGACAGAUUAGAGUAUCUAAAUGAUGGUUUGGUAUAAAUAUAUUUCCCGUUAAAUAGUUGGAGAAAGAAAACAAGAUCAUGUUGACUAAGGAACUUGAGGAUAAGACCCGCAAGCCGAGGUAAAUAUAUUUUAUCAGUUUGCUUGUAAGAUAUAUGGUGGUUAAUUAAGCUGGGAUGAUCGUUUGACGAGAGUCAGCUGAAAUUGGUUUGGCAUGCAAAAGGCAGAUGAAAGGUGAGGACCGUCAAGACUUGGGUCUGGAUGAACUGCAGAAGUUAGAAAAAUAGGUGGAAGCAAGCCUUGGCUGUGUGAUUGUAACUAAGGUAUGUUCUAGCUAGCUAAUUUAUACUGUUACAAGUGAAUACAUCUGAUCAUGGCUUCUAAAAUCUAGGUAUCCCUUGGAUAGAGGAAAACAUUUUUGAGUCGUAGUACGUAUUAUUGUGCAAUGAUCCGGAUGAUCUAUUGCUUAAUUAGUCUUUGUUCAAAUAUCAUUCUUGCAAAAUAAAACAAAUGUCUUGAUAACGUUCAAAUAGAGAAUCUGUUAUUAGCUCUCCAUAAAAGUAAUAUUGCACUUCUUCCUCUAAUUUCAUAUUUUUCACUAUCAUGAGUGAACUAUGGCUGGGUUUAAUCAAAUAAAUAGAUCAACACGUUACACCUUUGGUUAAUUUGAAUGUAAACUUUUACCUUCUUUUUUUUUGGGGGCGGUUGUAAAGAAUGUAAACUUAACCCAAGUAUAUAUACUUUAAUUAGGUUAUUUUACGAAAGACAUAAUGCUACUCUUAUCACGUUUUCUAUACCAUAUUUGUACCACAUCUGAGGCCAUUCCUUUGUCAGAAAUGUUGUACAAACGUGGUAUGAAAAAUAUGGUAAGAAUAACAUUUGUUAUGGAUUAUAUAUCUAUACAGCAACAUCUAAUUUCAAAUUUUCCAUCUUUUAGGGAAAAAAAAAAUUACGAGUGAGAAAAAGGUUUGUAGUUAAAUAAAUGAUUGUUGUCUCUGUGUCUAUAUAUAAAAUAGAGUUUCCAGAAAGAAAAUAAUUAUCACUAAUGAACUUUUCCUUUGUUGUCCUCUGCAUUCACUGAUUAUACAUGCAGGGAGCUGAGCUGCUAGAAGCUAACAAGGGAUAUUUUGCUGUCCUCGCGGAGCUUUUGCUUACGUAUCGUGGGUGGUUCUCUCAAGCUGAUUCAUUUCAGCAUGAUCAGGUCGAAUUUUACACAUUACCAGUUUAAAGCACUUAAAUUUUCUUUUCUUUUAAGGGAAAAAAAAAAGGCCAUUAGGAAAGGUCUUCAUAAAAGCUUGGGUUGAACGUAGUCCAUCUCCUUCAUGGUGAGCUCGAGCUCGUGUUCAAAGAUAAAAUUGGGAUUGCCACGCCUUCUUUGACGUUGAGUUUUGAUAUAGGUUUUCCUGUUUUUUAUUUUAGCCCGUGAUUACUUAUAAACAGAGAAUUAAUAUUUGAAGAAACCAACUAGUUUGUACCAAAUUAAAGAAAAACCGACUGUUGUGAAUUUUUUUUUGGUACGUCCAUAGAUUAGCUCGAGUGCUCAUCUGGGUUUUGUUCUGAAUUUUUUCAUGUACCUAAUGUUUUUUUGGGCCGUUUGGUUUGUUUCCUCACCCAAAAGAAAAAUCUGGAGAAAACCAAAGGUAAAUAGUGGAGGAUAGCUCAGAUGUGUUAUCCUCUUUUUUUUUUUCUUUACUUUUCUACAAAUAUUAUCUGAAUCGUCUAACCUAGCUACUGGAUUAGUAUCUAACAUUGAUCAUACGAUAAAUUCUCCAUUACUUGCACUACCUAUGCAUAUUUAUUUUAUUCAAUGUGAAUCACUUGCAUGAUUUCAUGUUUAAGUUGUCAACUAAUAGAUUGUUACAGUGACGAUCACCGGUUGAAUAGGCCGUUAUUCAACCGAAAUAUGGGAUUCCACUGUCUCAAUACUACAGCAAACGGCAUAUAAAAUCACUUGCAUGAUUUCGUACGAGAUCGCAAAUUCAUGAUGUUGGUAUAACUGUACGCCCAGGAUGCUACAACAUUUUCAGUGAAAUUGCUAAUUAAUUUGUGUUCUCUAUUUUCAGGCUUCCUUAGUUUUCCUAGUUAAGAAGUUGACCAAGAUGGAGAGCACACUUCCUUAAAAUUAGUAAAUGAAGUCGAGUUAUUGGAAGACAUCCGGGGGAGUGCCAUUUUGUGUUAUAUUUGUGUUCCAUGCGGCAUGGCAAUAGAUUAAUUCUUUAGACCGUAUUUGUAAAUUUUGUGAUGUGUCAUUAAUAGAAAAUAAACAUGCUAAUCAAUAAUUAAAUAAUAAUUCAAUUAUCGACGAUAAAAUUAUAUGAUUCGGACAAAGUCAUAUGAUUUAUAAAAUACAAUUUGUAAAAUAUGACUUAAAUGGAAGAUGCUUCUAAACAUUACUAUUUCAAUAAUUCAGAUAAAGUUGACAUUAAAUUCAAAGAUUGGAAUUGACACGUGUCCGUUAUAAGUUAUAAUUGUACAUUCGCUCGGUUUUCCAAUUAGAUAUCCCUGCUUUUCCUAUUCAUACACUUACUGCCAUGCAUUCUCUCUUACCAUAUUUCAUUUCGCAUUUUCUGUCCUUUAUGUCGGCGAUGCGCCCUUCUCCUGCCGCCGUCUGUCUGACAAACCCUAAAUCAAAUCUGUUGGGUACAGGAGAAGGAGCCUUCCGGGAGUUAGGCGGGACCUAUACUGGUGGAUUGGCAACAGGUAUUCUUUGAUCUGUUAGCGGUGCCGCGGCUCAGCGAACUUACAUAUUCUGCAGAUACAUGAAAAUAAUUUUGGUUUUUUUACAGAUCUCAACAAACCACCGCCUCAGAAGAAAAUGAAGAUUCAGUCGCAUGACGAGAUUGCAGAGAAGAGGAGAGGGAGAUACAGAACCACCGACCAUAAUUUAUUUAAAUUAGUAAAAUCAUAUGACGAUAUUGCUCUGCAGAGAAAACGAGAGGGCCGGGAUGGCCAUGAUGGAAGAGGGUUUGGAGAAUGCGGCUACUGAAAACUCGGGGGGUGGGAUUUGGGGAGUUUUGUUUCACAAGUGGGAAUGAGUAUUGUCAGCAAGUGUCGCAGUGAUCGCUGCUAGCAGCUACCGCUGCUCUUUGGGAUAAAGAAGUGAGAGAGACGAAGUGGGCGAGGAAAAUCAAACGGUGUGGUACGUAAAAAGAAUUAAACUGAGAAUCCCCAGCCGUACUGUCGUUCAGUCCACAUAUUAUAGACGGUCGUGAUCGCAUUCAUCACUCAUCACACCAACUGAUUAGCGUUCCACGUUUCUAACCUUGUUUUCCCAAAAAAUAUCUAAAAAAAGAAAAAGGCACAAACAGUGGAUACCAAAGUAAGAUAUUUCCUAUUUUUCCAUAAAUAGGAAAAUUAAUUUAGCAACCUUUCCUUUCUUGAACUGCCGGCGGCACCCCAACUCUCUCUCUUCUCUAUCUUCUUCUCUUUCCAGAAUUGCUGGCUUUUCUUUCACUGUUCUGCAAAUUUCCCAAAACUUCAGACCUGAACCCCCCAACGAAGGUAAACAAAUAAUAACGGAAAACCCAGGGUAAUUAAUUUAUGUAUGGUCUUCUUCUUUUUCUUCUUCUUCUUCUUCUUCUUCUUCUUCUUCUUCUUCUUAUGGUAAAUACUGUAGGCUUGUUGGACAGUUGAUUGUGGUCAGUUUUUUCUGUGUUUUGUUUUUCUUAUAUAGAUCUGAGAUGCUAGGGUUUGAGGUCAAUAAUAUCUUAUUAGAUCUGAGAUGCUAGGGUUUGAGGUCAAUAAUCUUUAAAAUUAUGAAGAAAAAAAACGCAGAAAAUAUAUGCUAGUUUUUUAGUUUGUCAACGAUUAUAUAUAUGUGAAAAGUGGUUGGUUUAUUUUAUUUAUUUGAUUUAGUUGUUUUGCAGGGGUAGGAAGAAAUGGUGAAAAGGAUGAAUGAGAAGAUUAAGAUCAGGAGGAUCGACUACUUGCCGGCAAGGCAGGUGACCUUCUCAAAGAGGAGAAGAGGGAUUUUCAAGAAAGCUGAAGAGCUGUCGAUUCUGUGUGAAUCUGAAGUUGCUGUUAUCAUCUUUUCUCAAACUGGCAAGCUCUUUGAUUACUCAAGCACCAGGUACCAAUACUGUACAACAUCCCACCGCCUUCUAAUUUCUUUCGAAUUUUCCUUACCUGAACAAAUUAAUAUAACCAAGUACAUGACCUGACUUCUCUUUCAGAGAGAGAGAGAGAGAGAGAUUCAGCAUUAGAAUAAAAAAAAAUUAUAUGUAUAUAUAAGGAGGAAAGUGCUAACUAGCUAGAUAGAUCAUCCACGCAUGUACACAAGCACACAUAAUUUAUGGUGUCAGCUAGAUAAGGCACAGAAGAAAGGCUAGAGAAUCUAAAAACUUUCACCCAGAGAGAGAGAGAGUUAACCAGCUAGUACGAGGAUAACUAUAUAAUUUCCAGUUCAGGUGUACUUUUGAUUGAGACAACUUCUAGCUAGGUGUCCAAGUUUGAGAACAUUUUUCGUAGUUUUACGUGCUUUCAAUGUGUGGAAUUGUGGUGAUUCUUUUUAAGUUACUUGCUGAUCUCUUUGCUGUUCAUGCUAAAUGCAAUCGUGUCCGCCAUGCAGAAAUCUAUAUAUAUAUAAGCCACUUGUCUAGUAAUAUGUAAUCUUAUUACUAUUUGACAGUUUCAUAGUUUAUCUUGCCGCUUUAAUCUGAUUUCCCCUACCUAUCACAAAUCGGUUGUAGAUAAUAAUAUAUAAAAUAUUAGUUGGGGCUUAUGAAAUGAAGAGUAUAUGUGUAUCCUUUUAAAUGGGGUACACCGUGUCCCUUUCUAGAUACACGAUAUAUUAUUUCUUAGACCAUCAUUCUUACUAGAAUUCAAAUAAUCAGUUAUAAAUAAAUAAUUUGACAACAUAAAAUAAUUAAAAAAUACUCUAGCUAGUAAAAGAGUGUAGCACUAUCUACUUACAAUAUAUAUAUACAUACCAAUAUGUAUAUGUAUAUCCAUGUCAACUUCAACACAUGAUGUUGGGUUAUGUUCCAAAAGUUGUCCUUCAUCCUCCCCACCUAAACUACAAUGACGGUUAAUUUCUAAGGACUUAAAAUACGAACAUUCAAUUAUAUAUAUAUAUAUAUAUAUAUAUGCUUUGGAUUUUUCUUACUAGGAAUAAAGUGAUAUGAUGAAAACUUGGGGAUUCUUCAUAGAAGCCUUGAAGACGACCCUUGAGAAGGAAAUAUGUAUGCAUGCGUCAAGUAGGGCAAUGAGCGGUGCAGCUAUUGGCCGUAUAUAACCUGUUUUUUCAUAUGCAUGCAUGAAACAAUAAACGAACUUGAGUAGUUGCAAAGAUUAAGACCUAGCUACUUCCAUAAAUAAUGUGCAUGAGGGGAAGGGUGAGAUUAAUAUGUAGAAAUGUAAUUGUGGAAUAAGAAUUUAGAUAAAGUUGUGCUUAUGUUUUAGUUAAAAAAAUAUUAUCUCCACAUAGUAAGUGAUGACAAUAUUAAUAAAACUGAAAUACCAUUUCUAAAGUGGUUUAUUUAACCUAGAAUGUAUACUAUAGGAUUUAGUAUAUCAAUCUGUCAUUCCAAAUCAGCGUGCAUAGAAAAGAUGCCUUUAUUGUAUGGUGGUGUCUUUUACAUCGUUUAUUUUGUUAAUGAAAAUCUAAAACUAGUUUAUAAGAUGUUAAACACAUCUAUUUGGUAGAGAGUGAAUGAGCUUUUUGUUAUCUAGAUCUUCCCAUUUUACUAUUAGACUCUUUAUCUAUUCCUUAUCCAAAUCGGAUGCACCAAUAAGGAAUCGUCGCGUGAAUUUAGAGUUUAGGGACAUCAUCCAUGUCAACUUGACUAAGCUGUUGUCAUCACCACCUGAUAACCAAGGAAAGCUGACCUCAUUCCUUUUGUUGAUAGCCAGGCCAUAUACCUGAGCCGAGUUGCUCUUGUUUAAUUGUUGAUUAGUACCAUGUUGGCUUGGGCAUUAUAUGUAGGGCACGUGUCGACCAUAAAGCCCUUUCACCCCAUCCCAUUCUGAGAUGCCAGAUGUCGAUCAGAUAUAAUUAGAUAUUGGUGCCUCGAGGCUGGAAAGGCUAUUUUUGACCAGUUGUGUUUUUAUAUACUCUCCAUCACCUGGAUUGAGCCACAUGUCAACCAGCUGUGGGGUCUCUCAUGGAUAUAUAAAGCAGCCACCUCCAAGCAAAAGAUUAGGCUUACUUCCUCUGGAAUCACUCUCGAUUUCUCCCACCUCUCCCAUUCUUCUUGUGAAAGUCUCCUAAAUCUUAAAAGAUUUCCAAGUGAUGCACAUGUUAAAUAAUUAUUAAAUACAACACGAAGUGGAUGCAGCCCAUCUAAGCCGAACCACUCAAAUCUCAUUGCCUUGUGCAUGAUCUGUUAUUACCGUGCUAGAGCUCACCUCACCUCGGUCUAAUACCAUUAUUCCUUUGAUUUUGAUCCAAAAAUAUGUGUUUACUUCCCAAUAAUACACCUCUAUAAACAUUAUCUAAAGCAACAAAGGAACAAAUUGAAAAUGCUUUUGUAAAUUAAGAAAGAACAAAAAGCUACUUUUGGAGCAUGGAAGUCCAAUCCAUUACUUAUAGCUUCCCUUUGAUGGGUAAGAGAAAGAGAUACUUUAUUUUGUUUUUUUAAAUAAUUUAUGACUUUCAUUCAUAAGAUAUAAGAAAAUUCCGAUACUCACUAAAAAAUUUAUAGCUUUCCCUUGAUCGGUAAGAGAAAGAGAUAUCUUCUAGUGUUUUUUUAAAAUAAUUUAUAUCUUUCAUACAUAAGAUAUAAGAAGAUUCUGAUACCCACUGAAAACAAGUAGUUUCCAAUGCCUCUUCUUACUCACUAUAAAGAAAUAAUUUUUCAACCUCUAUAUAUUUGUUUUUUUUUUUUUUUUUUUUUUUGGCCAACAUCUUGGAUUUUGCAUUGGCAUGUAAUCUCUUUUUAGCCAAUACUUUCUUUAAAAGGAUAGAAGAGCAUGUGAUCUAGCUUUCCCUUGAUGGGUAAGAGGAAGAGAUAUAUUCUAGUGUCCUUUUAAAUAAUUUAUAUCUUUCAUUCGUAAGAUAUAAGAAGAUUUUGAUCCCAACGCCUCUUCUUACUCGCUGUAAAGAAGAUAAUUUUUGAACCUAUAUAUACUGGCCAACAUCUUAGAUUUUGCAUUGGCAUGUGAUCUCUUUUUAGUCGAUACUUUCUUUAAAAAGAUAGAAGAGCAUGUGGUCACCAACAAGAGCAGGUCAUCAAAAACACAAUAGUUGACCUCAUUUAGUGGAUAAGACUUUAUUGUUGUUAUUGUUCUAGUGCCUCCUUUUGCUCACUAGAAAUAAGACAGUGGUUCAACCUCUAUAUAUUGGGCGUAUAUUAAGAAAACAAGAGGAGAGGAUAUUGGUACUGCAAGCAUUCUAGCAUAAAGCAUUUUCUAUUACUUCCAUCAACUGUUGGUAUGGAGGACUUCCUUCUCCUAGCUGCAAGAAAUCUGUCUUGGCUGCUGCAAGCUUCCCAAUAAGCCAUCCACAAGUAUGACUACAAUUUUUUCUUCCAUAACCUCAAGUACAAUUUUUUCUUCCAUAACCUCAAGUUUUUAAGCUCUUUUUACUCUCUUACUUUUGAAACCCAAGCUCCAUGGACAAAAUUCGUCGACCACCGUAAACACUUUAGCCUUGAUGCUAAAUCCAAGUUUAGCCAACACCAACCACCAACUUAUUUACUAAACUUGGGGCUUUGGGGAUCCUACAUCUCAAGCUAUCAUGGAAAGUUUAGAAUAUUUUUUUCAUAGUUAAAAAUCUUUCUCAAAGCCAUCGGAUACACUUCACCAGCACCGAAAGCAUUUUAACCUAACAUUUUUUUUUUUGGGUCCAAAAUUUUAACAUAACAUCAAACCAAGCAUUUUUUAGUUGCUAUAAGAAUAUCAAAGCAUUCUUUAUAGCUAGCUUCUCGUUCAAGAUGCUUUGGACAUUGUUCUCACAAACUCAAAAUUGGGGGACACAAAUUAGGUUUCAUUCACCUCUUUACAAGCCCAACUUCUCUCCAAAUAUAUCAAACAAAUAAUAUACAAUGCAUGUGUGUGUGAUAUGUUUAUGCAAUUUAUAGACUACUCAUAAUAACGUCGUCUAAAGCUGGAUAAAACAUACUAUUAAAGUUCCUCACCUAUCUAAAUAUAAAAUAUUAAAAAAUUUAUCAUACUAAAAUUUUCAACAUGUUACUUGCCUGCAUCCCCUUGAGCGGAUGUGAAAAGAGGAUUUCUCAUUUGAGAAUCUCAUGCAGCAACAGUUGAACACGACACAUCAAUGAAGUAUAUACAAGGUUAGGUGCCUCCAUUUUUGCGGUAAACAUGAGAAUGGAUUGCCAAUAUUGCCCUAAAUUAUGGUCAAGUAAGUGCAUGUUAAGUUUUGUAUAGCUUAUGGAUAGUCCUUUAGUACUAGUUUUGAGUGAUUGAUGAAAUGUUGUCUUAACAAAUGUAGGGUUAUGGAAUUUAAGGAUAUUUGUCCAAGAUCAAGUGGCUUCAUGUAAUAGAGUUGGCCCGCCUUCUAACAUCUUGUAUUCGAUUGAUUACGAAGCUAAAGUCCUUACGUACUAUAGUACAGAAUAUAUAAGCACCCCCACCCACCAACACCCACUUUCGGAGGAGGCUUCCAGUGUUCCGGAGAGUGGUCUUCUUAAGGGAACUAUCAUAGGAACCAAAUGUGAAAGAGGGUUGACUUGGAAGGUGUACCUCAACAUUCUUGCAUCAGCAGAUAGUGAAGACUUGACAAUUGUGGAAUCAGUGCUACAAUAAUAAGCCUCCUAAUUAAGUCCUAAGAUACAUAAGACCAAUAAAAGAGUACUAUGUGCUUAGAUUUUUUUUUUUUUUUUUUCGAAUACUAUGUGCUUAGAUUAAUCUUCCAAUUAAUAAGGAAACACAAUUCAUUUACUUAUAAUAUUAAGGUCGUAUAAAUGAGUCUUAAUAGUCCAGGAAACAACUCAUAGGAUCAUUCACCUUUUGAAAAUAUACAAGGAAAACAAUUAUUAUAUUAACUCUCGUUUCCCCAAGAUAUCCCUCCAAAUUAAGUGCAUUAUGUUUAGGUCUUUUCCAAUAAAGUUGGAUGGCUCUAACUAGAUGGACUUAGUAAAUUAUCAAAUCAGUCAUUACUUGUAAGUAGAGUUAUUAAGUUGGUUAGAUGUAUGUGAUUCUCUCUUUUUAUCCCUUUUUUUUUUGUUGUGCGGCAGUGGACGAGAUUAAAAGCACAAGGUAGAAACUGGAAAACUUUGCCAAGGAAAAAAAAUGGUCAAAAGUUAGCAAGAAUUGCUUGUUUUUAUUUCUAUUUGUUUUAUUGUAUCAAAAACCUUUUGAAAAUAUUGUUGAUCAUUGACAAAUUCAGGAUCAAAGAGACCAAUCAAGCCAACAAAAAAAUGAUCAUACUUAGGCAUGUCAUCAUAUACUCACCUUUUAAUUUGAUUCAAUCAAAAGAUAUUACAUGUUUCUUGUUUUUAAAACUCAAGAAAAAUUAAACAUGUCUAUUAAUUUUUUUUAAAUAAUAUAACAUGUACAAUAUUAUUGGGUCAAAAUCAAAAGUGAGUACAUUUGCAAGAAUAAUACUUAAGUGCUUACUAUCAAUCAAAAAAUGCCAAGUGUUCUUUGUUUUAUUGAAGCCAUGCCUAUUAUUGUUUAAAAUAUUAAAUAAUGUGUUAAAAUAUCAUUAGAUUAAAAUAAAAAAGUAUGUAUGUAGACUACUCAUUAGUGGGAGUAGGAUUCUCUCCCUCCUCUAUUCUCAUCAUUUUCCCUCUCCUCCUUUCACACAUCGUCUUUUGUCUUAUUGCCUCUAUAAAAAAAAUUAUAUAAGAUGUUAAUGUGGCUUAACCGUGAUCGUUCAAAUAAGAGGAGAAUGAAAGGAAGAGAGAUUAAGAGGAGAGAGAAUCCCCCUCCUUAUAAGUGAGUGCCUAAGCAUUAUCCUAUUUGCAAUGGUGCUCGAGUGAGAGGAGCUGACUUAGACUUGUAGUCCCACUUUUAGUUACCUGAUAGCAAUGGUGCUCGAGUGAGAGGAGCUGACUUAGACUUGUAGUCCCACUUUUAGUUACCUGAUAGUCCCAACGUAGGUUUUGCCUUUUUGUUGUUCUGUAUCCUUAGUAGCUGAUCUCAUUAUCUCAUAUAUAAUAUUCCGACUUGACCUUUUGAUAUGGCUAACCAGACCAAGCAAUAAGGCCUCCAAAAAGCUUUGCCCUAAUGUUUUGGGCCUUUUGGCUGGUUGGAUUGCAACAGGUUAGAACCAAAUAUCUCCAAAGAGAUGGUUGUUGACAUGUUGUGGCUGGUUAAUCUUGAUGAAUUAUCUCCAAAUCGUAUUGAUUUGUCCUAAUUUUGUUUUCUUCUUGGUAAAUUAGACCUCCUGCAUGUCAUGUGCAUGUUUUUGGGGUAUUUUAUUCUAGCAGUUUUUUUGUUUGCAUGCAUGUUCAAAGUUGGUUGAUUUCAGUCUCGGUUUUUAAAUUAUUUUUGUAAAAAAAAAUUAAACCAGAAAAGAGCACAAAGCCGCAUACAACAUGCAAGUACUAAUUUAUUGGGAUUAUUGCAAAAGUGUUUGCAAGUGCAACAUGCAAGCUGGUUUUAUGUUGGAUAUAAUUUUAUUUUUAUGUGAAUAAUUUAUAAGUAAUAAUGAAACAUACUAAUUAUAGUUUAUCCCUUUAUGAUGUCAAGUACCAAGGAUGUGAUUGCAAGGUACAAAUCACAUACUGGUGGGGAAAAAUCGGAUCAAAUCACGCUUCACCAACUGCAGGUUAUUCAGUUCAAUAUUAGUUUUUUUUUUUCAUCUUUGCUCUAGAAUUUACAUUUUUAAUGGUACAACAAUUAAUUGUGCCAAGUGAGUGUAAUAUUUUCUUUGAUCUGCACUUGGAGCAUCGGAAUAUAUUUUUACAGCAUUACAAGUUAGACUUCUAUAUAUGCAUGCAGCAGGGUUGGCCUGUUAGACUAAAUAUGUGCAAGUACUUGGGGUUGAGUAAUGCCUCCCAAGUUAUAGUUUUAACUUCCAUUGAACAUUCUAAGUUUUCAUGUGACAGAUUACAUUUUUUUUCUUUCUUGUUUCUUUUUGAGCCUGAUGUUUAUAAGUUUUUCACGUGACAGAGUAGAUUAUCUAAAUGAUGAUAUAAAUAUCUUUCCCAUUUAAUUAGUCGGAGAAAGAAAACACGAUCAGGCUGAGUAAGGAACUUGAGGAUAAGACCCGCAAGCUGAGGUAAUUAUAAUUUAUCGAUUUGUUUGUAAGAUAUAUGGUGGUUAAUUAGGCUGGUAUGAUCGUUUGACAAGUCUGCUGAAACUGGUUUGGCAUGCAAAAGGCAUAUGAAGGGUGAGGACCUUCAAGACUUGGAUCUGGAUCAACUGAACAAGUUAGAAAAAUUGGUGGAAGUAAGCAUUGGCCGUGUAAUAAAAACUAAGGUAUUGCUUAACACUGAGGCUUAAUACAUAUUAUUGUGCAAUGAUCCGGAAGAUUUAUUACUUAAUUAGUCAUUGUUUAAAUAUUGUUCUUGGAAAGAAUAAGACAAAUAUCUUAAUUUUGUUCAAAUAAGAAAUUUGUUAUUAACACUCCAUAAAAUAAUAUUGCACUUCCUCCUCUUAACUUUUUGCCCUAUGCUUGAGUGAGCUAUGACCGAGCUUAAUCAAAUAAAUAGAUCAGCACAUUGUGCCUCAUAUACACCUUUUUAAUCAAAAGAGUAAUGCUAGGUAGACUGAAUUUUAUACUUAAAUUUGCAAAUUAAAUGAUGUGUCGUCAAUAAGAAAUAAACACGUUAAUCAAUACUUAAGUAAGUGAUUUAGUUUACAAUAUUUAGUCUUCCUAACAUUACCCUAAUAAAAAAGUCAACAAGUUUCUAAUCUGACUAUUCUUUUGCAGGCGUAUCUUUCAAAUUUAGACUUUGGUCAAAUUGAAUGUAGACUUGACCAUUUCUUUUCCGUACUUUACUUAGGUUAUUUUACUAAAGAAAUAUUUUGGAUUAUAUAUGUUUAUAUAGCAACAUCUAAUUCCAAAUUUCCCAUUUAUUUCAGGAAAAAAAGAUAAUGAGUGAGAUUAUGGCACUUACGAACAAGGUUUGUAAUUAAAUAGAUGAUUGUUGUCUGUGUCUAUUUAUGGAAUAGCUACAAAUAUAUACAAAUAGUCCAGAAUUUCCCGAAAAGAAUAAUAGUAAACAUUAAUGAAUUAUUAAUGAAUUUUUGCUUUGUUGUCCUCUUCUAUGCCCUGAUUAUACAUGCAGGGAGCUGAGCUUAUAGAAGCUAACAACCAACUAAAGCAGAGGGUAAGAAACUACCACCAUUUAUAUUUUUUCUUCUAUUUUAUUUUUAUUUAAUGAAAGUAAUAAAUCUUAAUUAAAAAUUAAAUUUGGGCGAUCUUUUUCUUUGUUGUUUUUGCUUGGCAGUUGGUGAUGUUAUCCGCUGGAGGAGAUAUCGAACCGGCGGCGAUCAUGGAGUUGGAAAAC
rnacentral:lncRNA from 1 species